rnacentral:lncRNA from 1 species
AAUUACCCCCCCUGUAGUUUUAUUUUUAUCUUUUCGGCAACUUUUUUCUUAAUAUUUUAUUAAAUUAUGUACAAAAAAAAAAAACUUCAGAUACACAUAUAGAUUUAUCGAAUAUUUACUUUAGUACUCUUUAAUUUUAACUUUGUCACUGAUUUAAGAAAAAAAUAAUAAUAAAAUUGAUAAUAAAAAGAGAAAAACGAAACCACAGGUGCAAAUUGAUACACUUUAAAUCAUAGGGUACUAAAGUGAGAAAGUGCGAAACCACAGAGGAAUUUUUUGAAGUUAUCCCUAUUAUAAAUAAGACCAAUUAUAUCAAAUAUAGAACUAUUUGAUAUAAUAUAUCUUAUCCAUUUUAUAUCUAUUUAAAUUAAAUAAAACUUUAAUAAGAUUUUAAUGGAAAGUCGAUCUGAAUGCUAUACAAAGAGGGUAUUGGUUCUGUCAUUUUCUCAUGUGCAUUCGGAUAAAAAAUUAUCAUCUGUUUCACAUCAUACAGGAGAGUGUCUGAAAUAGGAAGAAAAACUAAAUUAUCCGAGUGCAGUUGGUGACGUUUAGAUUAUAAUGGAAAUUUUCGCUUCGGUAAAUUGAUCAAAAAUUACUUCUUUAUGACGCUCUAUAAGUUAUUUUAUUUUACUUUAUAAUACUGAAUUUUGAUAUAUUUAUUUUUAUUGUUUUCUUACAUACAUAUCAAUAAAGAGCUAUCAGUUUAAGCUUAAAACGAUUUUUAGAGUGUUUUUUAAUUCUUUCAGGGCCUUUUCUGUAAUUAUCAAACUGAGGUACUAGUACUGCAAACCUUUUAAUAAUGGAAAGAUUCAUCGAAAGUAGUACUCAAACUUAAAAACAAUAAAAAUAAAAAUAAAAAUUCAUAAAAAUUAUUGAGAAAUCUUAAAUGACAACACCACAAAGAUUCGGAAAAAAUAUUUAUGCAAAUAAAGUGUAAAACACGAUACUUAUAGCUGGACCAUUGCUUGGUAAAAGACUUUUUUUUAUGUAAUUAAAGCACAAACCACAAUGUAAAAAAAACAUGAAAUAAACAAAAUAUGGAUUUCGAUAAAGAGGUGGUAGGCCCCCACCUUAGCCAAUGAGAGGACUUUUUUAUAAAAUGAUCCUUCAAAAUUUUGAAAUUAAAAAAAUGAUCCUAUCAAAUUUUACUUUAGAACUUAGACAAAUUUUACUUUAGAACUUAGACAAAUUUUGAUAGGUUUACAGUAUUUUACAUUAAAGGCGGUGAUUCACCACCUUCAUUAUAUCAUAGAAAAAUUCCGACGUGAUGCCCACGUGACGAAAGAAGAAUUAUUUUUUCAAAUAAAAUUUUGACAGAAUUAUUUUUCAAAUUUUCAAAUUUUGAAGGGUCAUUUUAUAAAGCCAAAAUCUUAGUCGCAACGCAAAUUGGGCGGAUACCUAAACUUUUUCGCACAAGUCGGCGGAGGAAAACAUUGCUAGUGGGUGAAGUAUUACAAAACUUCUUAGGCUUAGUUUGGUAUUAAGAUCUAUCUAACGUUAUUAGAUAAAAUGGAGUUGAGGAAAAAGUAUAUAGGAAUAUGUUUCUGCGUUUUCCGAUGGAAUCGCAAAAAAUAUAUCGUAACCGACUCGUCGAGAUAUGCGGAAUGCAAUAUUAUCUACGGAAACAAACAGGAUAUUUUUUCAACGUACUUUCUCACCGCACGUAACGCAAUUUUUCCGCAAUCCCAAAGUAUUAUAGAAAUUUAAAAAAAAAAGAAAAAAAAAAAAGAGAGAGUAAUCGAAAAGGUAUUCAUACCUGAUGCCUGCACCCAAAAGCAGGAUCCUUCGUUUGGCACAGGCAGAUCGGACAUGUCUGCUAAUAAGAAGAAAAAUAAAAAAUUACUUUUGAGGUCCUGAGAAAAUUAAGUAUUACUUUUGAGGUCCAUUCAUCGUGUGCGCGCGUGUAAUAAAAUGAUAAUAAGUUCAUAAAUCUGUUUACAAUCUAAUUUUUCUUUUUUAUGAAAAUAAACUCUGAUUUUUUUGCAACAACCGGGAACCAGCACCACACGUUCCGAAGGUUGAUUCCAAGUCCAUAGCAGGAAAUUUCUUUAAAAUAAAUGUCAAAGGUUGAUUCCAAGUCAAUAGCAGGAAAUUUCUUUAAAAUAAAUGUCAAGUCAUUUUUUGGAAUUUCUCAUAGUUCCCUUGUACUGCCGGGAAAAGACGACUAAAAGCCACGCGCACAUCACUAUUAUAAGAUCCAAGGGCAGGAGGGGACCUUUUUUUAUAAAAUAAUUUUUUAAAAUUUUAUAAUUUGUGAAAUAAUUCUGCCAAAUUUAUAUUUGGCAAACUAACUCUUUAGAUUAUUUUUCAAGAAGCGAUGAAUCAUUCCCUGCAUUCUCCAAUUUCUUUUAAAAGCUUUCUCCCUUUUUCUUUUUUUCUUAUUUCUUUUAAACACGGUGAAUCGUUCGCCGUAUUUAUUAAAAUUAUGCGUGUAUUAUAUAGGAAAUAGAAAAAAAUAAAGUUGUUAGGAUUAUAUGUGACUCAUUAGAAUUUUUAUUUGAUUAUUAAGAUUAUAUGGAUAAAUUAUUAGAAUUUUUAGACUGUUAAGAUUAUAUAAAAUUAUAUGCAUAGAUUUUUAGAAUUUUCAGACUGUUAAGAUUAUAUGAAAUUGUAUGGAUAGAUUAUUAGGAUUUUCAGGUUGUUAAAAUUAUAUAUGAUUUAUUAAAAUUUUUAAUAUGGUUGUUAGAAUUAUAUACAUGUAAUAUAAAAAGAAAUAGUAAAUAAGCGAAUGACGAUGAAUAAUUCACCAACUUUGUGAAAAAUUAAGAAGGCAGUGAACGAUUCACCAUCUUCAUCCGCCCCCACGCCUACUUGACGAGAGGAGGAUUAGUUUUACAAAUAUAAUUUUGAUAAGAUUAUUUUACAAAUUUUAAAAUUCUAAAGAGUUGUUUUAUAAAAAAGUUUGCAGGAGGAAACUGGUGCCCCGGCCCAGAAUCAUCUCUUAUUAAAAGUAAUAAUUAAUAAUAAAAAUAAAAGAUGAAUCAUGAAUCCAAGGAAACUCACUAACCGCUCCUGUGUAUAUAGUGUAUACCCAUCUAAAAAGCACAUAAUGAGGCACCAUGUCAGAUAUGAAUUUAUACAUACAUACCUGCGUUCAUCUACAUCUACUAGCGAACUCUCAGCAGGGGCGGAGGCUUUUUUUUUUGUUUUUUUUUUAACUCCUUGUUCAUGGCUGUUUGGAUAUGUAAAUUUUUUGAAUCUAAACAUCCAAAACCCUGGCACUUAAUUGGUGGAGGUAGACAAAUUAAACCUUUCUUGCAUUCCCGUUCGUUUACUGCAAUAAAUCAAGAGAUUAAUUAAUAAACCUUACCCGCCAAAUUAGUUCUUCGAGAAAAUGGUAUGUUAAUGAAAAUUACAAAAUUCAUUCCCAAGAAGUUGGAGAUCCAUUGCUGGUUUAUACUGCGAUGGGAUUUCCAUCAGCGCUGCGAGAGCAAACUGUGCAUCCUUUCUGCUCUCGGGGAUUAACUCGACAUGAUCUCUGUGAAAUUAACAAACUAUAUUGUACCAAUGCAAAUAGCCAUGAUCUUUUUAGUACGCCAUAAUAGUAUAGUAUCUUAUUUUGUUCAGUUGAAACCUGAAAAUUACCCAAUGCACGACACGGUAGAUGUUGCCGUCAAAUUGCUUCAUCACAAACUCCAACCGGCACGAUUGAUAACAGGUAGUGAGUCACUGCAACAUAGAUAAGUAGAUAUAUUACUUUAAUAACCCAGCAGAAUUACACAAUAUCUACCCAGCGAAAAUUGGACUUCCAUUUAUAUGCUGAUCAUAUUAUUAAUGACACACAACCCUGAAAAAUCAAGAUGUUCAUAUACGCCAGACAUGAAUGCGCAAUAAAGACCAACUUCAACACCCCCCCAAUGGCGCUAUUCCCCUUUGCAGGAAGGUUCAACUUUUGAAGGGUAUAUGCAAAUAUAUCACAUCUAUCGAAUUAAAGAAUUAGAUAUACACACUCGUCCGCUGCCAUUCAUUCACAUGUUUAAGGUAAGUAGGUGAAGGGUGAUAUUUUGCGAGAGAUCUUUAUACAGCAUCCAAAACAAUACUUAUUUUCUAAUUUAAAAGCAUUACUUAUCUUUAAUUUAAAUACAAUCAAUUAGGAUCAUUCUAUUAUAUAUAUAUAUAUAUAUAUAUAUAUAGAGUUAGACUGGGCUACUAUUAGUAGCAAAAUUCCAUUGUUGCUAUCAAUUUUUUAGCCUUUGGAUCAACUCUUUUUGUCAUUCCUAACCAUUGGAUUAAAUACUAUAACCCAGUGGGGACCACUCAACCCUAGGGGGACCACUUAACUCUAACUAACUAAUAUCAUCCUAACCCUAUAAUUUUUCAUCCAAGGGUUAAAAACUUGNNNNNNNNNNNNNNNNNNNNNNNNNNNNNNNNNNNNNNNNNNNNNNNNNNNNNNNNNNNNNNNNNNNNNNNNNNNNNNNNNNNNNNNNNNNNNNNNNNNNNNNNNNNNNNNNNNNNNNNNNNNNNNNNNNNNNNNNNNNNNNNNNNNNNNNNNNNNNNNNNNNNNNNNNNNNNNNNNNNNNNNNNNNNNNNNNNNNNNNNNNNNNNNNNNNNNNNNNNNNNNNNNNNNNNNNNNNNNNNNNNNNNNNNNNNNNNNNNNNNNNNNNNNNNNNNNNNNNNNNNNNNNNNNNNNNNNNNNNNNNNNNNNNNNNNNNNNNNNNNNNNNNNNNNNNNNNNNNNNNNNNNNNNNNNNNNNNNNNNNNNNNNNNNNNNNNNNNNNNNNNNNNNNNNNNNNNNNNNNNNNNNNNNNNNNNNNNNNNNNNNNNNNNNNNNNNNNNNNNNNNNNNNNNNNNNNNNNNNNNNNNNNNNNNNNNNNNNNNNNNNNNNNNNNNNNNNNNNNNNNNNNNNNNNNNNNNNNNNNNNNNNNNNNNNNNNNNNNNNNNNNNNNNNNNNNNNNNNNNNNNNNNNNNNNNNNNNNNNNNNNNNNNNNNNNNNNNNNNNNNNNNNNNNNNNNNNNNNNNNNNNNNNNNNNNNNNNNNNNNNNNNNNNNNNNNNNNNNNNNNNNNNNNNNNNNNNNNNNNNNNNNNNNNNNNNNNNNNNNNNNNNNNNNNNNNNNNNNNNNNNNNNNNNNNNNNNNNNNNNNNNNNNNNNNNNNNNNNNNNNNNNNNNNNNNNNNNNNNNNNNNNNNNNNNNNNNNNNNNNNNNNNNNNNNNNNNNNNNNNNNNNNNNNNNNNNNNNNNNNNNNNNNNNNNNNNNNNNNNNNNNNNNNNNNNNNNNNNNNNNNNNNNNNNNNNNNNNNNNNNNNNNNNNNNNNNNNNNNNNNNNNNNNNNNNNNNNNNNNNNNNNNNNNNNNNNNNNNNNNNNNNNNNNNNNNNNNNNNNNNNNNNNNNNNNNNNNNNNNNNNNNNNNNNNNNNNNNNNNNNNNNNNNNNNNNNNNNNNNNNNNNNNNNNNNNNNNNNNNNNNNNNNNNNNNNNNNNNNNNNNNNNNNNNNNNNNNNNNNNNNNNNNNNNNNNNNNNNNNNNNNNNNNNNNNNNNNNNNNNNNNNNNNNNNNNNNNNNNNNNNNNNNNNNNNNNNNNNNNNNNNNNNNNNNNNNNNNNNNNNNNNNNNNNNNNNNNNNNNNNNNNNNNNNNNNNNNNNNNNNNNNNNNNNNNNNNNNNNNNNNNNNNNNNNNNNNNNNNNNNNNNNNNNNNNNNNNNNNNNNNNNNNNNNNNNNNNNNNNNNNNNNNNNNNNNNNNNNNNNNNNNNNNNNNNNNNNNNNNNNNNNNNNNNNNNNNNNNNNNNNNNNNNNNNNNNNNNNNNNNNNNNNNNNNNNNNNNNNNNNNNNNNNNNNNNNNNNNNNNNNNNNNNNNNNNNNNNNNNNNNNNNNNNNNNNNNNNNNNNNNNNNNNNNNNNNNNNNNNNNNNNNNNNNNNNNNNNNNNNNNNNNNNNNNNNNNNNNNNNNNNNNNNNNNNNNNNNNNNNNNNNNNNNNNNNNNNNNNNNNNNNNNNNNNNNNNNNNNNNNNNNNNNNNNNNNNNNNNNNNNNNNNNNNNNNNNNNNNNNNNNNNNNNNNNNNNNNNNNNNNNNNNNNNNNNNNNNNNNNNNNNNNNNNNNNNNNNNNNNNNNNNNNNNNNNNNNNNNNNNNNNNNNNNNNNNNNNNNNNNNNNNNNNNNNNNNNNNNNNNNNNNNNNNNNNNNNNNNNNNNNNNNNNNNNNNNNNNNNNNNNNNNNNNNNNNNNNNNNNNNNNNNNNNNNNNNNNNNNNNNNNNNNNNNNNNNNNNNNNNNNNNNNNNNNNNNNNNNNNNNNNNNNNNNNNNNNNNNNNNNNNNNNNNNNNNNNNNNNNNNNNNNNNNNNNNNNNNNNNNNNNNNNNNNNNNNNNNNNNNNNNNNNNNNNNNNNNNNNNNNNNNNNNNNNNNNNNNNNNNNNNNNNNNNNNNNNNNNNNNNNNNNNNNNNNNNNNNNNNNNNNNNNNNNNNNNNNNNNNNNNNNNNNNNNNNNNNNNNNNNNNNNNNNNNNNNNNNNNNNNNNNNNNNNNNNNNNNNNNNNNNNNNNNNNNNNNNNNNNNNNNNNNNNNNNNNNNNNNNNNNNNNNNNNNNNNNNNNNNNNNNNNNNNNNNNNNNNNNNNNNNNNNNNNNNNNNNNNNNNNNNNNNNNNNNNNNNNNNNNNNNNNNNNNNNNNNNNNNNNNNNNNNNNNNNNNNNNNNNNNNNNNNNNNNNNNNNNNNNNNNNNNNNNNNNNNNNNNNNNNNNNNNNNNNNNNNNNNNNNNNNNNNNNNNNNNNNNNNNNNNNNNNNNNNNNNNNNNNNNNNNNNNNNNNNNNNNNNNNNNNNNNNNNNNNNNNNNNNNNNNNNNNNNNNNNNNNNNNNNNNNNNNNNNNNNNNNNNNNNNNNNNNNNNNNNNNNNNNNNNNNNNNNNNNNNNNNNNNNNNNNNNNNNNNNNNNNNNNNNNNNNNNNNNNNNNNNNNNNNNNNNNNNNNNNNNNNNNNNNNNNNNNNNNNNNNNNNNNNNNNNNNNNNNNNNNNNNNNNNNNNNNNNNNNNNNNNNNNNNNNNNNNNNNNNNNNNNNNNNNNNNNNNNNNNNNNNNNNNNNNNNNNNNNNNNNNNNNNNNNNNNNNNNNNNNNNNNNNNNNNNNNNNNNNNNNNNNNNNNNNNNNNNNNNNNNNNNNNNNNNNNNNNNNNNNNNNNNNNNNNNNNNNNNNNNNNNNNNNNNNNNNNNNNNNNNNNNNNNNNNNNNNNNNNNNNNNNNNNNNNNNNNNNNNNNNNNNNNNNNNNNNNNNNNNNNNNNNNNNNNNNNNNNNNNNNNNNNNNNNNNNNNNNNNNNNNNNNNNNNNNNNNNNNNNNNNNNNNNNNNNNNNNNNNNNNNNNNNNNNNNNNNNNNNNNNNNNNNNNNNNNNNNNNNNNNNNNNNNNNNNNNNNNNNNNNNNNNNNNNNNNNNNNNNNNNNNNNNNNNNNNNNNNNNNNNNNNNNNNNNNNNNNNNNNNNNNNNNNNNNNNNNNNNNNNNNNNNNNNNNNNNNNNNNNNNNNNNNNNNNNNNNNNNNNNNNNNNNNNNNNNNNNNNNNNNNNNNNNNNNNNNNNNNNNNNNNNNNNNNNNNNNNNNNNNNNNNNNNNNNNNNNNNNNNNNNNNNNNNNNNNNNNNNNNNNNNNNNNNNNNNNNNNNNNNNNNNNNNNNNNNNNNNNNNNNNNNNNNNNNNNNNNNNNNNNNNNNNNNNNNNNNNNNNNNNNNNNNNNNNNNNNNNNNNNNNNNNNNNNNNNNNNNNNNNNNNNNNNNNNNNNNNNNNNNNNNNNNNNNNNNNNNNNNNNNNNNNNNNNNNNNNNNNNNNNNNNNNNNNNNNNNNNNNNNNNNNNNNNNNNNNNNNNNNNNNNNNNNNNNNNNNNNNNNNNNNNNNNNNNNNNNNNNNNNNNNNNNNNNNNNNNNNNNNNNNNNNNNNNNNNNNNNNNNNNNNNNNNNNNNNNNNNNNNNNNNNNNNNNNNNNNNNNNNNNNNNNNNNNNNNNNNNNNNNNNNNNNNNNNNNNNNNNNNNNNNNNNNNNNNNNNNNNNNNNNNNNNNNNNNNNNNNNNNNNNNNNNNNNNNNNNNNNNNNNNNNNNNNNNNNNNNNNNNNNNNNNNNNNNNNNNNNNNNNNNNNNNNNNNNNNNNNNNNNNNNNNNNNNNNNNNNNNNNNNNNNNNNNNNNNNNNNNNNNNNNNNNNNNNNNNNNNNNNNNNNNNNNNNNNNNNNNNNNNNNNNNNNNNNNNNNNNNNNNNNNNNNNNNNNNNNNNNNNNNNNNNNNNNNNNNNNNNNNNNNNNNNNNNNNNNNNNNNNNNNNNNNNNNNNNNNNNNNNNNNNNNNNNNNNNNNNNNNNNNNNNNNNNNNNNNNNNNNNNNNNNNNNNNNNNNNNNNNNNNNNNNNNNNNNNNNNNNNNNNNNNNNNNNNNNNNNNNNNNNNNNNNNNNNNNNNNNNNNNNNNNNNNNNNNNNNNNNNNNNNNNNNNNNNNNNNNNNNNNNNNNNNNNNNNNNNNNNNNNNNNNNNNNNNNNNNNNNNNNNNNNNNNNNNNNNNNNNNNNNNNNNNNNNNNNNNNNNNNNNNNNNNNNNNNNNNNNNNNNNNNNNNNNNNNNNNNNNNNNNNNNNNNNNNNNNNNNNNNNNNNNNNNNNNNNNNNNNNNNNNNNNNNNNNNNNNNNNNNNNNNNNNNNNNNNNNNNNNNNNNNNNNNNNNNNNNNNNNNNNNNNNNNNNNNNNNNNNNNNNNNNNNNNNNNNNNNNNNNNNNNNNNNNNNNNNNNNNNNNNNNNNNNNNNNNNNNNNNNNNNNNNNNNNNNNNNNNNNNNNNNNNNNNNNNNNNNNNNNNNNNNNNNNNNNNNNNNNNNNNNNNNNNNNNNNNNNNNNNNNNNNNNNNNNNNNNNNNNNNNNNNNNNNNNNNNNNNNNNNNNNNNNNNNNNNNNNNNNNNNNNNNNNNNNNNNNNNNNNNNNNNNNNNNNNNNNNNNNNNNNNNNNNNNNNNNNNNNNNNNNNNNNNNNNNNNNNNNNNNNNNNNNNNNNNNNNNNNNNNNNNNNNNNNNNNNNNNNNNNNNNNNNNNNNNNNNNNNNNNNNNNNNNNNNNNNNNNNNNNNNNNNNNNNNNNNNNNNNNNNNNNNNNNNNNNNNNNNNNNNNNNNNNNNNNNNNNNNNNNNNNNNNNNNNNNNNNNNNNNNNNNNNNNNNNNNNNNNNNNNNNNNNNNNNNNNNNNNNNNNNNNNNNNNNNNNNNNNNNNNNNNNNNNNNNNNNNNNNNNNNNNNNNNNNNNNNNNNNNNNNNNNNNNNNNNNNNNNNNNNNNNNNNNNNNNNNNNNNNNNNNNNNNNNNNNNNNNNNNNNNNNNNNNNNNNNNNNNNNNNNNNNNNNNNNNNNNNNNNNNNNNNNNNNNNNNNNNNNNNNNNNNNNNNNNNNNNNNNNNNNNNNNNNNNNNNNNNNNNNNNNNNNNNNNNNNNNNNNNNNNNNNNNNNNNNNNNNNNNNNNNNNNNNNNNNNNNNNNNNNNNNNNNNNNNNNNNNNNNNNNNNNNNNNNNNNNNNNNNNNNNNNNNNNNNNNNNNNNNNNNNNNNNNNNNNNNNNNNNNNNNNNNNNNNNNNNNNNNNNNNNNNNNNNNNNNNNNNNNNNNNNNNNNNNNNNNNNNNNNNNNNNNNNNNNNNNNNNNNNNNNNNNNNNNNNNNNNNNNNNNNNNNNNNNNNNNNNNNNNNNNNNNNNNNNNNNNNNNNNNNNNNNNNNNNNNNNNNNNNNNNNNNNNNNNNNNNNNNNNNNNNNNNNNNNNNNNNNNNNNNNNNNNNNNNNNNNNNNNNNNNNNNNNNNNNNNNNNNNNNNNNNNNNNNNNNNNNNNNNNNNNNNNNNNNNNNNNNNNNNNNNNNNNNNNNNNNNNNNNNNNNNNNNNNNNNNNNNNNNNNNNNNNNNNNNNNNNNNNNNNNNNNNNNNNNNNNNNNNNNNNNNNNNNNNNNNNNNNNNNNNNNNNNNNNNNNNNNNNNNNNNNNNNNNNNNNNNNNNNNNNNNNNNNNNNNNNNNNNNNNNNNNNNNNNNNNNNNNNNNNNNNNNNNNNNNNNNNNNNNNNNNNNNNNNNNNNNNNNNNNNNNNNNNNNNNNNNNNNNNNNNNNNNNNNNNNNNNNNNNNNNNNNNNNNNNNNNNNNNNNNNNNNNNNNNNNNNNNNNNNNNNNNNNNNNNNNNNNNNNNNNNNNNNNNNNNNNNNNNNNNNNNNNNNNNNNNNNNNNNNNNNNNNNNNNNNNNNNNNNNNNNNNNNNNNNNNNNNNNNNNNNNNNNNNNNNNNNNNNNNNNNNNNNNNNNNNNNNNNNNNNNUAUAUAUAUAUAUAUAUAUAUAUAUAUAUAUAUAUAUAUAUAUAUUUUUUUUUAUAUAUAUAUAUAUAUAUAUAUAUAUAUAUAUAUAUAUAUAUAUAUAUUUUAAAAUAGAAAAAAUAAAGAAAAAAUGAAAAAGAAACUUUAUUUGUCAUCUGUCACGCGCAUCUCACAUGCCACUUGGAAGGUUAUGAUGCAAGUUGCAACGAAAACAACACGUAAUAAGAAGUGGGGCCUACUCUCAUUGAAUAAACAAUAAGCAUUUAUUCAGGGUGGAAAGGAGAAUAUGUCAGAGUGAGGGGAUUGGGAUUGCUUGUGGUUAGGGAUGUAAACGGAAUGGAUCCGGGGGUAGGAGAGUUUCUCCGUCUUUCGUUUUAUAUUUUAUUGAAUCGGAACAGAUUUGAAAUGGUCGAGACAAAUUCGAAACGGAUUAUUUUUUAUUUUAUUUUGGAAAAACUUCAAAUCCCCCUAUGUGGUUUCGUCGUUUCUCAUUUUAUCCCAUGUUGUUUAAAAUGUAUCAAUUUGUCCUCAUGUGAAUUUUUUUUUAUCAAUUUUAUUAUUUUUUUCUUAAAUCAGUGAUAAAGUUAAAAUUAAAGGGUACUAAAGUAAAUAUUUGAUAAAUCUAGAUGGGUAUCUGAAGUUUUUUUGUAUAUAAUUUAAUGAAAUAUUAACGAAAAAGCUACCGCAAAAAUAAAAACGAAAUCAUAGGAGGGCAAUUUGAUAUAUUUUAAAUCACAGGAGGGCAAAAUAAGAAACUACGAAAUCACAUAGGAGCUUUUGAAAUUUUUUCUUUUAUUUUUUACUCUAUUUACCGUCCUAUUUGUGGCGGAUCAAGACGAGAGCGAAUUUUUGAUAGAUGGAAAUAAAUUGAAGGAAGAAAAGAAUCUCCCGCCUCCAACUUCAUUUACUUAAAAAAUCAGGACAGAUUCAAAACAGAUUAUCUUUUUUAUAUUUUUUUAUUCUCACUUAUUGUCUUAUACUGAUCGGAUUGGAAAAUCCACAAACCAGGACCCAUUUGUGGUUGUGGAAUGGUUACAGAUUCUGGUGAUUAAAGAGUGGGGCCCGCGUGGAAUCGUAAAGAUACUUGCCUUGUCCACAUGGGAACUUAGGGCCCACAAAAAAAAAAAUUUAUUUAAUUUUUUUCAUUUUAAAAAUAAAAAAUGAUUCAUAAUUUUGCGUUUCAAUUGGGAAAGGGACAAAGGGACCGAUCCUAGUCGUGUGUUGUGACGGACCCCAAGACAACAUCCCCGUUAUCUCUUCAAUGUCACCGUUUUGAUUUAUAUGCAAUAUAUAAUCAUUGUUGUUGUAGAAAUGCAAUAAAAUAAUUUUUUUUUUUUUUUUUGAGAAAGAGGUAGCAUGCUACCCGCUUCAUUCAUUGAUCAUUUGAACUAAGCUACAAAUGUGAGGCAACCCGGCCCCAGAGAGGGAAAAAAAAAAAAAAAAAAAAAAUUAAAUUAUGACCGGAGGAGAAGCUCCCACUCCUUCACAAGCAGUUUGAAUCUAUGGACCGCUAUCCCCGGGUUAGGGGGAAUAUUCUGAAAUAUUACAUCGUUUCAGACCUUCCAGAUCACCCACCAGCAUCCCGCUAGUUCAGCAAGUCUGGUACGCUUAUUAAGAGGGUCUUUCUUGCCAGUCCACCUAUCCCAAACAAGAUUCACCUCAUCCCCCAGGUCUUGGGCCUGGAUCUCGUCGUCCCCUAACACCAAGAUGAAUUUGCAGAAUACACAGUGGGUAAACAGGUGGUCCACUGAUUCCUCGUCCGACCCGCAAAGCACGCAGGUGGGGUCAUCGAUCCACCCUCUCUUCGCAAGUCUAUCGAUAUAUUGUUAAAUGAUAACAUUGUUCUAAGAUAAGCCCAUUGGAGAUCACAUUGUUAGAUCUUAAUUAUGGGAAUAAAAGUGUUACUAUAAUAAAAAUCAAAGAUUUAACUACCGUAGUACGAAAUCGUUUAUCCUGAAUCAUACCAAUAUGUACUGGUCAUAAAAAAAUAUAUAUCUGGAGACAUGUAACAAUAUGAAAUAUUUAUUUUUUUAAUAAUAAAAUAUUUUAACUGUUUGUUACGUAUCUUUUUCAAUUUUUUAAAAUUUUAUUAAAAAAAUUACUUACUAAUUCAAAGAAUAAAAAAUUUUUAGCUAUACUAUUGAUACAAAAAUUGUAUCAUGUUACUAUUUUAUUAGCACGAUAUGGUACGGUAAAUAUGAUCCAUACUGACGGACACUUAAAUUCUUGAUGAGAAUACUUUGGUGAGAAUUAAAAAAGUCAAAUAAACUUCUCCUUUAUAGUAAUUUAAUUAACAAAAAAAAAUUAUUUAAAGUCUUAAGUUUGAAAUCUAUCUGCUACAUAUUUUAACUGUUUGUUAUAUAUUUUUAUUAAAUCUCUUGAAUUUUAUUGAGAAUAUUACUUAUUAAUUCAAAAAAUAAAAAGUUUUGAGCUAUUCCAUUGGCACGGAAAUUGUAUUUGCCGAUAUCUUGUUGGCACGAUACGGUACGGUAGAUAUAAUCCGUACCAAUAGGCCUUAAAUUCCUAAUAAGAAUACUUUGGUGAGAAUUAAAGAACCAAAUCGACUUAGGCACUUAAAUUCCUAAUAAGAAUACUUUGGUGAGAAUUAAAGAACCAAAUCGACUUCUCCUUUAUAGUAAUCUAAUUAACAAAAAAAAAAAAGUUAAAGUCUUAAGUUUGAAAUCUAUAUGCUACAUAUUUCUUGCUAAGUACAUUUUCAAAGAAAAAUGAACGAAGAAAUAAUUUCUAUUUUUCUCUUUUUAAAAAAAAAAGAUUAUUAAUUGUGCCAUUUGUUUAGUAGUCAAAUUUCCACACAACGUACGUUAGAAAUAUUCAAUGUUCCUUAAAAAGUAAGAAAAACUUUAAAUCAAAUGAAUGCAAGGUGGUUGUAGGAAUUGCUAAACUGAUUUUAUUUGAGCCCAACUUUAGUUUAAAAAAUUUACUAUUUGACAAUUCUAAUUUAAAUUUACUAUUUGACAAUUCUAAUUGUUAUUUUAUCAUCAUAAUCUACUGUUAAAUAGGAUAAUAAUAUAUGUCAUUUACAAAUCAUAAAGUGAUAGCAUAUAACAUUUUACUAUCCUUGAAUUUACAUUUUACUUUCUCAUAAUUUGAAAACUAUUUUGGCUAUCAUGCUUGAAAAUAGAUUUUUGCCGUGAAAUAAAAAUAAAAUCAUAGAAUGUCAACUUACAUUUUUUUCUUUCAAAAGUAUAUGGUGGUAAAAUAAAAUUGCACGAUGGUCAAAUUAUAAUGUAUCCAGCCAAAUGCACACACUUUUAUAUAUUUAUAAUUAGUCCUUUUUUAUGUUAAAGCCUACAAGCAUUUUAUAAGAAAAAGUACAGCUUGAUUACAUCAUUGUAAUUAAAGUUUUGUGGAAGAAAGAUAAAUAUAUUUUCAUAUCAAGAAAGAAGAAAAAUAUAUAAGUAACUUCAAAAUUAGAGAAGGACAAAAUAUAUAAAUCGAUCUCCAAACUUAAGCAGCUAAUAAAGCUCAUAAACGUUAAGCACAGACUAUCAAAAAAAAAUAUGAAGAAUAAGAUAAAAAUAAUCAUUCAGAUUGCAUUUUCAGUACAGUUUUCGCCUAUCCACUCAUAACGGAACAUCUCUCACUUCAAGUCCAUCAAAUUCCGGCAUAAAAGAUAAGCACCAAGUCGGGGCACUUUGACAGAUUACAUAAGGGAAUAAAUUCGAAGAGCGAAAGAGCGAAGGAAAAGAUGAUGAGCUAGAUAGAUGAUUGUGUAAAAGAUCAUCGAGAAAAAUAUAGAAGCCAUUAAUCAUCUUCAAAAAGCAUAAAUUACCCUAAAGUUCUAAAGUUUAUGUAAUAUUGAGGGUUCCCUAGCCCAUCAAACAAGAGAGAGAGAGAGACAGGUGCCCUCUUUUUUUAGCUAGGGUGUCAUCUUCUUAAUUAAUUUACACAGAGACAAAAUAAAUAAAUAAAUAAAUAAAUAAAAUCUUUGUUCCUGUACAACAUACACCUGUGCACCAGUUCCCCUAACCUUGGUGCAUCUGAAUUGGUGGUUGGUGAGCACCAAUUCUUCAGGAGCCUCCAUGUGGCCCUUUGAUCUCAAUCAGAGGGCUCCACAAUUAAAAGCUCCCCACUCUAAAUUGUCAAAUAUAGGAUAAGAGUAUUGCAAGACUAAGUAAGAUAACAAGUUAGGUAUAGGUUGGUGAGGAAGGAAUUAAGUCCUUACACUCCAUGGAAACAAAAAAAAGAAAAAAAAAAAGAUGAAGCUAAAUUGUACUUUUUGAUUCUCAAAAUUAUGAAUUACGUGAUAUUUUAAUUUUCAAAUUUUUAUUUAUUAUACUUUUUAAAAUUUUACAAAGUUAUUAUAAUUAAAGUGUCAGAAUCUAUAUUAAUUUACUAGAUACCAAUAUGUUGCUGGUUUACUAUUGAUACAAUAUUUUAAACAUCGUUUUUACUAUUUAUAUCAUUUUCACAUCAGUAAUGCAAUAGUAGUUAAUCAACUAAAUUAAAUUAUAAAAUUUAAAAAAUAAAUUAAAAUUUGAGAAUCAAAAUAUACAGUAUUUGUUUAAUGGUUUAUCAUUGGCUGGCGGAGACUUGACUCCUGCAGUAGUUCCAUCACAAAUUCUUAUAAAUAUAUUUUCUUUCUUUUUAUAUAUAUAUAUAUAUAUAUAUAUAUAUGGAGAUAUUAAUUAUCAUUCAUAAUAAAUUUUUAAUUAAGUUGCCUCCUCUCCCCAGUGGCAUAUAAAUUUGCAAUCAACAGCACACAAAUUUGCGAGCGCAGUAGGACCAAAGCAUUUUCCCUUCUGCAGUAGUGUACACUGCUGCAGCAGAGGAGAGCGCAGCAAUACUGGUAAAGCAUUGGAAGUGGAGUGAAAGCCAAUAAAAGAACCAUCUUUCUCUUUCUCUUUCUCUUUCUCUUUCCCUCUCUCUCUCUCUCUCUCUCUCUCUCUCUCUCUCUCUCUCUCUCACACACACACAUCAGGUAAUAAUUUAAAAAAAAAAAGAAAAAAAACCACAGCGACUUCCCUGUCGCAGCUUCUGCUUCCGUGGAAGCAAUUCUCCGGCCCACAACCCGGAAAAACCUUUGCGUGCCGAAUUUCCCUAGAAACUAUAGAGCAUAUUACGACUCCUCCGCGCCUUCUCCUCUCACUCUCCUCCUUUACUCGUUUGUUAGUACAUGAGGAGGAGGAGGAGGGGGGAGGGGAAUUGGAGGAGUAGUAGUGGGAGGAGGAGCGGUGGAGAGGAGGAGGAGGAGCGGCGGCGGGAGGCUAAACCUGGGAAAGGCGGGGGAGCUGUUGGGGUUGCUGGAUUGCAUAAAUGAGGCUGCAGCGGCGAUCGCGGCGGCGGCGGCGUGCUCUUCUUCUGCGUUCUGGGCGGCGGGGAUGAGCGACUCGGCGUACCGCGUGGACACGACGCCGCGGCUCGCGCAAUGGCGCAUCGACACCCUCUCCUCCUGCACCUACCGCAAAUCCGACCCCUUCAAGAUCGGACUCUGGAACUGGUCUCUUUCCAUCUCUCUCUCUCUCUCUCUCCCCAAAAGAUUGGAUUUUUUUUAAAAAAAAUUAUUAUUUUGGCCUUUGAUGGGUUUGGUGUUUUUGCACCCAAAGGGGAAAACAUUUGGUUUUGGAAGUACCCAGAUGAGUUUUGGGUUGCUCAAAGAGAGAAAGGUGGGAUGUUAGUUUUUUGGACCAAAAGAGGGGCGGGGGGAAUCUGAGUUUGGAGCGUCCCAGAUGAAUUUGGCGUGGAGAGACUCGAAAGAUUCUUUUAUUUCACUUGGUUUUUCGGGAUUUUUCACCUGUUUCUUUGGGGUUUUACUUCUCUUUAGAUUCCAUUUUUUAAAUUUUUUUUUUUUCGUUUCUGUGGAGGAAAAUUUCUGUGUCUCACUAUGUUUUGAGUCUCUGUUGAACUACUUAGAUCUCUCUGAUUCUUGUGACUUGGGGUUUUUUUGGGGUUUUACUUCUCUUGUCGAAGUAAUCGCUCAAUUUGGUGACUUAUUCUGAUUUAAUUUUCUUCUCAUCAAAAUAGAAAAGCUUUGAUUUGGUAAAUACCCAUAUAAAUUUUCCUCAUCCAACAAAAGGUUAAGAAAUUUUUAUGAUAUUCUCUAUGUUUCUUACUCUAAUUCUUUUGCUAUUGUAAUUGAAAUUUGUUGUAGAGAUUAAAUAUAGAACUACUGCUUAUCAAUUUUGUGUUGUUUUUUGGUGAUAACUUGUGAAGGUACCUCACUGUGGAGAGAAAUAAGCAGCUGUAUGUGAAGCUCUACCCAGAAGUCUCAACUGCAACAAGGGAGCAACCCCCUAUAGCUUCCUUCGUCAUCAAGCUCGUCUCCUCCGCCUCUCCGAAUCGCAAAACCCUAGUCCAUCCAGGUCGAAUUACUCUUCUUCUCUUUGUUCCACUCAAGGUUAUUAAAGGGCCGGAUUUGGUAUCGACAGAUAUAUUCAUUCGUUAAAUUCGCUCGCUAUUCAUCGACCAACUUUGGCCGGAUUCAAUGAUCUUAUUUGUUUCUAGCGAAAAGAAUGGCUAUGUGAAUAUCAUUUUCCAUAGAUAGAAGCAUCUAACCGGUCACCUAAUUCCGACCCUUAAAAUGUUGCAGGAGUUUGCGACAAGCAGCUAAAGAACAACGACGAUUUUGUAUGGGCCGUUGAUACCCUUCUCACUGGCAGAUUCGUAAUUGACGUCGAGUUUCUCGACUUAAAGAUUGCGCCGCCAACUGUAAGCGAUACUUACUCGAUCUCUUUUUUCACAUCAUCCGUGGUAACUAAGAUCAAAGAAUUUUUGUCCUGUACAUGUGGGGCUGGAUUCGUGGAUCAGGGGAUGACAUAAACCUAAAGUCUUGCAUCUUCAAGUCUUUAUCUGCAUAUAUCACAAAAAUAUCUCUAGUUGCUUCUCAGUACUAACAUCUAGAACAUACUUUUCGAGUGUUGUUGAAUAUGUCAUGAGAUCCUUACUGCUCCAUGCUCUGUAACUAUCGUCGCAUCAUCAGGAAAAAGAUGGUAUGGCCAUUGCAUAUUCAUAAAAAUUAAAGUCGUAGGGUACUGUUGAUUAUGAUGUAUUCACUCUGUCUCAAUAAGCAAUAAAACUAAAAUUGUCUGGUGCUGGGCAAAAAAGUGCUAAUUUGAUAGGUGUUCUCGACCUAAAAGAUGGUCGCAACUUCCUACUUACUACUAAUUACUUGCCAUGAUCCUAAUCAUUUGAUUCUAGCUUUAUUUUUUUUUGGAAAAAAAUAUAGCAAGUCUUUCUUACUAAUACUACUCUCCUAGAAAUAUCGUUGAGUGAGAAGCCCUCAAUUGUUGUAGCCUUUGCACCUCAUACUUUACACUUAACCACAGGGCGGAGAACCGAUCUCCAUCUGGACUGGUUACCACAUCGAGAAGCACUCCAAAUCGACCGCCCUAUCUGCCCUAGGCCGGAUGCUCACAGAAGCCAUCCACACCGACAUCACGAUCAAUGCCGCUGACGGAAGCAUCGCGGCCCACCGUGCCGUCCUCGCCUCGAGAUCCCCAGUCUUCCGGAGCAUGUUCUCGCACAACCUCAAAGAAAAGGAGCUGUCCACUGUCAACAUCUCCGACAUGUCCUUCGACGCCUGCCAGGCAUUCCUAAACUACAUAUACGGAAACUUUAAGCCCGACGAAUUCCUCACUCACCGCCUCGCCCUUCUCCGCGCCGCCGAUAAGUACGACAUCUCGGACCUCAAAGAGGCGUGCCACGAGAGCCUUCUCGAAGAUAUCGACACGAAGAAUGUGCUCGAGAGGCUUCAAACUGCGUAUCUUUACCAUCUACCAAAGCUGAAGAGCAGCUGCAUGAGGUUCCUGGUGCACUUCGGAAAGAUAUACGAAAUCCGCGAUGAUUUCAAUGCAUUUCUUCUUAAUGGUGAUAGAGAGCUCAUUGCAGAGAUCUUUCACGAGGUUCUCGCCGCGUGGAAGGGUCUCUAGGAAAGCGCCGAGAAGAAGAUAAAAUUUGUCGUUUGAUACUUUACUUUUGAGUUAUAGUUUGUGUGGAUUGUGGAUGCAUAAAUGGGUUAAAUGGGUUAAUCGGAAAAGAUAAUGUACAGGAUAUAUAUUGGUUCCAUUAAAAGUGUGUAUUCUUCAGACUAAGAAGCAUAUGUAUAAAUUUGAUUGGAAGGAACAAUUCAUUGAAUAUAUAGUAGAAAAGAUCAUUGUUUCUUGUGCUUCGUUGUGGAAAAUUAUUAUUAUUAUUAUUUUUUUCUUUUUAGAACUUGUUUAUGGAUCUGUUAAUUUAAACCAUCAUAUUAGAUUAGAAUUCAAUCUGAAAGAAGUACUUGCAGAUAAUGCUCCUAUAAUGACCCAUCAAAGAGUGACUCAAUAUCAAUCUAAUAAGGAUCUACGAUCUAAUCAGAAUUUUAAUCUACAAAUCUAGUCAAAUCAGAUUAAAAUGGUGGGAAAAGCAGGACAAUUGCUGGGGCUUUUGGAUUGCAUAGAUGAGAUCAGAGCUGCGAUCGCCGGCAGCAGCAGCAGCCUCUUCAGCAGCGGCAGCAGGGAUAAGUGCAUCAUUCGAAUAAUGGCGAAUGGAGCCCUCCUCUGACACCUCGCUCAUAUCCAAACCCUUCGGGAUCGGAAUCCGGCACUGGUUGGCCUCUCUCUAUGAAGAUAUGAUUUUGGCCUUUUCGGGUUUAGUUUUCUGCUUUAGGCGAACAAAGACGUGAUUUUGGAAGCGCACCCACAUGAAUUUUUGGCUGCUUAAUGCAUCUCUAAUUGCUCAUUGCUAGUAACAUCUAGAUCAUAUUUUUUGUGUAAACUGCGCAUCUUUCUUGUCUGCUGGGGCUGAAGAUUUACAGUUGCAUGAAGAUAUACGAAAUCCGCAACGAUUUCAAUGUGUUGUUUCUCCUGAAUGGUGACAAAGAGCUCAUUGCAGAGAUCUUUCAGUGAGUUCUCACAGCCUGGAAGGGUUUCAGUGUGCACCGGUUAGAAGAUGCAAUGUAUUAUGUGAUAAUUUAUUUCCUUGAGUAACAAUUUGUCUGGAUAUUCAUUAGAUUAUGAUUAAGAGAAGCAAUUUCGAGUAGAGCUACUAUAUUUUCGAAAGUAUAAAAGAGCCGAUAUUUUUUUUACUUGUUGGCUCUUAGAUCAAUCCCUUUGACUAUUUCUGAUAUUUGGAUUAAUAUUAUUACCUUAGGGGAUCACUCAAUCCUAAAAAAAACAACUCAAUUUUAAGGGGGACUACUACCGUCCCGACUCUACAAUUCUUGAUCCAAAAGCCAAAAACUUAGAAACACUAAUUCUCUUAUACUUUCGAUAGUAUAGCAGCUCUACACAACAAUUUAUUAGACACUUUCCUGAGCCUAACAUGUCCUGGCCCAGCAUAGGCCCAUUCAUAAUAGGCUUCCUAAUACUUUUUGGGCUCACCUAAUUUAGAUCCUUGACUCAAUGAUAUAUAUAUAUAUAACAUAAAAUAAAAAAAACUUUAGAAAAAUUAUCCAUCCAUUGUACAUAUUUUGGCAAAAUCAUUUAUUUCAAUUCAUCCCUAACGAAAUGAUCUUUUUGGAAAAGUGGCUUUUUUUUCUUAUUUUUUUCUGAAACAGAAAGUUCCCACUACUUUCUGUUACAAAAAGUCCCCUCCUCCCAUUUCAGUUUCGGGCUUAUAAAACUAAGAGACCACACACACACACACGCACACACCCCACUGUUACUUAACCUUACUCUUUAGGGAAAAAAGGAAAAAAAAAAGCUCAUUAAAAAUUAGGAGCAAUGGGUUCUAUUAUGAAGAGGAAGAAGAAGAGCUAUUUUCUCCUCCCUUUUCUCUUUCUUAUUUCCAUUUUGCUGCAGAAACCCACCUCUGCUGCUAAAAAGGUGUAGUGUUUUUUCAUCAUUGGCCUCUCAUUUUCUUAUGUAAAGUUACAUAAUUUCUAACCUGCAUGCUCUACUUAAAAAACCAAAACUUUUUUUUUGGGGGGGUGUUUUUUGCAGUCAUAUGUGGUUUACUUCGGAGGCCACACUCAUGGCUCUGAAGAAGCCUUUUUAGACUCCUAUGAGAGAGUCACAGAUGCCCAUUACGAAUUUUUGGGCUCAGUAUUAGGGAGGUAAGAGAUGACACACAAAAAAAGAAAAAAAGAAAAAAAAACUUUUUGGUUCAUCUCCUUCUUUGUUGAACUUCUUUUGAUCCUACUUAAUAACACAGCAAGGAGAAGGCCCAAGAUGCAAUCUUUUACUCGUACACAAAUUACAUCAAUGGCUUUGCUGCUUCCCUCGAAGAAGAAGAAGCAAUGGAGAUCUCAAGUGAGUAAAAGAGCACCAUUUUAUUUACAUCCCUCUGUUUUUUUUUUUUGUUUUACUCUGUUUUGAUUUUUUUUAAAAAAUAUAUAUAUAUAUUUGCAGAGGAUUCCAGUGUUAUAUCAGUGUUUCCAAAUAGAGGGCACAAAUUACACACAACUCGAUCCUGGGAUUUCCUUGGGCUGGAGAGGAAUGGGAGAGUGCCCCUCAACUCCAUUUGGAGCAAGGCCAAUUUUGGAGAAGAUGUUAUUAUUGGAAACCUUGAUACUGGUACUCAUCAACCUCACCACCUCCUUUUUGCGCACACACACACACACACACACACACACACACACACACAAACACUCACAUGGAAGUUGUUUCUGGAGUUUCCUUUUAUAUCUUUUUAAGUAAUAAUGUAUCAGAUCUUUGUUUGGUUAUUUAAUAGUGUAAAUUUUAUCUGUUCUUUUUCUUCUUUGUUACCUUCACAUAAUAUGGUGCAGCUUAACUCCACUGGCCAUUUUGGUCCUUAAAUUUUAGUUUACUGCACUAUAUGGUAGUAAUCUAAGUUUCGCAAUCUAACAUUAGUUGAAUAGAUAAUAAUCAAGCCGCUAAUGUGGCAAAUAAUGUGAUUUUUUAAUUAUUAUCACGGCAUCCAUUACUAUGCUAUUAUAUCAAUUUUGUUAUAGCAAUUUAGGAUGAUUAAGAUAAAAAUAUAUAACAAAUUAAAAUUCAAAGAUCACAAUAUCAUAUGUCUUUCAGUCUGGGAACUAAAAAUUAUCAUACAUCGUAUUUUAAAAUUACUCGUAAACCAUUUUUUUUAUUUGGUCAAUAGAUUGUUUCGAGUAAUAAUUUGUGAGAAAUAUGAAUUGUACACCCAAAAGUUGGGUAUAAAAUUAUACCAUUUCCGUUCAAAUGUUUAGAUGCUUUUAUUUUUUACUAUAAGACCGACCGUCUCUAGAGCAAGUGGUAAAGGGGUUGGUGGUUGGUAUCUGAGGUUUCAAGUUCGAAUUCUAGUUGAUUCACAUUUCCAGCUAAGUUUAUUUCUAAAUGAAAUAAACGAAGCGGAUAGCGUGCUAUCUAUCUCUCAAAAAAAAAUAUUUUUUACUAUAAAAUGUAAUACAAAAAAAAUUUGUCUGUAAAUAAAUAUGUACCAACUCAUUGGAUGUACAAUUAGCAUUGUUCACACCAUCCAUCACAAGCAACAAAGUUGGGCGCAUAUUGUUGUGUUUGAGUGAUCAGGUACAGUGGCUAUUUCCCACAUUAUCUAAAAGGCACGUUUUUGAGUUUCCAACAGUACACAUCCCAUAGCCUAGUGGGUUCAUUUCACAUUCCCAAAAGGAUAAGUUAUUUGAUCUAUUUUUCCCAGAAAAAAAAAAAAAAAGUUAUUCCAGAGGAUCAUAUAUUAAUAAAAUAUAUAAUCAAACACCACACCACACAUGCAUUUAAUUCCUAGUAUUACCGACCGUCUCUAGAGCAAAUGGUAAAGAACUUGAUGGUUGCCUGAUUGGUAUCCGAGACCCAAGUUCGAAUUCUAGUUGAUUUAUAUUUUCAGCUAAGUUUAUUUCUAAAUGAAAUAAACGAAGCAGGUGGUAGCAUGCUACCUAUCUCUCAAAAAAAAAAAUCCUAGUAUUUGCAGUAGUGUUUGAUUGUGAUAUUAUGAAAACACUUGGAUCAAACUGUAACUUAAUUAGUUCCCAUUAGCCCUGAAAAUUAAGAAAACAAGUAACUGGAACCAAGUGUUCUCUUUGACCAGAAAUUUUGUUUUCUUUUCAGUGUUAAUCAAGUUGUCCUUUUCACAAAGUUUUAAUAUUUUUGUUUGGUUUUUUAUGAAAUUUAAUUAAUUUUGUAGGUGUGUGGCCCGAGUCAGAGAGCUUCAGGGAGGAAGGCAUGGGGCCGAGCCCCUCGCAGUGGAGAGGAAUCUGUCAGGAUGAGCCUGAAAAAGGAGCUGGUUGCAACAGGUCCCUCCAUUUUGUACCCCCACCCUUUCAUUUUUUUUUUAUUUUUAUUUUUCACUUUGUCCCUUUCAAAUAUUAUUAUUUUUUUUUCAUUUUAGUCCACCUUAUUUUUGUCACGUUACUUGCUAUAAUCACAGUAUUUUGUAUAAAAACCAAAUAGUUAAGCGUAGUGUGACACACUAUAAGCUUAUAAAUUUAUAAUUUUUUUAUUUAAUUUACUGUAAGAAUAUGCGGCCAUUAUUAUUAAUCAUGAUAGUAAAUAAAGUGAUAUGUUUUUUUUACAAACUACAUGAUGGUACAAUAUAAUAAUUUACCUUUCGCUAAUCUAUAUUUUCACGUUCUCUAUUUUUUCUUAAGAAAAUCUCACUUUAGUUUAUUGUUUGGUGGUAGAUACUUAUGUGAAAUAAUAAUAAAAUAAAAUCACUAAACAGUUUAGUGUAAUUUUGCAGAGCUCGUGGUAAAAAAGUAAAAACAGGCAGAAUCAUAAAAAAAAAAAAAGCAAAUUAAAAUUUAUUCUAUGAUAAACGAUGAAGUACGUAGCAAAUUGAAGUUUACUGUAUUUUUAAUUCCUUUCUAUAUUUAUUAUUGUUUUCACCUGCAGGGCCAACUUGUUUUAAGUAAUCCACUAUACUUUUCUUUUUCCCUCGCUACAAUCACCAGUUGCUUUAUGAACAAUUAAAGUAAACAUAAUUAACAUAAUAUAUUACGUAGAAACACUUGUCACUUGUGUGAAAUAUUAUUUGGCAAAAUUAUUUGUUUUUAUUUAGUAAAAAAUAGAAAAUAACGCAUAGGAACACGUUUCCCAUCUCCCUCGUUGGGAAACGAAACGUCGAUUAUUAUUUUAAUGAAUUUAUAUUCACGCGAAACGACAUAAUUUCGAUAUGAUAAAAUUCUAUUUCGAGGCCCCGUUUCACGGGAAACCCGGCAAGUGGGCCCGGACUCAGAACAAUGACCCCGUUGACCGACCGUUACUAGCCCCAAUUUUCAAAAUUACUGUUCAUUGUUUCCCAUUUGAAUUCCAUCCGUUGAUCACGAAUCUAACGGUCCGCAGCACAUUUAUCAGGAAGUUGAUCGGAAUGAGGUACUUCAACAAGGGGUACCUGUCGGCGGUGGGCCCCGCCGUCUCCGCCGCCUCGGCCCGCGACACCGCCAAAGGCGGAGCCCCGAAUGCACGCGCCGCGGCGUACAAGGUCUGCUGGCCCCCGGUCAACGGCAGUGAGUGCUUCGACGCCGACAUCCUCGCGGCGUUCGAUGCCGCCAUCCACGACGGCGUGCACGUGCUCUCCGUGUCCCUUGGCGGGGGCCCCACCGACUACUUCAAGGACGGCGUGGCGAUCGGCUCGUUCCACGCCGUGAAGAACGGAGUGACUGUCGUUUGCUCGGCCGGCAACUCCGGGCCUGACCCGGGCUCGGUGUCGAACACCGCACCGUGGAUCAUAACCGUCGGGGCGAGCACGAUGGACCGCGAGUUCCCUGCCUAUCUUUUGCUAUCCAAUAAAAAGCAAAUCAAGGUUAUCUCUUUUUUUUUUCCUGAUUUAUCUAUACUUAAAUCAAUCAUUAAUUUUUCAAAAAUUUUGGAUUUUAGGGACAAAGCCUUUCUCCCUCGGGGCAUCCAGGAAACAAGUACUAUCCUAUAAUCCGCUCUGCACAAGCCAAAGCUGCAAAUGCGACAGAGGAUGAAGCGUAAGCAUUAAUUUAGAUUUCAAAUCGAAUAUCGAAAAGAUGAAUAAAAAGCAUAUUUGCCCCCUAUAAAUCCUUUUGUGAAUCUGCAGAGAUUUGUGCCUGCAAAAAUCUCUCGACCCCGCGAAGGCGGGGGGGAAGAUAGUCGUUUGCAUCCGCGGAAACAACGCGAGGGUGGAGAAAGGAGAGGUGGUUCGCGAGGCUGGCGGCGUCGGGAUGAUCCUCGCCAAUGACCAGGCAACGGGAAAUGAGCUCAUCGCAGACGCGCACGUUCUUCCCGCCACCCAUAUCUCCUAUUCCGACGGCCUCGCCCUUCUCUCCUACAUCAACUCCGCCAAGUAUGCUCUUCCCAACUCUAUCUUCGAACAAACAAAUGUUCUUCGCAAACUAUUUGCACUAUUUGAUUGUUAUGAUCCGUGAAUGGCUAAAUUUAUCCGCGUAUAACGAAACGAAGCAAACAAUUACGUGCAGGUCGGCAGCGGGGUACAUUACAAGCCCUAAAACCGAUAUCGGUACGAAACCGGCUCCUUUCAUGGCCGCUUUCUCUUCUCAGGGGCCAAACACUAUCACCCCUGAGAUCCUCAAGGUUCAUAUUUGACAAAUUUUGGUAUCUUUCUAUAAUCUUUUUCGACUUUUUAAGUUUUCAAAUUGCAUGAUCGAUACUUCUUCGCGUUGUGCAUAGCCUGAUAUUACAGCACCAGGGGUUAGUAUUCUCGCUGCGUACACCGGUGCAUCGGGGCCGACGGGAUUAGCCUUCGACGACCGCCGUGUGCUCUUCAAUUCGGAAUCAGGUACGUCGAUGUCGUGUCCCCACGUCUCGGGCAUUGCGGGCCUCCUCAAAGCUCUUCACCCGGAGUGGAGCCCUUCUGCAAUCAAGUCUGCUAUCAUGACUACAUGUGAGUUUUCGUAUCGCCUCGCCUUUUACUGCAGCAUCCCGAUCUUGUUUAAGAAUGUUAGUCACAAUCAAUUCGACGCGAUUUACUCAUCCAAGUAUGUUUGUCGCGAACCUUGUAAUGCAGCGAGAAUUCAAGACAACUUGAAAGAGCCGAUGAAGAACUCGUCCUUCUUGAAAGCCACUCCGUUCAGCUACGGCUCAGGCCAUGUCCAGCCGAACCGCGCCAUGGAUCCAGGCCUUGUUUACGACCUAGGCGCGAACGAUUACUUAAACUUCUUGUGCUCCUUGGGCUACAACUCGACCCAAAUCGCCACAUUCAGCGUCGAGCCCUACACAUGCCCUUCUAAACCUGCAAAGCUCGAAGACUUAAACUACCCCUCCAUCUCCAUCCCGAACCUCGCAGGCGAAAUUACUAUAACCAGAACGGUGAGAAAUGUCGGUACACCGGGAACGUACAGUGUUCGCGUCGAGGAGCCGCGCGGGGUUUUGGUGCUUGUGGAGCCAACAAGCCUUAAAUUCGACAAAGUGGAUGAGGAGAAGAGGUUCAAGGUCAUUUUCAAGGCCAAGGAGAGGAAUUUGAGAGGAGAGUAUGUGUUUGGUAGGAUUAUAUGGUCAGAUGGAAAGCACUUUGUGAGAAGCCCAAUUGUGGUGAAAACAGUGAUGCAUAAGCCUUAACUGGAACAUAAGUUUCUUCAUCUUACAUUGUGGAUUAGAUUAUCAAAAUAGGUCGUCGAUGAAUCGAUUUGACGAAAAAGUUCGGUUAGAUUUAGUUGAGAAGUGAAGAUGGAUGGAUGUAUUGAUCAUUUUGCAAAUUUUCAUGUUUGGAAUAAGAGCAUGAGUGAUUGCAAGUGUUCAGAGUAUGUUGUUGACUGAUAAAAACUGAUGCAUUAAUUUACAAAGCACAAAUUCUAGCAAUUUUCCAAUGACUUCUCAGCCAGCAUCAUUGCUGAGCUUGAAUAAUUACAGCACAAAUAACAUAAUCUAGGGAUUAUUAUUAUUCUGUUGUUUUAUGGCAUUAUUGUGGAACAUAAUCCUGUGAUUGAAACAUGUAAUUAAUGUGCUAAAAUGACAAACCAUUUGAUUGGAAUUUUCGAUAAACAUAAACUAUAUCUACACCAUGUACACAUCUCAUCCUGUUUAAUAACCAUGAACCACUGGUAUCUUCUUCCUGAUGAUCUAUUCAAUGGGUCAUAUCCUCAUGGCGAAAAGAGUAUGAAGCACAAAUAAGACUAGACAUAAUCUAACCGUCGAGCCAAGAAUGGACGGCCUGGAUCCGAUAUCGCCCUGAAAUGGAUGGUAUUGAGGGAUCAUUGUGCAGAUAGAGACCAUGGAAAGGCACAAAUGGCUGUAAUAUGUACUCAUGGUUUAGACUUGCUUUCGUCGCUAAAUCAUCUCCAUCUAUUCAUAUUGUGCCGAUUCCAUCCUGUUGAAGUUCAGACAAUGACAAAAUUGGCUCGAUUUCCAGCGGCAACCCUCUUUGGAACUCGACAUAGGGAUAAGCCAUCGGUGUGUCUUCACCUUCAAUUCGCCAUCUACAACGGGACAAAUUUUACAUCUGAUCAAUGUUUUAGAGCAACAGAGAUUUGUUCUUAUGAUACAUCAUUGUUGAUUCACUACGGUUGGUCCACCUAUAUGAAAAACUGGAUCCAGCUAUGAUUUUUCUUUGGUGUCAUAUUUUUUGUCACUUUUAAGCAACAAACACGGGGUUAAUUCCUCGAUUUCGAUUUCAUUUUCAUGGUUUCGGUUACAGCAAUUUAGUCCUGAAAUUUGUUUUGACAGCGCCACAAAAUUCUCCGAUUGGUGAUGAAAUUUAAAUUGGAGGUCAAACAUCGAGAACUAAAAUUGUUAAAACCGAAACUCUGCCGAUGAAAUUCAAAUCUGGAUUGAACUCGAGGGACUAAAUUUCUAGCUGACCCAACAGAUAUCAUGGUCUAUAAAGGGGAAGGAGUGUGACUGAAAACUAUAAUUUCUUUUUUUUUAUAUAUAUAAACUGAAAUUGAAAAUUGUAUGUUAUUUACCUGAAGUUGAGUACAAGGUGGUGGAGGAAAAAAGCAGUCUCUAAUUUCGCAAGUUCAGAUCCUGGGCAGAGCCUUGGUCCACCACCAAAUGGAAUAUGUUUCUUGCAUGUUGCUUGGUUUGGGCCCUAUCCAUCAAUUAGAGAAAGAAACAUUUGUUUCUACUUAAAUGAGAGCUUAAAAGCAUAGCUAAAGAUGCUAACUUUUGCAGAAAGGUGACAUAAUUAGGACUACAGGGGUGGGGGGAAAGGAAAAAGAAGAAAAAAAAGGUAAUGAGCCUGAGUGAGUUGGCAUCUGGAAAACCAAGUGUUACACAUAAUUAUAGCAAAGUUAAAGUUUCACCAAGGAUUGAAAGAAAAGGAUCCUUCAUAUAUGACACAUUAAAUUAUUCAGAGGUUCAUGUAAUGAUCAAGGGGCAACAAAAUUUGCUUAUUUCUGAGUACCACUUUNAAAUAUAUGUUAUAUUAGAUUCUAGAUUAGAUUAGAUUUUGACUAGAUUUUAUAGAUUAGAUUAGGUAAUUCUAGAUUAGAUUAGAUUAAAUUCUAGUAUAGAGAAAAUUAGAAUCAUUAGAUACAUACACACAAUAAAAGAAAUAUAUAUAUAAAAAAAGCCUAGAUACCUACAAAUAAAAAUCUCAUGACUGAGACAAUUUCUUCAUGAAACAACCAAUUACCUCCCAUCUGCUAGGUUGAAACUCUGUGGCAUUUCCAUGAAGAGAUGGGUCCAAAUGUACUGCACUGAAAACAGGCAGCACCUUCCAACCAGAUGGAAUCAGAUAAUCUGCCAAACCCCAGAAAAAAAAGCUAUAUUAGAACUAAUACUAGAGUGUAAUAAUUCAAUGCAUGUAUGGUCAUGUGGAGAGCAUGAAAAAAGAAAAAGGAUUGCAAUUAAGCCUCAAAGUGGAAGUGCACCUUUGUAUCUGACAUCCUUGAGGGCCUUUCUGUGAACAAACUUAACAAUGUUUCCACAUCUCAAAGCCUCACUAAUCACCUGAGAGGGGUAAAAUCAUGCCACAUCAUUCACAACCAAGCUAAUUAAUUUAUCUUAGAAAAUUUUAAGUGAGAAACAAAAACAAAAAUCUUGUCUCCCUCAUCUUACAUAUUGAGUAAAUUCCAUUUUCUUAUAAUCCUCUGAAUUCAAGUGUUCACCCUCUUGCUUGCUGGCUCUGAUACUCUGAUGCUCACUCUGAGAAAAUAAAGAGAUAGAAAAGUAAACAAUUCUCAGCUUUGUCACAUAAUUAGAAAAAAAAAAAAAGUACCUUGAAAAUAUAUAAAAUAAAUGCACCUUGAGCUUUUCUAGAGAUUUUGUGGACUGUGCAAGAAAAUAUAUAGCCAUGGAAAUCAAAAGUGAGGUGGUCUCAUAGCCACCCAAUAGGGAGUCCAACACAAAGCUGAUUUUCUCCUCCUCAGAUAGCUCAGUAUUGGACAGAAGCACAUCAAGAAAAUCACCCCUGGUGUUCAAGUCCCCUCCUUUCCUUCUCCUCUCUUCAACUAUGGCCUUCACAGUGAGUGAGAUCCUAGCUCUAGCCUGUUAAAUCAGGAGAGAGAGAGAGAGAGAGAGAGAGAGAGAGAGAGAGACUAAGAUGCAGUGCACAAGAGACAAUGAGGAAUUUUAGUUUCAAUAAUCACCUGAACUGCCCUUGCAUAGGGGGUUCCUGGGAUGUAGAGAGGGAAAGAGAUGAGGCCCUUCAUGAAGGUGAGAAAAUCUUCAAGGAUCCUGGCAGUUUGGGGCUCAUCUGGUGACAGGCCAAGCACUUGCUUCACUAUCACACUGAAGGUGAACUGUUGAGCCAAAGCAAAAGUACCAUUCAAUGAACAGAUACAUUGCACCUGAUUAAACUCUACUACCUGCCAAAAAUUUACUACACGCAAGGCAAACUGCAGUGAGUUUCCAUGUUUUAGGGGAUCAUGUUUUGCUCUGACCUUUCUAGCCUCCUCACAGAAAAGGACUCUCUUUUUGUCUCUCCAUGAGGCUAUGAUGUGAAGUGCUGUUUUCUCCGUGUCAUGUAGGAACCCAGCUUUUGACUUGGAUGAGGUGACAAGGGUGAGGGCCAAGUUCCUGAGCCUCUUGUGGGUGUCACCCACCACCACUAUCAUGGAGGAUUUACCAAGGAUUCCAUGGAUGGGCCUGGGGUAGCUGCACUGGAAGAGCCUCUCCUCAUUUUGGAGGAUGAAAUGGUUGAGUUCUUGGUCACAUGACACUAUUGUUGGGGUGCAGAAGAGAUGUGACUUGAACACUUUGCCAUACCUGCAUAUUGAAAUGCGGACCAGUUUCAUUAGUAUGUGCAUAUAUUUCUUCAGAGCCAUUUACUUAUCUUUUAAGUCAUAUUUAUUGUUUCUGUAUUUGAGCAUGUAAUUUUCUUGGUUUUAUGUGCUAAUGCUUGGAGGGCGCACACACACACACACAAACACACACACACACACACACAGAGAAAGAGAAGGCAGACUAGAUGGAGUUUCUUAGCCCGCAAAAGAAAACAACAAAAUACUUUAUUCUUUGAAGUAAUUCUUCUGCUUACACAUAUUAGACCUCCAGAUAAUAAGCUUUCUUUGCAAUAUAAAGUAAGAAAUAUAUAGAUGAUAUCAGAAAGGACCAGUGGAAAAGCUGAGAACACCGUACUAUUUAUUAUACUUUGCCAACCUUUACUUCCUUUCCAAUUUACAGUAAGAUCUCACUCAAUGGAAGGUAAGGUAAGAAGAAAAAAGACCAAAAAAAUGCCAAUAUUUAAAAAACUAUUACUUUAGAGAGAGAGAGAGAAAGAGAGAGAGGGAGAGAUGCAGGCAUGCAACUGCAUGAAAUAAUGAGUUACUUGUAGAGACAAAAAUAUGGAGAGAGAGAGAGAGAGAGAGAGAGAGAGAGAAGAUGAUAAAAGAUUACCUGGAACAAUGCUCCUCUAAGAAGCUCCCAAGGGUGUUUGAUGCAUGUGGUCUCAAAAACCUCAAGGUUUCACCAACCAAGGGCCACCCAAAGCUGCCCCUUGGAGCUGAUCUAAGGUUCAAGACCAAAGGGAGAAAAUGGUCCAAAACCAAACCCAGGAAGAGCCCAAUCAAUCCCACCAAAGCAGUGUGGAGAAACCCAGAUCCCACCAUCAUACACCCCCACUACUCCUCCAACUCUCAUCUCAAAAGGCCACCAACUAUAAGGGCCUGCCUCUCUACUUCUCUCUCUCUCUCUCCUCUCCUCUCUCUCUCUCUCUCUCUCUAUUGUGAUUUGUGAAUGGAGGAGAGGGAGGUUUCUAUAUAUCAACACCUUGUGAGUAAAGCAAGUGAGGGCUUUUGGCAGUUUAUUACUGUUGGGUGAUAAAGAAAUUUUAAAAAAAAAAAAUUAAGGAAAAAAAAGAAAGAAAAGAGCUUAGCUUUUAUCAGAGCCUAGGAAAUGGUUCAAAGCUAGGCUAGCAUCUAGCCUUCUUAUCGCUAAGGGCAGUGUCACACACAUGUAGGGAAUUGGUGGUCUAAUAUUUUAGAAUGAGUGCUGCAACUGAUAUAUAUAUAUAUAUAUAUAAAUAUAAUAUUACAGGGUUACAUGUAUAAUUGAAUCCCUAUAAAUACGUGGAAGAUUGCCCUUCAUAAUCUAAAUAACUGCACCACAUGCCAUUUCAUGAGAGUCAUGAAUAUCACAAGAUUUAAAGAAGCUUUAGAUUGCGUAUGCUUGGGGAAUGGAGGGGGAUAAGGGGUUAUCCCUCUUAUUUCUUUUUUUUUUUUUUUUUGAGAAAAUCCCCCACUUAUUUCCGAACACAAAAAAACAAGGUGAAAUAAACUGUUGAGAAAUGGGAUAGCUAUAUUGUGUGGGAAACUGGGAAUAAGGAUGGGGACAGCUGUUUCCAUCCUUAUUUAAUAUUUAUAAAAUUUUAAAUUUUAAAUUUUAAAUUUUAAAAUUUUAUAAUUUAUAAUCUUAAAAUUAAAAUUUUUAAUUUUUAAAAUUUAAAAUUUUGAAUGUAAAAUUUUAAAUUUUAAAUUCAAAUAUAAUAUAAGGGGCAAUAUCGAGCACAAAAAAUUUCUUCUUAUUCCAUCUUAUCUAUCCAAACGGUAUUUUUUAAAUUUUUUAGAACAACUUAAUUUUCAUCCAAUCGCAAAAUUGGUCUAUUCCAGCCUUAUACUUGAACUUAUACACAUCACUGUAAUAGACAGUUCUUGCUUAUACUUGAACCAAACGUAGCCUUAUAAUACUACAAUUGUUUUUUUAAAAAAAUUCCAGAAACAGAAUUUGGGUAAGAUAAGAUAAUUUGAUUAAAUUUUCAUUUAUUUGCUUGAUAAUUUCAUCACUUUUUUUCGCUUCUUAAUUUAUCUCAGCAUGUAAUUCAUUUUUCCACUUUAUUUAAGUAGAAUAUUUUUUAAAAAAACUUUCAUACUUUCAGUAAGAGUGAUCUACAUAUGUUUCGAGAUAAAGAAUAUAAAUAAAAAUACAAAUUAUCGAGCAAAAAAAAUUAUCUCGAUCGAACCGUCUGAAUUUGAUCAGAUUCAUUCAAUAACAUCACUUAUAUUUCCAUUGAAGCAUAGUUGGACCCAUUUGGUUACUUUGUAAUUUACUCCACAAGGGAGGCGAAACAAGUAAUUAAGGAGAGGCACAUAAUAUUAAUCUUUUCUAACGUGUGGAGCUCGGACAAAGUUCCAACCCCUCCUCCCCUACUUACGUGGUAAGAAAUAAAUAAACUGAAAACAAUAUGACGAAUAAAUUAAUACAUUACACUAAUCUCCAAUUUAUAUGUGUGUGUAUAUAUAUAUAUAUAUAUAUAUAUAUACACACACACACACACGAGGAAUUCUACACUGUCACACUUGUACCACGUCAUCAAUAACAAGCCAAUCACAUUCCUUCUUUUUAAACAAAAGUAUAAUAAAAAUAUUUUUUUACAAUCAUGAUGGGACAUAUAUUUUUAAAAGGACUAAUUUGAUUGGUUUGUUACACCACGUCACUAAUAUACCCGUUGCAUUCUAGAAUUUUUCCACACACACGCAUAAUUCGAUAUAUAUAUAUAUAUAUAUAUAGAGUAAAACUCUAUAUAUAUAUAUACACACACACACACACGCAUAAUUCUCUAAACAGGUCAGUAGUGGACACUUUUUAUUAUUUAAGUAGCCGCACGAGUUGCAGCGAUGCAGUACAGAUAGGUCCACCUUAGCCUCAUCGAGGGGGCUGUUCACUUUUAUAUAUCCUAAGCUCCCUCUCUUUAUUCCUCUCUAUUAAUUAAUUAAUAAUUUAGAAGUGUUGAUCCCUCUCUCUCUCUCUCUCUCUCUCUCCUGUUUAAAAACAUUAUAAUUAAAGUACCAUCAUUUAAUUUAUUUGUUACUUUUGAUUUAACUCUUAACUAACCUAGAGAGAGAGAGAUUACCCAAAGCUAAUUGGGUUAGAGUGUACUAUGCACGAUAGGGUGUUGUUAUUGAUUAUUAUUGUAUCAUAUCCACAAUAGACGUUCGAGCGACCGUUAGGAUGAUCACGUACAAAUUCCAAUGGCCUGUUUGUGUAUUAAAACAAGUUAUCUUAUGGUACUUAUGCUGAACCGUAGCUUUUGUUUGUGUACAAAAUAAUUCAAUAGAAAGAGAGAGAAAGAGAGAUUACCAAAAGCUAAUUGGGUUAGAGUGUACGAUGCAUAAUAGGGUGUUGUUAUUGAUUAUCGUUGUAUCAAAUCCACAAUCGACGUAUGAGCAGGCAUUAGGAUGAUAAUGGACAAAUUUCAAUGACCUGUUUGCAUAUCAAAACAAGUUAUUUUAUGGUACUUAUGUUGAACAGUAGCUUUUGUUUGUGUACAAAAUAAUUCAAUUACCAUACAAAAAAAGGUGUUUGAGAGCUCUUAUAGUUAAGGAAAGGAAAGGAAAGGAGUACGUAGCACACAAACUAGAGGUUUGUUAAAGGAGGCCUUUGGAUAAAAUCGAUGAACUUCAUUAUAUUACUAAAUUUGCAAUUUACACCUAGAGAUAUGUAUUGCAUAACCAAACUUUAUAAGUAUAUAUGUUUGGUGACCUUAUUAUUGCACAUGCUCAUUCACAUAGUAAUUAGGGUGAGAACUUUCGUGUGGAAACUGAAUUUUGCUCUCCAUAGAAUUACGUACGGGUUGCAGUUGUGUAAAGCAAUUCUCUUAAAAGCGCCUCAUAUGAAGAUGACUUAAUUAAAUGCACUUAUUGUAUUGAGUUACACGAGAUGAUAAAGCCCUAGCUAGCUAUCAAAGUAGUGUUAAAAUAAAAGUUAUUGAUCCCAUAAAUGUUUUUUACUACGUAAAAAAGUGCAAUGAUAGUGGUACAUUUCACAACAACAAUAAGUAGGCUUACGAGUAACAUUUUUCUUCGAAAGAAUUUGCAAAGCAAUCAAAAACAAUUAUACAAUAAGCACACAUAAUUUACCACCAAAUUAAUAGGGUAUCAAUUAUAAAUACGUAUAAUUAGUCGUCAUGUAUAGCAUAUAUAAUUACUACACUUUAAUAAGCAUAAAUUUUUUUAUACUCAUAAAGCAUUUCUGAUGAUAAAUCUUUCGAAUCAAUAAUUCUUACCGUUAAAUAUAUCUUCUUUUUUAAUCAUCUUUUUAAGAGAUUUUGCCAUUAAAGAACCUAAGAGGAGAUAGUUGGUGAUCAGUGGGAUUCCUAGAGGGGAUACCUUUUCCUUAGGGCUCGAAGCUAUAAAAAAGAUAAACUUUUUUUUGGGGAUUGCUAAAGGUGGUGGCCCCCUUAGACCUAAUAGCUAUUAAGUUCUGCCCUCAUCCAAAAGGCAGUUCCUUACAAUAAUCUUUGAAUGAAGGAGGUAGCUCGCUAUCUCGUUCUUAAAAAAGAACAAUCUCCAGAAAAUUUAUCAUUUAUACAGCUUUGACUCUAAAGUCCUGUUUGGUUCGAAGUAUAAGCGAAGAUAACAAAAGUUAUUCCUGCUAUUCUGCCAAAAAUGAUGAUUUUUAGCUUGAAUAUUUUAGCCCGGUCAAACCAUGUUAUUUCCGGCUAUUCCGGAAUAGCUUGAGAUUUGCUAUUCCACCAUUUUGAUAGAAUAGUGCUAUUCUAAUAUUUAAUUUCAAACUUUAUUAAAAUUAUAAAUUGAAUUAAAUCUAAAUUAUAUAAAUAUAAUAUAUUAUAUAUUAUAAUAUAUUAUUCUUAUUAUAAAAUUAUCAAUUGUACUAUAUUAAUACAUAUUAUUUUAAUUUAAAUAUUAUUUUAAGUCUAAUUAAAUUGAAAAUUUUAAUUUUAAGUUCUUUUGAUAGCAAAGUGUAUAAUAUCAAAGUAUUAUAACAUUUAAUUUAAAAAUAAUUAAAUAAUUUAUGUUGCAUUUUGUAAUGUAGAUAAAAUUUUAACAUUGAAAAAUAAUUUAUGAAUAUGAAAAUAACGGUACGUAUAAAAAAUGGAUUAAUUUCAUAUACAUUCCUAUAAACAUAAUGAAUUACAAAUAUAUCCUACAAAGAUCAAUUUUUAUAUGUUGUCCGUACAAAAGUUAACCAUAGAUUAAAUACUUAAUCCUAAUUAGUUAAUGAGGUAAAAUUGAUAUUUUUACCCUUUUUUAAUUAAUAGUUGAUACUUUGGGAGGGAUAUAUUUGUGAUGGUGAAAAGAUCAUUUUACUUAUAAAAUAAACGAUGUUUUAACCGUAAGAAACUAGAAUAACAUAUUUGAAAAUAUUAUAAUUUUUUAGAAAUAAUAUAUAAAAAUUAAAUUUUAUAAUGAUCUAUUUGUAAUUUAUUAUAUUUGUAAGGGCGAGUAUGAAAUUAAUCCUAGCUUAAUAAGUUUGGUGCAUCCAUGUCACGGUCUCAAUCAGAUACCGUUGAUUUGACUUGCGCUUGGACCGUGUCAUACGUAAACUUUGACCGGUUUGCGACCUUCGGUGUGGUAACGCUGAUUUUAUUUUAUUUUUUAUUUUAUUAUAUCACUAUCGUAGAGAAUGACAUGUGAGGCCCGAACGAGUCGCACUCACCAGGUUUAGUUUUUUUUUUUUUUUUUUAAAGAAAAAAGGUUUUUUAUUAGAGGAUUUUUGGGGAUUUUGUGGGACAAUAUAAUAAGAGAAGCGAAAGGGAGAAAAAGUGGGCCCCUUUUCGGCCCCUCACGAGUCAAAGUACUUAAUUGCAAAAUCCAUGCUUUCUUGGGCUCUUCAAAUUCUCGGUCUCAACUCCCAAAGACACCAAUUAUCAUUUAAUUUUUUUUAUUUUUACCAGGCAAAACUUUAAGAAAUGUACAGUUAAAAAAAUAAUGAUCUUCUAAAAUUAAGUAAAUAAUUAGUUGAAUAGUAUAAUUUAACGAAUACAAAUAAUUAAAGAAUAAAUCUAAAAAUGCAAAAAAUUGAGUAGUAUUAAGCGCUAAAUGCUAUUAGAAGCAAUAUAGUCGGACUCUAUAUAUAAAAUUGGGGCAAUUUCAUAGAUACCCCUUCCAAAGCUUAAAAUAUCAUGUAUGCCAUUCUAAAGUUUAAAAUAUCACAUAUACCCCUGUAAACAUCGAAAAUUAAUAUCAAUACCCCUACUAUUAGUUGUUUUAAUUUUACCAUAGUUAUUAAAUGAUUAAAGAUGGGUUAACUUUUAAUAUGACCAGUUUACCCUCAGCUCCCUUAAGUAAAAAUGUAUGGAGACCCCCUCAACUAUAUGUCCUUUUAAAACAGCUUUCUCAACUUUUAUAUUUUAGUUGACAUUCCAUUAAUUUUUAGUUUUUAAAAUAUUAACUAAUUUUAGUACAUGGAAAAUGAGAAUUUUGUCAAGUUUUUUUUGAUGAUUUCACUAAAUUUAGUGGCGCUAUUUAUAUUUUUAGCAAAUAAAUAACUAUGUAUAAAAAUUUAAAUAAAAAACAAAGUUGAGGAUUUUUUUCGAUCUUUCUUUAAUCUUGGAAGCUUCCAAAAUAUUUUAACCAAAAUUAUUCACGAUAAUUUUAUCUGUAUUAAAUGCAUUAAAAAACUGAAAUAUAAUAUAUUUUAGCUUUUGAACAAAACUCUCUCUCUUUUUUUUCAAUCGACAAAAAAAAUGCAUGCAUAUAGUUUUGUGAUUUAUUUUUUGCUUAAGAUAGAAAAAAAUUAAAUCUACCAUUUAUUUUAAAAUUACUAUUACUUGAUUAGGAAUGCGAAUUGAUAUAGGUAUAUCUGAAUCAAUUUUGAAUGGAUACUUAAUUGAUGCUGAGUAGAGAUAGUUUCAGUUAUAAGUGCAAAAAAAAAAGUCUCAUUAUAUUCUAAUUCAAUUAUGAUUGAUCUAUAAUCCAAACUUAACUUGAACUGAAAUCCGAAGUCAAAAACAAAACCAAAUUAUAUAAAACAUAUUAUAUAUAAAAUAUAUUUUUUAUAUAUUUUUAAUAAAUAAUAUAUAUUAAUAAUUUAGUUUAAUAUUAAUAUAUUAAAUUAUCAAAUUUACAUUUAUUGAAAUACCUAUUAGUAAUUUAACUAUGAUAAGAAAUAAAGGGUAAAAAUGCAUUUUAAAAUUUAACCCAUUUUCAUAUGAGUACUACGGACUUUAACUUAGUGGAGGGUAUGUAUGAUAAUUUUUUUAUUAUUGGAGGGUAUUUAUGUAUAUUAUCACAUUUUAGAAGAUAUUGAUGAAUUAAUGGUUUCCAUAAGGAUCUAUGAAAUUAUCCCUUAAUAAAUUCAAACCAGUAUACUUUAAUAGUUUUAUUAUCUAAUUUUUUAUUCUUGAAUUAUUACUAUGUUACGCGACCAACUACUAAACUAGGCAUCCAAUAAUCACAAAGAUGAUAAAACAUUAUAUUAAUAAUAUUUCAGGACAGUUCUAUAUAAUAUAUAUAUAUAUAUAUAUAUAUAUAUAUAUAUAAAAUUCAGCUACUAUCUUUUUAAGAAGACGGAUGACUCUAUCUUUCUAAAUCAUUAUAGAUGAUACAAAUUUCGAAUUGAUGAUCGAACCAUUAAAGUUGAUCUAAAAUAUUUGAAAUGUCUAUAAACUAAAUUUUAUAAAUUUUAAAAAUUAUCUUCGUAGUGAUCAAAGGAUCACAAAAUCGAUAAUUUUUAACGGCUUAUAUCAGCAUUUACUUAUUUAAUGGUGUAAAACAAUCCAAAUGACUUGAAUUUUUUAUAGAUUUUUUUUUUAUUAUUUAGAUAAUAUUUGAUAACUAACUCCAGCCAUGAAUUGCAAAAGUCUAAUAUCUAUUUUCACAAGCUUUGUUCAUUUUUUACCGUUCAUUUUUCAACUCUUUAAUGAAUUGGAUAACGAAUUUUAAAAUUUAUAAAAUUUAGUUUCUAAACGUUAUAAAUAUUCUAGAUAAACUUUAACUAUUUCGAUCAUUGAUUCAAAAUUUUAAUCAUCUAAAACGAUUUGGAAGGAUGAAAACUUUCAUCUUUCUUUAAAAAAAUAGUACUAGACACACACACUCUCUCUCUCUAUAUAUAUUAUAGAUAAUUAAUAUAUGAUUUUUUUUUUUUAGAGAUAGACAGCAUGCUAUCCAUUUUGUUUAUUUUAUGUAAAAAUAAACUUAGCUAGAAAUAUGAAUCAACUAGAAUUCACACUUGGGAUCUCGAAUAUCAACUACAGUAACCCGUGAGUUAUAUGUUGCAGUGAAAAAUUUGUGGUGUGUUUUACGAGGUGGGCCAUCUCAGGAAAGAGUUCCUUUUUAUGUGUCUUUGAGCUCUUCGAGAUGGCACGAGGCCCCGUCAGAGUUGAGCCCCAACCCCCUCUCUCUCUCUCUCUCUCUCUCUCUCUCUCUCUCUCUCUCUCUCUUAUAUUUAUACAUAUUUAUUUAUUUAAAAUAUAUAUGUAAAAAUUAUCUGAAAUAAAAAUUACUUACUAUACUGCUAAAUGAAGUAUUUUUUAGCGAGAAAAUUUUAUUCCGGUCAAAUUUUAUUGUUUCCUAUUAUUUUAGGAUAAAUUGGCGUAAAUGAUUUCACUCUUUGGAUGAAAUAGUAUUAUUUCAGAAUUUAAUUACAUGCUUUAUUAAAAUUAUAAAUUAAAUUAAAAUAAAUUAUAUAGACUUGACAUAUUACAUAUUAUAAUAAAUUAUUUUUAUUAUAAAAGUUAUUAAUUUGCACAGUAUUAAUGCAUAAUAGUUGUAUUCAAUUUAAAUUUUAGUAAUUCCUUAAAAAAAUUAUAAUAAAAUUAUUUUUAUAACCAAUACUUUUAUUAAAUUAUAAUUUAUAUUAAAAUCAAUAAUUAUUUUGUUUUACUAUUCUCUGCUAGUCUAUAAAAUUAACCAAGCGCACUUUUAAUUAUUUCUGAAAAUAGCGAUAUUAUAAACCAAAUAUAACUAUUUUUUUAUUCUUUACUCUUUCAAAAUAAUAAAUAAUUUUAAAAAUUAAAUAAAAUUAUAUUAAUCAUUUUAAUUCUCAAUAUUUAUUAUUUUCCAACCAAACGGAACCUAAAAAGGUCAGAAGAGAGAGAGAAAAUGAGGAGGAAGUUUACUAUAUCAUAAUUGCACCACAUCAGCAAUAACAAUACAAUUACAUAUUUUCUUUAAAAAAUAUAUAAUAAAAAUAUUUUUUUAUAAUUAUGAUGUGACAGAUUAACUCAAAAAAGCUAUUUAAUUGGUUGAAAACAUCACAACAUCUUCUAUUAACCUAUAUAAAUUCCCAAUAAUUUUGCCACAUGGCAAGUUUUCCUCCAUCCUCACUAAUCCUUUUUUUUUGAAUUAAUCUUUAAUUUGGCUUUUCCCCUCCCCUCCUCUCUAUUCAAUAACCUAUAAUUAAUGUGCUUUUUAAUUUAUACGUUUAGUUUUUUCUCUUCAAUAUUAGUCAUUUACUCUUCCUCAAAUAAUUUCUAACAUGAAAAAUUAAAAAAGGAGAAGAUAAAUAGUUACUACAUUCAAAUCUAGAGAUUAGAGAAGAGUAAGGGAGUCCUCCAAGCCUUCGGAUUUAGGGGUAGGUUUGGGAAACGAAAAUCCUAAACCUAAUUUUUCUUUUCUUUAUUUUAAUCGCAAAUUCUUACUAAGUAUCAAUUUAGAAUUAAUUUAUUUACAUUAUUUUUUAUAUAGUGGUUGUAUCAAUCAAGGAUUUGAUUUAUGUGCAUUAUUUUGAUUAAUUUAGAUGUCAGUUUUAAUUUUAUAAUUGAUGUGGUAGUUCUAACCCGCAACUUCUGAUCAUUCCAUAUCCAAAAGAGUGCAAAAUCUUGCAAAUUUCUAUGAGAUUUUCAUCACCAUUGUCGUCAUUAUCGCAACAUUAUCAUCUCUAUCUUCAUACGACCUUUUGUAAGUUUUUUUAGUGAUGAUUCUAGACAUUUAUCGAUUUUCAAUGAUCAUAUUAGUUAGCUCAAUUCAUACAUUUUUCUAUCCAAAAAAUAAAACACACUUGAAAUUUUAUUUUCCAAACUCUUUUCUUCUUCCUCUUCAAUAUUUUUUAUUUUUUCUUCUAUUAUUUAUCCGCCGCAUCGCGCAGGUUACUACACUAGUAAAUAUAAUUAAGUGAUUCAUUUUAGAUUUUUUUUUUUUUUUUUAACAGAAGGAGAGCCAUGCCCUAAUGCUCCCAACGUGGUGAUAUUCAUUUCAAGAGUGCACGAGGGGCGCAUUCAAAGCUUUCCCAUGGAUUUUUCCUGCAUACAUAUAUGCCCCUAGUCUAUGUAGUCUCUGGAGAUGUAGUACACUAGUACUAUAUGAUACAGCGAAGGGAAAGCCAUGUUAAAAAAGCUUGGCCCCACAUGACCAAGACGAAGGGUUCAAUUAUAACUCCUUUUUUGGGGUUCUUCAUAAGGUACCCAAAACUAUAUAGAGAUAUCACUAAUUAAUAGUGAAUCACCUUGCAAAUUAAUUAAUUUGAGAUUUUUAAUUAAUUAAAGGUCCUCUAAUAUAAGAUAGUUAUACAUACACAUAGGUUGAAGAGGUUAGAACAACAGUGCUAUAGUUAUUUGUCAUAUAAUUAAUUUUUAUGUUAGCUCCUAGCUAGUGUAUAUAUGUCUUAGUAAAUUGCCAUUAGUUUUAUUAAAAAUGCAUUCACGCACACUUUUAGCUGGAAAUCGAAUUCAAACAUCGAAUUUCUUAGCUAGCGCGAGGGUACUGAUCACGUAACAACCGCGAUAAGCACUAACGGUAUUAUGAAAAUUUUGAGAAGUUAAUUAAUUAUAAACUACCAUUUAUUAUGUUUAUAAAAAGGCAUGAUACAUCAAUUGUAUUUGGAGAUACAUUUUGAGGUGCUCAUAGUAAGUUGGUGGGUGGAGACAUGUGGAUAUGCGCAUGGGAGCAAAUGUACUUAUGCUUCUCCAUGGUCUCUCGGAAGCUUUUGACUCACUUAUUGGCAUCGAUCUCCAUGCAAACACACACACACACACACACACACACACACACACACACACGCACACAUGUAUAUACAACACCCACCAAUUAAUUAAGUACUCUCACAUCCUCCUUGUUCCCUUUUCAAAACAUAUAUAUAACUUUUUUAUAAUCGGAGAUAUAUAAAAGAUGAAAAAAGAAUUAAUAAUUUUGAUUUGUGUACACUAUGAAAAGUAUAUAUUUUUAUCUAUAAGUUUAUGUUUUUGGGUUGAUUAGAAUCUUUCUUAAAAAAUAAUCUUUAUUAAUUGUUAAUUGCUUCUCACCUACUAAUUAACUAGCUAGAUUCUGAGCAAUUAAUUAAUUUUUUUUUUGUUAUUAAUAACAUGAUCCUUUUUAAAUGUGCGUCGUAUAUACUCUCCUUCGUAUAAAAUAAAGUUAAUUAAUAUACGCGUCUUCUACUUGCCAUAUUGGAUAUAUAUUUUAGGACCGCAUGAACAGCUCCAUGUGCCCAAGAUUAUGAACUCAACUUCAAGGCGAAGGCUUCGUUGUGGCUUUUCAUCUGAGGCCACAACUAAUUAAUUUACACUAUUAAUAUGUUCAUGCUACUAAUUGAUCGAGGCUAAACCUAUAGAUCAUGUGUGUGUGUGUGUAUAUAUAUAUAUAUAUAUAUAUAUAUAGAGCAGGACUGCUGUGCUUUCAGGAGCACGGAGGCUUCCGUGCUCCUGAGCCGUUUUCGAUAAUGGAAUUUUCGAAUCGACGAUCGGCUCCGUUAGACUUGAUCUAGCGCAUUUGAAGUUUCUAGAAAAUAAUUUUUGCGAUUUUUCGAUAUCAUUUACCUAGUGAUCGAAAGGAUUCAAAAUCCAUAAUUUUUAAUGGUUGAUAUCUGCCGUUUUUAAGUUUAACGGUGUAAAAGUAUUCAAAUCAGAUGAAAAUUUGAUAGAAAAUUCUUUAUACUAUCUACAACAAGAUCUAUAUUUACGAUCGAAAAUUUUAGUGCUAUAUCACCACUUUUUAUAGGAUUUUUAUUUUCAGCCAUUAAAUAUUAUUGAUUUUGAAUCCUUUCGAUUGCUAGGUAAAUGAUAUCGAAAAAUCGCAAAAAUUAUUUUCUAGAAACUUUAAAUAUGCUAGAUCAAGUUUAACGGAGCCGAUCGUCGAUUCGAAAACUCCAUCAUCGAAAACGGCUCAGGAGCACGGCUCCUGAGAGCACAGCAGCCCUACUCUAUAUAUAUAUAUAUAUAUAUAUAUAUAUAUAUAUAUAUAUAUAUAUAUAUAUAUAUAUAUAUAUAUAUAGGGUAAAUAGGACCACAUGCAAGAGAAUGGCCCUAUAACACUUGAAAGGGCUUUAUAGAUGGUUCACAACACCUUGGGUCGAGACCAUAAAUAUAUAUAUAUAUAUAUAUAUAUAUAUAUAUAUAUAUAUAUGCAACCAUGUACUUGUUACGUACAUAUAUAAUACAAGCUACAAAAUUGCACCCGAGCAAAUGUGUUAGCUUUAAUUAAUUAGGGUUUGUGAGAUGACGAGCUCAAAAGGGUUGUUUGCUUUCGAGUGAUUAUGACUUUAGGAUUCUCUAAAAUAGCUUUUAUUCUUCACACUCAAGGGAUGGAGAGGACCACCACCAACAUUGAAAUAAGAUGCACUUCCCUCUCUACUUGCAACAAGAAUAAAGCUUCAGGCACCCUUAGAAAAGAAUACUUUAAUGCAAAAUUAAAUAAUAAUUUUCCUACCAUUACUCGUAUUAAAUAAUUUGCUUGCUAAAUUGAAAAGGGCCAGCAUCCUGUCAUAUGGCGGAGGCCGAGAUGAUCGAGUUUAGUCACAGUAAAAGCUUGCGAACUGCACGGCGGAAACCAAGAUCGGCCGAGUCAUAAUCGAAAUCAGUUAAGGGAUGUACUUGUACACUUUAAGCUUGAGCUUUUGAAAUUAGUGGUUAGCACGAACAAUCUGAUACUAUUUUUGUAUUCGAUUUCAUUAGUACUAUUGCUAUGCUGUCAGAAGAAAAAAAAAAAAAAUUCUGUGGCAUCUUCGUCAUUCUCUUGUGUAGUAUCUUACGCCAUGAGGAAAUCAUCAUCUUAUUGAUCUCUGGGGCCCAAGAGAGAAGCAUAAAGGAAUUUGAAAAAAAAAAAGAAAAGAAAAAAGAACAAAAUGAGAUCAUUCGCUUAAGUUGCACAAAUAUAGUUUUGGUUUGCAUGUGGGAAACAUAUCCUUUGGUUCCUUUUGUUGUGGUAGCUAGUGGGUGUGAGAAGUUAUGGGCAUCUACAUAUAAGCAUGCUUUAAAUCAAGUAAAAGGAGUCCAACUAAGAGCUCAUUUUAGCUGGUUUUAAGUGUUUCUCAAUGAUUAGCCGUUAUGUCAUUAAUCAUUUAAUGAUCAAACUUUCCAUAUAUGUUAUCCACAAUUAGUUGGGUGUUAUAAUUAUAAUUAACUCCAUAUAUAGAAGCAUGUUGUGGGUGCAUGUCACUUUUUGAUAAGGAAAUUUUGCACCCGAACUUCCAAUGGUAGAUCAUAAAGUUUUCUUAUCUUAUAUCCAAAUUAAGAGUUUAAUUUAUGCGCUUUGCUUUUAGUUGAUUUAUGGAGCACCUCAUUAAAUUGCUAAGUUUGAUUCGAAUUCAACCCAACUAAUUAUUUGUUUUAGAUAUAUUACGAAAAUGUGAACAACUUAAGAAGUUACAUGCACGGUCCUUCAGUAAUAAUAUAGUAACGCUUAUAGCUUACUAUAUAUAUAUAUAUAUAUAUAUAUUGAUCANUAACUUAUACAGUGCCAAACCGCUAGGAUCCCAGUAAUAAUAUAGUAACGCUUAUAGCUUACUAUAUAUAUACAUAUAUAUAUAUAUUGAUCAUAUUCAUGUCCUCUAAGGAUCUAUUCUUAGCUUUAAAAGGAGUGCUACUAUUCUUAGGCCCAGGUAAGGCUCCAUUAAUGGAAGCUUAAGUGGUACUUACUUCACAUGUUGCCUUAUAUAGUGCUUGAGCUUUAUGCGUUGAUUAAUUAAAUUAAAUCAUGCAUAGGUUCUAGUAUUGUGAUCAACUGGCCCAUUGCACCAACAUUUAGCCUUUUACUCAAAGCGUUUACCUUCAUUAUUUUAUGGCCAAACCUAAUGUACUGUAGUUAAUAGGAGAACCUUCUAAUCAAGUACGAAAUGAUAAUAAAAUAUCACCGCAAACAAGUACGGAUGAACUAAUUUGCACGUUACAUAAGUUUGUAAAAAAUGUUUACAUGAUUAUUAGAGAUAUAAAUUCGACAGUACCAUUUGAUCGCAGGUGAUUGAAGGGCUAUGAGGGUGUGUCGGUUGGGUUUGUAAUGGGCCGUUAUUGGGCCAUUUGGGUUAUGCAUGUACUGGGCCUAAAGGACAGGACCAGGGGUGGCUCAGUGUCGAUAAAUGGACGGGCAUGAUUGAAAGGUAAGGAGACCCGCCCCAGUGUGAGCUAGAGCCUGUUGGGGAGUGGACCUGGAUUUUUUCUUUUUUAUUUUUUCUUUUUUUUUUUUAACGUGCAGAAUUUAUACGAGCGAUCUACUACUUUGAUUUGGCUAUUUAAUUUUUUAAAAUUUUAAUUUUACUAUCUAAUCUUAAAAAAAAAAAAAUUAUUUAAGUUAGCCAACGGCGCUUUGACUUCAAAAUUGAAUGUGUCGUUUACCUUUAUGGUUUUAGUUAGUAUACUUCGUGCGUUCCUCACUGUUAUAAAUUUAUUAAAAUAAGUAAUUAACUUGUUUUUAAUGUCAAGAUACUGUUUGCUGAUUCAAAUCAAAUAAAUUAAAAGAUUGAGUAAUAAAAUCAAAAUUUUAAAAAAUUAAACAGUUUUUUUUUUUGGAAAAAGAGAAAGGUAGCAUGCUACCUGCUCCGCUUAGGGUGUGUUUGGAUCCCUGUAAAACUACUCCGAAAAUUUCUUUCAGUUGAAAAAAAUUUUUCCGACGUUUGGUUGCCUGUAAAAAAAUUUUUUGGAAAACUUUUUUUUACAGAUUCUCUAAAAAACUCAAGUUUUCGUUUUUCGCCGGCCGUCCACGAAAAACGAAAACCCAUCGAUGAAAAGGCGCGGCUCAAGAGAGGUUUGAGCACACAGUCCACAAGGUCAUCCUCGCCUCGUGGACCGCGUGAGACGAUGGUGCACUCGUGAAAAUGAAAACCUAUUUUGAAAAAAGACGCGGCUCAAGAGGUUUGAGCACGCGGUCCACGAGGUCAUCCUCGCCUCGUGGACCGCAUGAAAGGGAGGUCUACAAUGGACCUCCUCUCAUUUUAUAUNNNNNNNNNNNNNNNNNNNNNNNNNNNNNNNNNNNNNNNNNNNNNNNNNNNNNNNNNNNNNNNNNNNNNNNNNNNNNNNNNNNNNNNNNNNNNNNNNNNNNNNNNNNNNNNNNNNNNNNNNNNNNNNNNNNNNNNNNNNNNNNNNNNNNNNNNNNNNNNNNNNNNNNNNNNNNNNNNNNNNNNNNNNNNNNNNNNNNNNNNNNNNNNNNNNNNNNNNNNNNNNNNNNNNNNNNNNNNNNNNNNNNNNNNNNNNNNNNNNNNNNNNNNNNNNNNNNNNNNNNNNNNNNNNNNNNNNNNNNNNNNNNNNNNNNNNNNNNNNNNNNNNNNNNNNNNNNNNNNNNNNNNNNNNNNNNNNNNNNNNNNNNNNNNNNNNNNNNNNNNNNNNNNNNNNNNNNNNNNNNNNNNNNNNNNNNNNNNNNNNNNNNNNNNNNNNNNNNNNNNNNNNNNNNNNNNNNNNNNNNNNNNNNNNNNNNNNNNNNNNNNNNNNNNNNNNNNNNNNNNNNNNNNNNNNNNNNNNNNNNNNNNNNNNNNNNNNNNNNNNNNNNNNNNNNNNNNNNNNNNNNNNNNNNNNNNNNNNNNNNNNNNNNNNNNNNNNNNNNNNNNNNNNNNNNNNNNNNNNNNNNNNNNNNNNNNNNNNNNNNNNNNNNNNNNNNNNNNNNNNNNNNNNNNNNNNNNNNNNNNNNNNNNNNNNNNNNNNNNNNNNNNNNNNNNNNNNNNNNNNNNNNNNNNNNNNNNNNNNNNNNNNNNNNNNNNNNNNNNNNNNNNNNNNNNNNNNNNNNNNNNNNNNNNNNNNNNNNNNNNNNNNNNNNNNNNNNNNNNNNNNNNNNNNNNNNNNNNNNNNNNNNNNNNNNNNNNNNNNNNNNNNNNNNNNNNNNNNNNNNNNNNNNNNNNNNNNNNNNNNNNNNNNNNNNNNNNNNNNNNNNNNNNNNNNNNNNNNNNNNNNNNNNNNNNNNNNNNNNNNNNNNNNNNNNNNNNNNNNNNNNNNNNNNNNNNNNNNNNNNNNNNNNNNNNNNNNNNNNNNNNNNNNNNNNNNNNNNNNNNNNNNNNNNNNNNNNNNNNNNNNNNNNNNNNNNNNNNNNNNNNNNNNNNNNNNNNNNNNNNNNNNNNNNNNNNNNNNNNNNNNNNNNNNNNNNNNNNNNNNNNNNNNNNNNNNNNNNNNNNNNNNNNNNNNNNNNNNNNNNNNNNNNNNNNNNNNNNNNNNNNNNNNNNNNNNNNNUAAUUAUUUAUUAAUAUUUCUAAAUAUAUAACUCUUAUAUAUUAUUAAUAUAUAUUUAUUAUAAUUUUAAAUAUAUUUAAUUUAUAUAUAUAAAUUAUAAUAAUAAUAUAUAUAGUAUAUUAAUUAUUAUAUAAUAAUAAUAUAUAAUAAAAAAAUAUUAAAAAGGUUUCUAUCUAUUUUUUUUUUCCUUUUAGCCAAACAACCAUCAUGUAAAACUUUUUUUUUUUCCUACAAACAAACACUAAACUACGUAAAUUUUUUUUCACUGAAAAUUUUUUCUACUGAAUUUUUUUUUUUUUCCAGUUUUACAUCGAUUCAAACAACCUCUUAGUGAAAUAUAAAGCAAUUAUGUUUCAAACUUGAAAUCUCAGUACGUGCGCUAGUGGUACGUAUAAUUUGUACCAAAUUGUACAUGUUGCAGAAAAAGCUAUCCUACUUUCUCUUUCACCAAUCACCACCGAUAAUCUAGUUCGUAAGUCGCAUCCCUAGCUAGGGAGGGAAAGAGGGGUGGGGUUUAGCCUCUCUCGGAUGCGUACCUGCAAGCAUUAAUUAAAAAUAAAAGAAGAGGAUAGUAAUCUAGUUGAAACUUGAUAGCUACCUCCCUUGCUAGGGACUAGGGAGAGUGUUUGGGAUUAAUCCUUCUUCCAUGCGCGUCUAAGCAUAAUAAAAACUAGUUAAGGAACCCCGGCUACGGAUUCAUUUAUCUUUUUUUAUAAAUAAUUAAUAAAUAAUUAAAUAUAUUUUUUAUAUAAUAAAUAACAAUAUAUUUUAGUUAAUUAAAUAAGAAAGUUUUAGAAAUAUUUCACAUGUGAUCAAUUAUAUCAGAUAUGUAAGUUUUGAUUGCAAAUAAUAAUGCUAAUCUUAACACCCGUUCGGUUUCAGAUUGUAAAUUCAUAAAUUUGUGGUUUAAUUAUAAUAAAACUUUAAAAUAUAUAAUUAUUUAUGCCUAAUUUUAAAAUAUUUUAGAUUAUAUGUAUUAAAUAUUAAUUUUAAUUUUAUAAUUAUUUAGAUAUAAAUAAUCCAUUUUUAAUAAUGGAAAACUGAGCUUUCCGUGCUCGACGCGUGGGAGAGGUGCGAGGGCGGAGGGGGCGAGGAGGCGGGCGGCGCGAGCCUGGUAGUGGGCGAGUGGCGCGCAGGGCGCGGGCCGCGGGGCGGGGGACGGGCGGCGCGCGCUGGUGGCGUGCAGGCUGUGGGCGCGAACGGGCGCGGAUGGGCGAGCCGCGCGCUGGCAUGGCGCGAGCGAAAAAAAAAAAAAAAAAAGAAAAGCUAGCAGGAAAAAAUCGGGGUCAAUUUCCCUUUUGCACGGGUCCACGAGUAAGCAUCACCUGUGGAAUCGCAUGGUUCACCUGCUCUCUCUCCCUUUUGAGAUUAUAUAUUAANNNNNNNNNNNNNNNNNNNNNNNNNCUUAUCAACAGACAGCAUAAAAAAAAAAAGAAAAAAAAUUCUGUUAUGAGUACCAUACAAUUUUGGAUGUGAUAUUAUUAUUUGUGUGAUCAAUAUAUGCAAAUAUAUUUUUGUUAUUUUGGGUUGUGGAUAUUUUGAACAUACUGUUUCAUUUCAUCAAAUAUAUUCAAUUUGUGGAAGUAAUUAAAAUUUAUUUAUUUUGAUUAUGAUGUCUAAAUGAUGAUCAAAUUUGGUUAGGUAAGUUUUAUAUAUUUUUUUGUUUAAUUUGUAUAUCUGUAGAAAAUGAUGGAAAAUUUAAUUUUUAAUGCUUAAUAAUUUUUAACUUAGAAUUGUUAUUUGUUGUAUUUCAUUAUAAUUUAUAUGCAAACAAAUAUUAAUUUUUAAAAUUUAUUUUAUAUAAUUAUACACUAUAUAUAAUUAUAUAAAUAAUAUAAUUAUAUUAAUUUUAUUUAUUAUAAUUUAUUAUCAUUAGUUAUAAAAUUGAGAAUUAUAUCACUUCGGAGGAAAUAUACAGAGGUGGAGAGGCUACACUUUUUUACGGGCUAUCUAUUUCUCCAAAUAAACAACAGAACGUAGCCAGAAAUGCCACUUUUACAGUAAGAACAAACAGGCAAAGUGAAUUAAAUUUCACCCCAAUUACUUCAAUCCAAAGUCCACUUCCACGCCAGUCUAUUUUAAUUAAAAAAACAUGCCUUAAAGGAUUGAAGGUUAAGUUGAACAGAAGCAAAAUAUCGUUAUAUAUUUUGAAUAUAUGUAAAAUUAAAUAAGAUAUUGAUAUUUUAUUUUAUAAUAUUUCAUUGAAAGUAUAAAAAUGUAAUUGUCAUGUUAAAAAAAUAGCUGUUUCAAAAAUUUUUCAUAAGUUUUGAUGGGAAUGUAUAUUACUUCAACUAAUGAGACUUAAUUUACAUCGAACAAAAUUGAAAUAUCAUUAAACUGAAUGGGAAGUAAAAUGAACAAUCAUAUGACAACAACAAAUAGAACAAGGAUACAAACAGGAUUAACGGAUUAUUUCAUUUUUUAUCAGAAAAAUUUAAUUUAAAUUAACAAACCAAGCUAGAUGUAAAUGUUUUUUUUGAAAUCAAAAUACUAUGAAUUUGGAUAUUUUAAGCUAAAAAUAAGUGAUUCAUCUUGAUCGAUAUUAAUCAAAUUUAAUGGUGUUUAUUGCAAUAAAGAGGGCUUAAAUAGUACCAUUGAAUUGUUGACGUCGGCUUUUAGUUGUAGUAAUAAAUUUUUAUGAUAUUAUGUUCAAAAAUUUGGUCCUAUUAUUAAGGUGGAAAUAUGUCUGGGCAUGUGAUUUAAUAAAGAAAUAUCAGUUUUUAUCUGCUAAAUUCUUUGAGCUGCCUUAAAGUUGAAAUUUUUUUGCCUCGGCACUCUUUUUUUUUUCUUUUAUUUUUUUGAGAGAGAUAGGUAGCACCGCUCCUGCUUCGUUUAUUUCAUUUUAGAAAUAAAAUUUAGCUAGAAAUGUGAAGAUCAACUAUGUAGAUUCGGACUUGAAUCUCAAAGUACAACCAAUCCUUUGAUCAUUCUCUAAGGAGAGGGAGCAGGGGUGCAUAUUAUGCUAGGGAGAUUUAGAGGCAAUCCCAAAUUUAUCUAUUUAUUGAAUGGCGAGACUAUAAAAUUCUAUUAGAAUGUUUGCAGAGUGCAAAGCAAACUAAACUCGAGUUCAAUUUGUUUUGAAGGCUAGAUCGUGACAAAUAGUUGGAAAAGAGUGCCAGAUUAAGUAGAUCUUAUGUAGGUUUGAUUUUAUGUGCUACUUGUUUGCUAGCUUUACUUUUUGUCUUGCCUUUGCUCUCUCUUCCUUUGCUGAUGCCUGUGGCUCAGUGAUAUAACUUUAGUUAAUCUUCCUGCUAUUAAAAGAUAGCAAGCUUCUUUUACACCAACAAAGAAAUAUAUUAUUUUGAUCAAUUGAAGGGCAAUUUACAAAAUUUGAUUAUUUAAAUUGCAUAAAGUUUUUUUAUAUAUUAUAAAAUUUCUAAAAUAAUAUAACACACAGAUAACAAGUUUUUUUUUUUUCUUUCUAAAAAUAAAAAUUAUCAGUAUAAAUAAUUCGAUUUGUAGGUGAUAAUGUGUACCAAAUUGGGCAUUUUAGUUUAAAUUAAAGAUAUAAAAUUAUUAAAAUUUAAUGAGGAUAGUGUAUGGUAGUGAUACGAUACACUGGAUGCCAGGGACGAAUUUUUUCAGAGUUUUUCGUGGGCUUACGGCGUACCAUAGUAUUGUUUACAACUCCUCCACCUUCAAAAACCAUCUCAAUGCUUCUUUUUACAUAAUACCUAAUUCACUCAUAUCUACAAUCGCAUUCCGAAAUCUCAUGCAACGAUCCAAUCAAGCGGCCAAGCAUCGCCGCAUAUUAAACAAUUACAGCCCCGUACAGACCAUCGUUCCACGUUACAGCUUUCGUUCACGAUUAUUAUAUAUUUACAGAUCUCGAGAAACUGCUGAUUUAAAAGUUUAGUACGAGUACAACGAAUAGAUCUCUUCCCUCUUUCUUUCGCUCUCUCUUUCUUCUUUUUUCGUGGCGUGCGUGAAUUCGCUGCUGGGGCGGAGGUGGGCGAGAAUCGAAGGCGAACGGUGGGAGAUGUGCUGCUUUUCCCGAGCCGAUCGUGUAUGCCUCUGCCUCCUCUUGUUGUCGGCAUCAUCCUCGUGGGCUUCGUUCUUCGGCUUGGGGUCGCUUAGCCAUGGCUUCCACACCCCCCCCUAGAUCAAGGGCACGGCGCUUCCACCUCGACCCCUCGCAUGGCCUCGCCACGCUUCCGGCCCCCAUGUAUCGUAAGGUACCCACCCUCCUUCCUCCCGAUCCGUGCUCAAUUUACUAAAUUUAGGGUUUCUGCUGCCGGGAAUUGGGGCGACGGGGGGCGGCGAAAUCUAGGGGUUUGGUUCCCGGAUUCGAGAUCUUGGGAAAUGUGGAGGGAUGAGAUGAGAGUUCUUUGGAUUUUUGAACAUUUUAAAAUUCGAAGACAAUUCCUCUUUUUUUACCAGUUAGUUUUUUAUAUUUGUAUAGUUUUGAUUUGGAUUUUUUUUCAGAUAUUUUGAAUUAAUUAAUUAAUUAAUAAAUAUAUUUUACUUGAUACGGUCACGGGUACCAAUCAAUUUGAAUUAUGAAUUUUGGCUUUUUUUUUUUGAAAAAAAGAGCAUUUAUUCUAUAUGGUACUUUUUGGCGUUCAUUAUUUAUGAAUUUUGGGUACCUUGGAAGCUGAAGAAGGUAGGGAGUGGUUUUGAAUCAUUGAGGUGAUAUUAUAAUUAAUUAUUUGAUUGAAAUACAUUUAAUGUUGCAUGUAGGGCCCAUUAUAUAUUAUGAAAUCACUGUUAGUUGGGAUUAAAGUUUUUCUUCGUUAUCUGCUUUUACGAUUUAAAAGAAUAAAAAUUAAAAAAUUUAUGGUAUGUGAGGAGGAAAGAUUAACAAUCUUUUAAAUCUUGUUGGAGUCUUUUAAACUAAAGUAAUAUUUUUAAGCUAUUGUUAUUACAGGCCAGGCAUAAGAGUAUAUAUACGCGGGCGCGAUGCAGCAGUUGCACUUGUAUUGCUGUUUGAUUAUUGGUUUCAAAAACGCUCUCACUCUACAGCAAUCAAAUUAACUUAGUUGGUAUUUACAAAAUUUUAAGUUUAAAGUCUUAGUUAUUUUAUUUUUUAUUAAAAUGUCUAACUUAGUAAUAUGUUGAAACAGUUAAGUAAAAGCAAGAAAGUAGAGCAAGGCUAUACAAUAAAUUAAUAUAAGGUUUAGGAGAGAAGAUGUUUUUUCGGUUGAUUCUCGUUCAAUCUCGAUUAAUGAUCUGCCUAGUUUGUAACGUCACGCAAGCAACAUAUGUUUGUUUUAAAAAAAAAAAAAAAAAAUAGUUUAACUACAAUCAUAUCAUAUGGUAGGGGUGAGUGGGAGUGGGCCGGACAGACAGAGUGGCGUGUCGGGUUCGCCAUCUCUGUUGAGGUCAUGCUGGGUCGGUUUCAGUUAGGUUUGUGUUUGGUCAUCGUAGUGGCAAGUUAAUGUAAACCCACUACUUUCAAUGCCUUUUUUUCUUUUUGUUUUUUUUUCGUUUGUCUGAAGAAAGAAAAAAUAUUUUAGGUUCUCUAUCAAUGAGUAGAGCUUGUUACGAGAACAAGAGUUUUUAGAAAAAAGGGUUGAACGUAUUUCUCUUUUUUUUUUUUUGAGAAGAAAAAUUAGCAUAUUACUUGUUAUCGUUUUUAAAAAAUAAAUUUAAUUUAAAUGUAAAUCAACCAUGAUUUAAAAUUGAGAUUUUCGGAUACAACCUCUAAAACUCUUUGCCACUUACAGGAGGAACAGCGAUAAAGGGGGUUGAAUAAUUUAAAACUCACGAAAACAAUGAAUAUGGUGCUAGUUGAGAGAGUAACUACUAGUUUUUUUUUUUAAGAAAAGUAAGUGUGCAUCACAGAUGUAAGAUUUCCUGGGGUGUUUGGCUUCAGUUUUAUCCUGCAUAUUAUAAGUAAUUCUAGUUCAAAAUGAUAUGCUUUGUGUUUGUUCGUCUGUAAUUGGGUCCGGUAGUGUAAUCUUAAAAUGAUACUAGUUACUGUAUAUUACAUUUAAAAAUUAUAAAUUUAUUCUCAAAUCUCUCUCUAAAUCUCUUCAAUAUGUCUUUUUGUAGAUGUCUUUAUAUUUAUGUCUUUUUGGUUAGGAUGACUAUAUUUUGUUUUUUGAGAGAGGGGAAAAAAAGGGUAGAAGGGUAGAUAUUUAUUUUUUAAAUUAUAAUUUAGCUAAAAUGGUGACAUAAUAAAUUCAAGUUUUGGACUUAGGUUGACAUCAUAAGUCAUUUGCCUACUUGCGCUAGUAACAGACUGUAUGAUGAUUUAUUUUAUUAUAUUUAAAAUUAUUAAAUUUUAUAAACCAAUUAAAUAUAGUAAUUUUAUUUUACAUCUCAAUCCAGUAUUGGAUAUUACUGCUUAAACCAAAGACUAUACUACAGUAUAAUAGUAAUUGAUUCAAAUUUUAGAUACUAUAAUUAUGCGAAAUAUUAUAAUGUUAUUACCACGCGAACAAAGCACUCUCCAGUAAUAAUAUUCUAUGGGUAUGGGGUUGGUUUUGUUCUCGUAAAACUGCAGAAAAAAAAAUUUUCGUGUAGAAAAAGUUUUCAGAGGAAAAUAAUUUUACGCUUUGUAUUGGUUUGGUAGGAAAAAAGUAAUUUUAUUUGGUUGUUGGUUGUUGAAGGAAAAGAAAGGAAAAAAGAAGAAAAAAUUAAUUAUAAAUAAAUAUUAUAUAAUUAUAUAUUUUUUUUUUUUAUAUUUAUUAUAUAUUAAUAUAUAAUUUAUAUUUGUAAAUAAAUAUAUUAAAAUAAUAUAUACAAUAAGUAAUAAUAUAAUAAUGGGGCAAUUUCAUGGAACCAUCCAAAGUUAUAAAAUAUAUAAUGCCCUAUAAAAAUUUAAAAAUAUCACCCAUUUCCUUUAAACACAAAAAUUAUAUCAAUACCACCUUAUAUUAGUUAUGUUAGCUUUACCAUAGAUAUUAAUGUUUAAAAUAAGGUUAAUUUUAAAUGACUUAUUUACCCUAAGUAUUUUCUUAAGUUAAAAUGUAUGGAGACCCCUCAACUAUAUGCCAUUUUCAAAUAUGGCUCUUAACUUUAUUUUUUUUUUUCAGUUUGAAUAUUCCCAUUAGCUUUUAGUUUUUUAAAAGAUAUAACUAAUUUCAGUGUAUGAAAAAUGAGAGUUUGUAGUUUUUUUGAUAAUUUUAACAAUUAGUGGCUUAUUUAUAUUUGUCGAAUAAAUAAUUAAUAUAUAAAAUUUAAUAAAAUAUGUUAUGGAAAUUAUCCGAUAUUUCUUUAAUGUUGAAGCUUAAAAUUUUUUUUAAUCAAAUAUUGGAUAAUUUUAUCUGCAUUAAAUCAAUUAAAAAACUAAUAUAAAUAUAUAUUUAGCUUUUUUGACAAAACUUCUUUUUGUUUCAAUCACGGAACAAUGCUUGAUAAUAGUUAUGGUGAUUUACUUUUGAUUAAAUAGGAAAAAAAAAAUCUUAUAAUUUAUUCAAAAUUACUAUUACUACUGAAACCUGACGAAAUUCCAAAACUUAAAAACAAAACAAAAUCAGAUAAAAACAUACUAUAUUAAUAAUAUAAUUUUUUAUAUUUUUUUAAUAAUUAAAUAUAUAUUAAUAAUUUAUUUUAAUAUGUAUAUAUUAAUAUACAUUCAAUUUAGAUUUACAAUAAUAUCUUGAAAAUACAUAUUAGUAUUCCUCUACUAUUAAUAAGGAAUAAAGGAGUAAGAAAAAUGGAUUUGAAAAUUUAAAUCUUUUCAGAUGGAUUAUUUAACGGAUUUUAACUGAUGAGGAGGAUUUAUGAUAUUUUAAAACAUAUUGGAGGGUGGGUAUUUGUGUUUAUCAAUUUUAAGAAGGGUAUUGGUGAAUUAAUAGAGUAUCUAGAAGGGAUCUAUGAAAUUAUUCUAUAAUAUAAUAGCGUAUAUAUUAAAUAUAUAUAUAAUAAUAUAUAUAUAUAUAAUAACUAUAAUAAAUUUGUAACAAUACUUAUAAAUAAUAUAUACAUAUAGAUUGAGCUAAAAUAUUUUAGAAUCGACCCAAAGACCCCUUAGUACUUCUAAGUUUUAAUCUAAGAUCCACUUUAAUUACUAAUACCUUAUUAGAUUCAAACACUAUUUCACCUCAUCACCGACCGCCCAUCAUCAACAUGCAAUCUUCCAUCAAUGAUUUAAAAAUCAAAAGCAACCAAUCUCUUAGUGACUUUUGAGAGUAUUCUAAAUAACUCUUUUCUCUUCUCUCUCAAUAUAUUAUAUAUAGAGGGGCAGAAAGAGAUGGUCCAUCUGGACUUCUCACAGCGGUCCACGGAGUGGGAGUGGACCUGUGGACUGCGCCUUUUUACUCCGCGCGAAGGCCGCAAAGCCGCGCACAAUGCGUCCAUAUGGACUUCCUAUGCAGUAAGACGUGGAGAGGACCUGGUGGACCGUUGCUUUUUCCCCGCGCGGCGCGUUACGCGCGCAACGCGUGCGUUUUCGUUUUCGCUAGUAUUCGAAUAAAAACGAAAAACCAUUAGCUUUUCCUAACGAAUCCGCUAAAAAAAAAUUUCCGGACGAAGCACCAAAACAUUUUUUUGAAUCUCACUUUCAACCGGAAAAAAAAUUUGUAGAGAGUUGAUUUUAGGAGGAACCAAUUCCGCCCUAUGCAGAUUCAGCGAAUUCGGAUAUGGGGCGCAAAAGGCUUUUUCCGGUGUACGUUAAAUUGAAAGUUUAAUUUGGAAAAUUAACUUCGGCAUUAAUUAAAAAAGCUACUGUCUAUACAAGAUACUAAAUUCAAAUGGCGGUCAGAGUCCUGUGUCGACCUUCAUCAAUUUAAUGGAGCGGCACGCGACAAAGCAUCUAGGUCAAACAAACAAGUCUCUGGAAUACUGCUUAUAGCAGGUUCGAGUAGUCAAAAGCGACAAGAGACAUUUUAAUUAAAUAUAAGAAAAUAGUAAAGCAUUAUUAUUAAAUAUUAUUAAUUAUUAUUAUUAUUAUUUAUUUAAUAAAACUUGGAUGAGAUUGGGAACUGAGCUUUCACUGGCUCGAACGGUGGCGACGGGUGCGAGAGCGCGGAGGCGGGCGAGCGAGGCGGGACGGCGCGAGCUGGUCUAUGGGGCGGAGUGCGCGCGCAGGGCGCGGGCUCGGGCGGCGGGGGACGGGCGGUCCUAGCGGCAUGGUGGCGUGCAGGCUGUGGGGCUGCGAACGGGCGCGGAUGGGGCGAGCCGCCGCUGGAUGGGCGCGAGCCGAAAAAAAAAAAAAAAAAAGAAAAGCUACAGUGCAAAAAUCGGGGUCAUUCCCUUUUUGCACGCGGUCACGAGGUGCAGCAUCACCUCGUGGUCGCAUGGUUCAUGCUCUCUCUCCCUCUUUGAGAUUAUAUAUUAUUAUAGAGAGAGAGGGAAAGAGAGUUAUGGCUGCUGUGCUCAUUAGAUCUUGAGCGUUUUUCGGAUUAUGAAAUUUUCGAGAUCAAAGUCUCGCUCGUUAGAUGUGAUAUAGGAUAUUUAAAGUUUAUAGAAAUAAUUUUUAUAAUUUUUUUUUGAUAUUAUUUAUACAUAUGAUCGCAAAGGGAUUUAAAAUUAAUAUUUUAAUAGUUGAUAUCUGCCGUUUUCAAGUUACGUUGUUUAGAAGUAGUUCAAAUCAAUAAAAUUUUGAUACAAAUUUUUUAUAUUAUUAGCAAUAAGAUCAAUAUUUCUGAUAGAAAAUAUUUAGUACUGAUAAAUUACAUUUUUAUAGGAUUUUUAUUUCUCGGCGAUUAACAAAUUAUUAAUUUGAGAUCUUUCGAUUGUUAAGGUAAUGUAUCGAAGAAUCGCAAAAAUUAUUUUCUACAAACUUCAAAUAACGCUAAUCCAGUCUAACGGAGCCGAUCGUCGAUCAGAAAUUCGUACUAAUUCGAAAACGGAUGGAGCACGAAGGCUCGUGCCUCCUGAAAGCACAACAGUUUGCUAAUAUAUAUAUAUAUAUUAUAUAUAUACUAUUUAUAUAUAUUUUUAAAUAUUAAUUAUAUAUACUAACUUUAAUAUUUUUAUUAUCUUAAAUAUUAAUAAUUUAUUUUGGAAUCAACAAAGAUAGUAUUUUACUUUAAUUAAUUUUUCUUAUUUUUUUAUUUGUAAAUUUACACAUGAUAUAAAUAAAAAAAUAUUAUGUAUUUUUUAAUAUUUAAAUGGAUUUUUAUUUAUUUUAAACUGUUUAUUUAUUUUGAGACCCACUUCUAUCUCUCUUUCUUUAUUUGAUUUUUGUUCUUUUCUAAACCUUCUUAAUUUUAGCAGUGUUAUGGCACAUACAAAAAAUAAAUUUAAAUUAAAAUUUAAAUUUAUGAUUAAUGGAAUUUUGGAAUUUAUUGCUUAGCUUCUAUAUUAUUUAGUUAGUAUUUUUAUCGUUAAUUAUUGCUAAUUAAAUAUUAUAUUUUAAAAACAUUUUGUAGUGUUUUUAUAAUAAGUUUAUAAAUGAUAAUAAUAAUAAUAAUAAUAAUAAUAAUAAUAAUAAUGCUUUACUAUUUUCUUAUAUUUAAUUAAAUGUCCUUGUCCCUUUUGAACUACUCGACUUGGCUUAUAAGCAGUAGUUCCAGAGACUUGUUGUGGUUUGACCUUAGAUGCUUUGUCGCGGUCGCCCUCCAUUAAAUUGAUGAGUGGUCGACAAGGACUUCUGACCCCAUGUGAAUUUAGUAUCUUGUACUCGACUAGUUAGCUUUUUUAUUAGAUGCCGAGAGUAAUUUUCCAAAUUACUUUUCAAUUUAACGUACACGGAAAAGCUUUUGGCGCCCAUAUCCGAAUUCGCUGAAUUGGCAUAGGGCGUGAUUGGUUCCUCUAAAAUCACCUCUAAAAUUUUUUUUCGGUUGGAAAGUGAGAUUCCGAUGUUUGGUGGCUCGUCCGGAAAUUUUUUUUUACGGAUUCUUAGGAAAAGCAUGGUUUUCGUUUUCUAUUCGAAUCUAGCGGAAAACGAAAACGCACGGCGUUGCGCGGCGUAACGCCGCGCGGAGAAAAAGCACGGUCCACCAGGUCCGCUCCACCUCGUGGACUGCAUGAGGAAGGUCCAUGAUGGACCUUGUGCGCGGCUUUGCGCGCGCUUCGCGGGAGUAAAAAGGCGCAGUCCACGAGGUCCACUCCACCUCGUGGACCGCGUGAGGAGAGGUCCAUGAUGGACAUCUCUUUCUGCCCCUCUUAUAUAUAUAUAUAGAGAGAGAGAGAGAAAGAGUUGAGUUAGAAUACUCUCAAAAGCACUAAGAGAUUGGUGUUUUUGAGUUUUUAAUCAUUGGAUGGAGAGAUGUGAGGUUGGGAUGAUGGCGGUAGGUGAUGGUAGGUGAAAUAGUGUUUGAUCUAAAGGUUAUUAGUAAUUAAGAAGUGGAUCUGAGAGUUAAAAACUUAGAAGUACUAAGGGGUUGGUGAUUCUAAAAAUAUUUUAGCUCAAUUCUAUAUGUAUAUAUUAUUUAUAAGUAUUGUUUACAAAUUUAUUUUAUAGUAUUAUAUAUAUAUAUAUAUAUAUUUAAUAUAUACGCUAUUAUAUUAUAGAAUAAUUUCAUAGAUCCCUUCUAGAUACUCUAUUAAUUCACCAAUACCCUUCUUAAAAUUGAUAAACACAAAUACCCACCCUCCAAUAUGUUUUAAAAUAUCAUAAAUCCUCCUCAUCAGUUAAAAUCCGUUAAAUAAUCCAUCUGAAAAGAUUUAAAUUUUCAAAUCCAUUUUUCUUACUCCUUUAUUCCUUAUUAAUAGUAGAGGAAUACUAAUAUGUAUUUUCAAGAUAUUAUUGUAAAUCUAAAUUGAAUGUAUAUUAAUAUAUACAUAUUAAAAUAAAUUAUUAAUAUAUAUUUAAUUAUUAAAAAAAUAUAAAAAAUUAUAUUAUUAAUAUAGUAUGUUUUUAUCUGAUUUUGUUUUGUUUUUAAGUUUUGGAAUUUCGUCAGGUUUCAGUAGUAAUAGUAAUUUUGAAUAAAUUAUAAGAUUUUUUUUUUCCUAUUUAAUCAAAAGUAAAUCACCAUAACUAUUAUCAAGCAUUGUUCCGUGAUUGAAACAAAAAGAAGUUUUGUCAAAAAAGCUAAAUAUAUAUUUAUAUUAGUUUUUUAAUUGAUUUAAUGCAGAUAAAAUUAUCCAAUAUUUGAUUAAAAAAAAUUUUAAGCUUCAACAUUAAAGAAAUAUCGGAUAAUUUCCAUAACAUAUUUUAUUAAAUUUUAUAUAUUAAUUAUUUAUUCGACAAAUAUAAAUAAGCCACUAAUUGUUAAAAUUAUCAAAAAAACUACAAACUCUCAUUUUUCAUACACUGAAAUUAGUUAUAUCUUUUAAAAAACUAAAAGCUAAUGGGAAUAUUCAAACUGAAAAAAAAAAAUAAAGUUAAGAGCCAUAUUUGAAAAUGGCAUAUAGUUGAGGGGUCUCCAUACAUUUUAACUUAAGAAAAUACUUAGGGUAAAUAAGUCAUUUAAAAUUAACCUUAUUUUAAACAUUAAUAUCUAUGGUAAAGCUAACAUAACUAAUAUAAGGUGGUAUUGAUAUAAUUUUUGUGUUUAAAGGAAAUGGGUGAUAUUUUAAAUUUUAUAGGGGCAUCUAUGAUAUUUUAGACUUUGGGAGGGGUAUCCAUGAAAUUGCCCCAUUAUUAUAUUAUAUACUUAUUGUAUAAUAUAUUUUAAAUAUAUUUUAUUUACAAAUAUAAAUUAUAAUAUUAAUAUAUAAUAAUAUAUAAAAUAAAAAAAAUAUAUAUAUAUAUAAUAAUUUUUUAUUUAUAAUUAAUUUUUUCUUUCUUUUUCUUUCUUUUCCUUUCAACCAAACAACCGUAAUAGAAAAUUACUUUUUUUUCCUACAAACCAAAUACUAAGAGCGUAAAAUUAUUUUCCUCUGAAAACUUUUUUUCUACCGAAAAUUUUUUUUUCUGCAGUUUUACGAGGAAGCAAACAACCCCAUACCCAUAGAAUAUUAUUACUGUGAGAGUGCGUUUGGUUCGCGUGGUAUAACAUUAUGAAUUAUUUCGUCAUAAUUAAGUAUCUGAAAAUUUUGAAUCAGAUUACUAUUAGUACUGUAUUAUAGUCUUUGGUUUAAGGCAGUAAUAUAAUACUGGAUUGGAGUGUAUAUAAAAUUACUAUAUUUAAUUUGGUUUAUAAAAUUUAAUAAUUUUAAUAAUAAAAUAUAAUCAUCAUACAGUCUGUUCCUAGCGCAAGUAGCAAAUGACUUGAUGAUUGGCACCUAAGGUUCCAAACUUGAAUUUUUAUUGAUUCACAUUUUUAGCUAAAUUUAUUAUUUUAAAAAAUAAAUGAGCUACCCUUCUACCCUUCUCUCUCAAAAACAAAAUAUAGUCAUCCUACAAAAAGGACAUAAAUAUAGACAUCUACAAAAAGGACAUAUUGAAGGAGUUUAAGAGAGAUUGGAGGAAUAAAUUUAUAAUUUUAUGUAAUAUACAGUAAUCUAGUAUCAUUUUUAAGAUUACACUACCGACCAGAUUACAGACUGAACAAACCAAAUGCAAUAAUUUUGAUAGAAUUACUUAUAAUUAUGCAGGAUAAACUGAACCAAACACGCCCUAGGAUAAUCUUACACUGUGAUGCACCUUACUUUUUCUUAAAAAAAAAAACUUAGUAGUUACCCAACUAGCACCAUAUUCAGUUGUUCGUGAGGUUUAAAUUUUUUCAACCCUUAUCGUCUGUUCCUCCUGUAAGUGGCAAAGAGUUUAGAGGUUGGUAUCCGAAAUCUCAAGUUUAAAUCAUGGUUGAUUUACAUUUCCAAUUAAAUUUAUUUUUUUAAAACGAAACAAGUAACAUGCUAUUUUUCUCUCUCAAAAAAAAAAAGAGAAAGAGUUCAACCCUUUUUCAAAAACUCUUUGUUCUCGUAAGCAAGCUCUACUCUUGAUAGAAUACCUAAAUAUUUUUUCUUUCUUCAGACAAACGAAAAAAAAACAAAAGAAAAAAGGCAUUGAAAGUAGUGGGUUUACUUAACUUGCUCACCGAUCGACCAAACACAAACCUACUGAAACCGACCCAGCAUGACCGCAACAGGAGAUGGGCGAACCCGACACGCCACUCUGGUCUGGGUCCGGCCCACUCCCACCACCCUACCUAUGAUAUGAUUGUAGUUAAAUAUUUUUUUUUUUUUUUUUUUUAAAACAAACAUAUGUUGCUGCUGUGGACGUUACAACACAGAUCAGUAAUCUGAGAUGGAAACGAGUCAACCGAAAAAACAGCUUCUCUCCUAAACUCUUUUAUUAAGUUAUUGUAUAGCCUUGCUUCUAGCUUUCUUUGCUUUUACUUCACUGUUUCAGCUAUUACUAGAGUUAGACGAUUUUUAAUAAAAAAUAAAAUAACUAGACUUUAAACUUAAAAUUUUGAAUACCAACUAUUAAAUUUUUGUUGCUGUAGAGUUGGAGGCGUUUUUGAAACCAUAAUUCAAACAACAAUACAAGUGCACUGGCUCAUCGCGCCCGCGUAUAUAUACUCUUAUGCCUGGUCUGGUAAUACAAUAGCUAAAAAUAUCUACUUUUAUAGUUUAAAAGACUCCACAAGAUUUAAAAGAUUGUAAUCUUUCCUCCUGCAAUACAUAAUUUUUUAAUUUUUAUUUUUUAAAUGUAAAAGCAGAUAAUCGAAAAAAACUUAAUCCCAAACUAAGCAGGUGAUUUUUCAUAAUAUAUAAGUGGGCCCUACAUGCAACAUUAAAUGUAUGCAAUUAAUAAUUAAUUAAUAUAUGGACCUCAAUGAUUCAAAACCACUCCCACCUUCUCUCACUGCUCCAAGGUACCAAAAUUGCAUUAAAUAAUGACGCCAAAAAGUACCAGAAUAAAUGCUUCUUUUUUUAAAAAAAAGAAAAGGCCAAAAUUUCAAAUUCUAAAUUGAUUGGUGAUUCCCGUGACCGUAGUCAAGUAAGAUAUAUUUAUUAAUUAAUUAAUUAAUUCAAAAUAUCUGAAAAAAAUCCAAUCAAAACUAUACAAAUAGUAAAAACUAAUGGUAAGAAAAAGUAGGAAUGUGCUUCGAAUUUAAAAUCGUUUCAAAAUCCAAAGAAUCUCAUCUCAUCCCCUCCACAUUUCCCAGAUCUCGAUCCGGGAACCAAACCCCUAGAUUUCGCCCCGUCGCCCCCAAUCCCGGGGCACAGAAACCCUAAAUCUUAGUGAAAUUGAGCACGGAUCGGGAGGAGGAGGGUGGGGCUUACGAUUACAUGGGGGGCGGAGCGUGGGCGAGGCCAUGGGCGGAGGGGUCGAGGUGGAGCGCGUCCUUGAUCUUGUGGAAGCCAUGGGCGAAGACGCCGAAGCCGAAGACGAAGCCCACGAGGAUGAUGCCGACGACGACGAGGAGGCAGAGGCAACACGAUCGGCUCGGGAAGCAGCACAUCUCCACCGUCCGCUCGAUCUCCCCCACCUCCGCCCAGCACGAAUCACGACGCGCACGAAGAGAGAGAGAGAGAGAGCGAGAGAGAGAGAGGGAGAGAGAGAAUAUUCGUUGUAUCGGUUAUAAACUUUUAAUCACAGGUUCUCGAGAUCUGUAUAUAUAAUAACGUGGAACGAUAGCUGUAACGUGGAACGAUGGGUCUGUACGGGUGCGUGUAUAAUUGUUUAUAUAUGCGGGGGCGAUGCGUUGGCCGUUGGAUUGGAUGUCGUUGAUGAGAUUCGGAUGCGAUUGUCGUAGAAUGGACGGUGGAUUAGGUAUUAUGUAAAAAGAGCAUUGAGAUGGUUUGAAGGGUGGGAGGAGUUGGUAAACAAUACUAUGGGACGCCGUAAAGGCCCACGAAAAACUCUGAAAAAAUUGUCCCUGCACCAGGUGUAUCGUACAUACCAUACACUAGCCUCAUUAAUGUUUAAUAAUUUUAUAUCUUUAAUUUAAAAACUAAAACCCAAGUUUGGUACGACAUAUAUCACCUACAAGAUCGAAUUAGUUUAUACGUGAUAAUUUCUUAUUUUUUAGAAAGAAAAAAAAAACUGUUAUCUGUGUGUUAUAUAAUUUUAGAAAUUUAUAAUAUAUAAAAAAAAACUUUUAUGCAAUUUAAAUAGAUCGAAAUUUUGAAAUUGCCUUCAAUUGAUCAAAAUAGAUAUUUUCUUUUGUUGGGUGUAAAAGAUAGCUUGCUAUCAUUUUAUACAGCAGGAAGAUUAACUAAGUUAUAUCACUGAGGCCACAAGGCCUCAGAAAGAAGAGAGAGCAAAGGCAAGACAAAAAGUAAAGCUAGCAAACAAGUAGCACAAUAAAAUACGACCUACAUAAGAUCUACUUAAUCUGGCACUCUUUCCAACUAUUUGUGCACGAUCUAGCCUCAAACAUAAGUUGACUCGAGUUAGUUUUGCUUUGCACCUGCAAACAUUCUAAUAGAAGUUUAGUAGUCUCGCAUUCAAUAAAUAGAUAAUUGAUUGCCUCUAAAUCUCCCUAGCAUAAUAUGCACCCUGCUCCCCCUGCUGUCCUUAGAGCAAGUGACAAAGGAUUUGGUUGUUGGUACCUGAGAUUCAAGUCCGAAUCCUAGUUGAUUCACAUUUCUAGCUAAAUUUAUUUCUAAAUGAAAUAAACGAAGCAGGUAGCGUGCUACCUAUCUCUCUCAAAAAAAAAAAAGAAAAAAAAAAGAGAGUUAGCGAGGCAAAAAUUUCAACUUUUAGCAGCUCAAAGAAUGUAGGAGAAAAAACUGAUAGUUCUUUAUUAAAAUCACAUGCCCAGACAUAUUCCACCUUAAUAAUAGGACCAAAUUUUUUGAACUAAUAUUCAAAAAUUUAUUACUCACAACUAAAGCCGACGUCAACAAUUCAAUGGUCUAUUUAAGCUCUUUAUUGCAAAUAAACACCUUAAAUUUGAUGUAAUAUCGAUCAAAGAUGAAUCACUUAUUUUAGUUCAAAAUAUCAAUCAAAUUCAUAUUUUUGGAUAUUCAAAAAAAAACAUUUACAUGCUAGCUUGGUUUGUUAAUAAGUUUAAAUUUUUCUGAUAAAAAUGAAAUAAUCCGUUACCGUUUGUAUCCUUUUGUUCUAUUUUGGUUGUUGUCAUGAUGAUUGUUCAUUUUACUCCCAUUCAGUUUUAAUGGAGAUUUCAAUUUUGGUUCGAUGUAAUUAGUCUCAUUAGUUUGAGUAAUAUACAUUUCCCAUCAAAACUUAGUGAAAAUUUUUGACCAACUAUUUUUUUAACAUGACAAGACAUUUUUAUACUCAAUGAAAUAUUAUAAAGUAAAAUCAAUAUUUUAUUUAAUUUAGAUAUAUUUCAAAAAUAUAUAACGAUAUUUUGCUUCUGUUCCAUACUUAACCUUCAAAUCCUUUAAGGGCAUGUUUGUUUUCAUGUAAAUAGACUUGGGUGGAAGUGGACUUUGGAUUGAAGUAGAGUUGGGGUGAAAUUUAAUUCACUUCUGCUGUUUGUUCUUAACUGUAAAAGUGCAGUUCUGCGAGUUCUGUUGUUUAUUUGGUAGGAAAUAGAUAACGUAAAAAGUGUAGCUCUCCACCCUCUGUAUACUUUCCUCCGAAGUGAUAUAAUUCUCAAUUUUAUAACUAAGUGAAUAAUAAAUUAUAAUAAAUAAAAAUUAAUAUAAUUAUAUAUUUAUAUAAUUAUAUAUAUGUAUAAUUAUAAAAUAAAAUUUUAAAAAAUUAUAUUAUUUGUUUGCAUAUAAAUUAUAAUGAUACAACAAAUAAAAUUCUAAAGUUAAAAAAUUAUUAACAUUUAACAAAUUAAAUUUUCAUCAUUUUCUAAAUAUACAAAUUAAACAAAAAAAUAUAUUAAAACUUACCUAACCAAAUUUGAUCAUAUUUAAGACAUAUAAUCAAAAUAAAAAAUUUUAAUUACUUCCACAAUUGAAUAUAUUUGGAUGAAAUGAAACUAGUAUUGUUCAAAAUAUCACACCCAAAAUAACAAAAUAUAUUGUGCAUAUNCAAAAUAUCACACCCAAAAUAACAAAAUAUAUUGUGCAUAUCAUUAUCACACCAAAAAUAAUAAUAUCACAUCCAAAAUGUAUGGUUACGUCCAUACCAGAAUUUUUUUUUUUUUUUUUUAUGGUGUCUGUUGAGAAAAAAAAAUGGCGAUGUGGAGUUGGAUCUGGGACUCGGCAGAGGAAAGGGUAGAAAAGAGGAUAACCCUAACACAUCAAUUCCCACUCUUGCCUCUUUUCACCUCACCGAAAUUGACUUCGCCUCAUGGGAAGAAGAAGUCAAUUUCAUUAUUUUGGAUGAACUAGACUUUCGGGCGUAAUAAAAUUACGGUAAACCAAACAACGGAAGUGGUCAAUUUUUACCGAAAAUUACUUUCCCCUUCCCACUUCCACCCCACUUCAGUGCAAACAAAUAUAUCCUAAGUAACUGGAUCUAGAUCCUAAUUUCCAUAUUGAUCCCCAAUACGAAUCCAAUGUAUCAGGUGAGUCAAACUUAGCUCAAGAAAUUAGCACACACGACACACCUAAAUGGGAAUUUAAAGUCUUUCUAUUGAUCUCGGUGGCAACGUUGACGCUCGGAUAGAUGUGAUUGUAAUUUGACUUUAAAAUGAAACUAGUAAAAAAUACACCUAAUUGUGGCCUAUGUUUCUAUUCAUUUCAUUUACGACAAUUUCGAACCUUACCAAGUCAAAGCUGUUUUAAAUAAAAUAGUUGUAAACUUAAAUUAUGGCUAAAUUACGAUUAGUUUAACAUAAACGCGCGUGCUAAGUUACAUGUUUUCAUCCAAUGAAUUAAUCAAAAAGCUAAAACCAUACUGGGAUCCGAAUGAUGUUAAUUGGUACUUUAUUAAAGAAACUUUAUUAGCUUUAUUGCUUCCUUAAAAAUUUUCCCAUCCAAUAAAAUGUUCUUCUUUAAGCUUCUUUUGUUUAGCUCUGACCCUUAUUUAUAGCUGUGCUUUGUCCUUUUUAACUCUUCUUUAAUUCUCACAACAUAUAUAAUAGGGAUAAUUAUCUAUAUACCCCACAUACGUUUGAAAAUAUCCGAUUUAUCCGUACUUUCUUUUUCUUUCUAAAAUAACUCCUCAUAUGUUCCACCGUUAUUGCAAAAUACCCCCGCAGUUAUCUCUUGUUAAGUUAAGUUGGAUUAAACGUGAGUUAAAUAUCUACCACAGUUUAAAAAAAUUAAAAUGCCAAUUUUGCUAUUAACUUAAGAGCAAAUAAGAAAUGUUGGUGUAUAUUGAAAAAGACCAAAAAUCAAAAUACUUUUUGUGUCCCUGACUUUAAGGGCGAAUAAGAAAGUCAGUGAUGGUGGAAGGGUAUAUUUGAAAGACAAAAUAGUAAUUUUACAGAGAUAACAGAGUUAAUUAAUAAAUUUUAACUCUAGGGAUAUAUUAGAAAUAAGUUGUAACGUAAAAAGAAUAUUUUUAAUAUUAGCCUUCUAAGAUGGGUAAAUCGAAAAGUCGAGAACUUUUUAGGGGUACGUAAGCAAUUGCCCUAUAUAAUAUUAUAUCAAUCAAACUUAUAAGCCUGAAUUAUGCAAAGUUCAUAUUCUCACCGCGAGUGAGCACAAGAUGCAACCACUGUUAAUUUCCCAGCAUCCGCAAGACAAAUUUGUACAAAUAUUCUCCCAUUUUGGGUUAAACAUGUAAGGAGCACCCUCAACUAUACCACGUUACCAAAUGUACCCCUCAAACUAUACCACAGGAUUCUUACAACCAAGAAGUUCUUGAUUGUAAGGCUUGCCUUGCCCAUAUUUUUAUCUGAUUUAUAACUUCUAAGUUUUUUAAUUAUCUUUAUUUAUUUUGUUUUAGUCAUUCAAAUUUAAAUUUUAGGAGUGUUUGGUCCCUGGUUGCAUGAGGCCACGCAAAAUCUCCGCUCAGGAGCUGCAUCAUGCAGCUAAUCAACCCCUUUAUCAAGUUAUAUCUGUAUAAAGUGUCACCCUGUAAUUAAUUUUCAUUCAUAAAAUAUUUGAACUUUAUAAAAUAAAUUAUAAAUAUAUAUUGUAUAUAAAAAUGAAUAAAAAAUUUUAUGUCGACAAAUGAAAUUUUAAAUGCAAUAAAGAGUAUUUCAUACACAUUGGAGGAAUUUUUAAAAAUAAUUAACUAACUAAAAAUAAUUUAUGUUGUGAAUUCGAUCUAUAGAUUUAAAUCUAAAUUCAAGCUUUAAUAUAAAUUUUAAAAUGAAUUCAAAUGUUUAAACUUAGCGUAUACACUAAAAAAAUAGCAUGUUACAAACCACAUAUUAAAAAUAUUUAUGAUAUAACAAAAUUGAAAACAUACUUAGAAAUAAAUAAAAUUUAGAAAAUAAGUCAAUUAAAAACUAGACUCGUGCCACAAAUAAUCAUUUAAAUUUAAAAUAUAGAUUUCAAAUCUAUUUGUAAAUGUGACAUGCAUCACACGUACACUAUACUAGUAUAAUAAAAACCUGCAGUCCGCUUUGACAUUACCGCUAUUUUUAUUUUUUAAUAUUAAUUUUAUAUAAUUUGCUAUAAUGCUAGAAUUACUAUUAUUUUAGAUAUGAUUAGUUAGCUAGAAAUGGACUCAAGUGAUAGGUGACGAUCUCUAAAUUUUUUCUAAAGAAUAUGAAAGUGGUUACAAAUAUUUUUUUAUUUCUAAAAUAAAUAAAUAUUUGAAUGUAUGAAUUUGGAGGUAAUCUAACAUUCCUUUGCAUACUAUUUACAUAGAAUUGUUAUAUAUUUUUAGUUUGAUGUAAAUGAUAUUUAUAUUAUUAAAAACAAUGGAAAUUAGGAGGGGUUAGGUGUUAACCAAAAAAAAAAAAAAGGAGAGGAGUUGGGGAUGAAUGUUAGAGGAACAAAUAGUGGAGGGGUGUCUAUACAUUUUUACCGCUGUUUCUUUCGCUUUUUCCAGUCGCCCCCCUCGUCACUUCUCGUUCUCCAUUUUCAUCAGUCUCCCGACUCUCCACCCAGAUCUACUAACCUGCGCCCCCUCCUCUCCACCCGGCGCACGAUAGCCGGGCCCAACCCUUCCCCUUAAACCCUAGACCCCGCCGCCUCCGCCGUGCUCGGAGGAGUCGCCGCCUCCCAUGGCGUCCCCCUCCGGAAACCCUAACCAAUCCAGCCCCUUCGAGCUCGGGAAGCUGUUCAAGCCCCCUCCCAACCCUAACCCUAACCCUAGCGCACCCCCUCCCUUCCCGCCUCCGUCCUCCUACGCCGCCGCUCCGCCGCCGUACCAGGCGGCGCCGCCGCCCCUCGGGCCCUACUCGUACCCUCCCGCCACGCCGCCGCUCCACCACCACCCCUUCCUCCACUACCCCAAGGAGCCCCUCCACCGCCCCACCAUCUCCUACCCCGCGCCCCCUCCCCACCUUACGAGCCCGACCCCGAGCCCGACCCCGAACCCUAGCCCCCCCGCGGGGCCGAACGCCGGCGCCCGCCUCAUGCAGCUCCUCGGGAACGCCGCCCCGACCCACCUCGAAUCGGUGGUCUCGAUGCCCCUCCCCUCAUCCAUCCUGCAGGACUUCCCGCCGCCGCCGUCGCCUGCGGCGAGCUCGCCGAUCUUGCAGGCGAUCCCGUCGGCGCCGCCGGCCGUCAUGGCGGGGGUCGCGCAGCCGCCGCCGGCGAGGAUGCCAAGCAGCAAGAUGCCGAGGGGGCGGCACCUCGGCGCCGGCGAUCGGGCCGUGUACGACGUGGACUCGAGGCUGCAAGGGGAGUCGCAGCCGCCUCAGCUCGAGGUGACGCCGAUCACCAAGUACACCUCGGAUCCGGGGCUCGUCCUGGGCCGUCAGAUCGCGGUGAACAGGUCGUACAUUGUUUACGGUCUCAAACUCGGCAAUAUCAGGGUGCUCAACAUCAACACGGCGUUGAGGUCUCUUCUUCGGGGGCACACUCAGGUUUGAUCUUGUAGAACACUUAUUAUCUGAGCUCUCUAUAUGGUCCACCUCUUCAUACAAAUGUUUAACUUUGAAGUUCUUGUGAUAUAACGGUAUUCUUCGCCAUAUUUGGAUGGUCUUGUGAUUAUUUGUUAUCCCAAUUCAUAGUGGAAUGACCAUACACCAUACGCCAUACGCCAUACGCCAUACGCCAUACGCCAUACGCCACCUAUAUGAGUAAAGAUUUGGAGUGCCUUUUUCUUCGCCUCCUUUUCAAGAUUUGGACUUCUAUUAGUGAAAUCUUUGCAAAAGUUUUAGCAUUCUCCUGAUGCGGAUGAGAUAGCUACAUGAGAUAGCUACGUACUGGCUUGUGAGAACUGGUUUUGUAGACUCGAACUUCGAAUUGAAUUCUCAAAUCUAAAAUAAAGGUUGAGGGAUUCUUCUUGUGGUCAUAUUACUUCAUCUCCUAGCUUGCUUUUAUUUAGUGAGCUGACUUGGUAUGUAUCAUUGUUGGAUGAGAUCUAACUUUGUCAAAGCAGUCCAUUUAAGUUCUAUAAUUUCUUGAAAUUGAUUUGAUAUUUGUAAUUGCUGGGAUAUUGAUUUGAUUUCAGGUUCUUAUAUAGUGGUUUUUUGUAUGCUUAAGAUGUGCAAGAAUCAUGUCCUUUUUACUGCAAAUUCUGCUCUUUACCCUUCGUGUUAAUUACAUUUUUAUUUUCUUUAGAGGGUUACGGACAUGGCUUUCUUUGCUGAAGAUGUUCACCUUUUAGCAAGGUAACUUUGUGUAUGUUACCUCUUUGUCUCUUCCCUGUUUUUUCUUCAAUGCAUUUUAUCGAUUUCCCUGGUUUUUUUACAGUGCCAGUGUAGAUGGGAGGGUUUUUGUGUGGAAGAUUGAUGAGGGACCUGAUGAGGAAAAUAAGCCACAAAUAACAGGAAAAAUUGUUAUUGCGAUACAGAUUGUCGGAGAUGCAGAAUCGUUUCAUCCAAGAAUAUGUUGGCACUCUCACAAACAAGUAAAGCCAGCUUUCUAAGAUUACUCUUACAUUGAAGCACUUUUUUUUUCCCCUGAAUUUUAUUAAGUUAACUCCGUGCCAUGAUUACUGUAUCUCAGGAGAUUUUAUUUGUUGGAAUUGGCAAACUUGUCCUAAAGAUUGAUGUAACGAAAGUAGGACGUGGAAAAGAGUUUACUGCAGAGGAACCUCUUAAAAGCCCAAUGGAGAAGCCGAUCGAUGGAGUGCAGCUUAUUGGUAAACAUGAUGGGGAUGUGACUGAUUUAUCGAUAUCCCAGUGGAUGACAACUCGAUUAGCUUCAGCAUCAAAAGAUGGCACGGUUUGUAAUUCUUCUUGACUGCACGCCGCUGUGAUGUUUGUCUUUAUUUGUAGUAGUAAUAUAUCUGUUUUCAUGCAUAUAAUAUAUGUAGGAGAUAGUUGUUUCCUUCAUUUAAUAGCAAAUGAUACUUUAAGUUUGCAUAUUGCAUUCCUAGCCACACACUAUUGGACAUGAAUACAGUGCUAGUGUUACUGGCAGGAUUCGGCAAUACUUCCGUUUUGAUACUGGUUGCCCUGUUUGGAUGUUGGAAUUAGUUUUCCAAGAAUAAGGUAUUCCGUAUAAGAUUUUCUAGUAUGAUUGUAAAUAAGGAGUUUGAUUUUUGCUCCUUCAAAUAUUUUGCAAUCAAUGAUUUGGUAGGACAACAUAUUUCACCUACGAGGUGAUUUAUCUUAUCUAAAAAGAUGAUUUGAAGGCCAAUAUAGUAUCUAAUUCUAAACAUUCGAUCACAUUCCUUAUCAAUCAAAAAUACAAAAUUUUUGAAUAAAUCAAAGGGAUAUGCCAAACAAGAUAUUCAUGUAUCUAAACAGGAUCUUAUUCUUUCUGCCUCUCCCAGUACUUCUGGAUUAUAAGCCUAAUGAUUUUGUGUAACAUCUGAAUGCAUAAGCUGUUUAAACUUGUAUGAUGCAAUGCUUCAAGAGGAUUUCUCAUAAUAAAUAAAUGAGUGAAACAAUGUUUUAACUUGUAAGGCAGCAUAGUUUUUACUUUUCUGGUGCAGUUUUGGUUACUAACACCCUAUUACAACUAUAUUUUUACUACAGGUAAAGAUUUGGGAUGAGCGCAAGGGAGUGCCUCUUGCUAUUUUGAAGCCACAUGAUGGGCAAGCUGUUAACUCUGUUGCAUUCUUGACAUCACCUCAUCGUCCCGAUCACAUCAAUCUUAUAACAGCUGUAUGUGUUCUUAUUGCCAUUCCGAUUUCUUCUUGAUGGUAGUCAUUUUAUAGCUUUAUUCUUUAGAUAUAUUUUCUGACAUGAUCUUCUCAACAUUUAUCAAUUUUGCAUUCUUUAUAGUCAAAUUAGUCAGCAUUAACAUGCAUCUGAUCCAUGGUGACUUCUCUAACAGUUUCUUAUUUGUGUUAUUAGGGUCCGCUAAACCGAGAAGUUAGAAUUUGGGCUUCUGAGAGUGAAGAAGGUUGGCUAUUGCCAAGUGAUUCUGAAUUGUGGCAGUGUAAUCAAACCUUGGAUUUGAGAAGUUCUUCAGAACCUCGGCUUGAGGAGGCCUUCUUUAACCAAGUUGUGGUUUUGCCUCGAGCAAGCCUCAUUAUACUUGCAAAUGCAAAAAAGAAUGCAAUAUAUGCAGUCCAUAUUGAAUAUGGCCCAUUUCCAGCUGCUACACGCAUGGAUUACAUAGCAGAUUUCACCGUUACAAUGCCAAUUUUGAGUCUCACGGGAACCAAUGAAUACCUUCCUGAUGGAGAACAGGUCGUUCAAGUCUAUUGUGUUCAGACAAUGGCUAUUCAGCAGUAUGCCCUGGAUUUGGCACAAUGUCUACCUCCACCAAAUGAUGGUAAUACUACACUGGGAAGAGAUUCUUCUGUCUCUCGUUCUUUUGACGCCCUUACUUUGGAAACAGCUGAAGCUUCCCGUGGAAGUACUUCUAGCAUCGCUGAGAGUGCAAUUGCGACUUCAGACCCUGCAUCCUCGGCUUCUGCAGAAGUUAUUAGUAGUCGUGAUUUCUCUGUAUCUAAUCUUGAAGUCAAACCAUCAGCACCUCCACUUCUUUAUUCAGAGGCUGAUGCCUCACGUGUUCCAACAUUGCCCAUUCCUUUGGAUAUAGAUCUUGCAGGAAUUCCUGCUUUAAAAAGCCCUUCAAAAGGUUCUGAACAUGCACCUGAUACUCCUGCAAAUAAUAACAUGGCAAGGGAGGAACCUAGAGGGGGUCAAACUGAUAUAUCAUCAGUUCAGGAUCCUCAUUUAAUGUUUAAACCAGGUGGCAAUCCAACCCAUCUUAUAACUCCAUCUGAAAUUAUGGCAGGUGUCUUAUCUUCCUCUGAGAAUACUCAGGUCAAUCAAGCAAUAAAAAGCAAUGAAUUGAAAAUUAAAGAUAGGGCCGCUAGUGAUAGCUAUGAGAGUGUAGAGAUGGACGUAAAGGUUGUGGAUGAGAGUAGAUUAAACCAAAAUUUGGAAUUCACUAGAAAAGAUUCUCAAGGUGCUCUCGAGGAGAACAAAGAAAAAAUCGCCAAAAAUUCAGAAACCAGUACUGAGGUAGUUGAUCGAGAUUCUGCACUAAAAGAGAUUUCUGGUUUGGAAGAUUUGCAUUCUAGAGAUGAAAAGACAACUGCAGAGUUCUUGGAGCAGCCACCUGGUACUAGUAAGGAAGAGGUGCAAGACAGCACGAAAGAUGUCCCCGAGAAAUUUGAAGAGUCGGCUGUUGCUACUGUAGCACAAUCUGCUUCAGCUGCAAAAGGGAAGAAGCAGAAAGCGAAGCAACCUCAAGCAUCCAUUCCAUCGUCCCCUGUUGUAAGCCCUUUUAACUCUACGGACUCAUCAAAUGAACCAGGAAGCAGCGAGAGUGUACCUCCAACUGAUGCUGUUUUGCCUCAAAUCUCAUCCAUGCAUGACAUGUUGAACCAGGUGAUUUUUCACUCAGAAGCAACAUCCUUAUGUCCGUGUAUUUAGCUUUUAACAUUAGAUUAGUUGCUUCUCUCUAUUCACGUCUCACUUGAUUCGUAUUAGAAAGUUCUCUUCUAAAAUUGGUAAAUGCAUGAUUAGAAGAGUAGUAUUUUAUAAGAUGUGCAACUUAUACUACAUAUUUGUCAAUUUUCUUGUGAUUUUAGCAUCCUUUUCUAAUGAUGGCAUUUCUCUUAUGUUUUUGAACUGUUUAAAUAAUAGUACUGAGAUUGCUGGCCUUAAACAUGGAUGAAAAAUUAAUUGAUUUGUGCAAAUUACUUAGAAAAAUCUUCUAAUUGUUUUACUGCUGUCAGAAAAGGAAGUGUUAGUUUGUAAUAAUUUGUGUGGUUAUUGUUACUUUUGUUCUGUCUUAUUAAUAUUUGCUUGGAUGGAAAUGAACGGUAAAAUUGUUUAAUGAUUGACUUCCUGGAUUACUUGGUUCUUAUACAAAAAUUUGACCACUAUUUGUUAAUCUGAAGAUUCUAUAAAGCUUUCGCAUGCAAGCUAAUAUAAGUCUAGUUGAACAGGAGUUUACUGAUUGCCAUGGGCUAUGUCACAGGUUAUUGCAUUGCAAAAGGAUCUGCAGAAACAGAUGAGUGUAAUGGUUGUUGUUCCUGUUACCAAGGAAGGCAAAAGAGUGGAAGCAGCCCUAGGGAGGACAAUGGAGAAAUCUAUCAAGGCUAAUGUCGACGCUAUGUGGGCCCGCUUCCAAGAGGAAAAUGCGAAAUUUGAGAAGGCUGAGAGGGAUCGAACCCAACAGAUUACUAAUUUGAUCACAAGCUGUAUGAACAAGGAUCUACCUACCUUAUUCGAAAGGGCACUAAAGAAGGAAAUAUCAGCUCUGGCUCCUGCUGUAGCUCGCGCAAUGACACCGGUUGUCGAGAAGACCAUAUCUUCAGCUAUAGCGGAUGCCUUUCAGGUUGUGUUUAAAUUCAUGUUACUAUUUUGUCAUUGAUUUGCUGAACUAUCCGGGACCAUUAAUACUUUUUUCUUUCAGAGAGGGGUUGGGGAUAAGGCAGUGAAUCAGCUGGAGAAGUCGGUUAAUUCGAAACUGGAAGCUACGGUGGCUAGGCAAAUCCAAGCACAGUUCCAAACUUCCGGCAAACAAGCUCUUCAGGUGUGAUGGCUUUGCAAAAUCUUCUUUUGUACACCUUGCAUUAUAUUACCCAUGAUUUAAAUCAGUGUUUUAGUGCUUGUAUAGUUUGUCCUUUUAAGACUAUCGUAAGGUUUUCUUUUUUCUUUUCCUUUUUUCCUCUUCUGAUAUUCUGAGACUGCUAUCUACAUGAUGCCAAGUUCUCGCUCUAUAACUAUAUUGCACUAGUCCUCUGGAAAAGCUAUCUUUUCUGAUUACACAGUUUCAUAUGUAAUUAAAGAAGCUGUUCUAAUAAUGGAUGCAUAUACAGGAUUCAUUGCGAUCUUGUUUGGAAUCAUCACUUAUCCCUGCAUUCGAGCAAUCUUGUAGAGUAAUGUUUGAGCAAGUUGAUGCCACAUUCCAGAAAGGCAUGUCUGAACACACUGCCGCUGCUCAGCAGCAACUGGAGGCGGCACAUACUCCACUGGCUAUUACUCUGAGGGUAAGUGUUAGCCUUGUAUAUUAAUAGUUAUCCCAAGAGAAUUUUUUGAUAAUAUAAUGUUUAAAUUGCAUCGGAGGUGCCUCCCCUUUCUAGAAGCUCUAAAUUUGUACCUAACUUUCAGUCGUUACAAUUGGGCCUCUAACCUUCUUAUUAAACUUUUCUUCAAGUUCAUCAAUAUUAUGAGCCCCUCUGGUUGAAAUUAUGCUAAUAUAAACAAUGUGAACUAGUUAAUUUACUAAUAGACAGUAACUUGUGUUCUUUCUCUUUUACAGGAUGCAGUCAACUCUGCAUCAUCGAUCACCCAGAGUCUCACCACUGAAUUAGUUGAUGGCCAGCGCAAGUUGUUGGCUCUUCUUGCGGCGGCAAACCCUAAAGCAGUCAAUCCAAAUGCCCAGGCAAACAAUGGCCCUAUGGCUGGUCUUCCUGAUUUGGUAACACUCUUUUCUUUGUCCAUUUCUUUGAUUUCUGCCUCUCUUAUUUUAUUAUGGGUGUCUCUUCCUCUCUCUCUCUCUCUCUCUCUCUCUCUCUCUCUCUCUCUCUCUUUAACUGGCUUAUUUUGGAAACCAAUAUAGCAAAAAGUACUUGCGCAUGAUGUGUACAAAAUAUUUCACACUCACUUCUAGCAGGCCUUAUCUGUUCAGCAGGUUGAGGCACCAUUGGAUCCCACAAAGGAACUGAAUAGACUGAUAUCUGAAAGGAAGUACGAGGAAGCUUUCACGAUGGCUCUUCAAAGAAGCGAUGUCUCCAUUGUCUCUUGGCUUUGCUCUCAGGUCUAAGUUCAGAAAUUACUUAGCCCGGAUGUUUCAAGGAGCUUAGAUAUAAAGGGCCUGUUUUGCCUUGGAGUUUUUGCAGAAAUGCUGUUUUUGAGAGCAGUUUAAAAAAGCACUAAUAACUUUUUUGUGAAAACCUUCUUCAUUGCUUAUUUCUGCUGCAGAAACAGGACCCCCAAAUUGAAGCUUUUGCCUUUUGAGCCGAAAAUCUCAUUUUAGUUUCGCCCACAAAACUGUCUGGGCUAUUUGUUAUUAAAUGGUCGAUUUCUAGGAGUUUCUGCGUUGUAGAUGAAGCUAUGCCAGAAGUGACACCACUCUUGCUACAAAUAGGUUUCGAUAACCUCGGCACUUUAAAUUUUACUAGUUUGUUUUCAUGUUUCCCAUUUUGGGUAUCCUUUCUUGCAGGUUGAUUUGCAUGGGAUAUGCUCCACCGUGCCGCUUCCGCUUAACCAAGGAGUGCUCCUCGCUCUUCUACAGCAGUUAGCAUGCGACAUCAGCAACGAGACGUCACGUAAGGUCGCGUGGAUGACGGACGUGGCCGUUGCGAUCAAUCCCACCGACCCAAUGAUCUCGGUUCACGUGCGGCCGAUAUUCGAGCAAGUCUACAACAUUUUGGCCCACCAAAGAUCACUACCGUCCACGACAGCUUCUGAAGCUACCAAUAUCCGGCUUAUAAUGCACGUCAUCAACUCGGUGCUAAUGAGCUGUAAAUGAUCUCCGUCUCCCUCCCCCCCCCCACCUUCUGUGAUUUGUUAGUGUGCAGCUGAAACCUUUUGUAUAGGCUAAAAAAUAAAAAAAAGGAGAGAAAUUAGAGGGACAAUUGAGUAACGUUUGGACUUUUACUGGGGGUGUUUUGUAAUGUAAAUUAGAUGGUAGGAGACCGGUAUCAUCCCCCCUUUUCUCAUUUCGUCCAUCGUCGCAGUUCUUUUAAAUUUAGGGGGUAAAAAAAUUGCCAUCUUUUUUUCUUCUAUUUUAAUUUUGUUAAGUGUCUAUCAACAAAAGGUGGGCCUAAAGGUUUGUAUCUUCUGCUUUGUCGAUGAGCUAUGCUUUCUCUGUGGUGGCUAUCUUUUAUUAGCAGAGUCCUAAAUUGUUGUUACGUCCUUUGAAACUCUGGGAUUAUGAGGCUGAUAAUAUUUGCAGUAGCACAAACAUUUACUUGCUACAUUUUUUUUCUUUUUUUUGUAAGUGAAAACCAGUUUACUUCAACACAAACAUUGGUUGUGUCGAGUUCAAAGUUAAGCUUGUUUAGUCUCGCAGAUUUAUCCUUGCGACUGACCUUAAAAUUGCAUUCUAUGUACAUUGCGAAAAGCUGCUAAUGGAAGAGUUAUAAAUGAUAGCUGAAUCGUUGCUUUAUAAUCGAAACGGAAUAUUAUCUUAUGUCAAAAAACAACAAAAAAAUAGACUGAAUAAAAUGUUUCUACGUCCGAACAAAACUAAAUCGCAAUAUGGAAAAGAAAGGUUCAGCCACUUGAGAAAGAUUGGAUUCGGAAAUUUUUGUCAUAUCACGUUGUUAUCGCGUUUCGUCGUAUCCUAUUCAACGUUGGGUGCUCCAAAGCCGCGCAGCAAAAGUACCAAAAAUCUGAGCUACGCAUGACUGGGACAAACAACAGCAACAACAACAAAAACCGUGAAUACGAAGAUACACAUGCACGUGAUCCUCGAUAAAAAAAGACAUACUGAAUUCUCAGGUAAGUUUGUCUCCUCCGUGAUGGCGGUCCUUUUCGGGGAGCCACUUUAACUUGGAUUCGCGUGGCUAGUUAUGGCCUGCUGCUAAUCUCAGCCUACAGUUUGAUAUUAUAAUUGCCAAAAUUUCCUCUUUAAUUUGCAUUAUACAAAGCUAAAACGAUAAAAAAAUAUUUUCAAUUUAUUCUUCUCGUAUACUGAAGAAUUGCAAUUACAAUUGCCGCCGAAAGAAGCAUGUCACGCUCAGCAAUUGCGUCUCCUCUGUGAUCGUGGUCCUUUUUGCGAACCACCUUAUUUUGGACUCACAUAUGUGGCUAGUACUUACCAUUUACUUGUCCCAAAAACCAUUAUUUUUACGCUAUAUAUAUACAUGGAAAAAAAAAGUAAAAAUUAUUUUUAUAUUCUUUUAUACUACAAAAUUUCGGUUGCAACCGCUAUCUUAGCAUCAUUAUGUGCUAGAUGGUUGCAGUUGUGAUUUUAUAGCAUAAUAGGAGAAAAAAUUGGAAGAACUGAUGAAUUUUUUGAACCUUUCCCUGGUGUAAAAAUAGCAUAUUUUUUUAUCCACCACAUUACCAAGCUAAGCUUUACUUGGAUAUAACACAAUUGCACAAUCCCUCCAAACUUAAUUAGCUUGUUUUAAUUCCAUGGCAUUUUCAUUUUCCAUUUUUGAGCUCGACAUAAUAGUGCUUUUUUCCUUCUAAGUAAUUACAGUUAGUUCUGAAACCCUUCAUUCAUAAAGAUGGUGGCUUCAAUUCCCUACGUCCAUGCCUACUUCAAGUGUAUCUCAUCUGUUCCCAUCUUUAGGCUUUUGUCCGGGCAAAUUUUUGAUAGAUAAAUAGUUAAUUAGUUAACAGGUCUCUAAAGAGUAAUCAAGGGCAUAUUUGGUGAACUGCUGUUAAAUAAAAGCUAUUAGAAGAAGAACCAUUUCAUUCAAAAUCCUCCAAGACCUAGAAGCAUGUUAAUAUUGAUCAAAUGAAUGUUAAACAAUAUACAAAAUGGAUGUUGUGAUACUUCCAGAAGUAGGUGGAGGUGCAUGUGUAUAUGGUAGCUACCCCUCUCAUGCCCAUGAGUAAGCAAGAAUCUUAUUUAUCUCACAUGUGAUCUAUAAUCUUCUCGGUUGAGGACAAAGAUGAUUUGUCGAGAAAUUCUAAAAUGAUGGUCUAAUUAUGUUUUGAUUAGUUUUGUUUUUGCUUUUUUUUUUUUUCUGUGUAUUCAUGUUUCCGUGGUCUGACUUUGUUUCUGAAUUGAAUAGCAUUUUACUUUUUUGUAUUAAGUUAGUGAUAUUAAAUUUAUAAUUUCAUUUUGAGUAUUUCAUAUUGAAUAGAGCAGAACAGAUGCCCUUAAUACAUAUACAUCAAAAAAUAGUUUAAUAUACAACUUAUUAAUUUGACCCCUCACAUAUUAGACCAACAAUUAACUGCUUAAAUAGCAUAAAUGUUGAGGCUAAGUAAAGAGAAUUAUAUGCGCAAAAGCAAAGGGAAGUGGCUCGUCUUUGUUGGCACAACAGUAUCAUUCCCUUGUGUGUACAUUAAGGCAAAUGAAUGAUGAAUAUUAAUCAAUAAACCUGGUUAAUUCACUACGUAAUCUUCAUAAUUUUCGUGUUUUAGAAGAAACAAACUCAUCCAAUGAUUAUUCUAUUAUCAAUCAUUAGCUUUCUCUAAAUUAUCACAUUGCAAUCUCUCUGAAAUGACAAAUUUAUCCUUUCAAUUCUAUUAAUAAAUUUUAUACAAAUAAUAAUAAUGAUUAUACUAAUUAGUGUAAUUUGUUGGUACUUUUGUGAUUUCAAACUAGUUUUAUAAGAACUUCGAAAUAUAAAUAAGGGAAAACUUCAAACCCCCCCUGUGGUUUCACACUUUUUCAUUUUAGUACCCUGUGGUUUGAAGUGUAUCAAGUUAGUACCCUGUGGUUUCUCACUUUAUCACUUUAGUACCCUGUGGUUUAAAAUGUAUCAAGCUAGUACCCUGUGGUUUUGCACUUUAUCACUUUAGUACCCUAUGGUUUCACACUUUAUCACUUUAGUACCUUGUGAUUUAAAAAACUAUAGGGUACUAACUUGAUACAAAAUUAAAACCACAGGGUACUAAAGUGAUAAAGUGCAAAACCACAGGAUACUAACUUGAUACACUUUAAACCACAGGGUACUUAAGUGAUAAAGUGAGAAACCACGGGGUACUAACUUGAUACAUUUUAAACCACAGGGUAUUAAAGUAAAAAAAAUUGAAACCACAAGGAGGGUUUUUGAAGUUUUCCCUAUAAAUAAUAUAAAAUUAUAGAGGGUAAUUUGGUCAUUUUACUUGGGGCUCCAACUAAAACCUCCCUGUACUCCCGAUACGCCACCUAUGAUCCGACGCAGACGAUUAGACGAUCGUGACGCUUUGACUCAACACGUCAAACCGACGUGUCCUUUGGCUCUGACUCGGACCUAAACCGGCCCACCCAGGCACCUCACCCCGAGAUCCGGUCGGUCCACGGCCGGUCCGAACCCGGGCCCAAAAAACCGGGUCCAGUCCCGCCAGAAUAUAUUUUCUAGCAGCCAAUAGUAACUCGACACGUCCGUCCUUCCACGUCAGCAGGACAUAUUCACCACUCAACUUAAAAGCAGUAAAGCACCCACCGAAAAGUGUGGGGCCCACUUCCCAAAGAGUGGGUUCAAAAAGUGGGUGCGAAUGGCGGGUGAGAGGUGCGCCGAGCCGACCGUUGGGCACUUCCCGCCACUGCCACCCUGUCUACGGUUGGGAAUUGUGGUGGGCGCAUUUAAUAAUUAGCUUUUUAAUUUUAAUUUUAAUUUUUUUUUCAUUUAUUGAUGCUCCACGAUCCUAUAAAAGGGAUCGGGGAGGCAUAAUCCCCCUUUGUAAUUUGCUUUAUCUGUGUUUGUUCGAGGGAGUUUCUCUGAGAUCAAGAGAGAUCUCUCCUCUCUUAUUAAUUUGAGGGUUUUUUUUUUUUUGAAAAAAAAAGAUUUUUUGGGAGGGUUCGUGAGUGAUUUCGAUCAAUUUGGGGGGAUUGAAAUUGUGGGUUUGUUGUUAAUUUCUUAAUUUGAAUUGCAAAUUGGGGAAAAAUGACGGUUGGGGCUGGGAUUAGUGUUCAAGAUGGGAAUUUGAUGGUGUUGGGGACUAGGAUUUUAUCCGAUGUUCAUGGGAACAUAAUUUUGACCCCGGCGAGUGGGAAUGGAUUGAUGAACGGGGCGUUCAUCGGCGUUCGAUCCGAUCGCGGCGGAAGCCACAAUGUUUUCCCCAUUGGAAAGCUUCAGUAAGUUCUCGGAAAAAAAAAAAAUGCGUUUUUUGAUGUAUGAUGUAUCAGUGCUCUUUGAUUUCCUUUUCUUUCUUUUAUUAAUUUUUGUUGGUCUCUUUUUUCAAGUAUGUUUAUUGUUUCUUUCUUUUUCUUUCUUUUUUAGGUCGAUUUUCUUUCAUGGUGGAAAUAAAUAUAAUUGUGACAUGCAAUAAUUUGGCUAACAGAUCGCAUGCUAAUGAUUUAGUUUUUAUAAAUUUAUUUCCUUUCCAUCAGAUUCUAUGCAGUUCAUCAAUUAUUUCAUGGGUUUUAGUCUCAUGCAACAAUUUAUUAUUAUCAUUCAUAUAUUUCUGCUAGAAUUGUAUGAUAAACUCUAUAUCAUGCUCUCGGAAUCACAGGGAUUUACGAUUCAUGUGCACCUUCCGAUUCAAGCUGUGGUGGAUGACACAGAGGAUGGGUUCAUCCGGCCGAGACAUCCCCUUCGAAACCCAAUUCUUGAUUGUCGAGGGAACCGAUUGUUCACAAUUUGGGGAGGGGAGUGAAGAUGGGUUCGGUCGAUCCGCGGUCUACACCGUGUUUCUCCCAAUUCUGGAGGGUGCCUUUCGCGCUGUUCUUCAGGGCAACGCGAACGAUGAGCUCGAAAUUUGCUUAGAAAGCGGUACGAGUUUUUAGUAUUAUCUCCUUUUCCUCUUGCAAGUGUGAUACUGAGCUUAAAGAAAAAAGAAUUUCAGGAAAUCAAGAAAUUAUAAUUGUUUUCUGAGAGGUUAGUGAUUAAGGAUUAUUGCAUUUUGAUAUUUCAGGUGAUCCAGCGGUUGAAUCUUUCGAAGGAACCCAUUUAGUUUUCGUCGCUGCUGGAUCGGAUCCGUUUGAGGUCAUUACAGAUGCUGUAAAGUAAGUUUCCUGUACCUUCUACAAUUGGAAUUAUUUAGCCUUAUUGUCAUGCUCUUAGCAGGGCUUCCUCGCUUAAGUUAAUAGAUGGACCAAGCAAGAUAAUGAUUGUGUCCAACAAGUUUGGUAUAUAUGCGACUCAUCAAGUUUGUACUAAAACCUGAUUGAUAUAGUUUUUCUCGCAACCAAUAGAGACCGCGUAGUCUGUCAAUAAAGAAUGAUUUCAUAUUUUCGUGCCUUAGCGGUGGGAAAGAUCACAAAUGGAAUGUUAGUAAGAAAAGAUGUGCUUUUUUAUCGUUUGUUAGUCAUUACUGUUGGCUCAAAAUAGAGCUGAUUGAAGGAAUAAGCUCAUACGGCCGAUACAGAAUAAUUGAGGCUGAAGCCUUUUUGUAGGUGUUUAUGUUUCUAAUCCUAUGUCUACUACUUAUUUAUCUUGUAAACCUUUAACUUCUUAUAGGACCAUCGAAAGGCACUUGCAAACUUUCUCACACAGGGAAAAGAAAAAGGUAUAAUAAAAUCCUAAUAUCAUUAUAUAUAGGUUUCAUAUAUUCUUCAAUUGGUUACUUGGACUUAAUUAUAUUCAUGUUCUCAACAGAUGCCAGACAUGCUAAACUGGUUUGGUUGGUGCACAUGGGAUGCUUUUUAUACCGAUGUAACAGCGGAGGGAGUAAAGCAAGGACUCGAAAGGUGCCUUCGUAUCCUUCUACUUAUUUCUAGUGCUUAAUCUUGGCUGAUAAUUAGACAUCUCAUCUGUUUUGUUUUGUUCUCAGCUUAGAGAAAGGGGGAAUUGCUCCUAAAUUCGUCAUAAUCGAUGAUGGUUGGCAAUCGGUGGUCAUGGACCCAACUGAAAUUGCUACUGAAUCUGAUAAUGCAGCAAAGUAAGCACUCAAGAAGCACUUCUUCUGAAGCUGCUAUUUUGCAUGAACAUUUUUCGUUAUAAUUUGUCAAAAUGUUCUUGUAUUAACCGUUUCCCUCCCCCCCCACCUUUUUUUCCUUUUCUUCUCGAUUAGCUUUGCAAAUAGGUUAACCCAUAUCAAGGAGAACUAUAAAUUCCAGAAGAAUGGGAAAGAGGGCCACCGUGACGAGGAUCCAGCGAACGGCCUUGCUCAUGUUAUUUCCGAAAUUAAGGAAAAGCAUGAACUGAAGUAAGACAUCAUUGCUCUCUAUUAGACAAGAUGUAAAUUUUCAAUUUCUAACUGUAUUUUUUGAUAAAAUUGAUCGAUAAUUUUUUAUCUGAUUUUGAUUUUGAUUUUCUUCUCUCUCAGAUAUGUCUAUGUGUGGCAUGCAAUUACUGGUUACUGGGGUGGAGUAAAGCCGGGUGUUACUGAAAUGGAACGGUAUGAAUCGAAAAUGCAAUUCCCUGUUUCGUCCCCUGGCGUUCAGUCCAACGAACACUGUGAUUGUUUGAAUAGCAUAACAAAUAACGGACUCGGCCUUGUUAAUCCAGAGAAAGUGUACAAUUUUUACAAUGAACUUCACUCUUAUCUUGCCUCUGCCGGGAUAGAUGGGGUGAAAGUAGAUGUCCAGAACAUUCUAGAAACACUAGGUGCCGGCCACGGCGGAAGGGUACAGCUUGCCAGAAAGUACCACCAAGCUCUAGAAGCUUCUAUUGCAAUGAACUUCCGCGACAAUGGGAUUAUAUCAUGCAUGAGCCAUAAUACUGAUAACUUGUACAGGUAGGCCAUUCAGUCUGUAUCUGAAUUCUUUGGCAUGUUGCUUAUAUGGUGAAGUAUUAGGACAGGUGAAUUAAUACUCAAAUCUCUUUUGCUUUCUUUUUGGGGUUUUAGCUCGAAGAGAACGGCAGUUGUGAGGGCUUCUGAUGAUUUCUGGCCGAGAGAUCCAGCAUCGCACACUAUACACAUUGCAUCUGUUGCAUAUAAUACUGUUUUUCUUGGAGAAUUCAUGCAGCCUGAUUGGGAUAUGUUCCAUGUAAGUGAUUUUACAAUCGCUUUUUUAAACACCGCUAUGCGAUAAUCUACUAUAUUUAUUGCUGACUUUGGCUCUAUUUAUAAAAGAGUGUUCACCCUAUGGCCGAGUACCAUGGAGCGGCUCGAGCAGUCGGCGGUUGUGCCAUAUAUGUUAGGUAAAUUGAAAUUGCUUAGAACUUAAGUUUAGUAAUAAUUCAAAUUAAAGAUUCAUUACGUAUGUAUAAAAUGUUUCAUGCAGCGACAAGCCGGGAAACCAUGACUUCAACCUAUUGAAGAGACUUGUUCUUUAUGAUGGGUCUAUCUUGAGAGCUAAACUUCCUGGGAGACCCACAAGAGACUGCUUGUUUUCAGACCCUGCUAGGGAUGGAAAGAGGCGAGGAUCAGCAAUUUUUUGUUGAUUAACUUUUUUUUUAUCUUUCGCUUUAGUAAUGCUUUCUAACUGUAGUUUCUUUGAAUUUUUGAAUUCUUCGUUGCAGCCUUCUAAAGAUAUGGAAUUUGAAUGAGUAUUCUGGAGUUAUUGGGGCCUUCAAUUGCCAGGGAGCCGGCUGGUGUAGAGUUGGGAAGAGGAAUCUGAUUCACGACGAACAACCCGGGACGAUCACUGGGGUUAUCCAAUCGAAGGAUGUAGAUUAUCUUCCGAGAGUCGCUCAUGACGGCUGGGACGGCGAUGUUAUCGUGUAUUCUCAUUUAGGAGGUACAUUGCUUGCUCUUUUCCUUCGAAAAUCACUUGAUUCAGUUUAUCACAUAUGUUUAUCAUCUUGUAACUGGUUUUAAUUUUUGAUACAGGAGAGGCAAUUUACCUACCGACGAACGCAUCUUUGCCUGUGACGCUUAAACCACGUGAGUAUGAGGUCUUCACUGUCGUUCCGGUCGCUAAGCUAUUAAGUGGAGCCUCUUUUGCUCCCAUCGGAUUGAUCAGAAUGUUCAAUUCCAGUGGAGCCAUUAAGGAGCUAAGAUAUGAGUCUGCGGAAAAUGCGACCGCGGAAUUAAAAGUGCGCGGUUCGGGCACGAUUGGGGCCUAUUCAUCGGUUAGGCCAAAGAGAAUAACAGUUGAUUCAGAGGAGGUUGAGUUUAACUAUGAUGUGAGUUGUGGGUUGGUAACCUUUGAACUGGGGGUACCACAACAAGAGUUGUAUCUGUGGAAUGUCUCAGUGGAGUUGUAGAUUGGAGUUAUAUGCUGCACUUUCGGAGACUUUUCCACUCUAGGACUGAGAGAAGCCGAGUUACAAAGUAUGUAAUGAUGGAAGGAUCUCUUGCUUUCCUAAGCAUUGCACCUAAUCACUAGAUGAUAAGGAUGGAAGUGAGAUUUCUCUUUGCUUUGAUGCAUUUGCAUAAGAAUGGAAGUAAGGUCACCUUUGGAAGAGUAAGAGGGAGCUAGGAAUUUAGAAUGAGGGGGCUUAUGCAGUAUCACAAAACACUAACAUUUUGUAUUUUGGGGAGCUAAGGGAGUAUUUAAAAGAUCCAUUUAUGCGGAUUUAUCCUAUGCUUUUGCUGUUCUUGUUGUUGUAUUUUCAUUAUUUUCGGUGCUUAGUGAUGAAUUAAAUGUGCCCACUGUUGUAACCUUCAGAGCAAAAGGAGAGGCUAGUCUUUACUGUGGACUCGGGAUUAUUUUUAUUAAUAGGGUAUUAACUUCUCCGUGCUUUCAGGAUGAAUUGGGGACGAAGCUGAAGGGCGCCGCGUGGCGUGCGGGCGCCCAUCACGACCGUCCCUUUUCCUCACUUGCUUCUUUCUCUCUCUCUAAAAAAUCUGGAGUCCACAAUUUUUCCUUUUUUUUUUUUUGUUUCUGAGGGUCAUGAUGGGUGCCCGCACACCACGCAGCGCCCAUCGGCAUCAUCCCCAAACAAAUUCUUUAGGGACGAUGCCCACAAAAUUUUUGAGCACUAAGCCUAGGCAAAAGAGUAACUGGCUGGCUUUCAAAAUGGCUUGUCACUACUCAAACACAGUAGUAAGAUUACUGUAAUCACGUUGGGCAAUACUAUUGAUACAUCCUAAAAUAAUAUGCAUGUUUGAGGGUGUAAGAUCUACACCUCUUUUCGAGUGUAUAAGUAAAAUUUUUCUAACUUUCUCAUAUAUGGAGAGAUACUGUUGAGGUAUAAAUAUUUAUUUAGCAUAUUUUUUUAAUCUACAUAACAAGAUAUAGAAUUUGAUAGUCAAGAAACAUUCAAUUUGGUCUCUAGUUGAUGAGAACUAUUUGGUAGAUAUAAACUGUGAUUAAAAAAAAAAAGAUACAUGUACAUUUCAUUAGAGGUUAUACGCAAGGUUUGAAGUGCCGUGACAUGAGAGCGUACCGCUGUCUGCAUGAUACGAUACAACACUGGCAUGCUUCCUUGCCGAUAUAUGAUACGUCCGUAUGCUGAUGGAUACGUAUGACCUCCUACUGGCAUGCUUUCGUAUAAAUUUAUUUUAAUUUUUUUAGUUCCAAUAACCUCUUAUAACAUUAUUUUGAAAAAUUUAAUUAAAUAAUUAUGAAUAUUUGCUAUAUAUAAUUUACUAAAGUCAUCAAUUAAUAUACUUGUAAAUUUUUUUUUAUGUAAAGUACAAUUACACUUGAUGCAGGAUAAAAUUUUUACAUGCCAGAAUUUUAAAAAUGUAAAAAUAUCUUUUUUUUCUUUCUUUCGACCAUAUUACAAAUUUUUUUAAUAAAAUAUAAAAAAUAUUUUUUAAAAAUAUUUUUUAAAAAAUAUUUUUUUAUUAAUUUUUUUAAAAAAUAUUAGAUCUAUCAAAAAAAUUAAAUAAUAAAUUGUAUGAUAAAUAAAUUAAAUAAAUCUAAUUAUCAAUUGAUUUAAUUUAGCUUUUAAUUUUAUUAGUAUUUUUAAUCUUCUAACGCAGAAAUAUAGUUUUAUGUUUAAUGUCACUCAAAAUUUAUUUAUUGAAUUCUAUUUUGUUUCCUUAAUUAGCUAAAAAUUUUACGAUGCGACAAAUUUUGAUAAAAUAAUUAUGAAAAAAAAAUGUCUGUGAUGGAAAUGAAGGGCUCGGGCCGAUAAGGAAGGUGCGGGGGGCUUUGCCUUCUGCAGAAUGGAUCAGAUAUAUAAAUUAAAAUUUUAUCUGUAUAUUGAUAAAUAAAAAAUUUAAAUUAUUUUUUUUAAUUUAUCAAAUAAGUAAAUUUUCGAUUUGUAAUAUUCUUCGAAGGUGUGGAUGCUUCGGUGUAUCCCACAGAACAAAAUAAAAGAAAAGCAAAAAAAAAAAGUGUGCUGCUAAGGCACAGUGCUGUAGCAUGGGCUUGCGUAUCACUCCCUCUCGCGUGAUAUAUGUAGAUCCGUGCUGCGGCAACGGAGGGGGGUUCGAGACCCCCCUACACCGUGCCACCUUUUUUAUGGCACGGUAAGUGUCAUCCCAUGCCAUACAACAUAAGGCGGAACUUAAAACCUUUGGUUAUGCGUCUCAGUCACACACUAAUAUCAUUUAAAGGUUUGAAAACCAUUGAUAAGUAAAUCUAGACUUUUAAAAGGGCAUGAAAAAAAAAAAAAAAAAAAAAAAAACAUGGCGUAGACGACGCCAACCGCGCUCUUUAACUAAACCGCCGCCCGCGGUCGUCGUCGUCGUCGUCUCGCAUUUUCUCGCCGAAACUGUGGGCGCUCGAAGAGGCGAUGCUCGGGAGCAGGGUGGGAGCUCUCCUUCGUCGGAGCACCAAAACCCUAACCCUAAUCUCUCGAGAUCUGAGAGGCUCUCCUAGGGUUUACUCCCAUGAGCACCCCCUACUCUCUAACCCUUCGCGAUUCGCCGUCUCGGAACCCUGCGGGAGAUGCUUCCUCUCCAGAUACAGCUCCUUCUCCGCGUUCAGAUCCCUACCGAAGGUUCGAUCGCAUUUCCGCUGUGGUUUCUGUCAAAUUUCGAUUUGAUAUGGCUCUUAUGUACCAAUGAAUUUGUUGAUUUAGUUGUUCAUAAGAAUCCUUAUUUAUCAUUGUGUGGAUCAAACUUGCUGAGCAAUAUCCGAUCUUGAUCGAUGCAUUGUAUUUCGAGAAAUCUAUAAAGAUUUGUUGGAAAUGAUAUUUUAAGUUGGUUAGGGUUUUGGAAAGGUUUAACAAGCCACGUAAUUCACUAAUUUGAUCAAAACUAGCUGUAGAAGCAAGUAGGACCUAAAUGGCUUACUGUUUGAAGGAAAUUGGCGAUAAAUUAUAUUCAUUUUGACAUCUGAAGAUCACCAUAUUUCUGUCAUACUGUAUCACCGUAGUAAUUAAGUUAAAGAUUAGUUUCUUUCUGGGUGAACCUCAUUGUAGUAUUAGAAAACACAAGACGGAUAGUGGAGUUUCCAUUUCUUGAGAUUAUGUUCAGCUUGAAAACAAUCUAACAGCAAUAUUUACUUUCCUUUAGAGCUUAUCUGGUCAAUCUUCAAGGAAAAUGUCCACUUCAGCGACGCUUCUGAAUAAAACCAGGACAGAUGUAACAAAUGCAGGAUUGAAAUUACUCGUUACGAAGGGACCCCAUGCACAAAAGGUAGUCGGGAUAUGGCUUUUUGGUUGUGCUGCUUGGGUUUUCAGUUUGGUGGUUCUUGGUGGAGUCACGCGCCUCACUCGUUCUGGUCUAUCGAUGACCGACUGGAAAUUCACUGGUGCUCUGCCUCCAUUGUCAGAGGAUCAGUGGCGUCUUGAAUUUGAGAAGUAUCAGCAAUCGCCCGAAUACAAGCGGUAAAAUUACAUUCACUUCGCUUUUUAACAAAUGAAUGAACAUAUCAUUUACUACAGUGAUGGUGCAUGACUUUGUGCAGGGUGAAUAGAGGAAUGAAUAUGGAAGAUUUUAAGUUCAUUUAUUGGAUGGAAUAUGCACAUCGGAUGUGGGGAAGGGCGUUAGGUGUUGUGUUUGCUGUCCCAUUUGCAUAUUUUCUCGCAAAAGGGUACAUUACCCGCCAACUUGGAGUUAGACUGUCAGCUCUUUUUGCUCUUGGUGCUGGGCAAGGACUUAUCGGCUGGUGGAUGGUAAAAAGUGGUCUGGAGGUAUAAAAAUCCUUCAAUCUUCUAGUGCCAAACUGCUGAAAUGUCUAUUUACAGUUUACAAUAGUACAAGUUCUUCUUUUCCAAUUUUAGGAACCGGCUUCUGAGUAUGUUCAACCUAGGGUUAGCCCAUACCGUCUGGCAACUCAUCUCGCCUGCGCAUUUGGUAUAUAUUGUGGCAUCUUGCGGACUGCUCUGUCGGUAGUCAUGCCUGACCCUCCAACUGGAUCGAUGAAUUGGGUAAAUGGGGCAGCAAAAAUCCGAAAACUGGUUCUUCCUGUAAGUGUCCUUGUGGGCAUUACUGCUGCAUCAGGGGCUUUUGUUGCAGGAAAUGAUGCGGUAUAUGAUAGUAUUCUGCUGCUUUUCAUUUUUUUUGCUUUUUUUGAUGAUUGCUGCUUGACGAAUUUUCUACAUAAUUAUGUCUAAUUCUUGAUGUGAUACAGGGUCAUGCAUACAACACAUUUCCUAAGAUGGGUGAUUCCUGGAUCCCUGAUGACAUAUUUGAUAUGGAGCCACUCAUUCGCAAUUUUUUUGAGAACACGUCCACAGUACAGGUAAACUGUUUUUAAUGCUGGAUCAAAUUUUUGCUGUCUUUGCCAAUAUGCGGAAUGAAUAUUCAAAGUUUUAUUAUUUACGCUCUAAGUUUUUGCCAGAGUACUAAGGUAAACUUUGGACAAAGACAAUCUUAAUUAGAAUUUUCUGUGUUUGCAGCUCCAUCAUCGCAUUCUUGCAACAAGCACGUUGGUGUCAGUUGGUGCUUUGUGGUUGGCUGCAAGGAAAAUAGAGAUGCAUCCUGCAAUCCAGUCAUUGAUUGGGAGUACAUUGGGAAUGGCCGCACUUCAGGUAAUUAUCUUCCCUAUUUGAAGUACCACUUCGGGUGUCGUAAGUCACUUAGGAGAAACAGAAUUUUUCUUCUUAUGAAUUAUGUCUAAUUAUGAGAGGAGUAUCAUAUCACUUGAACUUCCAAAUAAGCUAAUGCAACCACGGAAAAGGCCCUAAGAAUGAAGUUUGUGUAGGUAACCAUUGUAUGACCUUGAAUCUUUCCAGGUGACACUGGGGAUAUCGACACUGCUGACGUAUGUCCCAGUCUCUUUAGCCUCAGCUCAUCAAGCCGGAGCAUUAACUCUGUUAACCCUAAUGGUCCUUCUUGUUCACACUGUGAGGAAGCCGUCGCCAUCCCUUCUCAAGUCGUUAGCUUCAGUGCCAAAAUCUAAGGGCUGACUUACAAAUUCCAUAAUACGUCAUAAUCUUCAUCACUACUGGAAGAUAAAAAAAACUGGCAGCUUUUCAUCUUUCAGUAGAAAAUUAUCGCCCAAAGGUGGUAGUAUAUUGUCUUUACUUCUUUAUAGUCCCUUAAUUAAGCAUGGGACUUCUUGCUGAGUAAAAUUCUUCAUUCGCCUGUCGCUGUUGCUGUGCUCUUCAAGCCCUCUGUGUUAUUGAUCAGGCCUCUGUAAGUGUACCUGUAUUACAUCUUUGGUUGUCUGACGAGGAGUCUAAGAAUGACUAAAAAAAUUUUGCACUUUCAUGUACUAUCUGCCAUGUAUGUUAAUAGCAGGGUAUUCUAGCAUCUUACUAGAGUUAAAUUUGCUAACUAAGUCUUAUGUUAUGAAGAAGAAAAAGAAUGAUUAAUCAAUUUCUAGCUAAACAGCUUUUAAAUCUCACGGGUGAGUGCUCCGAAGUUUUAAAUACUGCCAAAAAUUGACUUGUAGCUUCCUUUUCCCUCUUCAUUUGGCCCCCGUUUAACUUGACAUGAAAAAAUAUCAACCGCACCUUAAUGCAGGCAACGAGCACAAGCACAACAAGAUCACAUCCAAAAUGACAUCUUUUCUGCUGCUUCCUCAACUUUUCACAGCAUUCCAAGUGGAAUGAACAGUGUUACUUGGUUCAUUUGGGGCUUGAUAUCGGUCCCAGAUACAAAUGCAGCCUCUUUUAUUUAACAAUGCAUGCAACAUUACCCACCUUCAUUAUCCACCAAGGAUGAGAUAAUUCAAGCAACAUUCAAAACCCACAAAGCCAAAUUCUGGUCUCCAUCAAACUAGGCACAAUCUUCAAAUAAGUGUGCAGAUCUUUUGCCUGAAUUGUCCACACAUACAGCAUGCUAAAAGUAAGCUCAUCUACCGACAUAAGCUAUAAAUUCACAAGAGACACUAACUCUCCAGGAAAGAAAGCAAUUAAAAAGCUGUGAACAUAAUCCUUUGAUCAGCCAAUUCUUGAACCAAAAAGCUUAAAAUAGAUCUCAAAGCUAGUACAGAAUACAUGCUGCAAAAAGUGAAAAGCAGGCAACACUUCUAACGGCCCCGGCCACGACCACGGCCACGUCCGCGGCCACGACCACGCCCCAGCGGUCUCCCUGUUUUUGCAAAAACAAUAGCAGUGGGUCACGUAAAAUACUAUCUAAAAGGUAACAAAAAAAUUUUAAGCAUAAUAUAAUGAACAUAAAAAAUAGUAAAUAAAAAAUUAUAAUCUUACCUGCAGUCGGCUUUUUAGGCUUAACCCUAGGCGUCUCCUCAACCAGUAAAGUCUCCAGAUUUAAGCUGUCAGGUAGGAUAUAAUACCGAAUAUUGUUACCUCUCACACUGAGGUGAUCAAGUGUAACUGGAUUUUUUCCUUUCAGUGUAAGCUUCACCGUUUUUAGGUGUGUAUUCAUACUAAUAUCAACACCUGCAUUUAAAAAAGAAAAAUCAAUAUAACAAGCCUUAGUUCCUAUAUCACAAAUGGUUGGUAGAUGCACUACAACAACAAUACGACUCAAUUGGCAUGUCAAAUGAGCAUCAAGGGUAACAAUAUCUUUCUUGCAUUGCAUAAACUCUAUCUACAAUUAAAGCAUGAAGAUUCACUAGGCUUACUAAGUGCCGCACUUGGAAUGGAAUAGUUGUUGCAAUGGGAGUUAGGUCUAUUGUGAUUUUACAUGAUUAUCAAGCUAGUUUUAUUUGCUUAAGCUAAGCUCGUGUUCGAAAGUCCCGCCUGUAUCCAAGACAGCAACAAGUGACUCUUACAGGAAUCAACUGCUCAUUCAGAUUCACAAUUGAUGCAAAACAGUCCUCAACAUGUGAUUUUCAGAGAAACCAGAAACAACAUACCGCCUAUUAAAACCAUCCAUAUAGAGGUAAAAGAUUAAUGCAUAGAAAGUGAGAAGACAUACAAAAUUGACUGACAUACAAUAGAGAGCCUUCCCUGAUCAAAACAAUCUAACAUACCCUCUUACAAAGAAGCAAUUCCUCUUUUUUUUUUUUUUUUUUUAAAAGUCUCAAAAUAGCCAAGCUUAGAGAGGAACUAGCAAACACAUGUUGAUGCACAAUGUUCCGGCAGAUAAACCAAAAUAAAGAAUUUACGAUGAGCAAUCCUUGUUUUAUAUUGCAAAUAGCACACAACAAAAGAAAGAGCAAUCCUUGUUUUAUAUUGCAGAUGAGCACACAACAAGGAUUGCAGAUGAGCAAUCCUUGUUUUAUAUAGCAGAUAGCAUAUAGCCAUCCUUCUUCCUGCAAUUGAUCAGUUACUUCGUAAACUCUCUACCCAUACUCACUACACCUCUAUUAUCUGGAAGAUGUGAUAGAACAUAUAAACUACUUCCAAACCACCUACAGUGACUGAGAAUCAGUUCAAGACAUAAGAAUGAAACAAUUCAUUACAAAUUUCAACUCUAGUGCUCGGCAAGUCCAAGACAUUCGUUACUCAAAGGAGAUAUAGUAAGAUUCAGAUGUGCCUAAUGAUGCCUCAAGAAAAGAUGAGGUUAUCACAGUUCCAUUGUACAUAGUUGGAAAAACAUACAACUUACAACACCAUAGAUUAGAAACAACGACUAGUUGUAAUAAGUCAAUGAAAUUCUGCCAGUGAUUGUAUAUACUGAAAAAUGUAGCAGCUGAGCUGGUACAGCUCAGGAUACAUAACUUUUCAGAAUCAUCAAAAGCCCAGCCUACCACACACUAUAUCACUUAAAAAACUGAUAAAACUACAACUUCUUGAGCUGGUUAAGUUCAGGAUAUUGCAAAUAGUUUUUUAACUAUGUGAAGCCCAAUAAUAUCACUCAAUAUACCACACUCACAAAUGUAAUAAUCACCGAAAGCCCAAUUCAUCACACGCAAAAUUGCUUUUAAAAUCGAUAAAUGUAUCGCCGUCUAUUUGGUUAAAUUCGGUAUGCCUUCUCCCUUGUUGCCGUAAAAACUCUCUCUUUCCAAGCUGAGGCACCGCUUAAUACCCCAUAAGCAAAGGUAAGAGAUCUAGGUUCAACUGAGACUAAAAAUAACAGAUGGGGCCCGUUAUUGCAUCUGGUGAUAGCAGAGGUAAUGUGGUGUUUCUGCAGUCCUCUUGAAAGAGAAAAACACGCUUUCUACGCCAAAUUGAGAGGAUUUGAAUGAGAGAAAACAAGAACAGUUAUCUCCAUGGAAUUAAAAAACAAGAAGAAUCAGGGAGCAUUCUCGUGUUUGUUCAUUCAUAAGCACUUUCUUCUACAUGACAAAUCAUUUGAAAUCAAUAUGACGCACAAUCUACAUCACUCCAUUUCCACAUGCGGUCACCCCCGCAAAAUCCUUCGCAAAGGGGAAGCGAACAUAAAACCCUAGCAGCAUCAUAAAAGCAAAUCCCUAUCCACGAAUUUUCACAAAACCCUAGAAAACUACACUACCUGAGAACAACUAGAGACCAUAAAGAGAGAGAGAGAUAGAUGCGACGCAGCUAGGGCUUCAAAACCUGUGCGCAAAGCCGGCUUGUCGCAAGCGGGAGCUUAAACCCUUAUUAUUAUUUGUAAAUAAAAGACGAAUAGCCAGUGCAGAUGGAUCGGACCGGCCCAUUUAUCCAACGGCCCAUUUCUCUAAAAUAGCAGUUGCCCAGUUGCUUUAAGAUGGGUCGCAUCCAAUUACUUUCGACGCGGGGGAUGCAAAUAGAUUUAAGUUGGUGGAGCUCCCACCAGCGAUCCAACCGAAUAGGGCAAAGUAAAUGGGGGGCCAAAAAUUUAAAAAAAAUAAUAAUCUAUCUUUGAUCCUUUGAGAAAAAUGAAACGGAAGUUGGGUCAAAAUUUUGCUCCUGUCCUAAUCCAGUUUGAAUGAAGUAUUACGUAGAAUUACUUAAAAAAAAAGAUAAAAAUUAGCCUAUCCUGACCAAUCUGAUUUGUUACAUAAAACGCAAAGUAUUGUAUUUCAGCAUAAAAAUCAUAACAAUCGUAGGGAUGCAAAUGGAUCUGGAUUGGUAGAGCUCCCAUCCCAAAGGGGUAAUAAACAGGAAGAAAUAAACGGAUUAAUGACAGAAAACGAGAUAAUUUUUAUGAUCCAAAAUGGAUUCGGGCAGAAAAUGAAAAAAAAAAUUUAUCCACUCCGAAUCCGCCCUGCUAUGAUCCGUCUCGAAUCCACCCCAAAAAUUAUUUAUAGUUUAAAAAAUAUUCAUAAAAAAUAAUAUAUUUAUAAAAAGGUUCAAAAUACAAAUGAAUUGACGUCUUAUUUCUCAUAUAUUUGAAACUUUUAAAUUUUACUUCGAUUUGUGAUUGAUAUUUUUUAUUUUUAUAAUUGAUGUUGUUAAUAUAUAUAUAACUUAGUAAUAUUAUUCAUUAUUAUUAAAAAAAUAUUAAUUUAUAUUUAUAAAAUAUUAAUAAUAUUAUAAUUUUUAAAACAUAUUAAUUGGCGAGGCAGAUUCGAGGGGUUGGGAAGGUGGGUGUGACGCCCUACUUCCAAGGGGUCAUCCAUUCUAAGAUUACUCUUAAUCCUAGCACGCUUAACUCUUUAACCUCUCGGACCUAGUUACCAGUAAAGAGGUUUAGGACUACUAUAUCUUAUAUAUAAGAUUAUUUGGGAUCUCAUAUUCUCCCAUCCUUUAAGUUCUUAUGUUCUCGUCAGAUUCACACUCACAAGUUCAAGCAAUGUGAGACUAGUCUCGUAAAUCUUAACCGACCUUGUUGGGGAGCCGCACUCUAUCGACAACAGUUAUCAGUAUGAGAAUUUCACUCUCCCCGCUGUAUAACCUGACUUAGCCGAGAUUAAUCUCACAUUUUCGGCUGGUAAUUGACUCUGAUAAUAAUUGUAAUGCUUGACUUUGCAAGGGGUCAUCCAUCCUAAAACUACUUUAACCCUAGCACGCUUAACUCUCUUAAACUCUUGAACUUAGUUACCAUCCAAAAUACUAUAACUGGUUAAGUGAUUUAGCCAUAUAGCAUCUCGUAUAUAGGACUAUCUCGGGUGUUAUAGUGAAGCGGAUUAUGAGAUAUAUUUUUUAACCCAUCACAAAUUCGGGAUGGGAGGUGGGACAGAAUUUUUAUAGUCGAAGUGGGAGGCGGGACCGGACUCCUGCCUUCAGACCCGCCGCGUUUGCAUUCCUAAACAAUCACUGCAUAGAGUUGUAAUUUAUUAUUCAAAGUGUUAUCUACGAGGUUGUUAUUUGACCCCAUCAUGCACCUAGCAACUUCAAUAUUAUUAACUUCAAAAUACUAAGGCUCGGUUUGAGGUCCUAGGAUAAUCAUAUCGUAUUGAAUAAUAUUAAAGUUCCUUCACACAAUUUCUGUUAGCCGAGUAAUAUUAGGCGGCCCUUAAUACCAAAUACAACCCUAGUUAAUGGUUUAAAGUUACUCCUUUUUCACUUCAUUAAACUCUUCAUUGGAUUCCAUGGUCUUUCCAUUUAUAGCUUAUCCUCACAGUAAAUGAGCUACUUAAUUGACCAAUUAAUCAAGCGAAGAUAUUCCACUGGCACCUGCGUUUCCUGCAGUAACUGCUAAAAUUAGAGGCUCCCCACUUUUUGGUAGUCAUGUGUAUUAAUUCGUGCAAUUAUUACCUCACUAAGUCAAAUCAACAGUAUUAUCCAAAACUGAUAAUAAUUAUCAUUAAAUUUGAAAAUCAAAUUCUCAUUUUUGUAUAUUGUACUUAUUACAUAAUAAAUAUUUUUAAUAUCGUUGUAUUACGCAAUAUCUUAUAGCCUUAUGGGAUAUGUAAAAUUGGUAACUAAGCUCCUAAUGGUUCACAAACUGGUCCCUUUUGCACGCAUAAGCUGUCACCUUAAGGGAGCACAGGAGGGCCCACUCCUUUUCGAUUGAUCCAAUUGUGCACGAGCUUACGACAGCUAAUUAUCAAUAAAUUUGUAAUUAAUGAGCUAAUUAAUGGUUGAAACUAAUAUUCAAUAGUAAUAAUAAUAAUUGGUAAUGAUAAUAAUAAUAAUAAUAAUAAAGAUAAGUAUGAAACAGUAAGAGCUCCUAAUCUCUCGUACAAAUUGUGGUUUGUAUUCGACCCGUGUACGGUGCAUCCAGUUAAUCACCCUUCUACGCGAUCAAGCUAAUCUUAUGAUUUUUUUUCUUUAGAGAGAAAGAUAGAAUGCUAUUUGUUUCGUUUAUUUUUUAAAAAAAUAAAUUUUUAGUUGAAAAUAUGAAACAACUAAGAAUUUAGAAUUUUGAAUAUUAAUUAUCAAGCCUUUAAUCAUUUACUCCAGAAACAGUCGGUUAAUCGCAUGAUUGUUAUAUUCCACGGAUCCAAAUCUUUGAUAUGGACAAAAUUUUAAGAUUUUACAUUGCACUUGUGAACAACUUUUAAUGGUCUUCCAAAAGCUAGGUGGUGCAUACCUUCCUAACUCUGUCGCAAAUUACUAUAUGUGCCCCUAUAUUACGAUUCAUACCGUUAAAUAUUAUUUAGACCAUUUAAAAGUUUUAAAAAUCAAAUUUUAUAAUUUUUUAACAUCAUUUGUCUUACGAUCAAAAAGUCAUAAAAUUGAUAAUUUUCUACGGUAGGUAUGGGAUACUUGUUAAUUUAACAAUGUAAAAAAAUGGAAUAGGCUAAAUUAUUGAUAGAAAAUUUUAUUCACUAUCUAGAUAAAAAUCAAUAAUUCUGAUCGUAAAUUGAAAAAUCUGAUCAAUUAUUUUUAUGACGUCAUUUGAUUUUGAUCGUUCAUUUUAUACCCGCUUAAUAGAUUUUAUUAUGAUUUCGAAAAAUUACGAAAUUUAUUUUUUACAAGUUUCAAAUAGUCUAGAUCAUAUCUAAUGAAAUAAACCGUCGAUUAAGAAGCUUCAUCAUCAAAAAUAAUUUAUAAGUAUGAAAGGCUCUAUACUUAUAAAAAUAUAGUAGCCCCUCUCUCUCUCUCUCUCUCUCUCUCUCUCUAUAUAUAUAUAUAUAUAUACACGCACACUCAAAUUGGAUGCGGUGCAUGAGGAUAUUUGGAUACACCGGGUACAGGCAACUAUAUCUCCCCAAUCACGCAGAAGGAACCUCGUAACGGACGAUUCUGACCCUCCCAACUCUCCACCUAACCGCGCACAGCAACGAGCAAGUUAAUUCAUCUCACAGGGGCAAAAUCGGAAUAGAAAAGUAAGUAUGGUUUUACGAGCUUCGAGCGCCAAUUGUAUGCGCGGAGAUGGUGAGCCAUAAAAGGAAAGCGCUAAGUGCGCCCACAAAAGCCCACGAAACGAUAACAAGGAAAGAGAGACUGAGAGAGAGAGUGUCGAGAGGUCCGCUUAAACGGGUUAUCGGGUACAGCUUAGGGUCCGCGAAGCUCGAAAACCAAAGCACCUCGAGCUCCUACGGCUCUCUCUCUCUAUAUAUAUAUGGAACCAAAGAAACCAACCGAAGGCAUCGUCCCCUUAUUGUUUCCUCGUGAGCGAACGCCGCAUCGUCCGAUCGAGCGAACUGAGGUACGAACACAAUGUGUUUGCGUGCACGGUCGAUCGAUCUCUAAUGCGAACAAAAUUUUAUGACUCAUUUUAUUUAUUUAUUUAUUUAUUUAUUAUAUUUAUUUAUUUAUUUAUUUAUUUAUUUAUUUAUUAUAAUAUAAUGUUUGUGGAUCGAAGGUGAAUGGAUCGUGAGAGCAAGAAGAAGCGAGGGAGGGAGGAGGACGCGGCGAGGGAGUCGAAGAACGCGAAGAAGCGCUAUGAGGACGUGGCGGCGGAGGGGGUCCAAUCGUGGGGCGACGCGUGUCGGCCGCCGCCGGGGGUGUUCGAGUUCCCGUGGGAGGGGAAGGGGGCGCGGGAGGGGCUGGUGGCGCUGGAAUCGGACGGCUGGGACCUGCGCCACGUGUUCUUCUCGUCGCUCGUCGACGGCCAGCGCGCCACCAUCGGCAUCCCCGGGGACCGCCUCUGUCGGCCGAAGCCGGCCCCGAUCGCCAUCCCUGAUGGCGAUCCUCGGCCGUCCAAUGACGCCGACGCCGACGCGGAGUGCAUCUGGGCCGCCGCGCUCCGCGAGCCCCUCGUCCCUAUCGUGUGCACCGGAGGAGAGAGAAAGAUGGGCUAAGCGAAUGUGGCUGCAGUGGCGGCGGCGGCGGUGAAGUGAUAGAGGUCAUCAUUCCUCUCUCUCUCUCUUUCUAUUCUUAUCAUAAAAUUAUCAUAAAAUUAGGAAAAAUAGUCCAAGUGUCGUCAUAUAGUGGAGAUAUAUAAGUGCUAAAUAGUUUUGAAAAUGUCAAUUGGAGCAUUUCUGUAGAAUACCAAACAAUAUAUAUUUGAGUUACAAACAAAAACUGUUUUAGAUUUUUUUUUUUUUUUUUUUUUUUUUUUUUUGGGAGGGGUGGUGGGGAGGAGGAGUAAAGCAGAAGCUCUAGCCAACAGGAACAUGGAAAAUCUAUCGACACUGUAAGAUGACAAUGAAGGAAACAAAUUAAUGUUUUCCUCUUUAGUUGCAUUCUGAGUAUUUUGCAUGAAAUGUUGAGUUUUAUAGAUUGUAAUAUUGUUUGCAGUGAGUAGAUCAAUUAUUUUUACUGCACAAUUUUGCAUCAGGUCGUAGCGUAUCUGUUGCAUUCUUAGUAAUUGGAUAAUAGAGAAAAUAUUGGUUCAAUGUGCGUGCAGUUUGGGCAAAUGGACGGAUCAAAUUUCUUAUCAAUCGUGACACAUCGAAUGGCCAUGCACGUUUAUACGUUAUUCGACGUGCUAAAUCUGCUGUGCAAAGAUAAGGAAGGCUAUAUCUGCUGUGCGAAGAUAUCGAAGUAUUUAAUGACUGAAUCAUUUUCGAAUCAUUGGCGGCACGUCCAAUGAAUGCACGGCUGCACGUAUCUUCGAGGUUCAGUAACGCAAAUGCGCAUAUUUGGUCUUUCUCUAUCAAAUAUAUAUAUAUAUACCUAUUUAUAAAUAAGUUCAUACGUGUGUGUACGUAGUACACCGUGGACGAUUAACGGUAAUAACGGUUAAAUUGAAGAGCUUUGUGCAGUAGAUCUCCUGGCUAUAAAUAAGUGAAUUUGCGCGAACGAUAGCUGCAGUUAAUGAAAGGCAAGAAACGACUUCGUUAUCCAUGAAAUAAUUACGAUAAGCGGCGGCACGUCCAAUGAACGCACCUCUGUGCGUAUCUUUGAGGCUCAGUGACGUAAAUGCGCAUUUUUUUGUCGCUUCCAAAAAUAACCUAGCUAUAAAAGAAGUGAAUAUGCGUGUUUAGUACACCGUGGAGGAAUAACGGUAUUAACGAUUUAACUGUGGCACUUUGCAUAUAUAUCUCCAAAUAUAAAUGUGCAAAAUGGGCAUAACAAGCAUCUUUGAUCAUUCUACUCAAGUAGUCACUUAUGAUCAAUAACUUGUGAAUUUCCUCUUGUUACUGUUGAUAUAGGUCAUUUUCAUAAUUCGAUAUUGAGAGAUCAUUAGAGCCUCGCUUAUUUGGGAGAAAAUGACUUCAACAAAAAGAAACUCAACCUUAAAAAGCCUUUGGGGGCCACUUAGAUGCAGUUUUUGAUUAUUCUAGCUAGGAGUUGGCUCCUAUUCCAAGUUCAUAUAUAGUGUCUUAUAUAGUUCCUAGUUUAUCCUCACUUUUGUGCAAAGAAGAGAUAACCUUCACUAUUGAGAAUGAUAAAAUAUUACGAACUAACAAAAGUAACUUCCUCAACUAUUCAGGGGAGAAUUGGUUGAUUGUAAUAAAAAAGAUUCUUCGUUUUGGAUUAUAUUGUACAGAUAAGUAAUCAUCGGAGAGGAAGAUGAUCGUUGAGUAAUAGAGUGUAAAACCUCUUGUUUUAGACGUACUAUAUAUCAUGCGCCUACGUACGCACUACACCAAAAGGAACUUUUUGUGGCAAUUAUUUAGCGGUGAUUAUCAAACGGCCGCUAUUACUAUUAUUUUAUUACCCUUUAGCGGCAAUUAUUUUCAAAUAUAUAGUUUUAACCUACUCAUGUUUAUAUAUUAAAUAUAAUCCUAACCCAACCUAAACCUAACCCAACUCACCCGAACCCUCGCCCUCUCUCUAUCGCGAGCGUAUCUCCCCCACCCCGCCCNCUGUGCCCUGUCGCUUGGCCUCCCCUUCUUCUUCUUCGCCGUUGUCUUCUUCUCCGCAUCCAGCCCGACCCCGUUCGCCGCGGCCGCUGCCGCCGCGGUGACGGGAUCGGGCUGGGGGCCCGCGGCGGCGGAGGAGAAGAGGAGGGGGUCGCGGGCGGUGGAGAGGAGUGUGAGGAGGGGGGCGACGGUGAAGAAGAAUGGUGAGGAGGGAGACGACGGUGAAAAAUACAUUUUAAGGAUUAAAUCUUAUCUAUGUUGUUACAUCAAUAAUUUAUAAAAAUAAUAUAUUUGUGGGGGGACUGUUGCAGUAGAGGCUAAAAUAAGUGAUUUUAUAUUUUUAACGUCCAAAUUUUUAUUCUUGUUAAUUUUAUUGCUAUUGAAAAUUUUUUUUAUAAUAAUUAUUUCAUCUGUGAUACAUGUAUAUCUCUCAAAUCAAUUCAUGGUUACAACUAAUUAAGGAUAUAAUAUAAUUAAUUUAAAUUUAUACAAUUUUAAAAUAUUAUUUACAUAUGUUUAUACAAAGAUAAGAAUUCAAUUAACUGUUAUUUAUUUCUAUUAAGUUUACAUACGAGAUGAAAAUUUUAGCCCACUUGUUAUCCUCUUGUGGUCUUUAUAAGCAAUCUAGUGGAAUGCCCAAAACACCCUCAAAAUUCCACAAAAGACAAGCGCUCAACGGAGGAUAAGGUAGUAAAUCUAACAUCGAAGCCACGUGGCACCCGAUCCUUUUCCCACGUCACAUCUCAGUCGCUCAUUUCGCGAUCUUAAAACGUUAAGCAAAGCGCGGCGUUUUCGCUAAAAUAGCAAGGAAAUUUAAUUUCCUCUCAUAAAAAGGGACAAAAAAAAAGAAAAGAAAAUUGCAGUACAACGUAGAUCCAGAGAGAGAGAGAGAGAGAGAGAGAGAGAGAGAUGUAGAGAGCAGCUACUCGCAACAACGAAGAAGAAACAGAGCUCGAGAAGCGAUUUGUAGAAGCAAUUUUGGGGGGCAUUAUUUACCGCUUUUGCGUCGCCAAGAAGCGCUUCUGGGGGUCGUCGGGAGCGGAGGAGAUGAGGUGCUAACAUGGCGACGAGGAAGAGCAAGAGGAGGACGGUUUUGGGCUUUCUCCUUCUCUCCGUUCUCGCCCCCAUCGUUCUCUACACCGAUAGGAUCACCAAGUUCUCCAAUUCAAUCCGUAAGUGUUCGAUUCGAUUGGAAGAGGCCGAAAAGUACGAUCUCGAUCGGUGUUCUCUUUCUUUUUUGGUGUUAAAUGGUGGUUUUUAUUUUUAAAUUUAAAUUUUAUUUUAUUUUUUGCAGCAAAUAGCGAUUUUGGUCGUGAAAUUCCGAAUCGGGUAAGUUCCCUUUUUUUUUUUUUUUUCCCUGCUCUUUAAUUUUGUUACAUUCGCUCUCUGUUUUUAAAAUCGUGAAGAAAAUGCUGUUCUUUUUUUGGUCUAUUUCCUCUAGGUUUCCGUGAAAUUUUAGUUGAUUAUUCUACUAGUUUAUGCUAAAAAUGUAUUCAUUUGGGUGGUUAAUUUUGAUGCGAACGAUCUGGUUGUAGGUGUCCUUUGAUUCUCUUCAAGAACCCGUUCGGAUUGUUCAUUCUAAGAGCAAUGCCGAUGCGAUCUCAGCUCGAUCGGUGAUCGGAUUCACUGCAUUAACAGCUAACGGUGAGGUUCCCUCUUUCCCUCAUUAUCAAGUAAUUAGUUUCCCCCAAAUUAUGACGCUUCAUUCUAAUUUGUGGUUUUUGACGAGAAUAGAACAGUAAAAGGGCGUUUUUUUAACGGAGUAAGGGUUAAGGUUUGAUUGAGUGCCACGUUUUCUGUAUAGAAUUGCCACGUGGGAUCUCAGACGAGCAUAAGAGCCGAGUAUUAUCGGCUACCUACGAUGAAGGGAAGCAGUUGGAAAGAGACAGCUCAGAUGAGAAAGUCGAUGCAACAGAUCAGGAAAAGGAGAGGGGAUUAGACAAAGUCGGAGAUCAAGAACAUAAGAGUCGGGCUUUAUCGGUGAUGGAUGAGGGGAUUCAAUUGGAAAAGGAGGGCAUAAUUGAGCAAGUGGUAAGAUCGGCGAAUCUUGCAGAGGGGGAGAAGAAUAUGGAGAAUAAUGAGGGCACUCAAUCAGAAAACAAGGGCAUGAUUGAGCAAGCGGCAAGCCGAGAAAGCGACAAGAAGCCUGAGAUGGAAGAAAAGAACAAAGAGAAGAAGAUUGAAGCUCCGACUUUUCCAUGGAAGCAGGUAAUUGGGCCUAUCAAAUUUCAUUAUAGUCUUUAGCUUCUAUGCGGAUGGAACUUUUAACUAAUUCCUUGGACUAAGAUGAAAGAAUGAGAUUUCCGAAUUUGACUAUAGUUAUGUGACUUGGUCAUCAAAGCUAAAUAAUUUCAUGUACCUGUCUUUGCAGAGAUAACUUCAUCAUAUUAUAGUUUCUCUUUUUUAUUUGGGUAAACACUAAACACUAUAUUUGUGUAAUAUUGGAGAUAUGUCAUCAUAUUUUUGCGUCAUUUGUUUCAAGAUUUGAUUGUAGAAUUUCAAUACAACCAGUGAAGAUAAUUUGGAAGUAAAAUUAUUUUCUUUUUACUGGAGGUUGCUCUGAGCGCCAUUUAUUAUCCUUUUUCUGAUGGACUUAUCCCUUAAAAUUUAAUUUUGUUAUUUGAUGAGUCAAUGACUACAAAGAGGACGUGAAAGGUAUCUUAAUUAGCUGCCCUAUUGUCUUAGAAGAGAGGCAAACUGUUGUUGCAUUUAUGUUCUGUGUCAAUUUAGCCCCUUCAGCAAAUUAUGCCAACUCUGCGGUGAUUAAGACCCUUUGAAUGUCUCUAAAGGGGUUUCCAGAAAAAUAUUGUUGGGGGUGGUGAGAAUUGUAUUUUGACCCAAGGUUUUGUUCUAUUCUCCUGUCAUGCAUAUUUUCUUAUUAUCUAAUCACUAUCCGUAUUAUAUUUGUUAGUCUUUACUUUCUGGAUUGACCAAUUGAUGUGGUUUAAUUGAAUCUUUAUCAGUUUUUGACCAUUCAUCUACUCAUUGAGGAAAUAUAGCUUUCGGCUUAGGGGUUUUUUUUUUUUUUUGUCCUGGAGAAUUGGCCUACAUCUUGUCUCUCCUGAUGCUUGAUUUCUUCUUUUUUUCCCCCUUUUUUUGGCUUUUGAAAUCUGUUGCUUGAAUACCCUCUUUUUCUUUCCUAAUUUAUUCAUUACUACAUUUUGCUCUAUUAUCCAGGGAAAUAAGGAUGGAAAGCCAUCUGAACUAGUUCCUUCUCAAGUUCGUACUCGAAAGCAUAGGAGGAGAUCCACUAAUAAUGACCGUAGUGGUGCCACGACUUUACCUGAUGUUAGAGUGCGCCAACUUAAGGAUCAAUUAGUAAAGGCAAAGGUUUAUCUUGGCCUUUGUAGAAGCAAUACCAACUUCGUCAGGGAGCUUCAAGCUCGGAUAAGAGAUGUUGAACGAGCACUUGGCGAUGCAACCAAGGACUCAGAAUUACAUAAGAAGUACGUUUUUUGGUUUCACUAAUUAGUGUUUUGACCUUGUAACCUUACAUCGCCUGUUAUUGGUUUGCUUUGUUGUGAAAAAAUUUCACUAAUUGUCAUUGGUUUGCUAUGACCUAGUAACCUUUUAUCCCUCCUUUUCCCCUUUGAUCAACGUGCUGUUUGACUUCAGAUAAUUCUUUCCAAACUUAACCAUCAUUGUAACUUUUCUGAUGGAAUAUCUACAGCUUAAUAAUAGAAUUUUUCAAAGUUUUUGACAGGAACUUUUUGAGGGAACUUUUAAAAUUGAAUAAAAAAAAUUUAGUUGAGAAGUUUAGAUCCAAAAAAUUUAGUUGGAGGUUCUGUUUGAAAAUGCAGUUGUGGAUGUAUACGCAAAUUUUGCAUUUUCUAUAGUUUGCUAGUUUAGAAUAUGUUUAGUCUGAUUAACAAGUUAAAACAUUUGAGAUUAGUUUUAACAUUUACACCUAGUAGCUCUUUUUUAUAUUGUGUUGCAUUAAUCAGUUCACGUGUACACCUAGUAGCUCUUUUUUAUAUUGUGUUGCAUUAAUCAGUUCACGUGAGAAACUUCGGGCGAUGGAGGAAACAUUGGCCAAGGGGAAGCAAAUUCAAGAAAACUGCUCUGCUGUUAUCAACAAACUCCAGGCGAUUCUUCACUCCACUGAGGAACAGCUCAAUGCACAUAAGAAACAGGCUAUCUAUUUAACACAGCUAGCAGCAAAAACUCUACCAAAAGGCCUCCACUGUCUUCCCCUGAGACUCACCACCGAAUUUUAUAUUUCAAAUGUCAGCCAGGAGGAGUUUCCAACUCAAGAAAAGUUGGAAGACCCCAAACUCUAUCAUUAUGCACUCUUCUCUGACAAUGUUUUAGCUGCAGCAGUGGUUGUGAAUUCUACUGUCUUGCAUGCUAAGGUAAGCUAUAUGACUUAUACAGCUACAAACGAACCAGACCAGAUCCAAGUUGAGCCAAAAACUGUGCUGCUUAGUGUUUUUUUUACCGUGGCGUCUAAUAUAGCUUCUCCUUCAAAAAGCAUGAACUUCUAGAAACUAGGUGUUUUGGCUGAUAAUAAUUUUGAAGCUUUUGUGGUGAUGAAAAGCUAAAAUGAGAUUUUGAGCCCCUAAAGUAGAAGGUCUAAUUUGAGGCAUCUCCUUUGUCUACGGGCAAGUAGCUUUUGAAUAGGUUGUAAUGAAAAACUUGUUACUGCUUCUUCAGACAGCUUUAUUUAAAUUGUGCUUCUACUUGGACGCUCCAGUGGAGCUAAGCUUUAGAAUUUGGGGAUAUUUGAACUCUGCCUGAAGCUUAUAAACUAUGCUUAGUCUUGUCUUGUUAAUUUUUGAAUUGAGCCUUUCGAUCUGGAAUUAGUGUGAAUUUCUUGCUUGUGUUCAUCUUGCUUAUUGGGUUAAGGCUUAAAAUAUAGGUUGACAUUGUCUUCUCCUACAAGCUAUUCAAGCUACACAGAGCUUUUACGAGUCAAAGUCCUAGUUGCUCACUAUCAGCUUUACUUGUUCCCAGCGUUAUUGAUUGCGCUUUUCUUACCAUUUCCAUCAAUAAGAGAUGAUAUUUAUUUAUGAUUUGACCUUUAUUUUCUUGCAGAACCCAGAGAACCAUGUCUUCCACAUUGUCACUGAUAGACUUAAUUAUGCAGCCAUGAAAAUGUGGUUUUUAGCUAACCCGCCAGGCAAAGCGACCAUCCAGAUUCGGAAUGUUGAAGAGUUCACAUGGCUAAAUUCCAGCUAUAGUCCGGUUCUGAAGCAGCUUGGGUCAAAAUCCAUGAUUGAUUACUACUUUAAGACUCAUCGAGCUAUCUCUGAUGAAAACUUGAAGUUCCGAAACCCUAAAUACCUCUCCAUCCUGAAUCAUCUUAGAUUUUAUUUACCCGAGAUAUUCCCUAAGCUUGAUAAAGUGCUUUUCUUAGACGAUGAUGUUGUAGUCCAACGGGACCUUACUGCCCUUUGGUCUAUUGAUCUCAAAGGGAAAGUUAAUGGUGCGGUUGAGACUUGUGGCGAGAGCUUUCACAGGUUUGAUAGAUAUCUCAACUUCUCAAAUCCUCUCAUUGCCGAAAAUUUCAACCCUCGGGCUUGUGGAUGGGCUUAUGGCAUGAAUAUAUUUGACUUGGUUGAGUGGAGAAAGCAGAACAUAACUGAUGUCUACCACUCUUGGCAGAAGCUGGUAAAUUGCAUUAAUCGCUUACAUAACCAUGCAACUAGUUACUAUCUUUUGUACGUUUUUGUCCUUUUUGUGUGCAUUUCCUGGGUUUUGGUGGAAAAUUCUUUGCUUAUGGUCAUGUCUCACACUUAAAUUUCAACUGAGUUACUCAAACCUUUUUUUAAUCUUUUAUUAGGUAUAAUUUAUGCUUGUCAUUACAUCAUGCUUUGAACCUGAAUUCUGGUGUUUACUAUAUGCAGAACCAGGACAGACUAUUGUGGAAAUUGGGAACUCUUCCUGCUGGUCUUGUUACUUUCUGGAAUCGCACUUUGCCCCUCGAUCGGUCGUGGCAUGUUUUGGGUCUUGGUUAUAACCCAAACAUUCGCCAAGAGGAUAUCAAAAAGGCGGCAGUAAUACACUAUAAUGGCAACAUGAAACCUUGGUUAGAGAUUGGAUUGCCCAAGUAUCGCAGUUACUGGUCCAAGUAUGUGGAUUUCAACCAAGUUUUCCUAAGGGAAUGCAACGUAAAUUUCUAAAAAGUUGAGGGUGUCCUUAUAUUUCUUUCUUAGUAGGCCUUGUGGAUGUAUAUUCAGCGGAAGGUUUAGUUCUUUCCCUCAGCUUUUCUUUUCUCCACUUUCAAUAACAUGUUUAGAUUUAUUCUUUGUGCUCUAGAAAUGUAAAUUUGCUAGAGCUUCUAUUCUUGUCAUCCUUUGCUCUUCUCCUUUGCAGAGAUGCAUGCAGCAGAAAUUGUACAUUGUACAUUAAAUCAUAAUAGCGAUAAAAACAUGUAGGAUUUAUAACUUAUAGUACAGUAUCUUUGAAUCCUUUUAAAGUUGGUGUUGCUGCUGCUUUGCAAUAAUUAGUAACUCCUCUUAUUCUGCUAUUAUUCCUUUCCUACUCUGCUUUGCCUUUUUGCGAGCCGUGAAGCAUCAAAGUGGCUGUGCAUUUUCAAACUAGGCCUAAGUAGUAUAAAGUGAGUAAGUGACCGUUCGCCUGUUCUCCCAACUUGGCAUCUUUGAUUACGGUGGCCAUUUAUCGGAGUGGGCGCCGGUUUGGCUGCAGGAAUUGUGAUCGAGGAGGCGAUCAGUGCUGUGGAAAGUGGCCGAGGGAGUGGCAGUGACAGCAGUGACAGCAGCGGCGGUGGCGGCGGCGCUGGCGGCUGUGGUGGUGGAUAUGAUGGUGGCAACGGCGACGGCGGUGGAUGUGGAGGCGGUGGUGGAUGUAGCAGCGGCGGAGGAUGUGGUGGUUGAGACUUGAGAAUCGAGCAGUGCAUUUAUAUCUAUUAUUAUUAUUUGAAAAUACUUUUUACGGUUUUUUCUCUCUUUUUUGCAUGGAUUAUUUCUGUACCAGCAGUAAGAUUGGGGCUGGAUUUUUGAGUGUUGAUGCUUUGACGCUGUUUCUGAAAUUUGAGGAUGCUUCUUUUUUAUUUUGUAACUUAAAUUUGAUUAAUUCAUCUCGACAAAUGAAAGUUAUUUUUUUUAAUUUUUUUAAUGAACGAAAUUGCACUAGUAAGCAGAGAAAUUAUUUUCAUAAAUUUGAAAAGUUCCUGGGUAUAAUGUUGCACCAAAUAUGCCCUCUUAAUGAGGACCCAAAAAUGACUGUUUCUUUUUAUAAUUACAUGUUCCAAAGUGUUAUAUUGACUCGAGGGAUUGUGGGCAUUGUCCAAAAGUUUAUGUAAUUAUGGUAAUAAACUUAGAGAUUGUUACAUUUGAUAUGAUCUGUAUUAUUUAAAAUAUGCAGAAAAGUAAAUCACAAAUGUCAGAGCACUUUAGUCCUAAGAUCAACUGUUUCAAUAUUUUAAGAACUAGGCUAAUAUACUAUUAAUAGCACCAAGUCAUUGGUGCUAUCAAGUUUUUGGCCAUUGGAUUAAGAGAUGUGCGGUUAGGAUGAUGCGGGCCCCUUAGGGUUGAGUGGGUGGUUGGUUGAAUAGUAUGAUCUAACGGAUGAAAACAAUCAAAAGGGUAGAUCUAACGGCGGAAAACUUGGUAACAUCAAGUGCUUCGUGCUAUUGAUAGCAUAGCAGCCAGACUCAUAUUUUAAUGUCAAAUUUCUUUUACUUUAAGACCAGAUGGUGUUACGCUUUUUGAAACUUUUUCACAUUAAAUAAUUAAAUUAUUUAGUUGCAAACGUAAUUAGCUGCCGAAAGGUAACAUAAUUUAUAUUGAGUAUCAUAUGUAUAAAGAAUUCUUAUAAAAAUAUAUUACUAUCAUUUCACGCACCCUCACUAAUCCCCCAAAAUUAUAAUAUUUUUAGAAGUAUUUCAGUAUAAUUUCGCAUAUAAUAUAUUAACCUAAGUAUGCCUCCCCUCUCUCUCUCUCUCUCUCUCUCUCUCUCCCUCUCUCUCUCUUAAGUAUGCAGCCCCCCAAUUUUCAUAAUUUGCAUAAGGAUACUUUAUAUAUAAAAAAUAUAGUGCUCUCUCAACUCUUGAGUUUUUUCUUUUAAAUUUAGUAUCUUCAUAACUUUUAAUUAUUUUAAAUAAAUUUUUUAUUUAAUUAAAUUAAAGAUUAUAUUAAAAUUAAUAGUUCGGUCAACUAAUAGUCAUUUAUUGUCACAAUUAUAUUUAGUAAAAAUUAAGAAAUUAAAUUAUUUAUUGAAUUACUAUUAGAUUUAAUAAAUUUCAAAGUUAUUUGAGUGAAAUAAUAUAAAUAAAAUAAUUAGAAGUUAACUAAGUAUAAAUAAAACAGGGGUAAUGCUUUUUUACACUAAUUAUUUAGCCAAUAUAUUUUUUCAUCAAAAUUUUGACUAGGUAAAUUUUGUUUAUUUGUUAAAAUUUUGAUUUGUAUAUAUUUUGGUCCCCUCAUAAUCAAGUGCUAGUUUCGUCCCUGUAAGUGCGAUCGCCCUUAUGCUUAUAAGUCGUUUUCGAUGAUAGAGCUUCCGAAUCGACGAUUCAUAUCAUUAAACGUUAUCUAGAGUAUUUAAAACUUCUAUAAAUCAAAUUUUAUAAUUUUUUGAUAUUAUUUAUUACGAUCAAAAAAUUUCAAAAUUGAUAAUUUUUAACGGCCAGUAUGAAAUACUUACUAGUUUAACGGUAUAAAAGAAUCGAAAUCAAUUGAAUUUUUGAUAAAAAAUUUUAUUUACUAUCUAAAUAGAGAUCAAUAACUCAAAUCUUAAAUUAAAGGAUCCGAUUAUCUAUUUUUAGGACAUCAUUCGAUUUUGACCAUUCAUUUUAUGUCGGUUUGAUAGAUUUUAUUAUGAUUUCGAAAAAUUACGAAACAUAUUUUUUAAAAAUUUCAAAUAUCGUAUAUCAUAUUUAACCGAAUGAAUCGUCAAUUCGAAAGUUCUAUUAUUAAUAAAUAACUUAUAAGUACGAAAAAGUUUGAUACUCAUAAAAGUAUAGUAGUCUUACUUUAUAUAUAUAUAUAUAUAUAUAUAGUCCGUUUUCAGUGUCUCUCUGUAUAUUGAUACAGAGCGAUAGCAUAAAAUUUCUCUGACUUUGAGCGAAAUUUGUGUAAAAUUCACAAGCUGAAGCAAUUUCAAUUUAAAUAGGAGAAAUUAAGAUGGCUAGGUUUCUUGCUGAUCGAGUUGGUUGACUACAACAACAAUUCGAGCACGGUAAAAAUGCGCAAUACAUGUUAAAAUUAGGCCAUCAAUUCACGAAGGUUAUCAAAAUAUUUAAAAUAAUAAUAAAAAAUAAAAAAAUAGGACUUGUCAACGCAAGGAUUGUCCCUUUCAAAAGACUUGGACAAUAUACUAUGACAAAAUAUCUUGACCAACUCUAUUUUAUUCCCAUUCCACGCGUCAUUGGCAAGGAAGCUUAACAAUUACGGAACAGGGAGACCACUAAUUCAGGCGAAGACUUUGAGGGCCAAUAACACUAUCCCCUUUUUCUUCUAAGACUUUUUAUUUUUAAUGUUGUUCAAUUUGUGUAUUUAUAACAAUAUUUUGAACAGUAUAUACUUGGGGAAAAAUUGCAUGGAUCAACUUGGCAAACUUAGAUCUUAAUUUUUUCCUUCUUCUUGUUGGCAUUCGGUUAAAUCAAAUCGGGUGCGUCCAUGAUCGAGCUCAAUCCGACAGUUACUAUAUUAUCUCAUUAUAUUAAAAUUAAUCUUGCUUUUAAAUUGAAAAACUAUUUAGAGAUAAAUUCUACUCAUAGGAUAACAAUUAAUAAUUGAUUUGGCCUUAUCUCUUACGCAUCUAUUAGAAUUUUGAAAUUCCUUAUAAAUAUGCGGGCGAUCUCAUAUAAAAUAAAUAAGAGAACGAAAGAAUAAGAAAACCAAGUGAGAAAAAUUUAAAAACCACAUUUUCUAUCAACUUAUUACUUAUUAUUCUAGAGGGUCUUGAACGAUGGAUUUGCGAUCGUGCUUGUUUGUAGUUCGAUCCAUCGCGAGUUUUGAGCGAUAGAAGAUUUUCAAGGACAAUCCGAAGAGACGUGAAUCAACCUUUACGAUCCUGACUCGUCGCAUUCUAGCGCGAAUCACUUUCGUAAAAAGGUACGAACAAAUACUUCUGCUGCAUUCUACACUUCUUAUUCAAAUUUAUAUACUCCCUAAAUUUCUAAUUAUUUUGACUUGAAUUAUUUUUAUAUACUGAGUUCAAGUUUCAUUAAUUGCAAUUUGCAGUUCUCAAAAUUCACAAUUCCAUGGCUAGAAAAUUCUUUCAUUAUAGUUAAAUUUUAUAAAAUCAGUAUUAAAUUAUAUACAUUUUUUUAAUUUAUUUGAUGACACUACUUAAACUAAAAAAAAUUAAAAAAAUAGAAUUGAAAAAUAAAAAAUAAAAACAAUUGAGAGCAUAUUGUAGAGGGUGUCUCUGUACACUUUCUUCUAUAAUAUGCUUUUUGAAAUUUUAAUUUUGAAAUCUAAUUAUUUUAUAUUUUUAAUUUUAUAUAAGAAUUGAGGUAGAAUACUUUUAGAAGUACCGACCUCUUGGUGCUUCUAAGUUUCUAGCUCUUGGAUCCACUCAUUGAUUACUAAUAGCUUUUAGAUCAAACACUAUUCCAGCUAACACCAUCUAUCACUAUCAUCUCAACCCUACAUCUCUCCAUCCAAUGGCUAAAAAUUCAAAAGCACUAUCCUCUUGGUGCUUUUGAGAGUAUUCUAAUUCAACUCUCUCUCUUUAUAUAUAUAUACUAGUUGAAUGUACGUACAAAUGCACGUAACAAUUAAUUAUUUAAUAAUUAUUUUAAAUUAAUAUGAAAUUGUACAUCAUAUUUAUUAAAAAAAAAUAUAAUUGUUUAAAUAAGUAAAUUUAUUUAUUAUAAGCUAUUAGAAAAUACCUACCAAUAAAUUUGUCAACAAUAAUUAUAGUGUUUUUUUAUUUUAUAAAAUACUAUAUAUAAGUGUAGAUAUAGAUAACAUUAAAUAUUUUCUGAUAAAAUUUUACAUAAUAGUGUAGAUAUGAUAUAAAUUAAAUAUUUUUUUGAUAAAUAGAUACUAGUGGUAAGUAUAAAUAUACAUAAAUAUAGAUAUAACAAUUAAAAAUUUUGUAUAUCUAAUAAAUUUAAAAUUUAAAUAAAUAUUUUAACUAAAGUAUCAAAAUAAACAUUAAUAUGAAUAAUAAAGUAUUAUAAUAGAAUAAGAGAUAGAUAAUAUAAUAUUAUUAUAACAUAUAUUAUAUAUAUGUAGAUAGAUAUACAGGAGAUAAUUUUUCGGUAGGCAAAAUUUGGAUAAAUAUAAUUUUUUACUGUUGUGAAAACAAAGAGAUUAAUAAAAUUUGUUUAAUUCUUUAUUUAUUUACGUAAGAAAAAGUAAUUAAUUUUUUUUUUUUCGCCAAAUAAAUGGUCUGAUCGACAGAUCCCGAAAUUGAAUACAUGCUUUAUAUAAUACGAUAAAAUGUACGUGCAAAUACACUUAAUAAUUUAGAAAAAGUUUAUAUUUUUAAAUUAUUUUUAUAUUUAGGCCAUAUUUUAUAUGAUUGCCAAAUAUGUAUGCUGAAAUAAUUUAAAUAAUAAAUCACGCUAUUUUAAUACGAUAUUAUCUUUAAAUGAAUAAAUAAUUAACAGGGAAUAAUCUUAAUGAAAAAAUUAGUCUUAAAUAAUAAAAAAUAAAACCAUCUGUUAGAAUAAAAUUUGAAAUUAAAUAAGAAAAAGAAAAUCCGUUAUCGUUAAAGAAUAUAUAAUUGAAAUAAAUAGAUUAAAUCUAAAAAAGAUAUUAAAAAUAAAAUGAAAAAUACUUUUAUAGAUUUCACAGCCUGUAAAUCUGUUAUAGAGAAGCUCUAUUUUUGAAAUUAAAAUAGAAAAAUUUAUGUUAUUAGGAUUUCACAUGACAGCACUAAUCUGUUAUAGGAGAACGUUACGUAUUGCAUUGCUGUUUCUAUUUUUAUUCUAUAUUUAAAAUUUUCGUAACGGAGAGAUGAGGGCGCUAAUUUCCCACCGAAAAAAUGGUUUGUCGAAAGACCAAAUUUGAUAUAGACGUGCUUUUAAUAUCAGUGUAUAGUAUAUAUAAUAUAUAUAUUAUAUAUAUAUAUAUAUUAUAUAUAUAUAUAUAUAUUUAAUAGGCUAGGGCUACUAUCCUAUAAUAGGAUAGUAGCACUUGUCCUUCAAAUUGUUCUUCAUGAUAGAGAUUCUGAAUCGAUGAUCGGAGCUUUGAAGUUGAAUCAAGAGAUUCGAAAUAUCUAGAAACUAAAUUUCAUAAAUUCUAAAAUUAUUUACAUGGUGAUGAGAGGUCGCAAAAAUCGACAAUUUUUUGAACUGGCAUAUUAUGAUCGUUCUUGUUUAACGUGAUGAGUAAUCUAAAUUAUUUGAAUUUUUUGAUAGAAAAUUUUUUAUACUAUUUAAAUAAUAUUUGAUAAUUCUGAUUAUGAAUUGAAAAAGUCUAACCUCUAUUUUAAGAAGGUUAUUCAUUUAUAACCAUUCAUUUUUCAACUCUUAAGAUGAACUUGAUAAUAAUUUUUAAAUAUUACAAAAUUUGGUUUCUAAACAUUUAGAUCAAUUUCUCUUCUCUCUUUCAAUUUGAUGGGCGGUUAAGAACUUAGGAGCACAAGGGCUGCUGUGUUUCUAAUAGCACAGUAGCCCUACUCUAUAUAUAUAUAUAUAUAUAUAUAUAUAUAAUAUAUAUAUAUGCAGCGUGUUGCAAGCCGACUAAGCAGUUUAUAAAGAGAUAAUUGAUGGAGACGACUUAGCCAAAGAUGAAUAUAAUAAAGAGCUAUAAAAUGAAUAUUCGGAGUUGCAAUAUCUUUUUAAAGCGCAUUUAUCUUGUCAGGUAACUAUUGGGUCAAACUUCACAUCGCACAAGAAAAGAAGAGGUCCAUUUGGAUAUAUAUAUGUAAGCAAGAUAUUUGUAAAGUUCGCCCUACAAAGCUUAAAAUAUAUAAUAAUAAAUAAACACCUCUUUGAAGAAGAAGAAGAAGAAGAAGAAGAAGAAGGAAAAAUGGCUAGGGCUUUAGCCCUCUUGAUUUCCGGCGAUGUCGGCGGCGAAUCCGUUUCUCAAUUCUCCGGGAUUCUUCUUAUGAUAUGCAUGGUUUUGUUGACGGUCUCCGUCUUGGCCAUCGUCGCGUUCAAUUGCGGCGUCAAGAAGCCGAAGCCGAAGAAUAAUGUGUACUACUACGGCGCCGGGAACCCUCCGCCUUACUACGGAGGCGGUCCGACCUACGCAAGUGGCGGCGGCGGCGGCCGUGGUGGCGGUGGCGUCGGUGCAGGCCUGGCGGUCGGAGCUGGCGUAGGCUUGGCCGCCGGUUUGGCCACUGGCCUGGUCGUCGACGCCGCUAUCGACAGCGCUCAUGGCGGCGGCUGUGGUGGCGGUGGCUGUGGUGGCGGUGGCUGCGGCGGCGGCGGCUGCGGCGGCGGUUGUGGUGGUUAACUAUUAUAGUUUUCUAUGUAUUCAUUCUUGGUAUCUGUUUAAGUAAAGCACAUAACCAAUCCUUUUUAAAUCAUUCGAGGAUUAAUUCUUAAUUUGUGCUGUGUGUUAAAACAAACGUUGUGUUGGUAUUUUGAUUGCUUCUAAUGAUCUCUUAAUUGUACACAUUGAUUUAAGUUUACUUUUCUGUGCACGUGGACUAAAUGAUAUUUGAAAGCUGACUCUGCACCUACGACGCCACAUAGUUAUGAUAAACUUGGUCGAAUGGAUAAGCUUUGUGUUAAUUUAAGAGUAAUUUUUCGAGCCUCAUAAAUACUUUCUAUAUAUCUAUGUGCACCCAUGGCCUCGGGAAUGGUUUCGAGAUAAUUCCACCGCACCCCCUGUUUUCUCUCUUGGAUCCUCGUUGAAGAUCUUUUUCGAUAUUUUAAAAAAAGGGGGGUGGGGAUGGGGAAUUUUCGUGAGAGAAUUUUCGAAAUUUUAAAAAACGGCCGUUUAACGAAUAACACGAAUUUUAUCAUCACGAUCCAAGAGUAAACUACAUGAAAUAUCCGAUUUUUCUAAAUAUUUGAAUAAUUAAAGAAUAAAUUUCCCCAAAAAAAGGGUUUAAUCCCUCUUCUCUCUUUCUUAUCACAAUGCAGUAGCGUGCGAAUGGCCUAAAAAAUCGGACCACAGUAGGCUUUGGCCCAAUUUGGGCCGGAUGUGUAGCCCAAUUCAGGCCGGCCAUGUGGGCCCAUCUUCGAUAAAUUGUGUAACAUGAUCUCUUUGAUUUUUUUUUCCCCCCAUUUUGCGAUAUAUUUUGUAAUAUCCCCUAGAGAUGAUAAUUAAAUUUUAUCUUUCUCUUUAUUCAUUAAAUUAUUCAUCUACUUUGUCAUCAAUUAUUCUUUUUAAAUUUUACUUGAAUUUUAUGUGGAUGAAUUGCCAGAUAGAUUAAAUAGAAAAGAAUUUGAAUUUGUAAAAGAAAAGUACACACGCUUUUAUUUUUUUAUAUUUUUUCGUUGCCAAGUACAAACCCAUAUUUAAUGGAAAAGAAUUUGAAUCUGAAAAAUAGAAAACAAAAAUAAACAUAACCAAAGAAGUCUUAGUCAAGAGCUAUUUAAAUAAUAAUAAUAAUAAUAAUAAUAAUANUUUCUCUCUCUUAAUUAAGUUGGAUUUGGCCUUUAAUGGUUUCAGAUUCCCACCUUCCAGAUAAUGGUUUGCAGAUCCGCCAACCUGUUAGCGCAAACCGGUUUGGUAGUUUUUGGAUUCGGGUUUGGGACUUGUUAUGAUUCGCCCAAUACCAGAUUACUUUAUUGGAUUUGAUUUCUAAACCCUAAACCCUAAAAUCCUAUUCUAAUCUACUUAUGAAUUGAUUGCCACAUCCUUCGUGUCAGAAGUUGAAAAUGAACUUAUGAACUUCAAAGAGCUUCCUUUUUUUUGUUUUCACACUGGUCUUAUUAAUUUUUUAUUUUAAUUUUUUUUUUGAGAGAGAAAGGUAACACGCUAUCCGCUUUAUUUAUUUAGCAGAUGAAUUUAGCUAUAGAGAUUGAGACAACCCGGCCUCGAAAAAUAUUAAAGGCAACCAAAACAAAAAAACCAAAUAAAAACUAAAAUUAAUAUUAAAGGCAACCAAAACAAAAAAACCAAAUAAAAACUAAAAUUAAAAAACUAUAGAAAAUUGACACUUGUACUCUUCAUUUAAAACCAAGACACUAAUAAGAGUUGCAAAACUUAGUCCAAUCUCUCCCAUAUUCAUCUAAUAGUCAAAAGAGGGUCAAAUGAUUGACUCCUAAAAAUAAUAUUAUUUUUUUUUCGCCGUAUCAUUUACCAACAGAUUACGUUGCCCCUUGGUGGUGGUCCCAGCCAGAAGCUCCCAAACACUCCUCACUUCCAUCCCAAGCCUAAGGACGUCCCUACUUUCUAGGAUGUUGUACAUAAAAAAUCUGUUGAUUACGCAUCCAAUCAGCAGAUGAUUAACAGUCUCUAAAUCGUUGCCGCACGUCACACAUUGUUGAUUCUCAGACCAACAUCUUUUUAAAUAUUGGAAUAAUUAAAAAAUAAAUUUCCCAAAAAAAAAAAGGUUUAAUCCCUCUUCUCUCUUUCUUAUCACAAUGCAGUAGCGUGCGAAUGGGAAAAAAAAUCGGACCAGAGUAGGCUUAGGCCCAAUUUGGGCCGGAUGAGUAGCCCAAUUCAAACCGAGACCAUGUAAGUUUGGCCGGCCAUGUGGGCGCAUCUUCGAUAAAUUGUGUAACAUGAUCUCUUUGAUUUUUUUUUCCCCAUUUUGCGAUAUAUUUUGUAAUAUCCCCUAGAGAUGAUAAUUAAAUUUUAUCUUUCUCUUUAUUCAUUAAAUUAUUCAUCUACUUUGUCAUCAAUUAUUCUUUUUAAAUUUUACUUGAAUUUUAUGUGGAUGAAUUGCCAGAUAGAUUAAAUAGAAAAGAAUUUGAAUUUGUAAAAGAAAAGUACACACGCUUUUAUUUUUUUAUAUUUUUUCGUUGCCAAGUACAAACCCAUAUUUAAUGGAAAAGAAUUUGAAUCUGAAAAAUAGAAAACAAAAAUAAACAUAACCAAAGAAGUCUUAGUCAAGAGCUAUUUAAAUAAUAAUAAUAAUAAUAAUAAUAAUAAUAAUAAUAGAAUCUACAGUUCAUCUGCUAAGCAACUUCUCAAUAUUUGCAUAGGCAAUUUAAAAAAGUGUACUUUCGCCUUCAUUCACCUUAGAAAUAGCACUAUUCCUAUUCUACUACUCUUGUGUACAGCUCAGAACAGCUAUAAACNUACCGUCUUUUAGAAGACGGUAAACAGUUAACCGUCUUAUAUAGGCACCUUGUGCCACGCGGGGAAUUGCUGAGAAGGUGGUAGGGUGCGCGGGGAAUUGCUGAAAAGGCGGCAUGCUACGCCUAGAGAAGACGGUUAACGAUUUACCGUCUGAAUAAGACGGUUAACCAUUUACCGUCUUCAAGAGCUAUACUUAUAGACGGUGAACGAAUCACCGUCUUUAUGAGAAAUGCUGAUCUGGCCGCUGAGGUGGCGAGAGGAAUGUUAGUUUCACAAAUAAAAUUUUCACAGGGUUAGUUUGGCAAAUAUGAAAUUUCACAGGGUUAGUUUCGAAAAAAGUCCCAGUGUACAAUUCUCCAAGCUUCCCUGACCAGGUGCCAGAUGAAAACAAUGAAAACAUCUACUUACAAACAAGAGGGAAUACUAUAAGCCACAACUUUAUUUAUUUAUUUAUUUAUUUAUUCCAUGAUAGCACCUUGUGUUGAAAUUAACUAGGGGGUGAAGGGUGAGUACAUGUAGAUCGGUACGGUUUGAUUUUUGUGCAGCAGUUUUUAAAAUUGAACCAAACUGAAUUAAUUUGUUUUGAGGAAAUCAACAAAAAGUGGCUAUAAGUAUGAUUAAUUUUAUAGUAAAAUCUGUAAUUAAUAUGAAAAUAGUGGUCAAAUUUUCUAAUAAUUUGACUAUUACAUCAAGAUAAUAUAUAUAUAUUUUUUAAAAAAUUAUAAGAUUAAAUAUAUAUUAAAUUAUUGAAAGUUUGGUUAAUUUGAAUUUUCCGGUAUUCAAAUUUCAAGAUCAAAUUUAAUAGAAUUUCUUAUAAUUAGAGCUAGCUAAGAUGAAAAUAAGCGGAUUCGAUUCAAUAAUUCCAUUUAAACCAAAGAGUUCUCACCCUAUCUAUAACUGUGGAUUCGCAUUUUGAUCACAUAUAUGAAUCCUAAAAUCUAAUGCUAUGUCAUUUUCACAUCCAUAUGUCAAGUAAAUUUCUAUAACUUUUCGUGGUUACGUGCUUGGAAAAAACAUUGGAAAAAUCAAGGGAAAAUUUCAAUUGGCCCCUAUAUAUGUGAUUUAACAUAUUUUAAUUUGGCUAUUUAAAAGUAAUAUUUUACUAUCUUAUAUUUUGAUUUUCAUUUGAUUAUAAUAAUCUAUUAUUAAAUAAGAUAGUAAAAUAAUACAAUUUACAGCCGAUAAGAUAGUAAAGUAAAAUUUACAAUUGAAUAGUAUACUAUAUUUUAUUAUUCUGUAAUUUACAAUUAUUAGUUGUGAUUUUUUAAUUGUAUUACUUUACUAUCUUAUUGAACCGUAAAUUUCUACAAUAAAAUAAAAAUAAAAUCACAAAAAAGCAAAAUGACACUUUUCAAACUAUGAAAUAACAAAAUAAUAAUACACUAAACCCUAUUGGACAACUCAAAAGUCUUUCCCAAAAAAUCAAUUUACAACAGGUAAUAGUAUUAGUCCCCAUAUAUAUAUAUAUAUAUAUAUAUAUAUAUAUAUAUAUAUAUAUANGCGUUGCAAGUAUCCUUUCAUAUUUUGACUCACAUAUUCGCAAGCCUACAUAUAAGGAACUCACAGUCCUAAUACAGGAACCAUGAAUACAUUCACAACAUUACGUAUUUGCAACCUCAAUUAACUAAUUGAAGAGAGAAGGAGGGAGAGAGAUGGCAAGGAUUCUGGGAGCUUUAGGGCAUCCUAUUUCUAUGGUUUAUGCCACUCCAGGUGUGUUAUUGUUUUGUGCUAUUGCAGCAUCACUUGCGGUGAUAACCAUGGCCAUUUUCAUUUGUGGCGGCGAUCAUGGAUCAAACAAACGUAGGCGGAAACGUUCGCACUAUGCAUCGGGUGGUGGUGGCGCCGCCGCUGGCAGUGUCGCCGCCGGUGGCGGCUGUGGCGGAGGAGGAGGCGGCGGUGGCGGUGGGGGCUGUGGUGGAGGAGGAGGUGGUGGUGGCGGAGGAUGUUGAUUGUGUACCUGCGCAUAUAUGGGACCUAUGAAAAACCAAUAGCAGUUUUCUCUACAAUAUUAUUCUGCUUGUUGAAUAAUUUUAUUCGUGGUUUGGAUUUUCUGAAAUAGUACAAAAUAAUGUUUUGAUGAUCUUGUUUAUAUAUAUAUAUAUAUAUAUAUAUAUAUUCUUUUCGAUUAGGAUGAUUUGGAUUGACCGUGAGUUUAUACUGUAUGUUUUAUUUAUAUAUAUAUAUAUUUCUUUAAUGAAUCGUGCAGAAAAAAAACAGUAAUAAGUUCUAUAUCUUUUCUUUCUGAAUUGUUUGAUUGUAAGAGAAAGCAAAAAAACAAUUUACUAUAGAUCAUCGAAAGCGUUCCCAUUUUCAGAAUUUCUUAUUUAAUUUGACUUUUAUUAUAUUUGUCUAGUAAGAAGAGAAACAAUAAGAACUCAUAUAUUUUUCUCUUUCUCGAUUGUUUUGUUAUUAGAGAACUCUAAAAAUAUAUUUUACUAUUUAUCAUUUAAAACAUUCUCUCUUAUUAAAUUUAUAUUGAUACCCUCUAUAUGACAAAGCGAUUUGUAAAUAACAUUGCACGCUGCUUCAAAAUUUAAGCUCUGUAUGUGAUAGUAGAAGAUCAGAGUACCACGUCAGCCAUAGGUCAGUCCAUAAUUUUAGAUGCCUAUAUACGAAAUAUCGUAAUACUUCACAAAAAAAAUAGAUAUAUAAGAAAAAAAUUAUGAUAGAUUAGAAGUUUUUAUGAAAAUAAGCGGAUUCGAUUCAAUAAUUCCAUUUAAACCAAAGAGUUCAGUUCUCACCCUAUCUAUAACUGCGGAUUCGCAUUCCAAUCACAUAUAUGAAUCCUGAUAUAUAUGAAACCUAAAAUCUCAUGCUGUGUCAUUUUCACAUCCAUAUGUCAAGUAAAAUUUCUAUGAGUUUUCGUGGUUACGUGCAUGCUUGGGAAAAUCACUGGAAAAAUCAAGCGAAAAUUUCAAUUGGCCCCUAUGUGAUUUAACAUAUUUUAAUUUGGCUAUUUUUAAAAUAAUAUUUUACUAUCUUGUAUUUUGAUUUUUAUUUUAUUAUAAUAAUCUAUUAUUAAAUAAGAUAGUAAAAUAAUAUAGUUUACAGCCCAUAAAAUAGUAAAGUAAAAUUUACAGUUGAGUUUUGCCGGCUCGGUUUGUAGGCUCUAACUGCUUCCGUCAUGUACGCCUAAUUCAUUUUGCUUAAUGAAUGAAGCAGGUAGCUUGCUAUCUAUUUCUCAAAAAAAAAAAAAAAAAUACAGUCGAAUAGUAUACUAUAUUUUAUUAUUAUGUGAUUUACAAUUACUUGUGAUUUUAUUUGAUUUUUUCUUUCUUUCCUUUUUUGGCUCCUGACUCCCUUAAAUUUUUCUGUCUCUUUUACUCAAUUUUUUCCUCGGAAGCUUCAGCUGCUUCCAUUCUGUAAGCUUAGUUUAUCUUCCUAAUGAAUAAAGCGGAUAGCUCGCUAUCUAUUUCUAAAAAAAAAAAAUAGUUGUGAUUUGUUAAUUGUAUUACUUUGAACACACUUUUCAAACUAUAAAUAACAAAAUUUGGAUAAAUUGAAAGUCUUUCCGUCCCAAAAAGUCAACUAACAACAACAGGUAAUAGUGUUAGCCACGACAUAUAUAUAUAUAUAUAUUAACUAACUCCGCAAUAACGCGUGGCAAGUGUCCUUUCAUAUUUGGACUCACAUAUUUGCAAGUCUACAUAUAAGGAACUCACAGUCCUAAUGCAGGAACCAUGAAUACCUACACAAUAUUACGUAUUUGCAACCUCAAUUAACUAAUUGAAGAGAGAGGGAGGGAGAGAGAUGGCAAGGAUUCUGGGAGCUUUAGGGCAUCCUAUUUCUACGGUUUAUGCCACUCCAGGUGUGUUAUUGUUUUGUGCUAUUGCAGCAUCUCUUGCGGUCAUAACCGUGGCGGUUUUCAUUUGCGGCGACAAUCAUGGAUCAAGUAGGCGGAAAGGGGAUGUCGGAGGGGGCGGGGAUGGUGGCGGAGGAGGCGGGGAUGGUGGCGGAGGAGGAGGAGGAGGAGGUGGCGGUGGCUGUGGUGGCGGCGGCGGCGGCGGCGGAUGAUGUUGAUUGUGUGCGCAUGGGACUUAUGAAAAACCAAUAGCAGUUUUCUGUAUAUUAUAUAUUCUGCUUGUUGAAUAAUUUUAUUCGUGGUUUGGAUUUUCUGAAAUAGUACAAAAUAAUGUUCUGAUAAUCUUGUUUGAAUAUUUUCUUUUUUUUUUUUUCCUUUUCGAUUAGGAUGAUUUGAAAAAAAAUAAAAACAAUAAAAAACAUUCUACGCUGCUUCAAAAAUUAAGCGCUGUGUGUGACAGUAGAAGAUUAGAGUACCACGCAGUAUCAGAUUAGAUCCGGUAUCUAAACCANUUUUUUUUUUUUUUUUUUUGAGAGAGAUAGAUAGCACGCUACCCUCCAAUCAAACACUCUACUAUUCUAAUUCAUACAUAUAAUCGGUUCAUGACCACAACUCACAAAAAUGUAGUGCACAUAUAUAAUUCACUGGCAAUAUAAACGAAUUUUACCGACCGUCCCUAAAGCAAAUGGCAAUGAAUUUGAUGGUUGGUAUUCGAGAUCCAAGUUCGAAUCCUAGUUGAUUCACAUUUCUAGCCAAGUUUAUUUUUAAAUAAAAUAAACGAAGCGGGUAGCGUGUUACCUAUUUCUCAAAAAAAAAAAAAAAAAAACGAAUUUCCUAGCUAAUAACUAAUUCUUUUUUUUAAUAACUAAUUUAUUAAGACAAACAAUUCUGGUAAUAAUAUCAACAUCAUAUAUUUCACAUUGAGCAAUCAUGCAUUCAAGUUUCCGCGUGUUUCCGUAGCUUAAAAAAAAAAAAGAACCGUGCUUCACGACAAGAGCAAUAAUGGAAAGAAAAAUCAAAGUAACUAGAGGUAAUAAUAACAACCGCUACUUUUCUGAGGCCAGAAUAUAUCGCGUGCGCGUUGUAACUAUGCGUUCAUAUAUAUCUUGGACUUGAUGUAUUCAUAUUUUGUACUAUAUAUAAUUGCAACCUUAUCUAUAAGGAACUAAAGAACAUAUUUAUUUGAUGUAUUCAUAUUUUGGACUAUAUAUAAUUGCAACCUUAUCUAUAAGGAACUAAAGAACGUUCGGUAGUUUCUAAGGAAAAAAAUCACACUGAAAAUUUGAUUAUAUUAAUUAUUUAAUUAAUUUUAUGAUAAAAAUUAAAUUAAAUUUACAGAUAAAUACUAAAAUCUAAAUAAAAAAUUGUUGAAGAAAAAUGCCAAAAUAUUUAUUCCGGAAGCAUGCGUAGCAUUGCGAGAUUAAUCAAAAAUAUUAUCCCAAAGUACGACCAAAAUUUCUUCUCAUGUGAACACGAACGCAAAAGAUCUUUCAACACCCGGAAUCUCUCUCUGCCAUGUCCAUCUCAUGAACAGUGAAAAGAAUACUAUAAAUAGUGGUGUAAAUAGAACGUUGGAAUCAAACCCAAUGUUCCACUCCAAGGCAAUACAAAAUAAUAAUAAAAGUGAUUGAAAAUUUUUGAAUUUUUUCACCAACAUAGUUAACUUGAUCGAAGAGAGAGGGAGAGAGAUGGCAAGGAUCCUGGGAGCUUUAGGGCAUCCAAUUUCUACAGUUUAUGCUACUCCAAGUGUUUUGUUGUUUUGUGCUAUUAAUUGUAGCAUCUUUUGCAAUCAUAGCCGUGGCGGUUUUCAUUUGUGGUGGUCAUGGAUCAAACGAACGUAAGAGGAGACCUCGGAAUGAUUCAGCCUUAGUACACGGAGGCAGCAGUGGCGGGGCGGUGGCUGCGGUCGUGCCGGUGGGCGCGGGCACGGGCACGGAGGUGGCAGCUGCGGGCACGGAGGAGGCGGCUGCGGGCACGGAGGAGGCGGCUGCGGCGGUGGUUGUGGCGGCGGAGGCAGUUGCUUGUGUGCAUGGGACAUGCAUGCAGGACCAAAAUACGUAGAAAUAUGUACCUACAGCGUAACCAUUUUCUAUUUUUCUACUUGUUGAAUAAAUUUUUGGUUAAGAUUUUCUGAAACAGUAGAAAAGUAGUGUUUUAAUUUUUUAUUUUUUUGGGUCUUAGUUUUAUUAUAAUAAUAAUUAUCUAGUGUGUGUGUGUGUCUAUAUAUAUAUAUAUAGAAAAAUAAGAAGCCAUAUACUUCGUUUUUCUUUCUCUUUCUCAAUGCUUGACUUGGUUCGCACGAUUUAAAAUUUAACUUUUUAGAAAUUAUAACCCUAAACUUGAAUUUCAAUAUUCUAGUAUCUUAGAAUACCUAGGAUUAUGCCUUGUUCCACAUGUUUGGUUCAAGAUGGAAAAAUAACUAUAUUAUAUUGAUAAGUUUGCUGUUAAGUCUAUAAUAUCUUUUUUUUGAUUAAACAGUCCUAUUUGAGUCUAUAAUCUAAAAUGAUAUUAAUAAAGAUGAUAUUAUAUAUUAUUCGAUCUAUACUAAAAUGAUGAUUAAUAUCAAACUUAAGUAGAAUAUUUUAUUUCAUUAAGAUCAAUUCUCGUGGAAAAAUAAAAAAAACCAAGAGAGGGUGCGUUUUGAAUUCCCAUUUUUUGGUGGGGUUAGAAGAUUUUUUUAAAUCCCAUAUUUUGUUGGAUUAGAAGAUGAAUUUUUCUGCCACGUUAGAUUUUUUGACUAACCAAACAUAAAUCCUAACCCUAAUUCCUAGAAAUUUAAAAGUAUACUUCCAACCAAACAUACUCUAAUAGAUAGUUAGAAUUAAUUUACCUAUAAGAUCAUUUUGAAGCAUUUUGUAUAUUGAACAAAAAUCAUUUGACUAACCAAACAUGACUAAUUCCUAAGAAUAUUAAUUAAAAACUAUCGCAAACCAAGCAUGCCUUAAGUGAUAGUUAGAAUCAAUUACCUAUAAGAUUAUUUGAACAAAAAAUCAAAUGAUGAUCAUCUCCACGGUAAAAAUGCUAUGUAAAAUGCAUCUACUCUAUCAUUCACGAAAUUGUUGGGGAAAGGCGCCCCAAUUAUCCCUGACAACACCUUUCUGAUUUUUGAUAUUAAAUAUUAUAAGUUUAUUCGCUAAAAUAAUUAGAAUAGGACUAAUAAUUUAUCAAAAUAAAUUGAUCAUGUUUUUUCUUGUAAUUUUCUUCUAUAGUAGCACACCAAUGCCCCUCCAAUAGUUGGUCUAUUGAGUAAGUUAUCUAAUGUGAUAAUUUAACGCUAGAAGUAGGAUCUAAAAAGAAUGAAGCGGAUAGCAUACUAUCUUUUUUCUCAAAAAAAAAAAAAUGCUAACAGUAGGAUAUAAAUUUUGCGUCUAUCUAUCUUUUAAUGUAAGUAAGGAGAAAAUAAAAAAUAUCAAAAAAUUUUUUUUAAAAAAUGGCUAAAUUACAUAAAAUCUCCGUGUCAAAACCUGAUUUUUCACUUCCCCCCCUAUCAUUUAAAAACGGAUUAAUUACACCAUUAGUCCCCAACCUUUGCACUAAUUUUUACUUGGGUCCCCAACUUUUUUUUUUUUGCAAUUGAGUCCCUAAUCUCUUAAUUUUAUUACAAUUAUGUUCCAACCGUUAAAAAAACUAUUAAAAUUAACGGAAUCGCCACGUCAGCGCCUAUUUGGCAUUCUUUUGCAUUUUAAUUUAGGUCCCUAAACUUUGCACAUUUUCCACUUUAGUCCCUAAAAUUCAAAAUUCAAAAUUUUAAAUUUAAAUUCAAAAAUAAUAUUAAAAUUAAAAUUUUAAACUAACGAGAAAUUAGAAUUUUGAAUUUGAAUUUAAAGCUGAAUUUAAAUUUUGAAUUGAAAUUCAAAUUUUAAAUUUAAAUUUUUAAUUGAAUCUAAAUUUUGAAUUCAAACUUAAAAUUUUGAUUUUGAUAUUUCAAUUUACAUUUAAAAUGAAAGUUUUGAAACCGAAAUUUAAAUUUAAAAUCUGAAUUUAAAUUUAAAAUCAUAGGUAAAAAUUUGAUAUUAAAUUUUAAAUUUGAAUUUAAGAUUUGAUUUCAUUAAAUUUGAAUUUAAACUUCGAAUUCAAAUUCACAUUUUGAAUUUAAAAUUUCAAAUCGAAGUUUGAAAUUAAAUUAGAAUUUAUAAUUCGAAAUGUGAAUUUGAAUUUAAAAUUUAAAAUUUAAAAUUAAAUACAAAAUCGAAAUUUGAAUUCCAAUUUAAAUCUAAAUUCAAAAUCAAAAUUUAAAUUUAAAAUUUAAAUCUUAAAUUAAAAAUCUUAUUUUGAAUUUAUAAAUUUAAUGGGUUAAUUACACCAUUGGUCUCCAAUCUUUAUACUGUUUUUCAAUUUGGUCCCCAACCUUUCUUUUUUUUGCAAUCCGCUGACAUAGCGCCACCAUGGUGCUGACACGACGCCUCCGUGGCGCUGACAUGGCACCUCUGUGGUGUUGGCUUAAAUGGGCCAACAUCCUGCCCUGUGGCGGGAGCCCAUGUGGGCCGAGUCAUGUUCGAAAUGGCGUGAGGUUGGGUUCGGCCGAGUCAUGUUCGAAGUGGCGUGAGGCCAGGUGGGCCGAGUCACAAUCGAGAUCCGUGGGCGCUGUUUCUGUACGCUUUAAGUGAAUUGAUUGCGUAUUUCUAACAGCUCGAGCUUUUGGGAUUAAUGGUUAGCGCCAACGAUCCGACACGUGGCACUGACAUGGUGCUGACGUGGCAUUUUUCGUCAAUUUUAUUAUCUAUCUAACGGCUGGGACUUAAUUAUAAUGAAAUCAAGAGAUUAAGGACUUGAUUGCAAAAAAAAAGGUUGGGGACUAAACUGAAAAACGGUGUAAAGGUUAGGGACUAAUGGUGUAAUUAACCCUUUAAAAACCUACACUUUGUCCCCUUGUAAAAUGAAAAAUGUUCACAGAGGUACGGUGUGAACUGUAAUGACAAAAUGACCAUUUUACCCCUCACCAUUUUCAUCUCCUUCAUCCUCUUCCUCAUCAGCCGCCUCGAUGGCGGCCGAUCGUCCGCGAUUCAUGCCUCGAUCGGCCGUGGUUUCUCUCCAUUUUUUUCUCCACCUGCUCCCUUUCUCCUCCUGCACCCUCGUUGCCCCUCGAUUUCGGUGACAGUGGGGAGGAAAUCGAGGUGGGUGUGGAUGGAAAGGUGGGCAAGGACAACGAGGGCGAAGGCGAGGCCGUAAAGAAGGGUGAGGGAAUGUUUGUGGGCGCGGACGGAGAUGUUGACGAGGGCGAGGCAGUGGAGGAGGGCGAGGCGGCGAGGCGAAGGAAGGCGAAGCAACAGGAGAAAGGGCGGAAGGGUAUUUUUGGCAUAAAAAAUAUAUAAUAAUAUUUUUUUAACGGAACCCUAACAAUUCACUAAUGGUAGGGGGUAAAGUGAACAUUUUUUAUUUUACAAGGGGGCAAAGUGUAGGUUUUUAAAUGACAGGGGGGGAAUGUGAAAAAUCAAAUUUUGAGGGAGAUUUUCUGUAAUUUAGCCAAUAUAUAUAUAUAUUAUAUAUAUAUAUAUAUAUAUUAUAUAUAUAUAUAUAAUAUAUAUAUAUAUAUAUAUAAUUAUAUUAUAUAUAUAAUUUUUUGCAUUUUUCGAUAUCUUUACCUAGCAAUCGAAGGAUUUUAAAAUCAAUAAUUUUAACAGUUGAAAAUAAAAAUCCUAUAAAAAGUGGUGAUAUAGCACUAAAUUUCGAUCAGAAAUAUUGAUCUUGUUGUAGAUAGUUUAAAGAUUUUGUAUCAAAAUUUCAUCUGAUUUGAAUACUUCUACACAUUAAACUUGAAAACGGCAGAUAUCAAUAAUUAAAAUUAUUGAUUUUAAAUCAUUUCGAUCACUAGAUAAAUGAUAUAAAAAAAUCGCAAAAAUUAUUUUCUAAAAACUUCAAAUGCACUAGAUCAAAGUCUAACGGAGCCGAUCGUCGAUUUGAAAAUUUCAUCAUCAAAAACGGCUCAGGAGCACGAGGCCUCGUGCUCCUGAGAGCACAGCAGCCCUGCUAUAUAUUUAUAUAUAAUAUAAUUAUAUAUAUAUAAUAUAUAUAAUAUAUAUAUAUAACGUUUGAUGGAUCAAUUUAUAAAAUGGUCAAUAGUGGAGGAGUCGCUCUGCAUUUUUCACCCUUUUCCCUCAUAAUUUCAAACCCGAGGAAUUUGGGGGCGUACCGUUCCUAAAAUCCUGCGCACGAGCAAGUAAACUACACCAACAGAAAGAACAAGAAGAGGAGACGCAAUGGAUCCGAGCGGCGACGGAUCCCCUCCUCCUCCUCCUCCGGCGAUCGUCGGCGCCGCCGCGGUGGUGCCGUACGCGCCGUUCCCAGCUCCGCCGCCGCCGAGGGAGGCGUUCUGGGCGGAGCAGUGGCGGGAGGUGGAGCGCACGGUGGACGUGAGGGAGCACAUCCUCCCCCUGGCCCGGAUCAAGCGCAUCAUGAAGGCCGACGAGGACGUGAGGAUGGUCGCGGCCGAGGCGCCCGCCCUGUUCGCGCGCGCCUGCGAGAUGUUCAUCGUCGACCUCACCUUCCGCGCCUGGGCCCACGCGCACGAGAACCGCCGCCGCACCCUGCAGAGGGCCGACGUCGCCGUCGCCGUCGCCCGCACCGACGUCUUCGACUUCCUCCUCGACGUCGUCUCGCUCCACGACCACCCCGCCCCCUACGCCGACUACUACAUCCACCCGUAGAUCUCCUCUCUCUCCUUUUUUUUUUUUUUUUUUUUUUUUGGUUUUAAGUUUUAGGGUUUAGUAGGCAUUCUCAUCCCCCUGUUUUGCUCCUUUUUUCUUUUUCUUUUUGGCAAUGAAUAUAGGUAGUUGAAAAUUGGAUUGUCUUCUUUUUUCUUUUUUUUUUUCCCCCCUUUUGCAGCACGAAAAUGUGUAGGUUUUGGCCUCUGAGGGUUAGCUUCAGAUUUAAUGGGCUUAGAUUGAAUUGAAUUGAAGACCUUUCUUUAUGUGCGUAGUAGUUGCAAAUGGCUCUAUUACGAAGAACACGAGAGAAAAGGAUUUGUAAAAAUGCUCAUUGCUUCUGUGGCGGCAUUGUACGAAUCUUUCUUGCAUAUGCUUAAUUUGAUAAUUUCUCGAUUUCUUUUAGUGUCUAGUUAUGCAGAUUCUCGGAGGUUAUUUGUAGAUUCUGUUGUUUCUGCUAUUUUCAGAUAGAUUGUGUGUUUUGGGAACAAUAGAUAGAUGAGAAGCCUCGUGAGCAGCUCUGUUUGUCACAGAUUGAAAGAUCAAGAACUGCUACCUACUAUAGUAGCACGCUCAUUAAAGGAUCUGAAAUUAGAAAUUGAGCUUCUGUGUAAAAUGUGGUCUUUGGAAGACAUAAACGACCAAAAGUGAGAAGGGCGGGAGAAUUAGUUAGCUUCCAGUGUCGGUGUUUCGUGCUUAUAACAGAGCAUAGCCUCCAGCAUAGAAAUUUUAUAUGAAUCUUUGUUUUAGGUAUUCGUGAUCUGUUAGCAAAUCGAAACACAGAUAACUUUAUCAGUUUUUUUAAUUUUGUAUUCUACUCCUCUUGGCUUGUAUUUUGUGUUUGUAGGUUAACCGUUGUUCUUAGAUUUUCUUCAGAUUUUAUUUUUUAAUCUCCAAUAAGUAUUGUUGUUUGUUAGGUAGCAGAUGUUUACUUUUUUCUAGAGUGGUCCGGGUGUUACAUAGUUCAAGCUCCAACUGCGGGGAUUUGGAUAGGUUGAAGUUGGUAGCAAAUAAGAAAAUAAUGAGGUAAUGAAGAUGUUUUUUUUUUCUUUGAAAUAACUCUUUCCUAAAUUUUAUUUGACCAACUUUUUUUUUUUUUUGCCAACUUAGGACAAGAAUGAGAAAAACGAUGAAUCGUUUAUCAUUUUUAGAUUGUUAUUAUAGUAUAAUUUUUUUUUUGUAUGGAUUGUUGGAAUAUUUGUAAGGUUGUUAGGAUUGGAUAUGAAUUAUUGAAGUUUCAGUUUGAUUGUAUAACUAGGUUGUUAGAAUUUUUUGAAUUAUUUAGAUUGUAUUUUAUUUGUUGAAAUUUUUAUCUAGUUGCUAGAAUUCUAUAUAGGAAAUACAAAGAAACAAUGAAUGCUUUUGUUUCCGAAGAAAAGAUGUUGAGUUGAAAGAAAUAGAAUUAUUUGAUCAAUAAAAUUUUACUAGAAUUAGUUGACAAAUUAUAAAUUUUAAAAAAAAUUAUUUGAAAAAAAGUCCACUAAUGGUGGUUAAGCGAUGCUAUAUUAGUUCAUUUAUUUUUUCUGCCGAAUCAGUAGGCUAUUAUUAGCGGAUGAAUCAUUAGAUGCGUCAAGCUCUAAUAAUUUUCAUAAAAUUAGCUUCGAUUUUCUUGAUUAGCUUAGAACUCUAAUCUUCAGUCUCCACUUAAAUCUUUCUCUAACUAUUCUAACUUUUCCCCAGUUUCAUGGUGUUAUGAAAUUUGGAGUAUUGAUGAUCAAUCAUUCAACGUGAUCAAGUGAUUUAGCCAUAAUAACUUCAUAUCCAAAUUUCCCGGAGCGAGUGGCUUCACAAAACUACGCAGUUAACAGGUACAAUCCAUAUCUUCUUUCCUGUUCUUUUGACGAACCAAUAAUACACCAAUCAACCGUGCAAGAACAGAGACAUCUUACUAUUACAAACAUAUAUAUAUAUAUAUAUAUAUAUAUAAACUAAAGUUCCUAUACACUGAACUACUACGUGGAAUUACUCUCCCAGUGACACAGCUUCCCACCAAAAAUAACGAUUACUGUUUCAAACACAAAACUCAAGCAUAGUGACAUGUUAAUAUUAAAAGAUAUAUAAAUGGCAAACCUCACAAAAACCCAAAACUUGCUCACUUUUGACGUCACAAUAUACAGCAACAUACCCCCACAGCAGAACAUGUACUUCAGAUAAAUAUUGCAGUAGAACAGGCCCUGGUGCCGCUCGCCCAUCAGCUAUCUAAGGCCGUUAUCCAGCAUAUCAACCCCCCAGUGUGGAACUACAUUUUCUGCAGUUCUCAGAAUAUAUACUGGUGCUGACAAAUUUUCAUUCUACCCCCUGGUCUUAGCCCUCUUCAUGCCAAGCCCAUUGUGGAAUGGCGAGACCGAGCCAGACAUGCUCGACCCUUCUUCACGGAGCGUUCCAUUAAGCAUGGCGAGUUCACGAAGCUGCUGCUGCUUGAAGAAAUCAUGUGAUUCAUCCUUCAUAAAAGAGUGAAAAUGAAUUGAUAAAUUAGAUCAUAUAUUGGAUACUAGAUAUAAAUGGCAAAGAAUAAUGAAGCUCAAAAGAUGGUGAUACCACAGGCUUUAGCAGUUCUUCGAGGAUCUCAUGAGCUUGCAUCAGACGGGCGUCAAUGAUUUCUACAGGUAGCUCAGCUUCCACCAGUAUGUGAAGAGGUUCGUUCAGAUGUUCAUACCCUGGCUUGCCUCUCAUCAGUUCCUCCUACAGAAAUAAGCACAAAUUCCAGUAGCCAAGGUGAUUUCAGACUGUUCAGUAGAAUUUUGUUUUCAUAUUCGGAGUAGGUUUGCACCUUUCAAAAGAAAACAUAUUUGUAGUAGGCUCUCUUAUAAAACUUUUAGGUAGAGAUACAAUAAAAGUGCUCCAUCCAGGAUAAAGCAAAGCUGGAAAUUUAUGUCAGUCAGUAAAAUGCAUAAUCUGAUAAUUUUUUUUUUUGGGUAAGAAGUAAUCACAAUAAACUAUGUCACCGAAUAACUUUAUACACAGAUGUAUAGACCCAGCAUGUAUUGUACUACCCAAGUAUCUUUUAUGUCUUUGAUUGCAUAAGAAUGGCCACUAUAUAAAAUUUUAUACAUCAUUAUGCACGCCUAAGGAUCCUGAUUGACCCAAUUUCGUUAACUCUUAUGUUAUACGAAGAUCAUGCAAUGUGUAACUACUUUUAUUUCUCAAGUCAAUACAGGAGGGCAUCUAUAAAUGAUGCAAGCGCAUUAAGCAUGAAUCAUCUAAACAUUAUUACCCUAGCUGGAUCUUUGAUGCUGCCUCGACCUCUUAUCAGAACACGGCAAUCAGUAGUUGCCUCCACUCGCUUAAGAGAAUUUCCCCUGGGACCAAGCAGUCGGCCAACAAAGUUGUACUACACAAAGAAAUAACAGAGUAUCAUAAUGUCUGAUAAAACCAGCCCAGAAACAUAAAAAAGCGGUGACUUACUGUUGGGUAUUUGUCGACAGGAAUAUCAAUUUUGAUUGUUUUCUUCACAAUGAGACCUGAGGAGCUACCUUGGGACCCGAGCCAAGAAUGUACAGAGGAAGGCUACAAAACGACAAUUUAUGCAUGUUACAUCUAAAUUAACUUGAAGGAGCCAAAAGAUAUUCGAAAUUUGUUCUUAGGAUGCAAAUAAUACCACAAGAAGGCCUUCCACUCAAAAUUCUUUUUACGCUCGUAAGGCAUUGCACUUAUGAAAUCUUUAGGAAAGAACAAUGACAUCAACCAUAACAUGAUAACUUACAUUAUAAUCAAUGGCAACAAUAUGUCUAUGCUCUAGUGACACAUUAACAAGGUAGAAGUGAAGGCAAACAAUAUAUGUAUGCUCUAAUGACACAUUAACAAGGUAGAAAUGAAUAAACAAUAUAUGUAUGCUCUAGUGACACAUUAACAAGGUAGAAAUGAAGGUCAGUCCAAAUUUGCCAAACUUUACAUCCUAAAUAUUAACCAUUACAGAUUUCUGCUUCUCUAUUAUAGUUAGUUUUGCUGCAUAAUCUGUGCAAUUGAAGUUUAAGACAAAUGAUAUGCACUAGGUGUAUUCUGUUAAUGGUGAGGUUAUGUUAAUGUAAAGUAAGGUCUACAAAAUUUAAUCAGCAAGAGACUACUUAACUUAGAAUAGUCCAAAUAUUUUAAACACUCUAAAGUUAGAAAGCCCGCAGUUAUUUGGAUAUAUUAGGUACAACAGAAACAUGUAAAAUCACUAGGCGCUGAACCACAGUAUAAAAAAAAAAUUGUCAGGAAUGUAAGCAGUCCAAUAGAAAUCUAAUUAAUUUAGGUUAGAAUGAAACCUAUAGCAAGCCCAUGGAGCAGUAAAUUAGGUACCAAAUGUUAAUGGUUAGUUUCCGUACUUCUGAUUGAAAUGCUGAAGCCCAACUGUUCAUAUCAGCUGCUCCUCCGUUCGAAAAUAAUCCUCCAGUAGUUAGUGGGCUACCAUGUUCAAUCCCACUUUGAUUUAAAAUAGAUGCAUUCUCCAACAGUUUGGAAACACGCAAAAUUUCUGCUUCAAGAUGUCAAUUUCAAGCAUAAGAUGUACCAGUUAGCAGUUGUUAAGAUAUUAGUCAUCAGUAACUGCACAGAUUUAGUGGUUAGGGCGCCAAGAGAUUCUUUUAAAUUGAAUGUAUGUAAAUUUUGCAACCAAGUAGCCAUGAAUAAUUAUUCCUCAUGUUUAAUGUCAAAAAAAACUUUUGUAACAUGCACGUACUAUUAUAUGGAACUACUAAUAAAGUACCAAAAAAGUCUGAUUUACUACAUACGGAAGAAACUUAAAAUAAUUUAGAAUUCAAAGUUAUUCAAAACUAAUGCUUAAGGCACGGCCGGAGCUUUCCCCUCCGUCUUGGGAGUUUGAGUCUCCAAACGAGUGUACCAGCCUGGGGUUCUUUGACUCUUCGAACAUAUAUUUCAAAGCUUCACUAUUUAUAGUUUCCCAUGUAAAUUAAAUUAGCCUGAUGAACAUUUUUCAACAUUUUACAUAUAUAAGCUGUUAGUGAAAACAUAGUGAAACUAAAAUUUGACUCUAAAUUAUGAUAAACUCUAACGGACUAAUCAAAAAGGUAGACUGUGCUUGUACUUUCCUAUAAGGACUUGCUUGUGUAAAUAUCACCAGCUGUAAAACUUGGAGAAGGAAAAAUGAAAGACUAAGUCAUACAAUUAAAAUCAACUAAAGCACUAUCAUCAUCCUCCAUAGAGACAUACAUGAUAACCACAAAUUUGACAUCGUUUUACAAAUAAAAAGGCAUCAAGUCCUAAUUUGCACAAGCAAAUUAUGUUUCUACUGCAUAAAGCUUAGUUUCAAAAUCUGAUUUACUUUGUAUUAGCAUGGUUGGAAGGGCAUCUGGUGUCUUCUUAGAACAUGUCAAAUUUGCAGUAAAUCUAAUGGCUUUAUUAGGAGGGUUACUCCAUCUUUUGCAUUUAAAAUAUACCAGAUUCAACAAUUACAAUCAAGUUUCCAGCCCUUAAGCUGAACAUGCUGCAUGCUACCACAUGGAUAAUGCUCGCUAAAUACUUAAUGUGGUUUUAUUUUAAGACGAAAUCAACCCUAAAUGGUCUUCACAUUUGUUGACCUGACUAUAGCCUGCAGAGGUAUAGCGAACUGUCAACAAUAGCAAAUCAUAAGUCAGUACGAACAAUGUGAAGAAUUAAUUAGCCAAUAAACAAAGUAGAAUGUCGGGUCUAUCGGUGUUAAUAUAAAUUAUUUUUUAAACUCAAAUAUGUAUUAGCUGUAACUGUUUCACAUAUUUCCAGCGAGUUAAAGGAUAUAGAAGAUGUUGCAUUCAUGUUCCCUAGUAGGAUUAGGAAAAGUAAAAACGCCUCUCUUAGCGAAUAGAGAGGUAUGUUUCUUCACUGACAAUGAGCAAUUAAAAUGUUAAGAGCCCAGCGAUUUAGCUUUCAGGAAAGAGCCCACUUUCAUCAGGCAAAAGGCUUAGCAGCUUUCAAAGGGGUGGAUGCCGCAACUAACCAAGGGGAUUAAUGAGCUUGGAAGAGUAGGGUCAUAGUAUCUCUCUUAAAUUAAAAAAUAGCUGUGCAUUAGCAAACAUGAAUCUCUAUGGAUAAUAUGCAAUCAAAAUGAGCUUGAAAGGUGCAGUAUGACAAUUUGCCUUCAAGGAGGGACAGAGAACAAGGAUUGUAGAGACCAUUCAUAUCACAAACCACACUUAGAACAGAGAGGAUCACUAUUUCAGAACAAGAAGGAACUGCUUCAGUAAAGAGCAAACAAAACCCACUUAGUGGUAACAUACAGCUCAAAAAAUCAUCCGACCUUUCACACCAGCAACAUGUCCUAUAAAUACUCUUCCAGAAAAGUAAAAGGACAACAAACCAGACAGAAAAAAAAGAAAAAGAAAAAUGGGAACCACGCGCUGUAUCACACCAAGACAUUGUUGUCAUAGAUUCUCCUCACAAAGGGAUAUCCCAUAUGGCCACAAGAAUGAAUUCAAAAUAAACAGUGAAAAUUGAGAAGCUAAUAAUUGAGAUAUUUAUUUUGCUUCUGAAUCUUAAGCUUACCCUGAUUUAACAACCGAUAACAAUGAGGAAGCACCGGCACAAAGGGAUUGAGCUUGUGACGCUCUGCAAACAACUCCGCAAGAUACCUAUCAAAACACUUCUCACAGUUUAUAAAUCUAUCAUCGAAUCAAACAAUACAUAAGUAUUCACACACAAAAGUUUCAGAUCUUGCACAAAAGAAGCAUCCAAAUCAAUAACCAUGGUAUAAUACGCAAAGGAAACGGAAUAUGGAUCUUAGAUCUCAAAUUACGUAGCAUAAUUCGACUCUAUCAUGAAAACGAAAAAACAAAUCUCGACCGCGUCAUCGUCACGUAACUUUUAACGAGAAAGAAACGAUCGAAAGCUUCUAGAUCGAAUCCGAUCGAAAUCGAAAUGGAUCGAAACAACCUAAAACAUCAGAUCAUGUAGAGAUCCAGCAGUUAUCGAGAUCGAAGAGCGAGAUUUUGGGGAGGGGGAAGAGGAUCGUACUUCUCCUGAUCCGCGACGAGGCCGCUGGCGGCGGAGCGGAGGCCGGAGACGUGGGGAGAGUGGGGGCCGGUGGAGGGAGAAGGGGAGUAGGCCAUGUACCUGCCGGAAGACAUGGCUCCGGCGGGAUCGGCAGCGAGGCUCCGGCCAGGUUAGAUCGGCUCCGGCGAGAUCUAGACGAAACCCUAGAAGCUUCCGUGUGGUGUCGAUGGGGGGAGGGGGAGAGGGAGAGGGAGAGAGAGAGCGCGAAGUAUUAUGAGGGAGAAGUAAGAUGAGGACGAUGAAGAGGGAGAGCGACACAGUGAGAGGCGAUCGUCGUAUUAUCACACUGUUCACUGCCUUAGGACUACGUAAGGAUUAAAAAUCGUAGGCGAAAUUUCAAAAUACCCCUUGUACUUUCACUCGUCUGUUGAUUGCACCUUGCACAUUUUAGUUUAAAAAAAAACAAAAUAAAACAAAAACACAAGGAACCUUUGGUUUCAAAAAUCUUAAUUUUCUAGCAAGAAGAUUGAAUAAAAUUUUUUAAUUAAGAAAACUUAAAACUUCUUGUACCCACUAUCAAGUUUUUAACCAAUUAUGCUAAGUACUCUUAGUUUUUCAGUAUUUCUAGAAAUGUAAAACAACUUCAAUCAUCUUUUUUAAAAUUUAUUAAUGUCCACUUUUUAGUGUUUAAUAACCAUUGAACUAACAUUCAACACAUCACUUAACUACUUCGGUAGUUAAUCACAGAGUUUGAGUUUUAAAUAUCCAAUUUUAAAAUUUAAAUGGCCAUUUAUAUUUGGGAUUAAGAGUUUCAUACCCCUCUAUCCUUUAAAAAGAUAUUUUAGGUGCUUGGCUUAUUUAUUGAAUUAGAUAAUCAUUUAAAGUUUAAAAAGCUAAACUAAUUAAAUGACAUAAUUCUAGUAAUUAUUUUGAUCAAGCUUCUCCUAAAUUUUUGUUAAUAUUUCAUAAUAAUUUAUGGCAAACUUGAUUGUUAAAUAUUUGGUUGUUUUUCAAUAGUUGCAAAAUUUUAGAAAAUAAACUAGUACAAAAUCAAUAACUUACCUGAAUUGAAUGAUUUCUUAAGACAACAAACGAAGCAAUGCCUAAACGCCAAGUUCACAAGUGAACUAUAGUGAAAGAUGAUGAUUUUUCAUUUCAAGUGAAGAAAACGAAUACCAAUGAAAAUAUCGUACAUUAUUAAGCUUUUUUUUUGUAGCUAAUGAUCUGAUGUUGUUUCUUGUGGACACAACUAUUGUUCUGAAACUAAAUUUUUUUUUUUUUUUUUUGAGAGAGAGAUAGGUAGCAUGAAACUAAAAAUUUUGGGUUUUUAUUGCAAAUAGCCCCCUGACAAAUUUUAUUUGUAAAAAUAGCCCCGUCCAAAAAUUAUUUGCAAAAAUGGCCCUGCCCAUGCCACGCCAGCGCCACGUCAGCGCCACGCGGGCAGAGCGGGCCUAGGUGUUUAAGUUGAAUACGGUGAACCAUUCACCGUGUUCAAUACAAAAUUUUUGUAUUGGACACGGUGAAUGAUUCACCGUGUCCAAUACAAAUACCCCAACAAUGACUAAGUUGGAAGUAUUUGUAUUAGACACGGUGAACCAUUCACCGUGUCCAAUUAUUUGUAUUGGACACAGUGAAUGGUUCACCGUGUCCAAUACAAAUAUCUAUUUUGUAUUGGACACGGUGAAUCAUUCACCGUGUCCAAUACAAAUAAUUGGACACGGUGAAUGAUUCACCGUGUCCAAUACAAAUACCCCAACAAUGACUAAGUUGGAAGUAUUUGUAUUGGACACGGUGAAUCAUUCACCGUGUCCAAUACAAAAAUUUUGUAUUGAACACGGUGAAUGGUUCACCGUGUUCAACUUAACCAUCUGGCCCAGCCCCGCCCGCAUGACGCCGACGUGGUGCUUGCGUGGCGAGGCCAGGGCCAAUUUUGCAAAUAAAUUUUUGACAGGGCCAAUUUUAAAAAAAAAAUUUGUAAGGGAGCUAUUUGCAAAAAAAGCCCAAAAAUUUUAACCAAAAAUUUUAACCAAUCUAAUUAGUAGAAGAAACUUGUAAUUACUUAUAAUCACUUGAUACAACUUCAAUCUUAUAAAAUAGAUUAGAAAUCAGUAUUUGGUAGCAGUGGCAUAAAGAUGACAACAUUUUUUUUUGGGCUAUCUCCAGACUCUCCUCUUCUUCUCUCUUUCUUUCUAUAUUCUUCUCUAACCUUCCCCUUCACCAUUUCCUCCGGCCAAAAUCUGGCUAAUAAGCUUGAGUUUUCUGUCCUUUCAUUCUCUAAAUUUUUUUACUUAUAUUUUUCUUUAGGUUUUACAAUAAUUUAGUUUUUUUAUCUCUUUUUUUUUUUUUGCUACUCAGGACUUUUCUUCUCUUUUUUUCAAGGACGGGAUUUAAAUAAUUGUUUUUGUCUAUAGUAUUCUCCACACUUGAUCGAUAUAUUUCUUUAUCUCAGAUUGGGGACUGUCAUUCUUUUUUUUUUUUUCUUUUAUCUUACUUUGAAUAUAUUUCUUUUAAUAUAUAUAUUUCUUUUAUUCUUCAAAAUGGUGUACUAAAAUAAUCAAAAUUUACUUUAAUCAAAAUUUACUUUUUAAAUAAAUCACCUAUGCCUUUAGCAUAAAAAAAAACAGCCUCUGUUUUUUCCUCUCUCCUGCUGCUUUUUUAAUUUACUUUUUGUUUUUGGGUCAUAUAAAUAGGGGGUGAUACCAUGGCACCCAUGUGAGAAACAUGAUGAUGAUUUUUCAAAUAAAGAAUUGGUAGACAAAGCAUCAUGCAAAUCGUUCUUCAGAAAAUACAAAUCAAUCAAACUCAUGAAUUUGAUAUUUUGUCUUUGCUUGUUAUUAAAGGAAAAGAGAGUAAGUAAGAUGCUUUGUUUAAUUAGACUAUUGAUUCGGGUUGGUUUGUCCCCAUCACCACAGCUGUUUGUGAACAAGAUAUAAACCACCUUUAAUUCCCACUUGAAAAACCCAAACAAAAAAAAAAACUAAGAAAAAAAGGUUAGAAUCUUAUUUCUCAUUCAUGUUGUCAUUUGUAAAUUUAUGACUCUCUUGGUUGCCGGGUGGCUUUCUACAGGUGUAUAUAAGUUUGACACGGCUGUUUACGGAUGGUGAUACAUAGAAAAUCACAUGACAAUAAUAAGAUGCUCUUUAGCUCAAGUAAACCUAGAUUUUUAUAGGUGUAAAAAAAUUUAUAAUAAGGUUAAAUUGAUAUGAAGAUUAACAUUCAGAAUUCUGACCCCAAUAAAGACCAGAGACUUGCCCUGUUACUGUGAUUCUGUUUAACAUUUAUCACAGCUAAGAUUGAAACAAGUUAUUACGGUUUCGUAACUAAUUAUAUCUAAUUAUAUCGAUAGCAAAACUAGCAAAAAUAGUUGACCACAUGAUUUUACGCAUAACGACAACUGUUUCACAAACUUUUUUUAAAAAAAACAAAGAAACCCAAUUAAAUUCACUACACAGGUAGAUUAAUAAAAGAUCCUGAUGGGAAUCAUGCACAUUACGAAAUAUUGUGGGCAAAUUGAAAUAGCUCGCUUACACAGAAGAUAGCGAAAAAGGAGUGAUGACUCAGGCAACAUUCGACACUUAGGUGCUAGAAAGGGGUUAUUAUUGGUGAUUGGCUGGUUGUUUUGUUCGCUUUACAAGAUUCAUUAACAAAUUAGCCCAACAGCUCCCUCCAUAAAGUGGUAUUAUAUUGCCCCUUUUUAAGUGAUCAUUUGCCCAUCUGGGCCAACAAGAUUACUUCUUCUCCUACAAGAUGUCUCAGAAUAGGCCUCACCAGAUGAUCAUAAAAAUUAACAAGGAAACACAGGUAAUGAUUAGGAUAUAUGUAGAGAUUCGCCCAAAAAAAGAAAGAAAUAAACAAGGACAUCAAAGGUAAGUUAUGUCUUUGGCUUGAACAUCGAAAUUUCCACCGCAUCAUUAGGCAACAAUUUUUUUUUGUUGUACCAGGCGUAGAUUUGCACCAAGAGAAAUAAUUAUAUGUUGCAAAGCUUUUCUUGAUUCCUUCAUUCGUUUGGCCUCUCGAGAAUGAAAGAUAACCAAGCUCACAUACAUAUAAAGGCUAAGGAAGCAUUUGGAUUAAUGUGAUUGCAGUUUAACCUUAGUUCAAGUUUAGCACGGAUAAAAACAUUAAGUUCUGCUGCUAAACGCAGUGAUAGAGAGGAGAUCCAUACCUAGCCAUGGACCAUAAUUUGGAUUUUAUUUUCCAUGAAAGAAAACUUCAUGCAGUUCUAAUGGAAUGCUGCCUUCAACAAAAUGAGUCUACAGCCAGGCAGUGCAUCUUCGAGGCGUCGUAAUAAUCAACGACGGAAUUAAUAUUUUUACUCUCACUAAACUCGAUUGAUAACUAAAUAGCAAUCACAUCAACCCAAACACUCCCUAAACCAAAUUAUAUGAGCGAUGAUGCUUGGCACCAACAUCAGGAUCGAAAUUUUCCUCUUCGCAAGACACUAAACAAAAAACCACAAAUGUUUUUUUAUAUCACCUAUGCCCAGCCCAGAAUAUACCUCUCUACAGCAUUAACAUCAUAAAAAGGGUGAAUUGUGUAUCAAAUAUACCUCUCCUACUGUUUAAGGGCUUCAGUCUGUGUCAGCAUCUUCAGUCUCAGCAUGAUGGCCACAGUCAUCGGGGAAUGCUGGGGUAUUCGACACGAGAACGGCCUUUCCCUUGCAAUCAGCAGAAAUUCCAUCUCCACCACCCAGUUUGCCUUGAUCGACUUUCUGCUGGUGCUGUAAAACUUUCAACUGGGUCUCCAGAAGCUGGAAAAGAUGUUGAAUAACGUAAACUUCAUUAACUGCUUUAUAGUGAGAGACGAAUCAGUAAACUGAGUGGGAACAGAAGCUGUAUUACCUCAAUCUGGCUGCGGAUGUAAUUUUCCUGCGCCUUCAACAAUGAAACUUGUAGCUCUGAACCACUGGAUUCAGGUGCUUGGAAAGGUAUAGAAGCGGAAGGGUGUCCGUUUAGUUGUGAAGGUUCAGUAUGGCAUGAUUGCCCAUUAGUAUUUGGGUGCUCACUUGACAGCUUGACCGCAUUAUUUGGUGUCUCCAUUUGCGUCACAUUUGUUUGAGGUCGCAAAGGAUAUCCUGAGGGCCUUAAGUGAAUAACAAGAAGAAGAGGUUGGAUUAAGAGAGCGAAAAAGUAAAGGCAAGAGAAUUCAGUUAUAAACCAACUUUCUAUGUGGCUUUAGAUAGGAAGAGGCAUACCUAUAAAACGUAUUUGUCGGAGGAUAAACAAACGACUUUUCAUAUGCAGAAGCAGCCAAUGCAGCAGCUUGAAGCUUUGCCUGAAGAUGGCUUAUAUUUUCACCUGCUGCACCUCCAUCUGAGGGUUGAGGAGAUAAGCCUGUCGCUGCCGGUCCUAAUAAAAUUAAGUUGUUAGUACUUCACAUGAAAAACCUAUAUCAGUGAGGUAAAACAGGAGGAUGUUUACCAGAAAAAUCUACAUCAAUGAGUUGAUGAAACACAAUAGGCACUAAAAACUACUAAAUUCCAUCUAACCAGAACAGUUUCAGGUCAAACUUGAUAUUUUCUUGUUAAAAGAAGCUCAAUUGGCAAUAGAAAGCCACUGCAUGCCAGAUAUGAUGUGAUUUCAAAAAAUUAGCAUUUUAGAUUCACAAAAAGACUAACUGCAUGCAGUACAGGUAACUCAUCAUUCACAGCUCAAUCUUUUUUCCUGAAGGUUUCAGCUUAUGGUUCAUCAAAGAAAAUCUAUGACUGACCCAUCUAACCAGGAUAUCUAGCAGGAUAAAAGAAGAAGAAACAACAAAGAUCAUAACUUCCAAAUAUUCUAAAAAGGAUGGACAUAUAAUAUGAAUAGUCUGGCUUUUACGUCUGUAAAUGACCACAGAUUGAUCUUUCGAGCAUGUCCAGAGUCCAGACCAAUACUACCUUUGUCCUCGACAUUAAACAAUGUUACAGUUCCAAAGGGGCAAAGAGAUCAAAUGCAGCACAUUCUUCUUUAAUAUUAAAACCAAGGAUUAAAAUGCCCAUCGGCACGGGUCGUAUCCACCGCGCUGUAUCAUGCCAGCAAGAUAUCGGCGCGAUACAGCUCCCAUGCCGAUGGCACAACUCAAAAGUCAAAACCCUCUAUUUUGAAAUUAAUAAAUAAUUUUCUCAAUAAAAUUCAAAAGAUUUGAUAAAAAUACAUAAUAAAUAAUUGACAUAUUUUGUUGCUAAAGAAAAUAAAUAUUUCAUGCCAUCACGUGUAGGGCUGUAGGCACAUAUAUAUUUUUUGUGACCGACACGCAUCGGUAUGGCCCGGCACGCACUGUGCCGUACCGUGCCAGCAAGUUUCCAACACGACUCCGUGCCACGGCACUUAAAUUCUUAGUUAAAACUGCCAACGAGCUGAGUGGAACUGAGUCAUUGACUCAUAAAAAUUUAAACUUUAAAUUUAAAAUUUUGAAUUUAAAUUUAAAAUUUAAAAUUUGAAUUCAAAAUUAAAAUAAAAUUUUAAAAUUUAAGUCUAAAAUCAGAAUCAGAUUGCAAGAAGCAAAUUUUAGCUGCUUCUAAUUUUGGGACUUGAAAAUAAUAAAAUUGAUGUUAAAUAUAAGAACCAAAUUCUGAAAAUGAGAUUGCCAAAUGGUCUAUUAAGCUAAAAAUUACUUUUGAGUCCAAAAUCACNUUGACGCUCCAACCAUGAACGCAGACAAUGCACGUGAAAAAGGUGUCCACAUAGCAGCUUUUUGGCAGUCACCAUCUCCUCCCGGCAUAUAAUGCAUGUUGCAUCACUUCUGUCUCCAAAAAUAGGUGAAAACAUUAGCUAUUGUAGUAGUUACAUACUAACACAAAUUAGAAAUGAGAACGAUAAUUUAAUUAAAGGGCUUACGCAUUAAGCUCCUCAGGGGUUGCAUCUGGGAAGCGUUCAUUCAUAUUAGAUGUGAUCUUGCGGUAACGAAUAUAGUCAGCAAUACGAAUCCUGAAGUUGCGGAAUGUUUCAUACAGUUCACGGAUCAAGUGCAGCGGGAUACCAUAGUUCCUAAUAUUAGCAUUACCAACGAAAAUAAGUCAUUUACGAUUAACACUAAUUGCCAACAAUAAUUUCGAUGUUCUAACAAGUUAAAAACGUCCGGUUAUAGCAAGUGAACUUAAUUGUUAAGUAUGUUGAUCAACAAUAUAAUCUUCAUAUAGCUAGACACAUCAAUGAAAGCACCCAUUUGUUAUUCUUUUUUUUCAUUUAUCUUAUGUUGUGAAAUUAAACUUUAUAAUAGUAACCAAUGUGGUGAAAAAAAUAACUUAAUCUAAUCAGUUGGUAAUGAUACUUCAACAAUACAUUAUUUAAUUUGGGCAUCUAACCCUGUGGUUGAAUGUUCGUGUGUCUAACAACAUUUACAUCUUCGAAAUACCAACAGUACCAGAGACUUUCUAAAAAGACGAUAAGAUGAAUGCCUCGUUCCAUAUGUAUUAAGUAUAGAAUCUAUUUACAAUGCAGCCGAUCAAUUCUCAAAAUCUCAGUAUGCUUACAGCAAAGUUUGGUCAGUGAUGAUGCACUUAGUAUAUGACUAGCAAAUGCAUACUUCUUGUAGCAAACAACAUAUCACUAAAUACAAAGAUUGUGCAAGAUGGUAUAGCAAGAAGAAGAUGUACUUUAACCAUAUGACACUUAAGUAACAUUUAUAACGUAUUUUGAUAAAUUUGAUUACGUAGAAUGCAAUGCAUGGGGGUUGUCAUCAUACAUAAUAAUAAUAAAAAAGUAAGUAGCAAAGGCAUAAGACACUUACACAAAGAUCACAAGGAAAAAGAAUAUAUACAAAGACAGGUGCAGGAGGUCGCGAACAAGUUCCAGGUAAAAUGUGUACACAGCCUUUCUCUCCCAUUGCCCUUCCAUAAGCAUGUCACUUACAUAGAAAACAUACUUGACAAAUGUUGAAACUGUUGUUGUAGCCAGAAUUGUGUAUCUGAAAUGAAUUUUCACUCACCAUAUUAAACAUGAAGUCAAAAUAAUUACAUAACAUUCUUGGAAUGAAGUCCACAGGUCAUUCGAUACAAGUUGAGUAACUAGGCAAUUCCUAGCAACAGUCUCACUAGGAAAUACAUAUUCUACAAGAAUACAAAUAUAAAGAGAAUCUUGGUGCUUGAGGCUUCUCCAUCUUUGCUAAUGGCUCCAGAACAUCAUUACCCCCCAUAAGAAGAAAAAAAGUAUCUUUAACAGCAAAUGAAAGUCUAAUUUAUUAAUCAAAACAAUAUUAUUUAGAAAAAAAAAUCAAUUAGUACCCAGAGGUAUGAACCAGGGGUCUAUAUCGCAGAUUACCAUGGAUUGCAGUAUGAGUAUAGUUUCAUGAUAUAUCAACAAUCUUUAUUACUUGUUACUGCUUUAUAACAUUUGAAUGCAGGAAAACUCUUGCACAUAAAACAAAAAACCAAAACAAGAGCAGUAAAUAAAGAAAAUUAGCACUUACUUUCAGAGUUCAAAAAAGAAUGAUACACAAACAGAUCAAAGUUGUAAUUCAUAAAAGUCUCACAGUUCUGCAUAUCCCUUAUCAUCAUGCUAUAUAAGAUGAUGAAGAGUUUUCAUAAAGAAUUAGUUGAACAAAUUGGGAUUUUAGAGGGGUCAACUUAUUUUAUAAAAUUACAGAUAAACUGCAGCAUACGGAUAAAUGACAUAGAAGCUUUUUUCAAAAAAAAAAAAAAGAAAGCAAAAAGAGGCAAAUUGAUCGAUUGACUUACUCAAAUAAAAAGAAGAGUGCAACCGAUGCCUGUCGGGUUCGUAUGAGAGAUUUCAAGGAGCUGGACAAGAAAAGGCAAUCGAUGACAAGAAGGAACCCCAUAAAAGAGACGAUCCGCAUGUGAGAGAGAAUAGGGACAGAUGGGGUCGUCUCAAUAUACUCAACCCUCUUCUGAGCCAACCAAUGCAAAGCUUUAAUCAGUAGCAGAGCAGUUACCAUAGCAAGAAAGGUAACUGAGAAGUCCUGACGGAAUAUGGUGACCGCAAAAAGGAUCUCCAUCACCUCCCUCCAAGAUUGCUCAUUAAGCCUUUCGACCUCUGCUUCACGAAGGGAGCCGAGGAACAAACGCUUUACUAGUUGCCACAUUAUGCACAUGAUGACCAGACCCGUGUUCAAAAGAAGAACGAAGCAGAUCUUGGAAGUCGAGAGGUACACCAUAGCCGGGUAGAACUGCCCUCGGCUGCUAAAUGCAUAAUAAAUCGCCAUAAUGGUCGCUAAGAAACUAAAUCCGGCGUAUGUUUGGAGCUUCAUCCUUUAAAAACAGGAAGCUUUGCCAAUGAUUUUCCGGAUUUCAAAUUGAACCCAAUUUUCUCCACAAGAAAAUUACAAUGACAGCUUUUCUUUUAGACACCUGGAAAAUUGAAAAAUUGCACAACCGUAAGCAACAACAUAUAAAGAACUAUUCAACAAUAUGAAAAACCUUCAAUAUGUAAUCUUUCUCGCAGCUUAGAGAUGAAGUUAUGCGAAAUGUAAACCCUAAGUUCUAUUGAUCAUCUUCUACCUUAUUCACCGAAACAAAUCUCCCAGCUCAAUUUCUGAAUAAUUUUUUUUAAAAAAAAUUCUCCUCAAAAUUGAAGGAUAAAGGAGAGAUUUUGCGAAAGCAACCACUAAUUCAGCCCCAAAAUUCAAAGCAUGCCAAUAAAAACCAAGAAUUACGAUGAAAAACCUAGUCGAAAACGAGGAGUGUCGAUUGAGACGGAGACGAAACCCUAGAAACCGGUCCAAAAUAAUGGAAUCGGAGAUUUGGAAUAGGAGAGAGGCAUCACGUAGAUCAUUACCUCAGCAAAGGGUUUCCGAUGGUGAUCCGAGCGAGGAUCCAAAAAUCGAAAGCUCCGCGCGACGAAACGAGGGAACGAGAAGGAAAAUGGGAUUAAGGACGGUGGAGAAGGUCUACGCUCGGACGCAGGAGUCUACUGCGUGUCCCCGCCAAUGGAAGGUAAACACGUGUCCGAUCAGGGCACCGGACAAGGACCUGAUUUGAACCCAAUCCAAUGUCUCUGGGCUCGGUGCACAGUUCCCGAACCGGAAGCGAGCAACAAAGCCUACCUUGUAGGGGUUUUUAGUUCAAUAAUCCACUUCCAAAAUUUUAUUUUAAAAAUAAAUCUAUUAAAAUUUUAUUUGUUGAUAUAGUCUUAUAAAAGCGGUGAAUGAUUCACCGCUUUCUUUCUUUUUCUCCCUUUUUAUUAUAAUUUUAUAAUGGUAAAAGCGGUGAAUGGUUCACCGUUUUUAUUAUUUUUAGAAGUUAUGAAUACAGUGAAUGAUUCACCGCAUUUAAAGAUCUAUUUUUAUAAUUAUUUUUUUAAAAAAAUUAUUUUUAUAAUUAUAAAAAUUGAUAAGAUUGGUUAUAAAAAAUAUUCUACCUCGUACCCGUGGCUUUGUAAAUAAAUUUUUAAUAUUUUUAAUUUAAAAACUUUAUGACAAAUUAAUUAUUUAUUAUAAAUAGAAAUUUUAUCUAAAAUGUCAAAUAAUAAAGUUAUUAAAAAUUUUUAACUCAUAUGGUUGAAAAACUUUAGAUCGCAGUAACUAAAAUUCAAAAAAAAAUUAACUAAUAAAAAAAAAGUUUAGCGGUCUAUUUUAGAAUAACCUCAAUAGUAGACGAAUUCUCUCAUAUUUAAACUUCAUUUCUAUUCGUGUGUUACCGUAUUAGCCUAUAAUAUUGAGUUUGGAUCCAAUUAAUUAUUGGAUCCUUUUGAUGUUCUAGUUGGAUCCAAACUAAUGCACAAUUUUAGGAAUUAAACCAUUGUCAUAAAAAAAAACAAUACAGUAUCUCUAAGUAAGUAAGUAACUUUGGCAAUUGCCCUUAUUACAAAUAAUGAAAGAAUGCCCUCGGCUCGCCUGCCCGCGCCACUCGCACAUGCGUCCGCGCGCCGGCGCCCGCUCGCCCACCCGGCCCUGCUCGCGCAGAUCGCGGGGGCCCUGCCGUACCAUUUAGUACCCACGAUUCAAGAGUUAUAUAGAUUGUUAUAGUCAGGAAAAAAAAAAGAGAAUAAAAAAAAUAAAUGUCGCCAAUCACUUUUGCUUUCCGAGUAGUGAAAAAUUCUAGAAUGCAACGGGUUUAUUAGUGACGUGGCAUAACAAACCAAUCAAAUUAAUCCUUUUAAGAAUAUAUGUCCCAUCAUGAUUGUAAAAAAGUAUUUUUAUUUUACUUUUGUUUGAAAAGAAGGAAUGUAAUUGGCUUGUUAUUGAUGACGUGGUGCAAGUGUGACAGUGUAGAAUUCCUCCCGAGUAGUAGUGAGAUAGAAUUUAAGAAAGUAAAAAGGUAGAUAACAAGAACGUUUUGAGUGAAUACUAGAGCACAAGCAGUGAUCUCUCAAAUUGCGAGUGAUUCUUCAAGUAGAUGAUUUUCUCCGCUCUUCAUUUCUCAAUGGGUACCUGGAAUUUACAUGGGUAAAUAAAUCAGGUUCAAAAUUCUUUUACAUUGAAAAAUCAAAAUGACAUCGACAAUUUUGAAAAAAUGUGUGUAUAUCCAAAAGUUGUUUGUGUGUGCACACAAAUAUGCGCACUCUUUGAUUUUUGAUGCACGGAACAAUCAAAUCUUUGCCAACAAAGAUCAAACAGUAAUUUUGCUUUGUUAAGAGAGAAAUUUAGGAGUUUUCAAUCAAACUUGCAAUUUACUUUUGGCCACACAGAAUCUUAAAAUAGAGGGUACCUUUCGUUCUCUACUUUUAAUCUGCAGGUAAAUAAAUACACAGUAUAAAUUUCCAACGGAACAAACACUGCACACGGUUGUAAUAUGUAUUACGUUCCCUCUUGCAAUUACUUUUUCAAGCAAACAUAAUUCAAAGCUCUACAUAAAUGGAAAAGAAUCAAAAUUUAUCAUCCACAAUAUGCAAGGGGGAAAAAAAAAAAUCAAAAAACCUUGCGAAAAAAGAGAGUAUAAAAAAGUCGCACCUACAAAAAAAAGAAAAAAAAGAAAAAAUAAGUUACGGUGUCAGCCGCAUAGGAUGAACUUGCAACAGGGGACGACGACUCCGGCGACGCAAAGCAGGGCGAUGGUGACGAGAUUGCGCGAGACCCACGCGAUCGGGCGCCACGUAACCUCCACGCUGGAGCUCUUCAUCCGCUUCGUCGACGCGGCCGCAUGCGGUUGCUUCGACAGGUCGAAGCUCGCGCCCUUCAUCCGCAGCUCCUGCAUGCACCGCGCGAGCGCCCUCCCCUCCCCGCGCUCCCUCGUCAACCUCCGCGACGCGUCCCAGUAGCCCGAAACCCUAGCGUGCACGGCGCACGCGAGCACGAGCGAGGUGGAGAGGGAGAGGGCUGCGGGGACCCACCACGUGUGGCGGCACGCGCGGUGGGGGAGGUGCGCGGAGGAGGCGAAGAGGAGGGUGAGGGAGAGGCCGUGGAAGGCGAAGAAGAGGGAGGAGAGCUCGAAGGCGCCGCGCUUGGCCGCGUCCAUGCGCGACUCGAGGGCGGCGGCGCGGCGCCCGUGGAGGUCCUCCUCGCGCUGCCACAGCUUGAGGAGGAGGAGGUGGCCGGGGCUCUCCGAGAUCUGGGUCAGCGGGUGGUGCUGGAUCGCGGCGGAGGCGGCGACGAUGCUCGGCAGCGCCGGCGACUGCGGCGGAGCGUCGCUGGGGAUUUCCACGACGUGCGCGUCUCUUGGAUCCGCGGCCAUUGGCGUGGAUUGGUGGACGAAUUGGGAAAGAAUCAAGAAAAUGGGGAUUUUUAUUUUUUUUUUUUGGUGGGGGGUUUUGUGGGUUCUUCUUUUCUUAAAAAAAAAGAAAAAAGAAAAAUGGGGAAGUUUGGAGUUUCUGGGGUUGCGAAAAGGAAAUUAUCUGAGAGGGGGAGAUGGGUGCAGGAGUGGAAGAGGAGAGAUUGGGUUUGGGGUGUUUGGAUUGGAGGCGAGAUAAAGGGGAAGGCGAUACUGGGAGUUCGGAGAACGUACGCGAAGGCCCAACGGUCGAAUUUUUGUGGUUUCUCAUCUCGUGCUCCAACGGUCAAAUUUGGUAAUACGGGAUGCCGAACCGGCGGCAAGUUUCUCUUCUUCUUUCUUUUUGCUGCAAUUUUUUUUUUUCCCCAUGAUGCUUAAACUUCUGGUACUACAAUUUCGUAUCUAGCAGCUGAAAAAAAAAAAAAAAUGAAAUUCUGAUUGUUUCAAAUAAAAUUAUAUAUUCAACCACAUUAUAAGAACACUAACAUCAAAAAAUAAAGUUCUAAAUUAUUAUAAUUUUAUAGAAAAAAUAUGUGGUUUUAUAUUUUACAAUCGUAGAUAGAAUUGUAGUAUUACAAUUUCAUUAAUCUACGAACUAUUCAAUUUGGGUUGCAGGCUUGCAAGAUUGAUGCAUUAACACAGGACAUGUAUCUGCAAUUUAUCCCAUGACCAAUCCAACAUACGAAAUGAAAACGACGAAAUAUACCUGCAAUUUAUUCCAUGACCGAUCCAACAUACGAAAUACAUACUAACAUCUGGUGGAAAAUAGAAUUAUCUCGCGUAACAUAACACGUCCACAAAGUAAAUCACCUACCAAAUUAGCCUCAGAUAUGUGUCAGAUGAAUUCAAGUUAGUGAUUCUCAUUCUAGUCCUUUGGUUUGGGAAGUUCAGGUUCCCAAUUUGUGGUGGAAUGGAAAUAACACAAAUCUUCGGAAACCAAAUCACCUGCAGAGACGUACCACAGCCAUCUAUUUUGCAGCCCUGCUACCACUGUUGCAGCUGCUGGACAUUGCCGCUGCCGCCUCCAAUUCCUCGUGCGCCACCACCCAACCAAUGCCCACAUUCCCUACUGUUUUUAUUUUUCUAGAAGGAUUUUCAAAGCCUCUUAUCAAUUGUGAAUUGAAACAGCUAGUUAUAAGUGAACAGCCGAUAAACUGCAGCAUACGAGCACACAGGAGAAUAACUGAUCUUCCAGGACAAAGAUAUUCCUCAGAUUUGAGUCAUUAGACAUACAACAUAGGGACAUAGGGUCGAACGAAAAUAGAAAAAAAAAAACUAAAAUUAUACAAUAAAAGCAUAUAGAAGAUCUACACAAACUGCUUAUAGAAGAUCUGCAUGAAGAGGAGCAUUCUUCCUGAGCUAGGAUGGCGAAGCUGCUGCAAGCUUCUGCUUCUUUGGUGGUGGAUUUCCUCCAGCAAGCAUCACAUACGUAUAGAAACAAAGCAUUGCACCACUGCAUCAUGUUACCAUUAACAAGAAACUGAGUAAAAUUUUUAGCGAACAAAAUGAAAUUUACACAGAGGAUAGGAGGAAAUGAAGUACCUUAAGAAAGCAUAAAACCCCCAAGGCAGUAUUUUCUUAGUCUACAACCAGAAGAAACAGGGUCAGCAAUUAGAAAAUAGAAGUGGAUAAUUUAGUCAAUAGAAAGCAAGGGAUAGAGUACUUACCAUGUUGUAUGCCUUAGAGUACUGCCAUGUAAGUAUGCUAGAUAAUGCUGCAUACAAAACCAGCAGAAUCAUUAAUGAUAGCAUACAGCAAGCCUCAAACAGUAAUCAUCUGUAUCAUCGGUUGGGUGUGGUUGCUUAAUAUGACCUUGCUCUCAUAGGAAAAGUGUCGAGUCACACAUUGUCAGGGCCAAAAUGAAGGAUACAAAUAUUAUACUGCUAUAGAAAAAAAAGUUAUUUAUAAUGUAGUCCCCUCUAUUAUGAGGACACCAAUACAAUCCUUAAAUUCUUCCUGUAACAAUUCAGUCAUAUCAACUUAUCAAGUACAGUAAAUUAUCAUUGCCACCCUUUUGUCAAAUAAAUUCAUUUCGAAUUUCAUCUUCCAUUCAUAUAUUAGCAAAUUUGCCCACAUGGACAAUUAAAAGUGAUGGGGUAAUCAACAGGCAUGCAACUGAUUUUGAGCUUAUAGACCAAAAGUGUAGUAAAAAAAAUGUUAUUUGGCUGGGAAAGAAGAGCAUGAUAAAAUUUUUAAAACUGGGUAGACUUGCUAUAUUUUAAAAUAUAUAUAUACACACACUGACCACAUCGGUUGCUAGACAAAAAGAAGAGAUAUUUCUAAUUAUCAUACUGUAUAACAGAACUUACAACGGUUCUAGUGCUUUAUCAUAGAACUUCAUACAUCUAUCCAGUGAUAAAUGAUAGAAGAGAAAUUUUCCAAUUUCUCCAGUUAGUUAACCAUUUCAAAACAAAAAAUUUACAUAACAGAUUCUUUUGAUGAUGAGCCCAAUCUAGAGGAACGCAUUUAAAAGUAAAUUCUAUAGUACUAUUACUCGCUCAAGAAUAACAAGAUCUACGCACCUGCUUGCCCCAGUAUGAAUGGUACACUGGAUAUUCCACUCCUCCAAACCUUCAGGCUAAGUACACCCAGCAAAAAUAUAGUAAAGCCAGGUGCAACACCUAAAACAAGACUUACAGGGCUUCUCCAUAAAAGGUAUCCGAUAAGUCCCAUAGAAAAUAAGAAACCACCUGUAAAAGAAAAUUUCAACAAUCUUUAAGCAGAAAGCUGCAAUUUAUAUUCUCCAUCACAGCUUCUAAAGUUUCACCUGUCAAUUGAAAACUUUCAAAGAAGUUUAUGGACAAAAGUUGUUGAAAAGACUUUUUUGAGUUCAAAACCUCUAAUAAUCAGAAGAAAAGUCGCAUGACUAAGUAGACAGCUUUGGUCACGGUAAUUAAAGGUGGUAUUGACCAAAGGUGAAUCACCUAUUUGUUAUUCACACAAUCUUCUGCAAGAGAAAGCCACGACUAGUGAGGCCAAUAGUGGCUAGUCAACAACCUUAGCUGAAACUUCCACACUAUAGUUUGAAAGAGAAUUUGAUGAUUUUGGUUAUUGUAUAAUUUCGACUUUGGUCCAACCUUUGGUCAAAACAAUAUAAAACUAUUCAAAUGUAGAGCAAAUGCAGUCUAACGAAUUUGUUUUGCAUAAUUAUAUAUGCUAAACUAAUACAUUAGUCUAGUAUAACCACAAAAGUUUUCUCUAAUUAUUUAAAAGAGGAAAAGCAAUCAAAAGAGAGGCUGAGGGAUCAAUACUUAAUGAACUAAUUCUCUACACACACACAAAAAAAAAAAAGAAAAAAAUGAAAGAAAAGACGGCGUAAGUUGCAUAAACAAAGAUGGCAAUUUUACGAUUCAUAAAUCAAAAAUUAGUAAUGAAGAAUCGAAACUAUCUAAGGCUCUGACACUUUCUAGUUUCCAAUAUUGUCCAAUGGGAACAUGACAAGAUAUUUGAACAUGAAACAAGACUUACAUCACAAAAGAAUUUUAUGGCGUAAAUUGAAAUGCAGAGGAGAUUUGCAUGUUUGCUGUUUUUCAAACUUACCAAAAGGAAUGCCUAAACAAAAAUCAUGAAUUUUUGCACUUCUUUUUGGUGGUGGAGCGACUGCUUUAUCCAUCGUCAUCGUUUCAUCCACUGGUUCGGCAGUGAAAUUUGUCUUCGGUGAUUCAUGAGUUUGAUCCUCAUUAUAAGUUACCGCAGUAUUAGCCUCAAAACCAGGAGAUUUUGUACUAUUUUCUCUAAUACACAUGGAAACUGACAGCUGCAAUAAUUUAAAAAGAAAAAAAAAAGUGAACAAGUUAAUGCACACCAUACAGCUCAUUAACAUCAAGCUUCAAUAUAAUUCUUCACUGUCGUUAUCCAUUCCGAUUCCUUUCCAAACAAAAAGUUUAAUCAGCAUAGAACAGGAUUAUGAACAAUCAAGGAACGACAAAGGCACUAUAGAGAAUUAAAAAUGUUUCAAAACAUUAUAGUCUACACAAUACGUGGAAGAUAACUCUAAAUAAAUUAGACGUCAGGAAAUAAUGAAACUUAUUUGCAGUCGCAUGAAGAUCUCACUUGACAUAAAACUUUUUAAAUGGUAGCAAGAUAACAAAACGGUAAAUCACCAACACUGAAAAGCCAAAACAAGAUAUAAUCGUACAUAUUCCUAAAAACAUUUUUUCAAAAUUUUCUUCAAUCUCGGUUCCAUUUUUUUACACUCAACAUGAGAUUGAUCUUAUUGAGACGUUUCUUAGAAUUUGAUGCAAUUAUAGUGAAGUGCAGAAACAGAUAUUUCGAUUCAACAAACAAGCCCAACAAAAUUAAGAUCACACAGCAAAAAUAACAGUUGCGGCAGAAAUAUUCCAUCUCCAACACCAUCUUCUCGGGUGCCAUCAAUAUGAUUCCGAUUAUGAAGAGAAAUAAUAAAAAAAAAGAAACAAACAAUAAAAUCGUGCAGUAAAUUCAUAUAUUAGCGAGAACGAGGGUUUAAGAGUGAUGCCCCGAUCCAAUGCACACAUACCUUUGGGGCGCCAUGACUAGGGUUUUUGAAAGUCCUUUCGAUCCCCAUCGGGAGGUAACGCAAAACCCUAGGGGUGGAGAGCGAGAGGCCGAGACCAUUAGAGGGGACGAAGGACCUCCUCGGCGCCGCUACCGACGCGUAAAGCUGCGCCGCCGCCAUGGCCAUGACGAAGAGAAAAUCGCAAAAUCAAAGAGCAAUUUCACACUAACGACCAGAAUAUUUGGUGACAAGAGAUCGCGAAAGCUCCCGAAUGGUUUCUCGAGUAGGCGUGUCGGAUUCGUGCGACAACGACGCGAGUCGUGGACGCUUCAUUUCGACCGUUGGGUUGAAGGUCCAGUGGAAUGGCCGGUUCGAAACGCGCUGGCGGAACGGAGGUCGGCGAACCGGGUUGAGUUCAGAAGCUGGACCGGGUGCAACUCGCUUCGGGCCAUCCUCUAAGAAGGCCCGCUCUUUAUUUAUGGGCCUUGGUACUUUCUUGCUUAGACUCCGAGCUAGUUUAGUAAUCCCAUAUUUUGAAUCUUUACAUGCUACAAUUUUUUUAUGUGAAAAGCCUGUAUUCAUUUGAUAUUUUAAAUACACUACCCCUUGGUGAGAUCUCUUUUAGGGACGGUAUAAAAUAAAAAGACUCUUGUGUCAUGGAUUAAGAAUAAAGCGUGUAAUACAUAAAUAAUGGCCCCCACAAUACUUAAAUGCCUAAAUGUCACAAAAAAAUAAACCAUGUAGCUAAACUAGCCACAUCAGACACUCAUUACACAGUCACGCUUGCCAUUUCUAAUUCACGAUGACGACACCAUAGAGUAAAGCAAAGUUAUUCACAAUUAAAAAAAUAAUUAUAUGGGGAGCCGCUCCAAGGCUGUAAAUGACGAUAAUACGCGUGGCCAAUUAUAAGGGACUAAAUUUUCGGAGGCUAAACCGUAAAAAAAUGAAAAAGAAAAAGAAAAAAAAGGCAUAUAAUAAGGACCAUGGCUUUUUUUGCAAAUAGCUCCCUAAUAAAUUUUAUUUACAAAAAUAGCCCUGUCCAAAAAUUAUUUAUAAAAAUGGCCCUACCCCUGCCAUGCCAGCGCCACGUCAGCGCCACGCGGGCAGGGCAAUGUUUAAGUUGAACACGGUGAACCAUUCACCGUGUUCAAUACAAGAUUUUUGUAUUAAACAUGAUAAAUGAUUCACCGUGUCCAAUACAAAUACCCCAACAAUGGCUAAGUUGGAGGUAUUUGUAUUAGACACGGUAAACCAUUCACCGUGUCCAAUAAUUCGAUCUUAGCUAUUUUGUAUUGGACACGGUGAAUCAUUCACCGUGUCCAAUAUAUAAAUUUUAUAUUGAACACAGUGAAUGGUUCACCGUGUUCAACUUAACCAUCUGGCCCAGCCCCGCCCGCGUGGCGCUGACAUGGUGCUUGCGUGGCGGGACCAGGGCCAUUUUUGCAAAUAAAUUUUUGACAGGAUCAAUUUAAAAAAAAAAAAUUGUAACUGGGCAAUUUGCAAAAAAAAGCCCUAAGGACCACUUGUACCCCCAUUUUUCCGUACUCCUCGUCUCCAUUACUUUAUUUUAUUUUAUUAUUAUUUUUAAAGACUUUCGGGACUUUAGGGCAUAUUGUCGGAGCAACUACACCGGGAGGUGAUUCGACCGCGCUCCAACACAACACGGGGACUCGCGUUUGCCAUGUGCGACGUCAACAAGUCAUCCGAAACCUAUUCCCUGGACACGGUGUAGGUGUACAGUAUUCCAUUAAUUCGAUUUAGCCGUCCAUAUCACUUUACCGUUUUAAGUCAAGAAACUGUCGAGAUUCGAUAGUCGGUGCAGAUGGAAUUAUGAGAUGAGAUGUAGGGUUGGGAGUGUGCCGGUUCAUGAGAUAUCUUCAUGCACCAGGUGCACGAUAUUGUUUUUCCAAGUCUUCGAACGUCUUCGCGAGGAAGGUGUGGAAAGAAGGGUAUAAAUAGCCCAGUGGUCUCUUGUUCACGGAAACUUCCAAGGAGAGUGUGAGAGCAAAGAGAGAAGAGGAAAAGAAAAGCGGAGGAAGAGAGAGAGAGAGAGAGAGAGAGAGAGAGAGAGAGAGGAGGAGGAGGAGAGGGGAUGCAUCUCUACAACGCAUGGCUACCGCCGAUGGUGGCAGAGGAGACGAAGAAGGAGGCGGAGUCCUUCGCAUCGGUGGUGCGAUCGGUGAAGGGUUCGUGGCGCCCUGACGAUCCCAACUCCGUCUACGACACCCUCAAGUGGAUCCCAAUCAUCGAUCUGUGAGAGUUCUUGAUCCUUCCCCGUUUUUUGGAGUCCGAAGGGAUUUGAUAGUUUAAUUCCCUUUAAUCUUGUUAUUGAGCACCUGGGAUCGGAUCGUGUUCUUGUUACGUGGUGAUUCUAAUCAUGUGAUUGUCCUCAAUUAUCUAGUCUUGAUGAUUUCUUCUUAGUUUCUUAAAUGAUAUGCUACACUGUAUCCGCGAUUACUGUUUGUUGGUUUAGAUCGUUUAUAUUAACUCCCAUUUAGUUCUUUAUGUGAUGUAAUGGGAAUCGUUCUUGUUCUUGAUUGUCAGAGAACUAUUGUUAGGAAUUAUGAUUUUGUAAUGUUCAUUCUCAGACUUGAUGAAUUCAAUGAUUUCUUGUUCGACAGAGUCAAGGCCAGCUUUCUGAUGAGAUUGAUCGAUGGUAUAUAAUGCGGUCAUCAUGUAGCAUCGCAUUCUUGGAUAACAGUGUGUUCUCCUGUUUUAGUACUACUUUUUUGUUAGUUUUAUAAAAACAGUGAGUGAUACAUUGCUCUAGGUUCUUGAUUUUGAAAUGUUGGGAGCUAAAACCAGGUUUAUUGGGAACUACUAUUAGGAGUAUUAUUGCUCUUGUUCUCGAUUGCUGAAAUCAAUCAUUGCUGCUUCUUAAGCGUUGAGACUAAGAUUCUUGAUGAAGUAGAUGGCAUAUAAUUCUAUAAUUCUAUAACAUUUUAUUGCCUCUGUUUGCUGAAUAUUAAUUCAUUGUUCUGUCUUAGCAUUUCUAAUGUUCUACUUGUGUUAAUUUCACACAUUAUCCUAAUACGAUGAUUGUUGUUCUGUAGUUUUUUAAAAGCUAAGAGUGAUAUAUCUCCUGGAGAUGUGAAAAACCUUGUGGAGUUUGGGUUGGAAUUAUUUCAUGCAUCACAAGGCAAAUUGUAUCCUCAGGUAAGGGUAUGUAAUUUACUAUUGGUGCAUCGGCAUUCUUGUUGUUUGUUUGUCUCCUGAGGUAUAUCAUUCUGAUUAGGUUAUGUGGGGACGUAUCUUAAUCACACUUCUGAAGAAGCAUGGGAAAAGGUUGUCAAUUGAUAUUCACUGGAGACCGUUUUAUGACAAUUUGAUGCUUACGCACUUUAAGAGGUUAACAUUUCCCUGUCACCCUUAAAUUUUGGACAACUUUACUAUUGACAAGAAGAUAGACCUAUGUUAUUAAAGUCAUGCUAGAUAUAAUGGCUAUUGACUAUUAUUUAGGUAGUGCUAAUUUUGCUACCCUCUUACUAUAAGACCUCUUGCCAAAUAUUUUUCCUACCUUUUUCUCAAUUUUGUUCAUUUCAGAGAACUCUUGCAAGCUAUUUGCUUUACUAUUUUUGUUAUGUGUCAGGUCUCUAAAACCUUCCUAUUUUACUAAUUUCUAGCCAGAUUUGAGGCAGUGAUCUCCUAGGCUAUUCAGUUUAGUUUUUCCCUUUCCAGUUAUUACAUACUGAAUCAUGUGGAUGCUUACAGUUGAGUAAAACCCUUGAUGUGGCUGAAUUUCAGUGGAGAAAAUAGCUCAGUGCAACUACAUUGAUUCUCUUCUUCUCCUCUUUCCAAUAACUUUCAUGUUGUUAGAUGCUUUUUGAAACUUUUGUAAGAUGUAGACAUGUAGUUGGUUAAUGACAUGUUGGAGUUUUCUCCUUUUAUAUUACCUUUUGACCAGAGUUUUUCAUAUAUUGAGCAGAAACACAGGACCCGAAGGGUGGAGAUUGAAACAAAAGCACAUAGAAACUGUCACUUCCCUUGUUCAAUCUUGUCGAAAGUUUUUCCCUGCAGGUUCUUCUUCUGAGAUAUGGUCGGAAUUCAGGUAUUCUUUCUCCCUGUUUGUUUUUUUCUGCUAGUAAAAGACAUUAAACUACAAAGAACAUUAAAGUUCCUUGUACCAUCUGAUGUGCAAGGUAUGUAUCUUGCUUGCUUCGCUGAUGAUUAUACUGGUCCAAGAAAUUCCAAACAUCAUUAUCACAUUUAUCCUGGCAAUAUUGCUUUUUCUGUUUCCUGGCAUAUAAACUACUGUAAAAAUGCGUCAGCUCCGUCCGAAAAUUUCUUUGUCCUUAAUUUUAAAUGCUCCUCUGCUACUAAGGAUAUAGAAUAUGGAUGGUCCGAUCUACCCCCUGCCUUCCCCUUUUUCUUGACUUUUUUAUGCUUAUAAGGAGAUCUACUUGUAUAGUACUAUAGUUCCAUCCAUACUUGAUUUCUUGCAUAACCUCUCAUCGAACCAUUAAUACUUUAAUUAAAAACCAUCUAAAGAAGGUACAAGAUCAUAGCAUUUCUGCGACAUAUUCUUGUAUAUGAUCCUAUUGAAAUAGUGAGACUCAUUUGUUAUACAUGUUUCUUUCUCUUGACAAAUUUGCAGGCCUUUUUUGGACAAUCCAUGGCACUACUCAGCUUUCGAAGGUUCUGGGUUUCUAAGGCUGUUUCUUACCAUGAACUCGGAGAAUCAGAAUUACUUUACCGGGUAUAUAUACUAUGUUCUCAUGUAGGACCUAUGUAAAUUUUUCUUCUUCUGUUCUCAGAACUAAUAAUUUAUUCUGCCUUCCCUUAUUCCCUGUAACCUGAUGGCAGAGACUGGGUGGAAAAGAGCCUUAAUAUAUGGGACUCUAUGCCAAAUUGUCAGUUUUGGGAUAUUCAGUGGGCUUCUAUUAUUGCUCGAUGCAUAAAAAACUGCAAAUCAAUUGAUUGGGAAGGUUUUCUGCCAACACUUUUUACAAAAUAUUUAAACAUGUUCGAGGUGAGACUAUUUUAUUUAUAUGGAUUGUGUGGCAGUAAUCAUGUCGGAUGUGUAAUAAGUUACACCUUAACGAUCAGCAUUUACUUCGCGAUCUUGUCCAUGGAUUACUUCUAUACAUAUUCUCUAGAGAUCAAAAGCUAAAAACUUCAUACGGUUUUCAGUUUUAUUCCAUUUUUUUUGAUACCUGGUUUCUAGAAAGGCUAAUACUAUCGUUAGUUUAAAUUGAUUAAUUCUAGUGACCGUUUUGUGGAUAUCUUCAAACAUGCUUGAUUUGUUUGACAUUUUCUAAACUGAGCUCAAGCAAUAACUGAAAUCCUAAAGUGUGGCUUUAGUUAGUGUAUUUGUACUUGCUUCUUCUCAGAAGCUUUAUACAUACAGGACUUUUUUUUGUUUGAUGGAAAUAUUUCUAAGAUUCUUUCCUUUAAUCUCUUUAGUUAAACCUCCUCUUUUAUACAAUUGUCGACUUGUCGUUAUAUGGGCUGAACUUCAAACCUUGUCUCCUGCAACAAGUUUAGUCUAUUGAGCUCGUGAACUUGAUAUAAAGCACAAUGGUACAUAUUAGCAGUGUGUAUGAGUGUUCUAUAUUUGUGUGUAUUUGUAUGUAUAUUCCAGAAGUUUAUUUUAUUUUAUUGUUCAUUUUUUUAUAUAAGAUGGACAGAAGUAACUUAUUUGUUUCUUUAUUUGUUUCUUGUUUUGUUAUUUACUCAUUUAUAAUUUAUGAGUUGCAAUCUAACCUCUAUGUCACACUUUUCUUCAUAUACUAUGUUUGCUUUUGAAACCUAGAAAGUUUCCACACUUCUAAAUUAACUACAAAAUAGAUUUUUUUUUUUUUCCGAAACAGUCAACAUUUUUUUUAGUCUUUUGUUGAGAAUUACCCAAAAGAAUUAGAUUUUAUUCCAUCAAAACGGGGCUUCGCUUAUGCAAAUUUAAACUGGCCAAGAAAUUGGUCAAUAUUAAUUCAUUGCGGAUAUAAUGUGUGGUAACAUCAUGUCUCUAAUGAUGCCAUCUAUAUUUAGGUUCCUGUCUCAAAUGGAGUAGAAUCGUAUUCUUUCCCUAUAUAUGUUCCUUGGAGUGUGAGAUUCUUGUUUUCAAGCAACAUGCGGACACCUUGUAAGGCUAUAGCAAAGUCAAUUGUAAGUGUACUUUCUUGGUUUGUGUUUAUCUGUAUUUGGACGUGCACAGCAUCUAUUUGGUUGUUUGUUUUCACGUACACAGGGGUAAAAGGAUUUAUUUUAUUUAGUGUAUCUGUAUCAGGGUAAAUGAAAAGUGCCUAUUGUUGUCUUUUAUCGAGUUUUAUGUUAUGAUCUCUUCUCUGGUACAUCAUACUUCUGCAGGUUUAUCUCCUGAAGCCUCAGGGUUCGGCUCAAGAAUACUUUGAGAGAUUAGCAAAUCUAUUAGAACAGUUUGGUUUCUGACCAUUUACAUCACUUUGUUAUCUUCUCACAGUUUUAUGCCGCCAGUAAGGAACUAAUAAUUUUAUUGCUGAAUUUGUUUGCAUUCUAGAUAUUACCAUCCUUCUAAUGAAGGUCACUGGACUGACUCAUUGACGUACUUCUUGUGGCAUUUAGUAAUUACUUUCCAGAAACGCCUUCAGCAUGAGCUGCAGUAAGACAUUAAUCUAUAAGCUCUUUCAAAGAAACUCAAGCCCGGUAAACUUUCUGGAUAGUUAUUCAUCUCAUAAAAGUACUAUGCAGUAACACAAAUAAUUGCAUUCCGGAGGAAUUUUGUUUGGGGAAGUUGGAACGAGCUUCUUUUGUGAAUGUGGUACUAAAGUUGAUUGCUCAUGGUCAGUAUAGCAAGGAUGAGGAUCUUUCUGAUACAGUUACUUUCGUCACUUCAAUUUUGUCAUAUGUGGAGCCUUCUUUGGUUCUUCCGUUCAUCGCAUCUAGGUUUGAGAUGGCCUUACAAACAGUAAGUUCUUAAUAUUGUCUUUCUUUGUUUAAUUUAUUGAUGAUGGGUAAAUUGAUUUCUUCUUAAAACUUCAACACUUGCAAUUAAAUGAUUGUGUUGUUGUACAUCCUCAAGAAAUGACAAAAAAAUUGUUCUCAUGACUGCUUUCUGUCUAAACAGAUGACAGCAACUCACCAGUUGAAAACUGCUCUGACAUCAGUUGCCUUUGCUGGUCGUGCAAUUUUUCUUGUUUCCACUUUUGCCCAGACUGAUAAGUGUGACACUGCUGAUGUUUCGUUGGCUCUUGUACUUAACUCACUGUCCAAUGCAUUGCUUGGCAUAGAUGCCAAUGAUCCUCCAAAAACGCUAGCUUCCAUGCAGUUGAUUUGUUCCAUAUAUUCGAGUGUAAGUGAGGAUGCACUUGUUUCUACAUGCACCAUGAUGAAUGUUUACCCUAAUGUUUUAUUCGUACUUUCAGUUAACUAUAAUUGGAAGCAGUGAUAGUGAGCCUGUAUUCCAGCAAACUAUCAGCUUAUCUGAAUGGUUGGAUUGCUUCUUUUCUCGCUUAUUUUCCCUGCUACGUCAUGCAGAAUCAACCGGUGUUAUGUGAGUUCUUGCAUUUAGACAUUAGGGUUUCACUUAUCUUUUGGUUAACUCUUCUUUCAUAUCUUUUCAUAGUGUCUAUCUGGAUGUUGUAGCAAUGAUGUUCUCCCGAGUUCGACCAUGGAAGAAACAUUUCUUAUUGAAGAUGAUCCUUACUACUUCUGCAUGCUUGAAAUUCUUCUUGGGAAGUUAUCUAAAGUUCUUUUUAAUCAGGUUUUAUCUUAAUUUCACACUUUUUAAUUUAUCAUGGAUAUCAGUGUAAUGCAUUUAGGUUUUUAUCAUCCUUUUUCAAACUGUUCAGUCACUGGAGAAAAUUUCCAAGUUCGUCAACACAAAUAUCCUUCCAGGAGCUACAAAGGAGGUUGGACUUCUCUGUUGUGCCUGUGUAAAAUCUAAGCCAGAAGAGGCUGCAACCUACCUUAUUAAACCGAUAUUGGAGACCAUAACCUCGUCCUUGAGAGGGACACCUAUUUCAGGUUUGUGGGGAAGCACCACAUCUGAUACUUCAUCUUUUGCAAAGGUAUGUUCUGCAACCUGGCAUGAGUUAUCUCCAUUUCCGGUGAUUAUCUUUGAACAGUGCAAUAUCUAUGCAGGCUGCUCUUUCACCAACUCUGGAAAUUGUCGCAGAAUACCUUCUAAAAGUUUUAGCCAGAGCCAUUAGAUUUGCAGGAACUGUGCUACUUCAUUACCGGGAGGAACUAAAAGAAGCAAUUGCACUUGCAUUUCAGGCUCCUUCGUGGAAGGUUCUUGAGCUUGGUUAUUAUUUUGCUGUAGCCAGUUAAUCUUCAGUUUACAUAACUUUUUCCCCCCUUCUUAUAACUCCUUUUUUAGGGUUUUUUCUGAGAUGGUUUUGUAAUGAUAGGUUAAUGUAGCUGGUGGUCACGUUCUUUGCUCUCUUCUUGGUAGCUUGGUGCUCUAUUACCCAGUCAAUCAGUUCAUGUAUGUAGGCUACUAAUUUUCAUUCUCAUAGCUUGUUGGGCAUUCAUUACCUUAGAUACUGUGCUAGUGGAUGUCAUUUUUGCACUCUGAUAAGAAUAUUUUGGCUUUCUAGGCCUUUACUUUGUCAGCCUGCUAGUGCUGCUUUUGAACCAUGGGGAUGCUCAAAAGAUUACAAUGUUGGAAGAAAUGAACCACUUAAUCUCCCCCCAAAAUGGCAUAUUUCUAGUCAAGAUGAGCUCUCUUUUGCAAAUGAACUCUUAGAGCUUCAUUUUCAGUCUGCUUUGGAUGAUCUUUCUAGGAUUUGUGAGACAAGAAUCCAUACUAAUGCAGGUGAAUAUGCCAUGAGAUUUUUAGCAGCUCUGUUAUCAGAUGAUUUUACAUUCUUGAAAAGUUUCUGCUCCAUAUAUUCUAUAAAGCCACAGGUGUUGAUGGGCUGUCCUUUUUUAAUUGACUGGCAGCCGGGUACUCCAUAGCCUUAAUUAAAUUAGACAUCAGUUAUGUAUUUGCCAAAUGGACUAGGGUAGAUCUUUGAGACUCGCCAUCUAAUAUUUUGAUGAUAUGGCUGUUUUGGAAAUGUAAAGGAUCUAGAGCUUUCAUCUUUUCCUUGUACCAAACUUUUGCCAUAUUUUAACGAGUCCAGUCAAAUCAAUCUGUUUCAUCUAUUGUUUUAUUGUAAUUUAUAGGCUCUUUCUCUGCUUCUUUUUCAUCACUUAAGAUUAUCAAUGAUCACUUUUGUUAUUGUAGAAAUGCAUUUUAUCAACAAAUGUCUUCUUUUACAUUUGAUAUUGCAGGAACUGAGAAGGAACACUUGAAAAUCACGCUGUUGCGCAUUAAAUCUUCACUACAGGGUGUAAUGUCAUGCUUGCCAGAUAUGCGCCCAUGCGACAAAAGAACUGGCGUCAUAACUGUGGAGCAUAGUUACUUUGUAAUUGCUGGGGCAGUUGGUUCCUCUGUUGGUAGUCCAGAAUUACGGGAAAGAGCUGCUAAUAUUAUACACCAGUCUUGCAAGUAGUGUAAAUGUUUGAUGGUGCUUCUUUAAGAUGAUAUACUCUCUCGAUUAGUCUUGGUUAGUCUUGAUUAGUCUCAUUAGAUGCAUCAUAUUUGACAGGUUUUUACUGGAACAAAGAGCUGAUGACAGCAUUCUUCUCAUCCUUAUUAUACGUGUCAUAGAUGCAUUGGGGAAUUUUGGUAUGGACACUUCACCUAAUGAAUCAUAUUCUCAAAGUUUUUUAAUAUGGCUUUCUUAUGGUAUUUAUGUAGGAAGCUUUGAAUAUGAAGAAUGGCUAGACUACAUUCAAGACCACAAUCUAAAUUCUGCUGUCAUUACUGAGCCGCCAUGUAAUUUCAUUGUUUCUUCUCAUGCUCAAGGGAAAAAAUGGUGAGGCCCUUUUUCACACACAAACACAUAUAUAUGUAUGCAUGUUUGCAUGUAUGCCGGUGAUUCUAUUUUAGCUAGAGCUCACAAUACUAUAAUUUCUGCUGUGAGAGAUUUCUCUGUUUUUGCAGGCCCAGGUGGGCGUUUGUUGACAAAUCAUACAUGCACAACAUGUGGCGAUCUUCACAGUCAUCUUAUCACAAAUUUUGUUUAGAUUCUGACAUUGUCCCAUCUCAGAAUAUGAAUCUCCUGAUGGAGAACCUUCUGGAUCUCGCAUUGCACAGCUAUGAAAGAGUUCGCUUGUGAGUUUUCAAUAGGUAAAAAUGUAUGGAGAAUCCCCUCAACAACUGGACAUUUUAAAAUAGGCCCCCAACCUCUUUUUUUUUUCUUGGUUGGACACCCUGUCAACUUUUGGUUAAUUUGAUUGGAGUUAUUAUAGUCAUUUAGGAAUUGUGUUUAAAUUUUACAUUUUCUUGUUGGCAAAUUAGUCAUUAACUAUAAAUAGAAUCUGCAAUUUUUGUUUGCCAAAGAAGGUUAGAGCAGCUAAUUUAAUUGAGUCACCACUAAGUCAACAAAAUUCCCAAUUUAGCUUACACUAUAAUACCUCAAAUCAAAGAAACCAAAUUGAGUGGGUGCAAUUAGGAAACUAAAGUGUGGGAUCUAUUUAAAAUGGCAUAUACUUGAGGUCCCUCCAUACAAUAUUACCUUUCCAACUGCAGCUGUUUUGCCUUCUAAAGAUAUUAUUGUUAAAUUUGUCGUCUUUAUAAAUUAUAACUCCAUUAUAGCUCAGACGUUUCUCAAAUAAAUAUACAUUACAUGAAAAAUCUUGAUAAGUUCAGUUUGAACUACUGCAAGUCUCAAUCAGCACUGCAAAGGGAGAUUUGUUGUUAUAUGAUGCUGAAACGUUCACUAUAAAUUUAAUAAAGCAUUUUUCAGUUUCUCUUUUGCUGUAACUUUUCCGAGUAACACAAAACUGUUUAUUUUACUUUAGGCUUGCUGGAAGAUCUCUUUCACGGAUGCUUAAACGAUGCCCAUCAUUCAUUGCUAGUUCUGUUCUCACAUUGAUUGGGAACUUAAAUGAUCCAAAGGUUCCAGAACAUGUAGUUCUAGGUUCUUGCAGACUUCUCGAAAAACAGAAUUUUCUUAAUCACUUGACAAUGGUAAUUACUAUUCAACAACAUAUUGGUAUAGUCUAUUCUAUAUAUGUUCCUUUAAUGACGUCUUUCUUUUAUUAGGAGGAUGCUAAACUGUUCCCUUCGUUUAUCCAGAGUCUUUUGGCAAGGUAACUAGUUAAACUACUUUGAUUUUUUUCAGUUACCAUUUGUCAUAAAUCAUACAUUAUUGCUACCUGAAGUUUGCUACUAACUUGGUUCGUGUCGAUUUGAAGCUCCCAUUUCGAAUCACUGAAGGCUCAAAAAGCUGUUAUUAAGGUAUCUAUGAAAGUUAAGUAUAUAUGGAAUGUGAAAAGAAAAUUUUACUAAUUUUUUGCUUGUUUGACUGUAACAGCUGUUCUUAGCAUUUAACAAGCACUUUUCGGUGAUAUCAAGGAGCUUUUUCAAGACUUCAGAUGCUCAAUCACGUGAUUCAAGAAUUGCAGAUUUGGUUUCUCAGAUCAGUUUGCUGAGUUCUGGCACAACUGGACGACAUUGGCGGUACUCUCUGUUGUCCCUUGUUAAACUGGCCUAAUAGCUUUCAUGUCAAGUUCCUCUUAUGUAAUUUUGCUAUGAGAAUUUGGAUAUUGCUUUUGAGAUUCUAUCCUGUUGUAGAUGUUUCAUGUUUCUUACUUCUUUCGGAACCUUUUCAUUUUUCUUUUGUGGCCUAGCUGACUCAAUAUUGUUGGGGAAGACCCACGGAGGAAGAACUCGAUGUUCUACAUGAAGUGUAAUCUUGCAUAUGUUUUGUAAUGUUAUGUUUAUCUGAAAUUAAUUCAGAUAAAUUUUGUAGGUAUAAUUUGAUGGCCAACAGAGUACUGCUCUUGCUAACUUUAUCUUCUAGGAAUCAUUCAUCUUUGACCUCAAAUAUGCUCGGGGAAGCUGUUGGUGAGUGUACAUCUAGCUACUAAUGAAAGAGUUCUAGUUUGAUAAGUGUCUUGCAGCUUUCUAUUCCCAAAUAUUUGAACUUAAAUAGGAUUCUGGUUAUCUGAUGUCAGGACAUUUUUUGAGGGAUUUGAAAAGUAAGCUUCCUCAUUCAAGGAUACUUGCAAUCUCUGCAUUGAAUGCCCUGUUAGAAGGAACACGAUGUCAAGAUUCAAGUCAGGAUGAGCAGUUUUACUUUUACCAUAACAAACAACUUGGUAAUUCAUCCAUUGGAAGAAUAUUGAAUCAGAUAAUACAGGAGGAGGGACUCUUAAGUGAGGCACUAAACAGUCUCUCCCUUUUACAUAUUGAUGAUGAUAGUGAGACUUCUGCUUCUAAAGGAUAUAUAGAAUCUUCGUUCUUUCAGAGUGUGACUGAUGAAGAACUAACUUCAUUCUACUUUGACUUCCUGGCACAAUGGCCACGUACCCCAUGUUGGAUACCUUUUCCAGGAGUUGAUAAAUUUCACCCCAACUUUGCAAGAAUAUUUCAGCGGCUUGCACAAGAAUGUGGAACACCAAUUUUGCAUGCUCUUAUGAAUAUCAUAGAACAAUUUUCUAGUGCGAAAGAGAGAUCAAAGCAGUCAGUUGCUGCUGAAGUCUUGGCUGGGAUACUUCACUCAGAUGUUAGUGGUCUUCCUGGAGCGUGGGAUAGUUGGAUGAUGCUUCAGCUGCAGAAAAUUAUGGUAGCACCAUCUUUGGAAUCAAUUCCAGAAUGGGCAUCUUGUAUUCAAUAUGCAGUCACAGGAAAAGGAAAAAAUGGCACCCAAAUUCCUGUUUUAAGGCAGAGAAUUUUUAAUUGUUUAGAAAAAACUUCAGCUCAAUCUGCCUCAACCAGUGCAAUAGUGGCUAGGAGGUAUUUUUUCCUUUCAGUUGCACUUACUGAAAUCUCUCCACCUACAAUGCCUGUUGAAGAGUUCCAAUACCACAAAGAACUUCUCAAGGAAUUGCUUUGUAAUAUGAGCCAUUCAUCUGCCAAGGUAUAUGUUAUUUUACAAUUUCUUUUCCAUUUAACAGCAUUUAUACUGAUUCUCCUUCUAUUGUUGCAAAUUUAUGUGGUAGAUGGAGUCAUUCGUGUCAAUUUAUUUUGUCUUUUUUGUAAUUGUGAGUUUGCUUUUGAUUUCGAAAUAAAAACUUUGAAUAUAAUUAUAUUGUUAUUCACAUUAUGACAUUAGAAUUGCUGUUAGAGUGGCGAUGGACUUGUAAGAGUGGCAAUGGACUUGGUGGGGCAGCCAGUCCUUGUAACUGACCAUGAGAGAAAUUUGGGCCUGAUACCAGCCUCAUGCCCUCUACAGGUUAAAAUACAUCGACCUAUUUACAGAUCUCUGUCUCCAUCCUGCCACAUAUUCCUGUCUAUCGUCCAACUUGCUCCACUACCCUACAUCACCCAGCUCACAACCAUUGGAUUUGUAGAGUACUUAGAAUUUUAAUACCCUAAUUAUAGAUCUUUAUUUGGAGUGAGACGUUUUCCGUGCCCCUUUUAGCUUGCCCAAAAAUCUACCGUAUAUACUAAGUCAUCCCUAUUGCCAGGGUCCAAAAUGGGAUAAACCCAGUCAUGAAAUGCUUUGGCCUAGUCUCAGCCUACAUCAUCAAAUUGAGAGCUAAUGGAACACACUGAUUCUUUCAACUCAAUGGAUCUUAGUACAAUUUUCUAUGUAGAUAUAAAAAUGUAGCUAUUUUUAUUGGUAGAACUACAAAUAAAUGUGACUGUAUGUGCUUACUCCAUUUUCUUGUCUUUGGUAAUUUAAUUUACUGCAAAAUCGUCUAGGCUGAUGUUGACUGUUAUUAUUAGCUCAUCAAUGUCUACAUUAGUGCUGUAGACAAGCUGGCCAUGCAUUUUGUAUUAACCUUGAGACAUCUUAUUCACAUGUCCUUCUUUAUAUAUCAAGAAAUAGUUUACUUCUUUACAACAUGCAAUUAGGUCUAGUGGUCUGCAAAUUCAUUUGUUAUACAUAUCUUGAACAAGUUUAUCUGGAUAUAGUUCUGUGACUUAUGAAACGAAUUGGUAUAAUUUCAUGUUACGAAUUUGUUAGAUUAUUCCAUAUUGUCAAACAAGUUUCUAGAGGAAUCUUGGAAAUUGGGCUCAUGAAUUUAAGAAUAAAUGAUUGUCCCAAAAUUUUUCUCUUUUCAUUUUUAAAUCCAGAAAUAAUAAAUAAUAUUCGAAGUAAAUCAAAGUUAUUACUAGGCUUUAGACUCCACUUUCUGAUUUUUCAUCUCCUUCUAUUACUCACCACAAGUGGAAGCUACUUAUUCUAUAUCUACUGAUCAUGCAAAAUCUUUAUUGCUGCACACAUAUUGUCUCAGAUUAUACCAAUAAGUAUUCAGUUUAUUGUCAUGCUUGCAUCGCUUAUUGAGACAUGAAUGAUAGGUCAGGGAAUCUGUUGGUACUACACUAUCUAUAAUAUGUUCAAACAUGCGUCUUUUUGCAUUAUUUGGGGAUAAGCACUUAAAAGAAGCUGCAGAGGACAUUAACAUGGUUGAACCACCUGAGAAGGAAAAUUGGGCUAAAAUUUUGAUGGAGGGAACUUUUGAGUUGUCUAAAAAUAUAAUUGCUAAUUUACAUACUAAGGCAAAUAGUGAUUCAAGUCAUGGAAUCAUGAAUACGGCGGUGGAGGCUGAUAUUAGAAGGAUGGAGACGGUACUUGUUCUAAUUUUGCUUGUAUUUACACUGUUGAUUUUACUGCAGUUGCUAAUUUGAUCUUAUUUAUGGCAGAUAUUCCAUUUUAUUAUUUCAUCUCUGAAGUCUGGGAGAUCUUCCUUUUUGUUGGACAUACUUGUUGGAAACCUUUAUCCCAUUCUUUCUUUGCAGGUAUGGAGAUCAGUAAAUUAAAUACUGAAUGCUCUAUUUCACUAGCAGUUUUGUAUAUCUACCAAUUUUGCAAAAGAAGUCGGAGAAUCUAGAUAUUUGUUUAUAUGAAAGAGUAUCGUAUUUAAUUGGUUAAUUUCUUUAGUAUAUACUAUGUAGAGUUUGUUACAUGCAUUCACUAUGACUACUUUGGUACAAUAUAUUUCUGGUUAUCUUCUAUAAGAAAGCCUGGGGAGUAAUAUUUGGCUUAAUUAAUAUCAGAAUGUUGCAUAGUCUUUUAGGGUUGUUUGGAUGAAUGAACAUCUCAUUUAGCACCUUUUUUUAUUUACUCAAGAAACUUAUAGUAGUUGGUAGAUGAGGAGUGCGAUGAAAUGUCUAGAAAGACAUACUAUAUUCGGUCUCCUAGUCAUUCUCACGAUAAGACAAAUACAUUAUCCAAACAUAUCAUGGCUGUCAAGACUUUACAAGAAGCUAAAAUCAACCUCCUAGCUUACAAUCACAAAGAAAAUCCUUACAGAGUACAAAUUAUUACUGAAUAGCUUAGUCUGACAUCCAGACAAGCCCUUGAUGUAUUGGUAUAUUUUACAUUUCAAGAUAGCUUGACACCUGUGUUCUUGCUUACAUUCUAUACUCUGAAGGCAUAUCUUACAUUUCAUAAUAACUUGACACUUGUCUACCUGCAUACAUAGUAUAAUUUUAUGUAAAAUCACAGUGUGAUCCUAGCUUGUUCAUGGCAGAGGGGAUUCAUGUACGUCAAUUUGAGACAGAAGGAGGGGAAGGUCAGUGAGUUGAGAAGAAUAAGUCUUGUAAACGAUUUUAAUAACCGCCUUUUCAUUUAAACUAAGGAAAAACUAAGGAGAGCACUAUACCAGAAACCUAGUGCCAGAUGUUUUACAUUCUUUUUCUAGUGAGCCUUAAAACCAGUAUUUUUUCAAUUCUAGAUGCACUGAGUGUGCUUCUAUUCAAAUUGGUUUGUCAAUUAUAUUAUCAUCCAAAUGAACCUAUCCCAAUUUUCUGGGUUUGAUUUUCACGCAAAAUUCUAAAUAAGAAAAAGAAACUUUAUUAAAAGUUUGAGAAGAAUUUAGUUACAUCCAAAUUACAAUUUAAUAGGAAAGGGUAUAGCUGGACCCUGAGCUCUAAAAAUUUGAAAUUCUGUUCCUAUAUCAGAACAUUUGGUUUUUGUCUGUUUUUGAUCAUGUAGUUUGCUUUUUGUUUUUGCUUUUGUUUUUUCUCAUUCAGAUGAAUUUCCUGAAUGCAGUAUAUAAAAAGAGAGAGUAGAAGCUCUAAUGAGUUCACAUGCCAAGGAAAGGCAUCAAUGUACUUACAUAGUACAUACAAUUUCUAACCUAGUACAUAGUCUAUAAAAACACAAUGAGUAAAAGCUCUAAUAAGUUCACAUGCCAAGGACAGUAUCAAUAUACUUGCAUCACGGUUUAAGGUGCCGUGGCACAGGGGUGUGCUACUGUCUGCUUGGUACGGUACGGCAUCAGCAUGCUUCCGUGCCAACACAUGGUACACUUGCGUGCCGAUGGAUACGCAUGACGCCAUGACCUCCUACUGGCACACUUUGGCACGGAUUUAUUUUAGUUUUUUUGUUUCUAAUAAGGUCCAAUAAUAUUAUUUUGAAAAUUUUAAUCAAAUAAUUAUGAAUAUUUGCUAUGUAUAGCUUACUAUACUCAUCAAUUAAUAUACUUGUAAGCUUUUUUGUAUGUAAAGUAUAACUACACCUUAUGCAGAAUAGAAAUUUUUAUAGAUUAGAAUUUUAAAAAUGCAAAGUCAUUUUUCUUUCUUUCUUUUGACCAUAUUAUAGUCUUUUUUUAUAAAAUACAAAAAAAUAAUUUUUAAAAUUAUUUUAAAAUUAUUUGAAAAAUUAUUUUAAAAAGUAUUUGAAAAAAUUAUUUUUUAAUUAAAUUUUUCAAAAAAUUAUUAGAUCUAUCAAAAAAAUUAAGCAAUAAAUUAUAUGACAAAUAAAUUAAAUAAAUUUAAGUAUCAAUUGUUUUAAUCUAGCUUUUAAUUUUAUCAGUAUUUUUAAUCUUCUAACGCAAAAAUAAAAUUCUAUAUUUGAUGUGCCUCAAAAUUUGUUUAUUGAGUUCGAUUUUGUUCCCUUAAUUCGCCAAAAGUUUCGCGGUGUGACAAAUUUUGAUAAAAUAAUUUAUGAAAAAAAAUUGAUGUCUAUGAUAGAAGCGGAGGGAUCAGAUAUGCAAAUUAAAAAUUUGGCCGUAUAUUGAUAAAUAAAAAUAUUAAAUUAUAACAUUUUUGACUUAUCUAACAAGUAGAUUUUCGAUUUACAAUGUCUUUGGAGGGUGUGGGAUACUCCGGAUGCUUCUUGGUACCCAAAGAACAAAGCAAAAAGAAAAAAAGCAAAAAAAAAAGUGUGCCGGCACGGCACAGUGCCAUGGCAUAGACCUGCGUAUCACGCUGUCUCGCGCGAUACGCAGGUCCGUGCUGCCGCAUGAAGGGGGGGUCCGAGACCCCCCAUGUACCGGCACGGUACGUGUCGCCCCAUGCCGUAUGGCACGGGGCGAUACUUUAAACCUUGACUUGCAUAAUGCAAAUAAAAUUUCUUACACAAAUUUCAAUCUUUUAUAGAGUUGAGGUGGCUUUCUUUUGAGUUUGCUAUUGACUGUGAGUUUGCUUGGUGCUCUUUAGCUGAUGGCAUUUACUGAUGCUCACAGGAUAUAUCAAAUAAAGAUUUGUCCGCAUUGGCUAAAGCUGCUUUUAAGUUACUAAGCUGGAGAAUUCUACCACGGCCUUUUUUGGAACGUUUUGUUUCAGUGAUCCUUUCUUCAAUCAAUGAUUCUAAUUGGAGAACUCGAUAUGAAUCUAUCACUUUUCUUGGUAUCUUUAUGUACAGGUUUGAAUUUUAGUUAUCUCUCAUUUUGUUUUGAAAAUGUGAUUUUACCUGUCAGAAUAAACAUUUGGUUUAUAAUGUUUUAGUUUUUCAUAUUGUUCUUUAGGCUGCUAAACUUUUAACACAUCUCAGUCUAUCUUUAAUGAUAUCUCGUUUUGCCCUGCCAAAUCUCCUCUUUCACUUAUUGCUAUUGUUUCUCAACAACUGAUCACAAAUUAGGGAGAGCAUGGGCAAAUAUUUACCUAGCAGAAUAUUCCCACCCUUUGGUACUUUAUUCUUAGUUUUUGUUUUGUAUCUUCUGAAGUGAUAUGUGUGAUAUCUUAUGGUGUAAAUAUUUUCUAAAUAUUUGUAUGAUUAUACCGAAUCAUCAGUGAUGCAUUUCAUUUUAUUGCUAUCGUGAAUGCCACAAAAUAUGUACCUAUAAAGUAUAAACCGAUGUUGCAUCCAUCCUGAACAAGAAUUAUAAUGAUGGGUUUUCUGGCAUAUUUGUACAAUGACCACUUCAUCCUAAUUACCCUCAUCUCCAACAAUAGUAGCCAAGGAUGGGGUGAGAUUCUCAUUUUGCAUUAGGUUAUUGUAGAUGAUACAGCAUCCUUAGUAUGAUGUCAUGUCAUCUUAAUAUUUGCUUUUGCAUCGACCUUUUUCUUUUCAUUACUUCUAUGGAGAUUCAUGGUGGUAUUUGAUUCAAAGUAGGACUAGUUUGGAAGUUAAAUCCUUUAGAUAGUAGUUGUUCAGGCAGGAAUAUUGAGUAUUUUGUAGAUGUCUAGAUUAAUUCCUCCUUUCUUAUUUCUCUGUGCAUGGAAGUAUCUUUGCGUAGGAGAGAAAGUUCUUAGAGUUAUUACUUAUGAGAUGCUUCAUGACACGUCAUUGACUUCACCAAUAACUUUUUUUUUGUGUAUUUCUAAAUUUUAUUCUUCAGGAAAAUAUGAUUUAUAUUUUUACAUUGCAAAAUUCAGAAGAAAAAUGACAAAAGGUUUCAAUUCUUGAUUACUCAGUGUUUCAUAAGGGCUUUUUUCUAUUCUGCUAGUGAACUCUACUUUCUUGACACGAUGACAAGACUAAAAAAAAAAAAAAACUUAACUCCAAGAAAAGUGUCUCGCAGACUAUGAUUCUAACACUUCGCCAGCGUUUUAACAGGCACACUUUCACUCUAUCUAGAUUGGAAAAAUCACAAAUAUGGCAGAACAUUGAGAAGCUACUUGUUGACAAACAAGUUGAGGCAAGUCCAUCUAUUUGGUUUUCAUUCUCUCAAAAUGCUCUCUUGAAUUUCUAUUUCAUAAUUUUUUCUGGAAUUGGAAAAGGACGUAUUGAAAAAUUUAAAGGAAAAAAAGAAGCUAAAAAUUUGAUUUUUUUUUUUAAUGGCAAACUGCUUGAAGCCCUUACACUAGUAAAAGCACAUACUUGUAACUAUUUUGCUACUCUUUUAUCAUGUGAUUCUAUUCACUAUGUCAAAAUUUUGAUUACAUUAGAACGUACUUUCACAAUUUUAGAAGGGGAAAAAAAUCCAGACUCACCUAAACUUGGCCAGAUCACGAGUACAAAUUGCCGUCCAAAGUUUAAAAAUUUGAAGUUUACUACAUUGAUAAUUAGUUUGUUUCAACUCGCUUACCUGAAUUUCCGGCCUGAUUUCACCCAUAGUUUGGCACUAUUACAAAACUUAAAAAAGUAAUAUAAAGAACAUGUUGCGAAAAAAAAGAAAAGAAUAAUGCACGGAUGUCCACGCAUGUUUUCAAUGGUUGGAAAGUGUGAAAGAAAAUUACAUUUAUUUUCUGAACUCAGGCACAUGUUUUUUCAAUGGUUGGAAAGUGUGAAAGAAAAUUACAUUUAUUUUCUUAACUCAGGCACAUGUUUCGAAAAUAUACUGCACAUUAUCUGCUAUUCUUUUCUCUGCAUGAAAGCUCAGGUGAGAGAGCAUGCUGCAUUAAUUCUUGCAAGCUUAAUGAAGGGCGGAGACCGUGAUCUAUAUAGGGAGUUUCGUGAUCGAUCAUAUGCCAAAGCACAAUCAGUUAUGCAGAAGGGAAAACCGAGGUUUAAUAUUGACUUCUAAAAUUUUUUUUUGUGAUUAUUUUACAUUAGCUGAACUUCCUCCUUUUUUCUCGUUACUUAGUGCCUGAAUUCUCUGUUCUUUACCUGCUUAAGUGGAUAGAUAUCUGUUAUGCCUAUUGUAGUGGAUUAAAUGAAAAUUAUGCUACUGCAGAAAAACUUCUCAUCAUUCGGUAGCUUCUAUACAUGGUGUGGUCCUUGCUCUCGCUGCUUCAAUACUAUCAGUUCCAUAUGAUAUGCCCAGGUCUGUGGUGCGACAAAAAGUUCCUAUCUUAAGCCCACAAUAAAACAGAGGCAUUUAGUUUCAGUUAUCUAUAUUCUUUCAGCUGAAAAAUGUCAACCUGUUAAAUUAUAUAAAACAACUGCUAUUCUCCAAUAGCUUAAAAUAUCAAGGAACAUUUAUAUUCAACACUCCUCCUCCCGUUUGGACUCAAGACAUUUUGAUAAGCUCAAGACUUGGACUUGAAUUAAAUGAGAGAAAAUUAGUUAUAUUAAAAGCCUGGUGGGAGUUGACCUCAUGACCUCUGGCUCUGAUACUAUAUUAAAUUGUGUGAAACAAUUGUUGUUCUCCGAUUGCUUAAGCUACCAGAGAACGGUAUUUUUAAUUUUUUGUAUUCAACACAACCAAAUAUAGAUGCCAGUUUGGGCUUAUUAUAUUUCAGGAGUUAUUGCUUAUAUGUUCUCUGGUUUAUAAGUUGAUGUCGUAGUGUCUAAAUCACCUGCAACAUUAACUUUAAUGUCUAAAUGACCUGCAACAUGAACUUAAUUUUGAAAUUUGAACAAUGAAGUUCUCUUCUAUGUAAUUAGAAACUUAGUAUAAUAAGCUAAUCUAGAGCUAUCAGUAUUUGACUAGAAUGCUUUUCUUCAUGUCUUUUGGAUGGAUGGUAGGAGAUUGUGUUAAAUUGUACGAAAUAACCGUUAUUCUCCAAAAGCUUAAGUUGUUAGAUAAUAGUGUUUUACUAUUUAUAUUCGACACUCCCUCUCACGUCUCUGCUCGAGACUUUUUUUAUAGACUCAAGACAUGGACUUGAAUUACAUGGAGGAAAUUAAAUAAUACUAGGAGCCUGGUGGGACUCGAACUCCGUACCUCUUGUUCUGAUACCAUAUUAAAUUAUACAAAAUUACCGUAAUUCUCCAAAAGGAGCAAAUGAAAUAUAAAAAAAUACCAUUCUCUAGUUGUUUAAGCUUUUAGAGCAAACAGUUGUUUUACAUGAUUUAACAUAUUGCAAUAGAAAAAUUUUUUAAAAAAAAUUCCUGUCUAUGACUAGUCAUAGAUAAACUAAUCCACAUCCUAAGAAAGGUGGCUGAAAACUCUGAGAUGGAUUGUUUUUUAAAAAAAAAACAAAGUUAAAAAGAGCUUACGAGGAUAAGGUCUUUGAAUCAUCAUAGUGGAAGUAUAGAAAAUACAAAGAGUGUUGAUUAAGAUAAUGGCUUGCCCUCUGCUUAUUUUUAAAUGGGAUGCCUGUGUAGCUACUGUGAGAUAUGGAUCCCAAGGAUCUAAAAGGUGAAAAACACCUAGAGGGGGGUGAAUAGGUGUAAACGGUAAAAUAAAAUAAACUCGAUGCGAAUAUGAAAUAAAUGCGGAAAAUAAAAUCAGCACACCGAGAAUUAACGUGGGAAAACCCCAAAUCGGAGAGAAAAACCCACGGGACCGAUCACACAAAGAAAUCCACUAAGAAAACAUGAGUACAAGUGAUUUAGCAAAAAUACAAGACUCAAAAUACCGAAUCCUCGUUGUAGAUUAUCUUUGCUGGUCCACGAUCGCUUGGAACCCUCCAACCGAUCACACUGCAAGUCCUUGCAGCUGCACACGCCUCGAUUCCACGAAACGCCCACCGAAUCCACGGUCUCCACGCGAGAUCCACGCGCUAAAGCUCCAUCUGAAGCUCGUAGAAGUUCAACAAUUUGUGGUGAUUAAAGGUCUUUGAAAGCACAUAUAAUAUGAGGAGAAACUCGAAUUAAAACAUCAUCAAUUUGAUCCUUAACUAAAAUUUGAAUCAAAACGAAGAAUCACUAAAAUUUGAAUCAAAACGAAGAAUCAAAUUGAUGAUCUAAUGCUUGAUGUUUUAAAAACAUAGAACCGAAACUCCGAAUCAAGCCGUUAGGGUUUUUAAAAAGUUAUCUCGCUCAACUCUCUUCAAAUAGAGAUCCUCAUAUCAUAUUUAUAGGUUUAGAAGACUUCUAGAUAGAUUAGGAUUCCAAAAACUCAAUUUUAAAAACUGACGUCGGUCUCAGGGUCCGGUCCUUUCGAGGAGACCGGUUCUUGGGAGACCGGUCCUCCAAGGUGAGGUCCGGUCUUUCGCUGCGUAGAUGUCAAAAUAUGCGUACAGGGACCGGUCCUCAAUUCAGAGACCGAUCCUUCCCUGCGCAACAAGGAAAACCACGUACGGGGACCGGUCCUCAUGAUCAGAGACCGGUCCUUCCCUGCGCAAAAAGGAAAACCACGUACGGGGACCGGUCCUCAUGAUCAGAGACCGGUCUCCCAAACCUUCUACGCAGAGAAGCUUGAUGGGUCCGGUCCCUCUGAUCAAGGACCGGUCCCCAACCCCUGAGUUUUUCCAGAAAACUUAAGUUUGAAUAAACAAAAAGGAAACCAAGUCUUCUAAACAUCUUUUAACAAUGAAAACUUCACCACAAUUUAUUUAUAAUCAUACCUGAGUUCUCAAGGGUCUUUGAUCACAAAAACUUCAAUUCUUUUCGUCAAUCUUCAUCUUCUAAUUCUUCGAGACUCCAUCCAAACCAUCACGAAAUUCGCCAACUUAUAAAAUCCUUAACAGCUACCACAACUACUGCAAUGAGAAAAUGAAAAUAUAUUGGACUUUUUUUUCCAAUACAUGUAACCUCUUUUCCUAGUUCCUACUUAUCACAAAAAUAUUUUGAAACUCUUAAUUUACAUCGGAAAUCUUAAAAAAAAAAAAAAAAACCUUUUUGGUAUGGCGCAUGCCUCGCUUGCAUUUUAUCACCCUUUGGUUCAAAAUGUUGUAAUUUGCUACCCUAUGAUUUUUGUUUUACUCUCCAUAAGGGCCUGUCCUUUAGUAGGGUAGCAAAGUGAUGCAUAGUACAACCAAAGUAUGCAAAAUGUAGCAUUUUAUUAUGCUGUGGUUAUUAAAUAACGUGUGACGCUGUCUUAUAACAGCAGGUCCUCACAGCAAAUAAAAACAAAAACCACAUGGCAGUAAAGUGCUAUAUUUUGAACCACCAGGUAGUAAACUACAAAUGCACUGAAAGCAAAGGGUGGAUUUUUGAAGUUUCCUUUUUCUCUUUUUACCUUGAUUCCUUUAACAUGAAUCAUAUUCCUGUUUUGGCAUUUUCUUCAGCUGGCUACCCAAUCAUGUAACCUUGCUAGCCCAAUUUGUUGAUGAACCUUACCCCACCAGAUCAACAGUUACCAAAACGGUUGCAGAGUUCCGGAGAACGCAUGCAGAUACUUGGGACAUUCAAAAGCAUGUAUUCACAGAAGAGCAACUUGAGGCAAGCCCAAUCGUUUCUUUCUUGGAAUCAUAUAGAGUCUCACCGAGGAAACAUUGGUUAGACAUGUUCUAUCAUGUCAACAAUAACAAAUGACAUGAGCGCUAAACAUGCAACACAAGCCCUUCAAUCCUCACAGGGCUGUGAUUGCAUUUUUGUCGGCCCAGUAUGAGAGCCUUGAUCAAGGAAUGUUUUCUCUUCAUUUUUAUUGCAUUGAAGUAUCUUCUAUCCUCUAAUAAAUCCUUAUUUAUAUUUGCAGGUCCUUGCAGAUACCUCAUUUUCUUUCUCAUACUUUGCUUAGUUAAUCCAUUAUCUCAUCUUGCAGUAGUCCAUAGGUACCUUUAAUUUGGAGAAGUCGUCCCAAAAUUACACUUUCAUGUUAUUUUGUUUUAUUUAGCAAAUAAUUGGUUGUAUUUGUAUCAUCAUAAUUGUAACAUUGUGUUAUAUCCUUGAUAUAUUUAAUUUGGUUUCUAUUCAAGAGUUCAGAUUGCCAAAUAAAUAGGCCAAAUUUUUUAGCAUUGUUUUUUCCCAUUGAUUCCUUGAGCCUUGGAUACCAUUAGCUUGCAAUGGGGCUACCUACUCAAUAUAUGUAAUGAAUUUAGGAACUCAUCAACAUGAACAUACCAAUUUUCACCAUUACUUAGUUUACCUUCUUUCUGUGCACAUGAUACUUCUUCCGAAGAGUCACUUGAAAAUGAGUCUUGUUGCAAUGAGUAUUGACGAUAUGAUUCAAAUGGUAUUUUCAAAUAAAUUUGUAAGAUUAUCAGUGCACUAGCUUUCUUACCGUUGGCUCCUGAGGUGAUUCACCUUUGUCUUCCAAAAAUCUUGGGGAAACUGCUGGUGACUGUUCAUGUGUGGUCAAAUCUCUUUAUAAUCCAAGGGUACAUGCCAAGUGGAUAUUUAAUGAGGCACUAAACCAUCCACCGAGCCAGGGAGACCUUAUUCUUUCAGAGCAUGUUUGGUAAGGCAACUCUUUCUUUUAUUUGGACUUACUCAGUGUGAUAACCUGGCAGCCUAAGUUGGAUAAUUUUUUCUUUUUUUUUUUUUCGUUCUCCUCAGAUGCGAUACUGUGUCCAACUUUGAUACUAGAAUGUGAAGUAGCUGAUACUAGAAUGUGCAGCAAAGAGGUCAAAGCUGUGAGUCUGUACUGGAGCCAUGAAUGAUAUAUGGUCCACUCAGGUACCAUGUGGCUUUGAUUUUUGAAAGCAUGAGACAAUUGAAUGAUGUUUUAGCUGCAAAACUAUCUGUGGGAAUAAUUUUUGACCGGGACUGCUUUUAUUUGAUACAUGGUUGUGGAUGGCUAGGCUGGACCAUUGCAUCUAAUGAACCAGUAUAACUAUUCCUUGUGGUUGAUCUUAUUGAAAUUUAUUUAACUAGGAUGGCACCUUUGGAGAUCAAAUACCAUGCCAUUCAUCCUUUCAAAUUAAAUUAAUUUUAUUUUGAUAAUGCUCGCCCCAUUAAUAUUUUCUAGUUAUCUAAAGAUGAUGCUUUUAUUAUUUCUCUUUUAUUUCUCUGUCUAAUUCCUCUGAAGCUUUUAAAUCAUGGCUCAUAUGCAUGUAUCUCCACAACCCCUUCGAGUCAAAAUUUGCAGAUUGCUUAGCUUGGCGAGCAUUUAAUCAAGUUUGCUGAGAGUUAAUCCUUCCUUUUGGUUGCUCUUACUGAGAUCUCUUCAUUUAGGAUGACUUCUUUGGAGGUCAGAUAUCGCACCAUUCAUCUGCCUAUAUUGUUUAGUUUGCAGUACACAUAAUACCCCAGGCGGAAUUCUUUUAAUUGCUUUGAAGUAUGUUGUGAAGCUAAUAUAUAUAAUAAUUAUGCAUGAUUCACUGGUUGUGUAACUAUGUUUUAGGAAAACUCCUCUCUGACCUGAACUUGCUCCAACUUCUUCGGGAUUGACAUCAAGUUGACUUCUGUUGGAAGUUUGUAAGUUCCUCGCCAAACUUUCUCAACCUUUUUUAAUUCUGCUAUCGCCAAUUUCGUAGACUCGGAUGAAUGGAUUGAGCAGCAACGCUAUUCUAGUGCCUCUUUGGCACGUCAUGCACCUUCACUUAAAGUUCUUUUUAGAAAUAUAAUUUUAUCUAAUUAUGUGCCUAAGACAUAUUCUUACAGUUUUUCAAAUGUUUUUGCUUGACAUUUUCACUUUAGUUCAAGCCUUAAUUAGCAUGUUGAUCAUGAAAAUACGUGAUGGGCAUUUAUUAUACCAAGAAAGAAGUUUCUUCCUUCUUCUAUAAUUGUUCUUGGGGUAACGGAGAAAUCGCCUUUAUAACAUAUCAUAUAUGAGCUUAUCAAAUUAAUGUUUCUGUUGAGAAUUAUUAUCCAAUUCAUCACAUACUUAGAUGUUAUUAGAGCUCAUUCAGUGUAAUUUUACGAAGUACUGACCCAUCUAUCUGUAUUCUUGAGCUACUUCGGCAGUUCCUUUAUAAAUCUUUGCCAGAGUUAAUCAUUGUGUGUGACCUUUGUAUUUUCAUGAGCAAGUAAAUCGACAGUGGUUGUGUUCUUCACAUAACCAAUCGCCCGGUGUGUUCUCACUUUUUGUCUAGUAAUUCUCAGAAUGCCAGCAAUUCAUGGGGAUUACUAGAGGUACCUCUCAUAAUUAGAUUGCUUUUUGUUUCGAAAUUGUGACUUAGUUUUUUGUUAUUCAUUUAUACAGGCAGUUUCUUGCAUAUACGCUUUCCCCUCAUUGUGUAAUUCUAUUACAAAUGCUCUUAUAUUCUAACCCUGUACUCUUUUAUUGCGGGCUUAUAAUUAUUUUUCUUUUCUUUUUCUGUUCCAUUUCAGCUGUACCAUUUGUCCCUUUCUCAAGCCAGAGGAUUCAUCAGAUCCUCAGGUAAGUCCCAGAGAACGCAGUCAGCACCAAAUAUACCACCGUCCCUUUUUCUGUCAUCUUUCCUGCCCUCGGCCUCUUCCCCAUCGUCAUCCUCCCCUUUCUCCCGCAAUAUGCCGGGCUUCUGUUCCGCCGCUCCCCCCGUGCACGUGCUGCCCGUGCAAAUGCUCUGGCUCCACGCGGACGCCUCCCCGUCGUUCCCGUACGAGGUCUCAUCGUAUCCGAAACCCUCUUCGCCCAGUUCCGGGAAUGCUCCGCACAUCCCAGCAAGCCCACUGGACGGCUCCCCAGCGGGCCCCACCAUCGCACUCCACGCCUUGUCGGAGCUAUUGGGCUCAUGCAUGACCGCCCGGGAGAGCCCCAGCUUGAUCCUCCGGAUGGUCUCAUCCUUGACCUCGUCCGGAUUCGUUGGGGGAAAGGCCGUGAUGGUCGGACCGCCGGCGGCUAGCUGCGGCAUCGGCGGCGGAGGGGGUCCGCCGGAGAAGUCGGUGCGCUUCUUGGUGAGGAGGUGGAGCAUCUCGUCCUUGAAGCAGCCGAGGGCGGCCUCCGCAAGGUGGGCCACUUGGGGUGGGGCGAGGGUCGUGGCGAUCUCGGCCAUGAGGUGGGAGAAGGGCUUGUGGGUCACAGGAUCGAUACCCAUCCCGGAGAGCUUCUUCUUCAGCUUGGUGUUCCAGUGGUUCUUCACGUCGUUGUCCGUGCGCCCUGGCAACUGCGCGGCUAUCAAGGACCACCUAUAGUGCCCCAAACCAGGUGUGACUGAGAAAUUCAAAUUAUGUUUUGCAAUUCAAUCAAAAGAAAAUUCUUUCUUUGGUGUGUUAAUCAGAAGAGAUCAGCUUUGGUAUUGUGCAAUUUGCAGUAAAAUUGUCACUGCCAACCGCUACAGCACCUUAGGUUGUGGGGCCAGCUAACCUUUCUGUGCUAGAAGUUUGAACAGCUAUUGCAGAAUUUAUGCCAAACAAGGCUUAUGCUAUAGAAAAACUAUAAUGAAUAAUUUUAAGUACCCAGAAGGGGUUUGCGCGUGAAGAUGCAGGUUUAAGUUGCAGUGGGAUGAUACAAGAAGCAUGAAGAAGAGCAUUGCCUGUUUCCAACAACAGAGUGCAGUUUGACUAUGGUUUGCUCUUCACACUCGGAGAACUCUCCAUGCUUGAGAUCAGGGCGGAGGUAGUUUGUCCACCGGAGCCGGCAACUCUUUCCACAUCGCUGCAGACCUAUUGCCCACGUUUGGCAAGUCACGGGUAAGUUACAUGCAACAAGUUUGUAAUUCUCACAUAUAGAAACUUCACCAGGAAACAGCUAAAUGCCUACUUGGCCUUGCUUAGAGAAUAUCUUCUUACUAAGAAGCAACAGCCGCAGUUUUGACGAACAAAAGAAUCCUAAAAAAUCUAGAGCUUCUGGUAUUUGGAAGCCAAAAUGAGUUUCCAGUCCAAUGAAUAGAAGCUACGAAAAUUUUUCAUGUAGUGGUUACUAGAAAUUCUACUUUUACAGCAUCCAAGCUAAACAGGCUUCUGAGCACAAAUCAAUUAAAGCUUUAGUAGGCACAUAGUCUACAGUAUAGGGCUGUGGAAUUAAUACGCCUGGGAUGAGGUUUGUGUAGCUACCAGCGUUCUUAGGGAUGAGACGCCAGUUGCGGGUUCCAUGUUGCGCGAUAUAGGAGGAUAGCUUGUUGUCUUCCUCCGGGGUCCACUGUCCUCUUUUUACGUUGUCCUUCUCACAACACGGGAUCCUGCCCAUUCUUAUCUUGCUGGCUUUAUCUCUCUUUAUAUCUAAUCUUAAUCUUACUACUCCCCUCUUCGGGCCUCUCUCUCUCUCUCUCUCUCUCUCUCUCUCUCUCUCUCUCUGGAGAUUCGCUGCACCUAACUAAUUAACCCACUCUGGAAAAGGUAAAGACUAGGAGAAAGAGGUUUCACCGUUCCUUCUUUUUCCCUAUUCUAUCUUUUGCUCGUCUUUGUAUUGUAUAAGGCGGUAGCUAUUAAUAUUAUUUGUCCAUGUAGAGAGAGAUGUGAGGAGGGAAGUGGGGGUUCACGUGUGGAUGCAUGGAAGGCUCAAUGAGCAUGAUUUGUAUAAAGAAUUCAACGCCCGUUGAGUGCGUGAGGCUCGGGGCAGGUGGCUCACCCACAAGAUGCCUGGUCAACCCUCACGUCUCUCUCUCUCUCCUCGUUGACCUCUGAAAUUGAGCAUCUGAACGGAAGUGCAGGUUGUUUCUACCCUUAAUUAUUAGCAUUUACUAACUCUUUGAUUGUGCGCGGAGCUUAUUAAGGUAUCUUAUGUGUGCUCGCUUUCGACGCCUGAGAUGAUUCUGCUAUAUUUUUCUUUUGCCCAUUUAUCUUGCUAUUGUGAUCAAUAAUAUUUGAAUAUGACAAUGCGUUCCGAGCUCACAAACUCUAGGCCUAAGAUGCAUGGGCUCGCAACUCCAAUGUUUAUAUUCAAGCAAAAGACGUGAUCUGGGAUUCACAUUGCAAAGAAGGCUUGGUCUUUAAACAUGCUAUGCUAUUAUUUCAUUAUUUUAGGAUGUGCAAAUGAAAUAUCCCAAAUCUUUUAUAUGGCCUGAUGAAACCGACUACCUAUGUGGGUAGUGCCGUAGUGGGCUCGGAGUUUGGUCUGGAUUUUUGUCCGAUUGAAUAACCCUAACCUAAGAUUUUCUAAGUACUACAUUAAUAUAGCUCAAACUCUUUUUUUUUUUUUUCAUAUUUUAUGUUCUCAAGUUUAGUUAAGCCAAUCACAGGCGAGCUAUAUCUGUCUAAUAAACAUACCAAAUUAGUGAGCCACACCAUUAAAUCCUAAACAGUAAGCACGGCCCUAAUCUUACCACAAGAAAUUGAUGUCUUUUGUCUAACUUACUAAAAUUAAUUGAAUGAAAUAACGAAGUUGAUAUAUCUAUUAAAAAAACAAUGUAGUGUUUUUCCUCUUGAAAGAGAUGCUUAAUUUGUAGCCUAAUUUAAAAACAGUUAAGCGUAGACUUUUUGCACAGGGAGAGAGCGAGAGAGAGAGGGAGAGGGAGACCAGUGUUAGAGAAGAUUUAAUAACUUAAUUUUUAAGAAGAUACCAGUAAUGGAGAAGGAGAUUUAAUUACCUGAACUCAUAAGAAGACUAUUGCUGACCCAAUUUCAACUGGUUAACAAGAAAUGUUCCAAACAACCUUGGCUAGCCUCACAAGUUUUUGGAGAUCACUAUGCUGUGCUCAGGUGAGCCAUCCGUUAGGAGCUAAGCUACUGAUGCCAUGCACGGUGAAAAAUAUAUAACACAAGCAGGCAAUCAUACCUGAUAAAUAUCUAUGUUGUUCUUUGUUGCGCAAAAUGCCAAUUCCAAAUGCAUUAGCUGCAUAAACUGCAGAACGCAAUCACCACCAUCAUGGAGUAAAGAGAACUUCAAAAUAUUGCUCUUUUCUAGGAAAAGAAACAACCUCCACCAUAAAUCCAGAAUAUUGAUAGAACUUGGAAGCUACAUUAAAUAUUGCUAAAAGCACAUAAGCAGCAAGCCUGAAUUACAAAAGUUUAUGCAUGAAUCUGAGAGAAAUGCAACAAAAGAAUACAGAGUAUGAAAAGGUACAGGUUGAUUAAUGGUAAAUUUCAGCUGUAAUAAUAGGUAGACUCUGGAGUAGAUUAAUUUACUAAACUUAUGGCAUCAAGAGAUGGAGAAGAGUACCUUCAAUCAAUCUUUACGGAUGAGAAAAGAUAGUAAACAAAAGAAAAUGACAUCAAAAAGCCGAUUGUGCCGGUCGAUAGCAUGAUAGCAAAAGCCAUGAUCAGUGAAUAACCAAGGUAGAGUAUAGCAGAAACAGGCCCACUCAAGCUUCUAAGGUCAAACACCAGGUAGUUGAUCGAGUAUAGGAGCACAUAAAGGGCAACCGAGCCAGAAGCAAAGAAAGCUUUCCACCACCAUUUCCAGUCCUCCACGCAGAGAUGCAUGUAAGUCAAAACGACCGACACUUCGGCACAGACAAUCACAAGCAAUAGGAAAACGAUAAGUAGGAAUCCAAACACAUAAUAGAACCUCCCAAGCCAUAUACUAGAGAGAAUGAAGAAGAGCUCAAUGAAGAGGGUGCCAAAGGGAAGUGUUCCAGCACCAAGAACAAGAAGCCAAGAUGGGUAUUUCCCUUCAGGAAUUUCUCUUGGGAUCUGAUUAGUACGAACUGGGAAUUCUAUAUGUUCAGCCCUUGUGCCCAGAAACCCACCAAAAAGGGUAAGCGGCACCGAGAUGCAGAACCAAAGGGCCAGAAGAGUGAAAAAGAGUGAGAUGGGUAAAGCCCCAGUACUCUUGUUCUUCCACAGUAUAAAAUUUAGUGUGGUGAGAAUUACGAAUAUUAUUCCAGGGAAAAAGCAGGCAAUUGACCAAGAAAGCGACCUCCAUCCUUCAGAGCUACCCUUUAUAGUCCUGUAGAGGCGAACACCAACAUAUCCAGCUGCAAUACCAAGGAAGAGAUAGAGAAUGAUCAUGCCUGUCAACAGCAUUCCUCUCGAGGCAGGAGACAUGAAUCCUAGAGCAGCAAAGAUGAUUGCGACUAUGCCCAUUCCCAAAAUCUGAACUCCAUCCCCAACCAUGACGCAUAGUAGCUUUGAGCAAGCAGGCUCUCUGAAUACAUCGCCCACAACGAGUUUCCACCCUGAAAGCUCCUCAUUCAUCUGAGCUUGGGCUUCUUUAUCCAGCUCCUCAUAUUUAGUUAGAUCUCUCCUAACAGUCCUUAGGAAUAUAACAAAUACAAUCCCCGCCAAGAAGAGGAUAACCAUCAAAGAAUUCAUUAUCGAGAACCAAUGGACCUUUGAGCCCUCCAUUUUUAAAUAAGCAUCCCACCGUGAGGGCCAUCUGAUAUCGCUUUUCACAAACUCGACUUCAUAAGUAAACGAGAUCCUUUCUCGUUCGCGAAUCAUCUGAGAUUUCUCAAUCUCCAGUGGGCAGUUCACAGAAUCAAUUUUAUCAUACAUGUUUUUCUUCAACAUGGAUUCUGGGUCCCGCUUCACACUGCACGGGACAACUUCAAACCCUACAAUCUCAUACCCCGACAUCUUCUUCUUAUCGGUAUCUGAGAUCACUCCAAAGCCCUCUUCCCCCGUGCUAAUAAUCUCCACGUUACUUCCUUCAUACUCAUGAACCAAGACCUUAAACUUCAAGUGGUUGAUAAUAUAAUCUUCUGAACUACCAACUGGAGUGUACCCAACAGGGAACCCAGUCCACUGAACUGUAAGCCCAUUCUGCUCAGUGAACCGCAGUACAGGAAGGUUGUCGAGAAUCAUGUUGACCUGAUAAAGAUCACGGGUCCUCUGCUUCAAAAGCUUCACUUCAUUCUCAUUUAAUGGGUUUGUGGUGCAGAGGUAGAGGGACUCACUAACAUUAACACGAAAUCUAUACGGAGAGUUAUCAAUCUGAUCGCCCAUGAGAAGCUCCCCUAAAUUCUCAGCACUCUUCUUGAUCCCGCCCUGCGGCCAGCAGUAGGGGAGGCUGUAGUAACUGAAAGGGAGCUCGGUCUCGAUGGAAGUAAGGGAGUUGACUUUGACCCAAAUGGUUUCGCCUUGUGCGUAUGUGUGCAUAUAACUACCAGGGAGAUAGAAGGCAUUGCCAGGAGAGACGAUUAAGAGCAGAUACAACAAAGCAGAGAGGAUCAGAGAGUAAGAUCCAUCUGAGAUCCGAGAUCUCGCCAUAUUGACUUCAGCUAUAGCAAAAUUUACACUGCCAGAUCUGUUUGCUCAGACCCUAAUUUAUUCUACAAAUUAACGUCAUCUACUGCGAAUCCUGAAACCAAACAAAUUGAGAGGAAAUACCCCAAAUCAGGCCUAAAAAUAAGAUUUAUAUAGCUAAACACAGUCCAAAUCCGAUCAAUACGACAAAUAAACCCUAAUCCGAACACAACAACGAGCUCUUCAUCAUCCAAAUGUAUGAAAACCAAGACAAAUCAGAUGAAAACAACAGUAAAAUUACCAGAUUACAAGCCCUAACCAACACAAAGUGAGUGGUUCAACCUAAAACACCCUCGAUCAAAGAACAAACCCUGGAUUCCUCCAUUUUCGAUCCGAAAAAACAACGAAACGAUGAAUAGAGAGUGAAUGGAACGGAUCUAGGAAUGGGAGAGUUACCUGAUUCGCAGGACUAGGGCAAGCAGAAGCCAGAACGGGAGGAUAACGAGGAGGGAUCUAGAAGCGAAACAAGGAGAAAUGGGGAGAGGAGGAGGAGUUAAUAAAGAGGACGAGAUUCGAGAUUCGAGAAGCACCCUCUCCGGAUCCGUCUCAGCGUUCGAGGGAGAAGAUGAGUGAUUGAGUGAGGAGAGGGAGUUGGGAGCGCAAAACGAACUACAUUUUAUAUUUUUUUUUAUUAUUAUUAUUAUUAUUAUAUAUAUAUAUAUAUAUAAGCGGAUAGUUAUUGAGAGAUGAAUCUACGGUGUAACAGUUUUUGUGCCAUUGUAACUAUGUGACAUGUGGGCCGGGGCUUUUCCGAAUCCAACAUUUACGGAGUAAGCUAUUGACGGGCCCAUUCUUUAAAAGUAUGAUCUCCAAUUGCGUCUCGUGUAGAACUUUGGUGUUGUGGAUCAUAUUUUAUAUUUCUUAGUUUUAGAAUUUUAGAUUAGAAAAUAUGAGUUUGUUUUUAAAUUAAUGUAACGAAUUGAUUUCUCGAGUAUAAAAGACCCUUGACUUUGCCAAGGGCUGGAUCCCACAAGUAAGCCUAGGAACCAUGAUAAGCACCGUAACUUCAAAAGCAGUACAUGUCAUAGGAAAGUAUGAUUUUCAUAAUAUCACAUUUUGCAUAUCAUAAUAAAUCAGUUAUUAUAUAUUUUUUAUAAUUCUGUCGGAAAACAGAGAAAUAUACCUCUAUAUGCUUUGUUUAAACUCUGUUUUGCCUUGUAGUGUCAGUGAGAUAGAUUACAUGUUAUUUUUAACUGUGCAUUGUGGGCUCCAAAUGUAAUUACAGUCCAACACGCUGUGAUGCGCUCUUCUCUUUUACUCGGCCCAGAACCCUAUUUAAUUUGAUUGGCCCAUUAGAAGGCCCAUUGGGCCUUGCCAAUUGCCCCAUCAUCGCUUCAGUAUUGGCCCACCCAAGAGACCUCGGUUGGCUCCUGCAACCUCCGUCGGCAACGGACCGCGUCGAACCACCGCCCCGUUUUGGCACGGCCUUUUUGGUGCAAUGCGGCCCUCUGCUAAAAAAAAAAAAAUAAAAUAAAAAAAAAGCCCAUUUGCAGGCAUCUUUUGGCACUGCAGUUCAACAAAUUUAUUAUUCAGAUAAUAAAUUUAAAACUCAAACAGUUCGAAAGUUUUUUUGGAACAAAAAUUACACAAUCAACACUUUUUUUAUAUAUUUAUCUGUUCUUUUCUAGAAAGUGAAGGGACCAAUAUUAUAUAUGUCUCAUCAAAGGACAACUAAUAAGGACAGGAUGGUCAACGAUGCAACCAUGCACAGAGAGAAAACACUAUACACUCUGCAACCUACACAACCACCUAAGAAGAAAAAGUUAACCUAAUAUGCUCUAUAUAUAUAUAUAUAUAUAUAUAAAAUAUAUAUACAAGGAAACCUACAUUGAUUAGCAUCAUCAUGGAGAAACAAAGAAACCACGGUAUGGCUUUCCUGAUGUACUAAAAACACACGCAGCUCCAAGCUAUCACGAGACCCGUGCCUGACCCUUCGUCGAUAUCACAUUCCCCGACUAGUCAAAGCAAAGCAAAACAAAACGAAUGCUUAUAAUAUAAACGCACAAUAUAAUGCACUACCAAACACCUAAUCAUCACCACCACCCACGUUAUUUGUUGUCCUAACUCUCCCCAAGAAACCCACCAUUUUUUGUGUCUCUUGAAAUACAAGGUGUUAGUAGUAGAUAAGAGAGAUUCCGGAGAUAACAUCGCUCUCGCUGAGUUUCAAACUCGAUAUCUUAGUGCCCUCUGUGUGAUUUGUCGUAUAAAUAGCCAUCCAAGUGAUUUUUCUUAAUUUUUUUUUAAAACAAAAGAGUAACAUCCUUUCGUUUAGUACUGUUUAGAAAUAAACUCAGCAUAACGAAGUAACUGGAUCUCAGAACCUGAAAUCGCAAAUAGCGAUCAUUAAAUUCUUAGCCAUCGAAAAUUUUUAAUUGGAAAAAACGAAAAAGACAGAGGACAUGCAAACUGUUGGACAAGGCCUGGCACAUUUAUUACUCCGCUCAGAGUGCCGCAUUAUAUAUUCUUUGUCGAAUUUUGUCACGCAUGCUUUAAAUACUAAAGCAGAUACAAGUGGAACCAGCAUUUUGAUUAAGAUGAUUUCCUUUUUGACCUGUCCAAGGGUGGAUAUAUAUUCAAUUAUAACUUGUAUAUAUGUACCAGUAAUAUAAAUCUUCUCCCACCACAUGAAAGAUAUAUAUAUAUAUAUGUAUAUAUGUAUGUAUGUAUUGCCUCUAAAAGUGAACUCAUUUACUAUUCAUUUAGGAAAGAGAGAGAGAGAGAGCAUGAUGCCCCCAUGAUCAGUAUAUGGUUGGUGACGUUGAUUCCCCACCUCUCCAGCGAUCACAUGGGAGGAGUUGGAAAUAGAACAGUUUUUUUCUGUUUUCUUUUAAAAAAAGAAAGGAGAAAUAGGUGUAGGUUACUUGAACUCAUCAUGUUGUGACUUGUGAACAAGGGAGUAGUUUUCCAUACUUUGUCCUUAAAAUCUUUGCAUUUUAAGGUAAGCUGUCCAACUUAUAAAGCUAGUGGUAUGCAAAAAAAAUUUCUCUGAUUUUAAUUUGAAUUAUGAUUUGAUUGAAAAUUAUCAUCCAAAAAAAAAAAUAAAAUAAAGUUAUCAUAUAUGUAACCAAUUAAUUCAUUACUUCAAUAUAUAUUUUAUAGAUCUAGUCUUAGUUAAGAAAAUGUUUGGUUUCCCGUGAAAGUGUACACUUUUUUGCAAUAAACACGAAUUCAAUAAAAACGACUAGGAAUCAAAAAGUUGCACAUAUGUGUCAAUGCAUAAACAAUAUAUAGAUUUUAUUUGGAUACAUGAAAGUUUUAUUUGAUUUAACUUUUCAUUUGACUUAAGAUUGUAGCAUUUAGUUGAUAAGAAACGCGAUCAAAUAUCUCAAAUGAAUAUCAUAUUUUGUCUUUAAAAUCAUUAUUUCAGAAUAAAUAAAUUGUCCCGUAGAUAGAAUAUGUUUUCUUACUAAAUUAUAAAUGCCGAUUUUUAACUUCCAAUUACGUAAAACAAUUUACUUACUGAAUAUGUUAUUAUUAAAGAUUUAAUUCUGAUACCCAAAUUGGUCCUUAGCAAACUUAAAUCCAAUCAAAUAUUAUAAACGAUAUAUGACCAAAUUAUAGGAGAGCUCUUUAUAUGUUUAAUAAAUACGGAUCCAAUCAAUGAUCCAAUGAUAUCCAAGGUACGCAUUGCAGUCCGGUCAUAGUCCGGUCCAAUUUAGAUACAACUACGCUAAAGCUCCAUGUGCUAAAUUGUACGGCCAUAUUAAUAAAUAUGUGCAAAUGUCAACCAACUGAGCAAAUAAUAAAUGGUGUAACCAUGCAUGUGACAUCCCUGACUACAUAUAUAUCUAUUUUUGGGGGGAUCAAAAUAAAUGAGGGGAAAAAAAAAAAAAAAAAAGUAGGUCGUUCACAUGCUCGUUGCUGGGCCAUUGAAACGUACGCUAAUGCAUAAUUUUGCUUAACAUAUUUAUACUGCAAUUAAUCCAUCUCCAUGCGCAUCUCAAAUAUAAAAAAUUAUAUAAUGUACAAGUUAUAUUGCCGGUACUGUAUUCUCAAUCAAUAGAAUUGUCCCCUUUAAUUUUACUGUCCCGCCAUGAUUAAUAAAAAAUAUAUUAUAAUUUUCGCUCAAGAAGAGAGAUAUGACUUGCUUGUUAUUGAUGAUGUGGUGUAAGUAUGACACUAUAACCUUUCUCCUGAUAAAAAAUACACAAGCCCCUCUCGGUUUAUUAUUUUGUAUAAGACUCUGCAUAUGUGUGUUUUCUUACUUGAAUCUAGAAAUACAAAAUAAAAAAGAUGUUGUGUUAUUUGAGGAGGUGAGUUGUUUUGUUUUCAUAUAAUUUUUCUUACUGAUUCACUAAGAGUGCGUUUGUUUCAAACAUAGAAAAAAACUGGCGUAAUUUAUAUCGUGUGGGAUAUAUCUUUUAAACACAGAAAAACGCUACCUACCGACUAUCAAAAGGUGCGAGCUAAUGAUCAACGGCAGUGCCUAAGAUGCACGCAACAAUUUCUAUUCAUACAUAAGGUGGGCAUAUGGUUCUUGCUUAAUUUCAUUAAAUUCCACAUGCCAUUCCCAACAUGAUCUCUUUUCUCACCAACAUAUAUAUAUAUAUAUUGACCUUUACUCACCUCUAUAAACAGGUUAUGUUUAAUAAGAAAAGUUAUUUGACUUUAUAGUUGUUUCAUUAUAUAUUAAGUCACCUUUUGAUGCAUCCACGUCCAAACCUAACUUCAAUUGUCUUAAAAGCAAGAUGCGUUUUUCACUUAAUUCCUGCGUAUCUGGACCAUAACCACCACCUUGACUAUGAAAGAUUUGAAAAAUGAACACUAAAUUUUUAAAUUUUGAAUAUGAACUUUCAAAUUACUCUAUUAUAUGUUUAUAAAAUUUUAUCCAGAAUAUAUAUAAUUUAGAAUCGGAUAAAACAAGUUAUCCAAAGUUUCUUUUUUUUUUUUUUUGAGAGAUAAGUAGUAUGCUACCCCCUUCGUUUAUUUCAUUUAGAAAUAAACUUAGCUGGAAAUAUAAAUCAACUAGAACUCGAACUUGGGUCUCGGAUAUCAACCACCAAACCCUUUGCCACUUACUUUAGGGACGGUCGGUAGUUAUCCAAAGUUUCACAUGCUAAACGACGUACUCUUUUCACAAGCAGCUCUGUACAGCAACAAUAUUAAUAGUUGGACUCACUCUCAAACAAGCCCCCUCUCUAAAUAUAUUCAACAUCCUGCAUAAAUUUUCACCACCUAAUGGAAUGUUCUGUAAUUAACUUUUAAAUAUAUAGAAGUUUUCAUUAAAAAUCAAAUAAAACUUGAGUAAAGAUUUUUUUUUUUUUUUAAAGGUUGUAGGGUGUGUCCAUGCAUUUUAGUCCAUGCUAUAUAUACUAUUCCCAGCACAAAAACAAGUUCCAUAGUGCUGUACAUGUCACGCCCCUCAUUGCCCGCGGUCACGAGCAAAUUAUGUACUGAUUUUGAUUGGAUAUAAUUAAAAAUACAGUCAAAAUGUAACAACUAUAACUAUUAACAUUUUAUUUGAUUGAACGUAGUAAAAAAUAUUAUAACUAUAAAUAAUUUAUUUAGUUACAUGCACUUGAGAAGUGCAUUUCUAAUUAAAAAAUAGUUCUUCGAAUAUGUGGCGAUUAUGAAGAAGAGAUUAUCCGUAGCUCAAAAAAAAAAAAUUCAAACUGCUGUAACUAGAAUUGUGACCAAUUUAAGAAUAGUACUAAUUGCUGCAGUUAAUUAUAUAUAUAUAUAUAUAUAAUUUUUACUGUAACAAUUAAAAUUAAAUAUUUUGGAUCAAAUACCAAAUUAAAUUUUACAUAGGCGCAGUGGAACAAUCAAGUGGCACACACGUAAACGGUGGCAACAGCCGCAGCUAAAAAAAAAAAGAAAAAAGAAAAAAAGAAAAGAUUGUGACGAGACAAGUCUAUAAGACCCAUUGUGAAUGUCCCCUUAUGAGAAUUACAGCUGGACCCAUUAAUGUCGUUUAUACGGACCUGGCCCAUGCCGUUUUAUUAAUGGGCCUAAUGGUAGCAGGCAUAGGCCCAGAGGCGUCACUGGGCCCAAUUUUCGUAUCAGGGAUCAGAUUGUGCCUGGCCUUCGCUUCUCUAAUGCGUACUCGUAAAUAUUUUUAAUGAUCUUCCGAGUUAUAUUUUGAACUUUCACCUGUAAAAAAAAAGAAUACCCCAUUAACUUUUAUGAAGGAACAACGAAGAGAAAUUAAGAUUAUGAUAAUCUGUUCUCUGGGAGUAGCACUACAAGGAUGUCGCAUUGCCUCGCCAUAUCAAAUAUAAUUAAGAUUUCUGAAUUACAGCCAAGCAAACAAUGUGAAUAAAAAAAAAACAAAAUUGUAGGCUUUUUGUUUUUUGUUAUUUUAGAAAAAAUAAUACAAAGAAUGUCACGUUGAAUCUCAGUUUCUCUUGGAUGCUAUAAACUUUAAUGCUAUCCUCAAGGUGCAUCAAGGAGAGAUUCUUACUAAACACAACACCUUCCAUUGAAGGACUCGUAGCUUUUUUCCGCAAUNUUUUAAUUUGUUAGAAUUAAAAAAAAAAAAGAGAGGUGAAAAUUUACCGUAUAACACUUACACCGUAUCAUCUAUUUCUAACCAAUCAUCUUUUUUUUUCUAAAAAAAAUAUAAUAAAAAUAUUUUUUAAAAAAUUACAAUGGAAUGAGUAAUAUUAAUGUUGCCAAGAGAGAGAGAGAGAGAGAGAGCAGCAGCUGUACGGCAGAGUUGGGGGGCCAAAUCAAAGUCGACAAAUUGUAAAAGGGAAUAUUGGGAAGUGCAUAUGACAAAAAGGACUUUAUAAUCCAACUUUGCUCCUGCGCUUUUUUUGGCCCCUUAUAAUUGGAAUUGUUGAAAGAAAUUGACUAAGGUCCUGUUUGGUUGUGGAAUAAAAGGGUAAUAACCCUUUUUAUCCCACUAUUCUUGUCAAAUAUAAAGCAAAAUUGGCAUGUUAAUUUAUACCUACGUUAAUAGGUUAUUCUCGAAUAACCCGUUAAGAGGAAGAAUAGUAGUUCCAUGUAUUGGGUGGAACAAGCUAUUCUCUAAUUUAUUCCUUCACUAAGUUGUAAAUAAUUAUAAAUUAUAAUUAUUUAAUACAAUUAUUUUUUUUAAUAAUUGACUAAUUAAUUUUUUGAGUUAUUAAAUUAAUAAAUAUUUAAAUAAUAAUCUAUUUAUAAUUUAUUAUUAUUUAUCUAAUUAAAUAGUUAAAUUUUAAAAAUUUAAAAUUUUAAAAUUUAUAAUUUGUAAUGUCACGCCCCGGAUUACAUAUUUUUCUGGGCACAGCAACAGACCCACUGUAUAAAUAGGAAUUUUUUCUGUAUACGAAGCGAUAGCUGUACUAGUAAACAAAUCGAAGCUACAACCACAAGGUAAAGAGCUGCUAAAUAGANUAAUUUCAAAUUUUAAAAUUUCAAAGUUAAAAUUUUAAAUUUAAAAAUAUAAAUUUAAAAAUUUAAAAAUUCAAAUUCAAAUAUAAUAAGCGUAUAAUAUCAUUAUUUUUUAUUUAUAAAACCUACUAUCCUUAUUAUUUCAUCUUACCUAACCAAACGCUAUUUUUUUACUCCCAGGAAUAGUCCAAUUUUCAUCCAAACGUAAAAUUGAUCUAAUCCCCGCCCAUACCUCAACCUAUUCUUGGAAUAGUCAUUUUUUGCUUAUUCUCGAACCAAACGAUACCUAAGUAUAUAUCUAGUGGCCUCAAAGCUCGGCUCCCCAGUACUUAGUACUUACACACAAAUGCUCCUACUACUUAUUUCCCCUUUAUUAUUAUCCAUGCCCUAUAUAAUUUUAUCGAAUAAAAAAUUUUAAAUAAAAAAUUACCAUAAUUCAUUUUAUUUUAAUUUUUGCAACGCAAUAUAUUUAAUUUGGAGAACCAAAUAUCCUUCCAACAAUCUCAAAUGCAGACUAACUUAUCGUUAGGCUGAUAAUAGUUCGGUAAAAAUAUAUUAAAAAUUAUAACAAUUGCUCUUUCUAUUUUAUUGGUUAUUUCUUUGUAGGUAGAGGCCAGUGUCUGUAAUAUCAACAUAAUGUCACUCUCUAUUUUUUUUUUUUUUUCAUGAAAUAGGGCAUAUCAUUUUCUGUUUUAAUUUUGAAAAAAAAUUGGCUAACCAAAAGUAAAUUUUUUUAUCUUUGAAACGAUAAACUAUAAAAGGUGACAGAAAAGAAUCAUGUUCAACUCUUUUCAGCAAAGUACACACAAGACAAUUUUUUGAAAUAGCGAGGGCACCAACUGCCAAUGCAAACUUUUGAUCACAUAAAUUUUAGAUAUUCUAAAAUCGACCAGCCUUAUCUUUGGAGGUGAAAAGUGUACAAUUUGGAAUCUAGCUAGGUGAGGAGAAAGUUUACUAUAUAAUACUUACACUAUAUGAUCAAUAAUAAGUCAAUUAUUUUUUUACUGACUGGCCCUAGAGUAAUUGGCAAAAGGCUUGGUGGUUGGUACCCGAGAUCCAAGUUCGAAUCCUAGUUGAUUCACAUUUCCAGCUGAGUUUAUUUCUAAAUGAAAUAAACGAAACGGGUAACGUGCUACCUAUCUCUCAAAAAAAAAAAAAAGUUGAUUAUUUUUUAUUUAAGAGAAGAGUACAAUAAAAAUAAAUUUAAUAAUCAAAAUAAAAUUUGUGAACCCAAUAAAAUAAUCUGAUUAGUUGAGAACACCACAUCAGCAACAUAACUGACGCACUUUAGAUCUUUUUCUUUCUUUUUUUUUGAGAGAAAGGUAGCGCGCUACCUGCUUCAUUCAGUUAAAAAAUGAAUUAAGCUACAUGGGUAAGACAGUACAGGCCUCAAUGGAUGGCGAAACGAAAAAAAAAAAAAAAAAACUAUUUACAGUUGGGUCACCCUCAAAAGUUUACAGUGGUUCACUUCUCCGACCUAAUUUUUUUCUAAUAAUGGCUGUCGUGGGAAUGUAUUAUAUAUAGAUCUAUGUGUUAGGUAUUUUCCGUAUCCCACAGUGGAGACAAAAAGGAGAAUAUAUAGACGGAGAGAGAGAGAGAGAGAGAAUUUAUCUUAGCACGGCGAUAGCGACCCAACGGAGGCGUUAUGAAAAGGAAAGCGACUCCACUAUGCACCCUUCUUGGCCCCUUCUUUUCACUAUUUUCUUUGGUCGAACAAUUCUCAUUCUCUUCUUCUCUUUUCUCUCUCUCUCUCUCUCUCUCUCUCUCUCUAUAUCUCUUUUGUUGGGAAUUCUCUGCCAAAACAGAACAAAAAAAGUGCAAGUGGUGAGUGAAUAGGCUACUGAUAAGUCAUUCACCGGUCUUUAUUUUCAAGAUAAUUGUUAUUUUCAAGAUAAUUGUUACCGUUAACAAGAGUAUGUUUUUUAACAGAAUAUAAGUAAAAUAAUAAUUUUAUUAUCACAAAUAUAUCUAUCCAAAAGUUUCCAUCUGUUAAAAUUAUGUAAAAACAUCUUUUCAAAAAUUUCAAUGGUCAUCUUUCUACCAUCACAAAUAAUAUAAGAGAGAUAAAAAGGUCAAUUUGUCUUAUUAUCUAUCAUAGUUAAAUAUUUUACUUAAUUAACUAUAUUUUUCUAACGAAUCCUAAUAAUAGAAGUACAUUUGAAAAUUUAAAAUUUUUACCUGAAUAAGUAUAAAAAUUUAAAUUUUAUAGAGCUAUAUCUACUAUUUGAUAUAUUUACAAAAAAAAUUAUAUAUAAUUAAUCCUAUUUUAAAUGAUAUCUAAAUAAAUGGUUCCGUGUACACUUUUUCUCUCUCAGUUUUCAUUAUAAUUUUGAAAUAUUGAAAAAACAAAUUGAAAUUUAUUUAUAAAAUAAAAAUGAUGCUAUUAAUUGUUGCAUUAUUGAUUUGUUUUUUUUUUUGGAGAAAGGUUGCAUUAUUGAUUUGUAAAAUCUUAAUUGGUGCGAUAAGUUGGACAAACGCAUCAAGUUAAAAUCAAACGAAUUUGGACGGUGGUUUACGAGGCGGGCCUAGCGAUCCUACGGCGUAGAGUAGGGGUGUCAUUAUUCGACAUGGUCUUGUCGCUCAAGUACACUGUAAUGUUAUGCGCACGCAAACCCAGCCUUUUCUCUCUCACUCUUUUUCUUUUUUUUUAUUUUUUUGCCCUUUACAGCGCUUUUUGGGGGCUUUUUUGGGUACCCUUUAUUAUCCUAUCUCUCCCUAGGAGGUAGGCGUAGGUUAGUUACCCAAGGCGCAUGUUAGCUCAGGCCUUUAUCUUAUGUGGGGCCUCUCUCAAACCAACCGAACAUGCCGUGACGUGUCGCUCUCUCAUUGGUUGAGGAAAAAAUCUGCUAUCGUACGAAACGUCGUUCUGAGCCUCGCGUAACCAAAAAUGUACCCAAAAGAGUACCAUCGUUCACAAGUUUUGUUUCAGUUGUAUUUUUUUAAAAUUUUUUAAUUACCAUUGCAAGAAAAAUAUGCGACUGGAAUAAAAUAUAUAAUAUUAGAUAAUUUUUUAAUGAAUAAUUAUAUGUUUAUUAGCUCGCUCUGGAUCCGCGAUAUUUUAUUUUGAUAGUCUUAGUUAAAAAUAAAAAAUAUAUUUUGUAUAUACAGUCAUAUCGUUUUUUUUUUAAUCUAAUGUUGUUUGUCAAUUCUCAAUAUCUAACUUAUCCCACAAAAUUAUUAUAUUAUCUUUGUAGUAGAAAUAAAAAUAUUAAAUUGGAGAUUUUGUUUUGGUCAUUACAAUUUUAUUUAAUAAUUAUUAUAGUAAAGCUAUUAGUUUCUUUUAUAAUUGUUACAUACUCCAUCAUAUAAAAUAAUAUAUAUAUAUAUAUAUAGAGUCCGGCUACUAUGCUAUUANUAAUUAAUUUAGUUUCUAUACUUUUAAAAUUAAGAUAGGUGUUUGUAAUUUUUUGAUCUUUGGAUUAAGAGAUAUGCAGUUAUGAUGAUAAUAGUCUUCUAUGAUUGAAUGAAUAGUUGGUUGAAUAGUAUAAUUUAACGAAUAAAAAUAAUUAAAAAAUUAUAUCUAAUGAUAAAAAUUUUAUAAAUACCAAAUGAUUUAUAUAAGAAAAAUGAAAAAUAAAUUGGACCCAUGGUAAGGAGGAAUUCUACACUGUCACACUUGCACCAUGUCAUCAAUAACAAGCCAAUCAUAUUCAUUCUUUUCAAACAAAAGUAUAAUAAAAAUAUUUUUUACAAUCAUGAUAGGACAUAUAUCUCUAAAAAAAAUAUUUAAUUGAUAUGUUACGUCACGUCACCAAUAUACCCGUUGCAUUCUAGAAUUUUUUCAUGGUAACAGGAGGUAUUCAUUUAUUUGCCAACAUCUCGCGCUCUGCCUCCUUCUGAUGACGUGGAAGGUUCUCAGCCGUUACUAGACCGUUGAAUCUUGAUCGGCACACGAGACAAAAGGGAAUUACACAUUUUACACCAUCAUCAUAAUUGCCAAAUUAUUGGCGCAUUAAUUGCAACACAGAGAUUUUCUCUACAGUGUCGAUUUAUUAUUUCUCCCCCCCGACACAACAGUGACUUGUCACUUAUUGGUAACUGCUCCGAUCUAGUAAAUAAAUUUAGGAAAAACUUCAAAAAAUCCCCCUGUGGUUUUAUGCAUUCUCACUUUACUAUCCUGUGGUUUAAAACGUAUCAAUUUGCCUCCCUGUGGUUUCAUUUUUAUCUUUUCGGAAGCUUUUUCGUUAACAUUUUGUUAAAUUAUAUACAAAAAACUUCAGAUAACCAUUUAUAUUUAUCGAAUAUUCACUUUAGUAUCCUUUAAUUUUAACUUUGUCACUAAUUUAAGAAAAAAAUAAUAAUAAAAUUGAUAACAAAAAGAGAAAAACGAAACCACAGGGGGGCAAAUUGAUACGUUUUAAACCACAGGGUACUAAAGUGAGAAAGCACGAAACCACAGGGGGGUUUUUGAAGUUUUCCCAUAAAUUUAUUUGUUU